rnacentral:lncRNA from 1 species
UCAAACUGCAACUAUUAUAAAAUCUUCAACAAUUACAAUAGUGUCAAGAAAGACACCACUUAAAAUGUUGUUUAUUAGGACACUUACAAUGUUACAAUGUAGUGAAACUCAGCUGGAAGGUAAAAUUACAAUAUGACAGUAAAUUGCUGCAUCAUAAAUACGCUUUUGAAAGUACAAGCUUUAUUCGUGCAUGCCGGGUGUGAGGACCCGAAUUUUUAUUUAUUUUAAUCUUAUUUUAAUGGCUUAAUUAAUUAUUUAUCUACCCGUUUUCUCCAAAUAAUUUAUUUCAAUCUUUUUAGAUCCAAUUGCAUGGAAUUAUGAUUUGCUUAUAUUUUUAAAAUGACUCAUUUCAAAAUUUAAUUUUGAAAGGCUCGUUAAGUGAGAAUAGUGAAUACGCGUUUGGAGUCAAUAAUCGAUUCGAGAAUACAAUAAACUUGAAAAAUUGGAGACUUGUACAUUAGUCUUGAAAUAGGUAAUUUUAUGUUUAAGUGAUCAAUUAUUAGCUAGUGAUUCUAUCGUUAUAAGAAUUUCUUGAAAAUUCCACUUUAUUGCGCACAAAUCGGAAAUACGCUUUUUUGUGUGUGCGAUUAAUUGAGGGACUUUAGACCUUUAUUUUUAGACCAUUAAGAGUGAAUAAUAAUAAUAUGAAUAGAAGUGCAUUAGAGGUUUGGUGCACAAGUGAAACAAACUCGGGAGGAAUCGAGCACGAAACGCGCACAUGCGCGCGCGGAGGGAGAGUUGACUUUUGGACCAAUUGUGGCCACAAACUCAUAAGCUUCUCAAGGAAGCUUUCCCAUCAGCAAAACAAUUCUCUUUUUCUCACCAUAGCAGCCGUGCAUCAAGGAAAGGAAGAAGAACCAAAGCUUCUUCAUUUUUGCUUCAAUUCUUGCUUCAUUUCAUCUCAAAUCUUGCAACCAACUUUCAUACAACUUGGAGACCAUUUUGGACUAGGAAGAAAGCUUCACUUCUACGGUUUUUCUUGAGCAAGGAGGACCGAAAUUUCUGCCUUAAUCAUCUAAGAAAGUAAGUGACGAUCAACCUUGCAAAUCUUGACUUAUGGAAGUUGUUUAGCACUUAUGAGUUUAUAAUUUCUUAUGGGUAGCUUUAAAUUGUUGGAAAAUUGGUGAGUGGACUCUAUGAACUCUCACUAUGGCUUGAUGGACUGAUUUUGUGAGUUUUGAUGUUAAUAAUGUUGGAUUAGUGCUUAAAUUAGUAGAAAUGAGUGAUAUUAUGGAUGAAAGCUCAAAGGAAGUGAAGGGGAGAUUUUUCCAUUUCUGCCCCUGUGAAUGCCGUGACCUUUAGAGCAUUUUUUUUGAAGUUCUAUUGACUUGUUUAUGAUGUAUAUAUGUUGUAUGGGUUGUGUGGAAGGUUUUCACAAAAAAAUUACGUGAUUUGGUUGGCCAAAUGUGGUGAUUUCGAAAGUUCAUUCAAAAUUGGAAUUUUUCCCAUAUUGCACUGGCAGUGUUUUUAAAACAGAUAUAACUCUUUGCUCCGAUGUCGAAAUCGAGUGUCGUUUCCGGCAUUAGAAACUAGACAUUUCUAGUUUUCCAAUGGUAUAAAAUUCAUGCCCUGAUUCCACCUGAGUGAGCUGUACCAACCCUGUAAAGUUGUCUGUUCUGUUUUUCGUCUGUACUGGAAGCCUUGUUUUGAGUUGCGAUUUGAUGCUCAAAUAUGAGCUAGUUGUGGACAGAAUUUUAAAAUUAUUCCUUCUAAGAAAUUGUACCCUUAUGAAUGUAGUUUCCAACACCACCAACCACGCUCAAUUCCAAGUUGAAUUGAGUGAGUUGUGGCCGAAUUUCAAAACUGACUCAGUGAUGAAAAACCCUCUUUUUGGCUAGUUGAAUGCCUUAAUCUUGAUUGGGACUUGUUGUUUCGAAAUUCUUGGUGUUCAUCACCUACCAAAUAUAUAUUGUAUGUUUCUUAGACAUUGUCUACACAAAUGAAUCAUAUUUGAGAUGUUUUCGUUGGACAAACGUUUGGGAAACGGAAAACGGAACCACAAGGCAGUUUUGUCUUGGAAAUUCUUGGAAAUUUAGUGGCUUUGUUAACUGACCUUCCGUACGAAUUUUUGCAUGAAAUUUGACAGAGGAAUAGCCCUUAUAUGGUAGGGUAAUACUACCAAAUUUGGUGUCAUUCCAAGUCCUUCUCGAUGCCAACAGAUGUCCCAAAGUUUGCUUUUCAAAUCUGGAAAACUUUUCCUUUUCUCUUGGCCGAAUUGUCAAAUCUGAUUUGGGGAGUUAUAUUUCGAAAAUUGUGAUGUCCAUUACCUUUAAAUUUCUUAGUGGAUGUUUAUGGACUCUUGGUUUCGAAAAUGGAGUGAUUUAGAACUGAUUUCAUUGCACAAAACGUUUGCAAGCAAAAGAAAAAUGAAAAGGCAGAUUAGCCUUGAAAUAUUUCUUGAACUUUAGUUGUUUUAAUGACUGCCUUCCCAUGGGAAUUUUUGCAUGAAACUUGGUAGAAAUGUUUUUUACACAUGGAGGAUUUAGUGUACGAAUUUUGGUGUAUUUCUAAUGCCAAAUCGAUGGCCAAAUGAUAUUUCAAAGAUAGUCUUUAAAUCUGGAAAAUGACUGAACAGUUUGCGAAAUGUGACCGACUUUGGACUGAUGUCUCUCAAUACUCAAAACUCCGAUUCCUGUUCCAUCUAUUGUGUUUUAAACUUUGAUUGUAACUCUAAUUGAGUUCCAAAUUUUAGAGGCUAGUUCGCAUUGUGUGAAUUUUGCCGAAUUUCCAAACUUUGCCGAAAAUCAACCCAAAACUGUCUUAAUGGUCCAAAACAGCCAUUUUGAACCACAUUUCGAAUGUCAUCCAUUUGGAAUCAUGGAAAAGUUCUUCUUGAAAUUUUUAGUACUUUGGAAGUAGUUUCCAACGGUACCAAGUUUUCCAAUUUUGGACUUGUAGAGAGUGAGAUACGAUUUUUCAAAGUACGUGUAAGAAAUCUGAAAAUUCCUAAUUUAAAGGAAAUGGAGUUUUUCAAACUCUCUCUUUUCCUUUGAUAUCACUUGAUCAUUUUACACUUGAUUUCAAAGAUGAAAACCAGAUCUCUCUUGUGUUUUAAAACCCCACCUUUGAGCCUCAAUUUACGAUUAAUUAAGGCUCACUUUCAUGAGAUUUUCGUAGAUUGUACUCUAGUACAAUCUUCUUCGAUAAAUGGGGUUUCUAAGUGAUAGUUCAAUAUUAAUUACUCAGGCAUUCAAGAGAACAUUCAAAAGGAUCCCACAGUGGACACCUGAACCCUCAAGUGAACACUACUCCUUUGUUUUUGAUUGGUGAGUGUCAAGUGUAUGUAAACUUGAUAUGUGCUUAAUUGUUAUUAGUGAUUGGAGAUUUUGAAAAUACUGAGUCGAGUGUGUAUCUUACCACACUCGAUCUCAUUUGAAUGAUUCAUGAAUGACUUGAUUGAAUUGAAAUAAAUAAAUCAUGAAUGACUUGAUUGAUGAAAUGACUGAAUCAUGAAUGACUUGAUUGAAAUGAAAUGAAUGAUUAAAUGUAUUGAAUGAUUGAAUGAAAUGAUAAAUUAUGCUAUGGCUGUAUAAGUCGAUUGGAGCGAUGCCUCAUCGACCACUGAACGAUUGUAAGUACCACACCGAUUUGGUGGGAGGUAGCUCUCGAGUCGUCUCAGUAUCCUUAACCUUUGAACGAUAGCAAGUACCAUUCGGGUGAGAGGUACCUCUCGAAUCGUCUCAGAACCAUUAAGCAUUCGAAAUCGAUUGGAGCGGUAUCUCAUCGACCUCUGAACGAUAGCAAGUACCACACCGAUUUGGUGGGAGGUACCUCUCGAAUCGUUUCAGACCUAUAAACUGAGCGAUAGUAAGUACCACACCGAUUCGGAUAGGAGGUACCUCUCGAAUCGUCUCAGAACCAUUAAGCAUUCUAAGUCGAUUGGAGCGGUGUCUCAUCGACCUCUGAACGAUAGCAAGUACCACACCGAUUUGGUGGGAGGUACCUCUCGAAUCGUCUCAAACCUAUAAACUGAGCGAUAGUAAGUACCACACCGAUUUGGGUGGGAGGUGCCUCUCAAGUCGUCUCAGAAACAUAAAUGGAAUAUGUAAAGUGGUAUGAAUUUAAUUAUCUACCCGGGUGACGGGGUGUUGUCACGAGAAGGUAUUGGAUUGAACUUGGGCAAAGUAAACAAAGAUUUAACUCUUGAGAGCUCCUACAUCCUACUCAAGGGGGUUUAUUAUAAAUUGUGAAUUUCUUAAAUGUUAUAGUUUUCACUAUUGUGUAAGUGCUAUUGCUAUUGAAUUACUUGUCUUGCAUGUUUUCUUGGCCUCACGAGCAUCCGCUCACCCCGUUAGAUUUGUUUUCCUUAACAGGAGCUGAAAUGGGAGGAAUUCUGGAGAAGCUUACUUGAUGCUUCAUUUGAUUAGAAUUGUGACUGUAUUUGUUUAGAAUUUGAUUUUGGAAGCUGUAUAUUUUGGGAAUGUAAAGUAAUUGGGUAGAUUAUGAUGUAAGACUUGAACGUUUAUGGAGGAAUUGACCUUCCUUUAUCUCUUCGAUUUUUAGUAUCGAUUGGUUAUUAUUGAGUGUAAAUUAAAUUAGUACCGAAUCCUGGUGAGAGUUGGGCAGGCGUUCCGCCGAUACCCUUGGAUUCGCCCUUGGGAGAAGUGGGGGCGUCUUAAAAUCUAUUUGUUCUCUGAAAUCUCAAUGUGCAAUCCCUCGGGGAAACGAAUACCAGUAGGUGUCUGGAUUCUCUCUGCUCCAUUGGUAACUCUCCAGCUGAAAACUCAAAUUAGACAAGCUUUUUGAUCAGUUAUCACUUUUUUCUUGCAAUCAUGCAUAUUAAAAAACCCUACAAACUAUUUCAUCACCAAAUUCUCAAACCCUACAAACUAUUUCAAGGUUCUCAAAGGGACCCCUUGGUUCUUAAAUAAGACCUUCGUCAUGGUUCAAAUCUACCAACCUAUUUUUAUUGUCAAUUAAAACACCUCUCGCUUGACUUCUACUUGGGUCAAACUGUCGCAACUCGCAACUACUGGUGGAAUACUAUGACUUCGAAGUCCUAGCACUAGUAAAGAUUUCACUAGGUACGCUGAUCAAAAUUGAUGCAAAAAUAGCAAACUCAUAAGAUGAAAGAUAUGCCAGGCUAUGCAUCCAAAUUGAUCUCAGCAAAUCUUUGAAGCAUUCAAUCAAGAUUGAUCAUAUUACCCAAUCUCUUCAAUAUGAAGGACUUAAUUUCUGUUUCUAUUGUGGCUUAGUGUGUCCGAUGAAGGCAAAUAUUGGAACCUAACCUUUGAUCAGUCCAACUGCUAUGAUCAAAAACCCAAAUAUGGAUCCUAGAUGCUGGCCCCCAAAUUUCCUCUAAAGUCCAGCAAAAAGAUUUCUGUCUAGGCAGGCCAAACUUGGGCCUCAAUCUCAAACAACGUUUCAAUACCCCCAAAUUCAAAUUUCAAGUCCCCUGCCCAUUCCUCCAAACUUGCUCUUAGUCAACCUAAUGCCAGGACAACAUCUCAUACUUGUCAAACCUCAUUAUUUCCGAUCUCUAACCUUUCAACCAUCCUAGGAAAAACACCAUGCAAAAAAAAAAAAAAAAAUUGCUUUCAAUGCGGCUCCCUUCUCAACCUUGCCACAUAUAGGAACUAGCUUGCAUCCAAGUGGAAAACAUCCGUCCUGCAAUUCCUAAAGUAAAGUCUCCUCAUCCUCGAGAGCAACCCAAGAUUCUAAUAAUAGGGUUAAAAACAAAAAAACCUUCUGUGAUAUACCUAAUACACAGAAAAAUCCUCCGUGAUUUCAAAUUAUACAAAACGAUAUCUCAUAUUUUGAACUAAAUUGUAAACUAACGGAAUUCGUUAGACUUAAUAGAAUUCGGUAAAUUUAACGAAAAACUUAACAGAAUUUGGUAAAUUUAACAGUAAACUUAACGGAAUCCGGUAAGUUUAACGGCUGUGACGUCAUUUUCAUUAAGUUUAACGAAUUCUAUUAAAUUACAAUUUAGUUCAAAACAUGAACUGUCGUUUUGUAUGUUUUGAAACCAUUUGGAGCUUUUCUGUACAUUAGGUAUACCACAGGAGACUUUUUUGUUCUUAACCCCUAAUAAUAUGACGCCUCUCUCUUCACGCAAUGUAUCAAGGCUUGUCAACUGGUCGGAUCCGGGUUGGAAUUCAUUAUUCCGGAUCCGGGCCUACCAUACCAUACCGGACCCAGGCCUGACCCGUUUACCCGACGGGUCUUUUACUCUAUGUUCCGGAUCCGGAACCGACGGGCCUCGGAUCCGGGUAGGGUCUACUCGAAAAAAUUUAUCAAAAUUUACAAUUUCUAAUAAAAAUGAGAAAAAAUAUAUAUUUGUAAACUAAUUUCUAACUAAUACAAAAAAAACCAAAUAAGAAAAGAAAUCAAAUUAAGUUUACUCAAAUACAUCACCCUAAUCAAAUUAUAUUAAUAAAUAAAUAUAUUUUAAAUUAUUAAUCCAUUUAUAUCCGAAUCCGGGUAUAAUACGGGUCGGAAUACUAUAUUUCGUAUCCGACCCGUUUUUUGUUUGACAAAACGGAUUCGGAUCCGGGUCCGGGUAACAGAAUUAAAUCCCUACCCGUACCCGCAAUAAUUUCAUGGAUCCGGUCUGGGGACCGGACCGUUGACAGGCCUAAAUGUCCCACACCAACCCCUACUCACAAGCCAAAUUACCAAAAAAUUUCCAACCAAGAGAAAACCAUCCCCACCCAAAAACUGACCUUCUUGCAUGCUUAUCACUGCCUUGGCCAUAGAAACUGGACAGCAAAUAUUUGUUGGAGCCCACUGCCAGAUCGAUACUCAACAUCUCGCCCCCAAAGAAGAAGCUCCAAAGGCAAGAUGGGAGCCCCAAACUCACCUAUUUUUUACCAAAGGAGGAGAUGGAUUCCUCUCUCACAUCUCAUCCCUGAUCAAUUAGUUCAUCAGCAGUGGAUCUCGAGAUCCCAACUCUCAAAAGAGGACCCCCUCCCCGAUGAGAGGAGGUUCUAAACCCCGCCCCUCCCCUUCAGAAAACCCCGCCCUCUUUAAUAGCUAAUUGUAUUACUUUUGAAUAUAUUUAACUUGUAAUUUUUAGAUGUUCUUAAGUUUCUUUAUAUUUGACAUAUUAAUGUGAAUUUAGUAUUUUUAUCAUUAUUAUUAUUUUCAAUUAAAUUGGUGCCACGAUUCUUUUGUUCAUUUUGAGUAUAAAUAGGGCAAUUUGACUUCCAUUUAGUCACCACUUCAAAAGAGAGGUACCCCUAUUAUUAUUUAAAUGUCAAUUACAUGCUCUUAUGUGUUUAUAUAUUUUUAUAUGUUUUGUUAUUUGUUUGAUUCAAAUGUUUAUUCCAAUUUUCUUAAGUUUGUUUAGUUAAGUUUUUAAUUAUUUGAGAGGUGUUUAAAUACCUCAAGAUGUAAUUGAUAGGUAAUAUUUUUUACAAAAAUUGUAAUUAGAUAGACCAAUGUAAUAGAUAGAAUAUGUAGCUUUAUCUCAUACUUUACCCCAUUUAGAUUGUAGUUAGGCUUUCCGAUGUAAUAGGUAAGUUGUGUGUUUAUGUGGCUUAUGUGUUAUAUGCUUUAUCCACUUUCCUUAGGAUUUUUGCAUCUAGAUAUUAUGUUUACGUGUUACGUGCUAUAUGCUCUUAUGUGUUUAUUUGUUUUAAUUUAUACCUUAUUCAUUUUACUAUGUAUUAUUAAUGCAUGAUGUUACUACACUAGUCCAACGCUAGUUGUGGUUUCUCCCUCCGUUUACUUGCUAGUCCAACGCUAGUAAGGAUUUUUUAGAAAUGGACUAGUCCAACGCUAGACCCUUAGAUUGUUCAUGCGUUAGAUUCAUUUUUGUGUGAUAUUCAUUACAUUUUCAUGCAUAUUUUCAUUUUUAGGAUCUUUUCUCAUUUGUAUAAUAUUCCCUAUUAUUUUACCCCCUAUCCUCUAUAUGUGUUAAUCAUAUCAUUUAGAAUUGUAUCUUAUUUAAGAAAUUGUAGAAUAAGUUAGUUCAUUUGCUUGUUCAUAUAAGGAGAAUUAUUCUUUGAACAUGGAUAUGGGUGAUUAUAACUUUUUAGUUUAAAUACCCCAUCGAUCCCUGUAUAAGAGAAUUAUGUCACGAGUUUUUGUCUACCGUACCCAUUAUAUUGCAUUCCAAUUCUUUGGCCACUUAUAUCUAUAUAUAAUUUAAUUUUCUUUUCUUUUUAAUUUCAUCAUUUGCAUACUCGUGACACCUUCAAGAAAUUAUUUUGGCUUUCGCAAUUAAUGCAAUUGGUAUCAAUUAAACUCUUGAAUGGAUAUUUUGCUCCUUUCGAUAUUUUAUAAAUUUAGAUUUGCAUCCAUAUAGGAAACAUCAAAAUGUGAUAAAUUUAAGGGUUAGAUUAAGAAAAUUUUUUGCUAAACCUUGCAACUAGUUUAGACUAGGUUGAAAGGAUGCCUUAGGUUUUAGUUAAUCGAACCUUUGCCUUCCCUUUCUUCAACUGUGACUCCCGAACUCAUUUUCUCUUGUUUUUCAAAGACUUGGAAUUGUUGAAAAGGGUUUUAUUUUAUUUUAUUUUUGUUAAAAAAAUACUUUUGGGUGACUUGGUACACCAAAACUCAAUACCAAGUGGCGACUCCUCUUUUUUCUUAAAAAUCCUUUUAGACUAAAUUUUGGACCCAAAUUGUUGCAUUCUUUAAAGUCCCAUUUUAGGUCCUUUUUCACUUAUUUUUAAAUAAAUCACCUCUUUUUGUAAAUACUUUUUAUUUCCAUCGCGAAAAAUGGUGCGCGAUAGUUAUGAAUAUUACCACAGGUUGUUAUGAGUAGUUAUGUAGGCAUAAUUUCAACAAUUGUUUAUACCAAUAAUUGGCUCUAUCUUUAUAUAUUAUAUAUUCUAUAGAUAAUUUAGUUAAACACAAACAUAAUAAUAAAAAAGAUUCAAAAAAUGGAUUCAUGGCACAAAUGAUUCCUUCGAUUUUUUUUUGUCAUUUUUUUGUUCUUAUUUUGAGGAGUUUUCUAACAGAAGCUUGGGCGGCCGAUUCAGAGUGAUGCCCUGAAUUUAUCAGUAGCAGUACUUUUUCAGGCUUACCAGUUUAUAGGCCUCGCAAGAGGGUGAACAAAAUUUUUGGUUAAGCCUGUGAUACAAUCACACAAAUUCUGCUACUUUUUCUGGCUUACCAGCUUAUAGGCCUCGCAAGAGGGUGAACAAAAUUUUUGGUUAAGCCUGUGAUACAAUUACACAAAUUUAUAAGAUAAGAAUUGCUUAGUGCAACCAUAAAUACAAGAGAAAAUACUUAUAAUUAUUUUAUCAGCCAGUAUAAUAAGCUUAUUUAACAAAUUUUUUUGCAAUGAGUUCCAACAUAAUUUAGUCAACAUAAGUGAUUCAAGACUUGAUUGAUCCCUAUAAAAUCCAUAAUUGCUAAUCCACCUUAAUAGAUAUUACUUCACAAAUCUUUGCAUGUUUAAGAAGGUAAGUUUUAACUACGUUGAAACCUUGCUUAAAAAAAACUACAUUGAAACCUUCAUAUUCCCAAUUUAUAGUUCAUGGCAUAUACUGAUGAGCACAUCAGUACAAUCUGUAGAAGUAAGAGUUCACAAAACAUUAGAUGGUUUUGCUGUCUUGAAGUUCACCUAUUUUUUUGGUCAAUAUAAAACCCAAUAAGAGAUUUCAUUUCUUAUUUCUGUUCUGUAAUACAUGCUGCUCCACCUUCUUCCUACUAAAUCAAUUGCAUUUGCAAUUGAUUUUCACAAUUGCCAUUUGCAUUAACUAUUAAAGCUAAAACUAAAUCAAUGGAAAUAUUAGUACCAAAGACAGAACCGCGUGGGGUGGGAAAGGGCAACGGCCCCCAAGAUUUUUGCAAAUCUCAUUUGUCCCUCUAUAAAUUUGAAAAAUUAUAUUUUUAUUAUGAAUUUAACUUUAAGAAAUUAUUAUCAUAUUAUUUACUUGCACCUCCAAGCUUGAGAAUGUGGUAAAGUUUCAAAAAUACUUGCAAAUCGAAGUGUAAAAGAGUCUAAUGAAGUCAAACACUAAUCUUGUCUAUUUAUUUAAAGGGCUUAAAAUAUUGAACCAAGCUUGAUUAAAUAUUACACAUAAUUUUCAAAUAUUACUUUAAGUGAGUCAAGCUUGUUUUGGAUUUAAAAUUUUACAUGAUACGAUAUGCUAUUUAUGUUUUGUUUGAUUAAUUGGGGAAACAAACUCAAAUGAGCUCUUUGCAAUUCGAAUAUUGAAUAGUUUGGUUUCUCUUUCAAUUUAUUUGCAAUUAUAAAGUUCUAAUAUAAAAAAUUCUUUUGAUAUUAAGUUUGUUCCCUCUAAAAUUAUAUAUUAAUUUUCACCCCUUUCCCAAAUUAGAAAUCCUGGUUCCGUUAUUGACCCCUACCAAUAUCUACCUUGUAUAUAAGAAAAGAGCAAGGUUUAGUGUUUUCCUUUCCUCUUGCCACAUGGCUUCUUAAUUAUCUGACAAGUGGCAAGGUAAAAUGUUUCUUGCAAAUUGUCUAAAUCUAAAGCUUCUCUUGUCCGAGGCCUUCUAUUUCUUUUCCUUCUUUUGCCUUCUUUUGCCAUUACACUGUUACUGUAGCAUGCUGUCUCACUGACACAUGGCACUCUUGGUGAAUUUUUGAGCUUUCAUUCUUUCCUUUUCUUUUUAUAGGCAAUGGUAGAUAGAUAGAUUGGACUGCAUUGCACAAUGACCAAAUUUGGUCUGGCCUUGGCAUUCAAGUAUGAGGUCCAAUUAUUUUUAUUGGAAUUUUCAAUUUGUAAGCUUUUGAUAGAUGUAAUUCAAUUACAAAUUAUUAUUAUUAUUAUCAUUAUUUCAAUUUAUAUUUAUUAUGAUGUCAAUUUGAGAGAGUAUUUUUCAGAUCAUCGUAUUUUCAAAAACAAAAAGAAAUAUUUAAAAUUGAUUUCAAGCUCUAGGUCUUGGACAGAUGUAAUCCAAUUAUAAUAUUAUUAUCAUUAUCAUUAUUUGAAUUUAUAUUUAUUACGAUUUGAAAUAUCAUUUAAACUUAUAUUUCACAGAUUAACUUGAUUUUAUUAAAAAUCAUAGAAUUCUAUUCGUCUUUUCGAAAGUUUAUAUUUUUUUUACUUUUUUGCUAUGCUAUUAAUAUAACUUUUGCUAUUUUAGAAGCCGUCAAAAAAUGAUAGAAAAAUUGUCACAUUUUCAAAAAUUAAAAGAAAUAUCAAAAUCUGAUAGCAAGAAUUUUAUUAUUUUAAUCUACAUGCUAAAAAAAUAUUUAAACUUUCUUAAUCAAACCUUGGCUAUUUUUGAACUCGGAGGAAAAGAAAAAGAUAUCUUCAAAGUGGGAAAAUGAUAAAAAAAAAUAAAAAGAAAAGAAACUGGUUCCAAUUUGUUAUAAAUGCAAAAAUGAAAUAGCCAACUAAUAGAAUAUACACUUUCGAAUCAAUUUUAUUUUAAUUUAUUGAUAUGUGAACAUUUGUCUUUUAUUUUGACAAAAAAAAAUUUUGUUGAGCAAAUGAAUGCAUUAAUUUCUGAAUGACAAAAAAUAUAUGCAUUUGUUUUUUUAAGGAAUGGCAGGGUAAAAUGUUUCUUGCAAAUUGUCUAAAUCUAAAGCUUCUCUUGUCCGAAGCCUUCUAUUUCUCUUCCUUCUUUUGCCAUUGCACUGUUUUUUUCUCAAAUUGCCGUUGAAUCACUUCGUAGCAGAAAAAAGGAAGAAUUCACUGGUAAAUUCAAACCAAGUACAAUCCCUAAAAGAAGCUGAUUCUUGGGGCAAGUGCAAUCACGUGCAUGUGGAGGGUUUUUGUGGUUCUAACCGAAAGAAAGUACAAUGCUUUGUUCAGAAAAUUGGUAGAACAGUAGCAUCUUUUGCAGGUUCAUAUUCAGUUAUCUGAGUGGAAGAAACGGAGAAGAAGAGAUUUUGCUACCAAACCCAGCAGGCAACACCCCUCUUCAAGCCUUCUAUUUCUUUUCCUUCUUUUGCCAUUGCACCGUUUCUUUCCCAAAUUGCGGUUGAACCCUUUUCCCUCCUUUCUCUCUACCACACGGCUCUUCUGAGCACAAAUUCGGCGCAUUUAUCCUCAGCAAGUCCAAUUCCAGCUGCCUAUGCUGCCAAACCCAGCAGGUCAACAACCCUCUUCAAACAUGUAAAAAGUUUGGAUAUGACAACAGAUUAUAGGGGGCCUAGGCUGUGCUUAGCACAGCCGAUAACCUCCUAGUUGUUAGACAUGUUUUAAUAAACACAAGCAAGAAUCUAACCCAAGAAACAGAUUAAAUUGACACAACAAUCCAAUGUACAGCUCAUUUUAGCCCGUUACAUAAAUCAAGCCUAGUCAUGGCCAUUGAGACGGGCACAUAACCCAAGAAACAGCUUAAAUUGACACCAAAAUCUAAUAAAUAGCACAUUCUAGCUCAUUAGAUGAAUUAAGCCUUAGUGGUUGUCAAAAAAAAAAAAAAAACCCUAGUCUUGGCCAUUGAGAGAGGCAUAUAAAUUAACCAUCGAAUGACAAAUACACUUAAAACAAUAAGCAAUGACCAAUAACUUGCACAUAGAAAGUAAGUUUAAGUAAGGAUGGCAAUGGGGCGGCCACCCGCGGGCAGCGGGGGGCUAAUAAGGCGGGGUUGAGGGGAAUUUUUUUUGCCCCCACUUAGAAACGGGUCCACGGGUCCCCCGCCCCGCCACCCAUUUUUAAAAAAUAAAUAUAUGUAUAUAAUUAUAUAUAUAAUAUAUAAUUUAAUUAGUUACAAACUUAUGAUAAUGAUAUUAUUAGUUAUAUGUAUCAUAUAAUGUAUAUUAGUAUAUGUAAUAUAAUUGAUAUUAUCAAUUAUACUAAUAAUUAUAUAUGUGAACUAAUACAAAUUAUUAAUUGGUUAUACUAAAUUUACUAAUACAUUUAUACUAAAUCCGUAAUAACACUUAAUAUAAUAACAUUUUUUUCUCAAAAAAAAGCACAAGCACAAUAAUGAAUUAGUGAUUGUAUUUGUGCUAAAAGUGAAAACUUGACUACUUUAGUUGUAUUAAUUUCAUCAUGUUGGGUUGUAUUCAAAUAACUUUUGUUUGAUUGUUUUUAUAAGUAUCAAUUAUGAAAUUACAAUGAAUAAUAAUUUGGUGAUGUGUUGAUAUUUUAGUAGUUGAUUAUUUGCUAAAAUUUAACUAUAAUAAAAUUAUAUAACAAAUUUUUAUUAGCCCUUGUGGGGAAGCCGGGUGGGCGGGGGGAGUGGGGGAUGGGGGACGGGGCGGGGGCGGGGGAAAUUUGUAGGCAACGGGGCAGGGGACCUAUUGCCAUCCUUACGUUUAAGUUGAACUCCACCACAACGCCUCUCUUUAAGAGAUUAAAUAUUAUAUGGAUUUUUUUUUCCAGCAACAAUUUGGCAUAAAAAUGCUUUCAGAUAACAAUUUAGCAUAUAAAUGCAUGGUCGGCAAGAUUACAUACAUAAAUUCGUAUGUAAAUAGUAUAUACACUAGUAUUUAUAUUUCAAUUCAAAACAAUACUUAUAUAGUAUAGUAUAGAAUAAAGUAUAUGAAAAAGGUAAAAAAAUUUAUAAAAGUGUAUUUUUAAUAUGUUAAAAAAAAUUUAUUUCGUAAAUACAAAAUGGACUUUCUUAAUUUUAAUAUCUUAACUAAGUUGAAACCUAAUUUUGUUAACCUAUUGUUUUGUCAAUAUAUGAUAACAAUUUGAAUAAAAUAAUUUAAUUUAUAACCAUUUACAUGAUAGAGCAAUUGUAAACUUAUUUAUCAAUAUAUCAUGUUAUACCUAUAUAUCAAAAUUUUUAACAUUAAAAAUAUAAAGUAUAAUUAAUUCAUUUUCCUCAAUUUUAGAAAAUUAUUUCUCCCAUCUUUGUAAUCCUAAAAUUGUUGAGUGCUCAUAGAAUAACAUUCUUCAUAAACUUUAAUAUAGAUUUAAAAUAAUCUUAGUAAGGUGUGUUUUUAAAAUUUUCAAAAUUAUUAAAGACUAUCAUCCUUUCCAUUCUCUUUUACCUGCUAACUAGCUAUUUGCUGCAUUCUAUGACUUUCAAAUCUUUUAUCGCGGUGCCAUACUUCCUGUCAUAUCCCCACAAUCCCAUUCUUUCUUCUCCCCACUCUUCGUGCAAUGUUGUAAUAGUUCACUUUCCUUUUUUGAUUUUUCCUACCACUCUUUAACUCUUCGUUAUUGUUUUUCCCUCGUCUAUAGCUAGUCUCUAGUUUUCUAUCAUUGCCACCCAAUUUCCUAUUAUUUUCCCUUCACCAAUCUCCCAAACCCUUUAAAUCCAUAAUUUGUUUUUUUAAGACUAGUAGUACUUUGUUUUUUAUUCAAUGAUUUCAUAAUUUAGGAUUCACUUAUGGUACCAUUAUUGAUAUUUUAAAUCCAUGACCAAUGACUAUUAUUUUCUUUUUGUUUUCUAUAUAAUUUGCCCUUUCAGUUAGGAUUACUAAGUUAAAGGGUAAAAUAUUGUUAUAUUUACUUUUUUACUUUUAGUAGGGUUGGUGUUUUUUCCUCUUUAUUAACCCUCAUUAAUAGACUUCAAAUCAAAUACCUAUAUAAGGGGGUCACUUCUUACUAUUAAAUUCAAGCGACAUGAAUGGAUAUAUAACAAUUUAAAAAAUCCAAAAUUCUAUAAAAAAAAAAAAGAAUGAGGAGUUGUAAGCACUCUGAUUUAACCAUCCUAAAAUCCCACCCUGCAAUACAUAUAGACAUAGAUAUUUAAAAGUUAUAGAACUAAAAAUAAGGAUAAAUUUGCUUUACGUUUCAAAGAUUGUGCUAUAUUUAUACGAAUUUUAAACUUACUUUGUGUAUGAUACAUUAAAUUUAUUAAAAUUUUAUUACUUAAAUUUAUUAUAAUGUGUAUGAUACGUUAUUAUUAAAUUUACUUAAAUUUUGUGUAUGACACAUUAAAUAUAUUAAAAUUUUAUUAUUUUGUUACUUAAAUAUGUAUAAUUUUCUAGUUAUUUAUGAUGUACACUGCUCUUAUUUUGUAUAUAAUUCAAAAGUAUGUCAUUAUCCUUAUUCAAAUUUUAAAUUUUUUCAAAAAUUGAAAUAUAAUUCAUGAAGUAUAAUACGUUAAAAGUUUAUUACAUGCUUUAUACGGUGAAUUGAAAGGUACAAGUGUUUUUUAGAAUAAUUUUAAAAUAAUAUAUAUGAACAUGUAUUAUAUAGGUAUAAUAUGAGUAUUUAUUAACUAUACUUAAGAAUGAUGUCCAUUAUGAUUAUAAUAUGAGAAGGGUAUGUUUAGUGUAUAUUUGGUUAUCCUGACGUACAAUACUAACUUUUAUUCAUCUAAAAAUACCCUUGGUUCGUCCACUUGUUCUUUGCAAUGCUAAAGUCAGAGAAGCAAUUUUCACGGGAAUCGUGAGUUUCGGAACAAUUGAACACAAUUUUGUAUGUUUGGAUACAGAAUAAUGCCAUUUACUCUUUGUUCUUUUUUACCGCAUAGUAUAAAAGUUCUAUGGUUCCAUCCACAUAAGAAGCCAAAAGGGUGAAGAGAACAUUCGAUAAAUUAAGCCAAAACUGUUUAAGUGCAAAAAUACAAUUUAAAAACAUCUAGGGGGUGCAAUGUCUAAGAAAAGUUUUCGAAAAUUUUUGGUUAUUUUAGUUGCAAUCUUUGUAGAAAUGUAUUGCCUUCCUCAAGGUAACCUGGUCUACUCCUCCGUGAUCAAUCAUGUGGACUGAAGUUCGUAUGCUUCUCCACCUUGAUGAUGAAUUAUUGCUCGUAUUCUUUCCUUGAAUUUAUAAAUAAUUAUCUAGCUUCCUAUUUAUCUUUUUAAAUAGGGGAAAAUUUUAAGCUUUGUAUUUGCUUGAUUGGUUUUUUAUUUUACCAUACACACGUGAUUGUGAAAUUUGAAAUGUGAGUUGGAACUUUGUAUAUCCAAAUGAAGCUUUUAUUAAUUUGUCCUACGUACCAAGUAGUUGGUUAUGUCUAACAUAAAAUUUUUCAUGAAGCGAGUACUUGCAAAUAAAUUAGAGAUAUAGUAAUUCUAAUAGGAUAAUAUUCUAAAUACUCUCUGCAUCCCCAAUAUUCGAAUAGGAUAAUAUUUCUCAAAAUAUUGUUAAAAAUUUUUAAAAGAAAAUCCGGAAAAUAAGGGAGGUGGUGGAUCUUUUCUUCAUUUAGGGGUGCCGAUUUUGGCAAAAUCAACAAAAAUUGGCACCGCUUACAUGCAGCUACUAAACACCUUUCUUUAUUUUUUUUGAACUUUUUUAGAAAUGUUAUUUUUUAGAAAAAUUUUGGAAACUAAGGGCCGCAUGUACUGCAUGCAGCCCCCUAUUUUACAAUAGCCCUAAUUCCUUAUCUUGAGGGUGUGAAAUCAUUAAUCGUUCAAAUGUCGACAAACCCUUGAUCAACUUCUUCAUUUAGCCAUUUGAGAAGGCACCACUUUUCCUACAUUUUUAAUACACUAUUCACUAGCAUUCUGAUCCAUGCAAUGCAUUGAUUUAUAUUUCAAUUCAAAACAAUACUUAUAUAUUAUAGUAUAGGAUAAAGUAUAUGCAAAAGGGGAAAAAAUUUUCAAAGAAGUGUAUGCUUAACAUGUUUAAAACAAGUUUAUUUCAUAAAUACAAAAUGGACUUUCUUAAUUUUAAUAUUUUAAAUAAGUUGAAACCAAAUUUUGUUAACCUAUUGUUUUAUCAAUAUAUGAUAACAAUUUGAAUAAAAUAAUUUAAUUUAUAACCAUUUACAUGAUAGAGCAAUUGUAAACUUAUUUAUCAAUAUAUCAUAUUAUACCUGUAUAUCAAAAUUUUUAACAUUAAAAAUAUAAAAUAUAACUAAUUCAUUUUCCUCAAUUUUAGAAAAUUAUUUCUCCCAUCUUGUAAUCCUAAAAUUAUUGAGUGCUUAUACAAUAAUGUCUUUCAUAAACUUUAAUAUAGAUUUAAAAUAAUCUUUAUAAAAUGUGUUUUUAAAAUUUUCAAAAUUAUUGAAGACUAUCACCCUUUCCAUUCUCUUUUAUCUGCUAACUGAUUAUCUAUUGUCUUCUAUGACUUUCAGACCUUUUAUCACAAGUACCAUCUUUCAUGUCAUAUCCCCACAAUCCCAUUAUUUCUUCUAGAUUUUUCCCAUCUCUCCUCUCUCCGUCUAGAUUUUUCCCAUCACUCUUUUAACUCUUUGUUACUAUCUUCCUCUCGCCUAUAGUUAGCCUAUAGUUUUCUAUCAUUGCCACCCAAUUUCCUAUUAUUUUCCCUUCACCAUUCUCCCAAACCCUUUAAAUCCAUAAUUAGUUUUUUUAGGCUAGUAGUGUUUUGUUUUUUAUUCAGUGAUUUCAUAAUUUAGGAUUCACAAAUAGUACCAUUAUUGAUAUUUUAAAUCCAUGAUCAAUGAAUAUUAUUUUCUUUUUGUUUUCUAUAUAAUUUGCCCUUUCAAUUAGAAUUACUAAUUUGAAGGGCAAAAUAUUAUUAUUUACUUUUUUACUUUUAGUAGGGUUGGUGAUUUUUCUUUUUUAUUUACCUUCACAUUAAUAGAUUUCAAAUCAAAUUCCUAUAUAAGUGAUUAAGUGGGCCACUUCUUACUUUUAAAUUCAAAAAACAUGAAAAUAUAUAUAACAAUUUAAAAAAUUCAAAAUUCUAUAUAUAAAAAAAAGGGAAUGAGGAGUUACAAAUAUUCUAAUUUAACCAUCCUAAAAAGCCUACCUACAAUACAUAUAAACAUAGAUAUAGACAUAGAUGACUUAAAAUUUUGAAUUUGUUUAGUCAAAUUUUAGAUUCAUCCAAGAUCGUCUCUUCCGGACAAAAUGGUCACAUGAUUCCGUACAGUCUUGCGUUAAAUUUCUGCUCUAUCAUCCAACGAGUAGUUGGUUCGCGUUCAAUCAAAUGGUUUGUUUUGACUGAUGGUCCAAAAUCUAUGGGAUAUGCCAAAAAUUUAGUCAUUUUUCCUUUUUUCCAACAAACGACCAAAAAUUUAGUCAGGUAUGGGCGCUUUACUCCUUUAGUUAGAUGUAGUUGUCAAAUUGGACAUUGCUACGAAAUAAUUAAAUAUUAUGGAUGUAUAUCAUAUUUAUCUCAUUUUCUAAAUAGUGACAAGUUUUUCACAUUUUUCAGAGUAUCAUGACUUUUGAGGUGACAGAGACGGUACGACUUUCGAUAAAAUUAUCACCACUUUUGAUAAAAUUGACACGAUCGUCAGCAAAACUAUGAUGACUUACAAGAAGAUGUUAUUACCAUCUUGAAAAUGUUUUUGAUGUACUUUAAAUUCCCUUGUAAAUAAGGGUAAAUCCUCUAGUAUCAAAGUAAUAGAAAAUAGAAAUUUCAUAAGAAUAGUUCUUUUCUUACUUUUUUUUAUCUCCUGAACUCUUUAAUUUUUUUUAUUUUUCUUAACAUACUAUUCACAUCAUAAAUAAUUCAAAUCUAUAUCUAUAUAAAUUUGAGAAGGGAUUUUUAGCAACAAGCAUCCAUACAUCUUCCCACUAUCAAUUUCAUUUUUCUAGCAUUUCAUAUUUAAUUUAAUUUAUAAAAUAUUUUCCUCUUAACUUCCACGUCUACUCUUCACAUUUGAAAUUGUUAGUUGCUUUUUAAAAUCAUUCCAUUUCAAAUUGUUGGUUAAUGUACAUGUUAUCCUAUUUGAACUUCAACCCAUCACGUUUCCAAUUACCUUACAUUAUUUAUGAUUCUACUCCAAUUAAAACUUCUAUAAGACUAUAACAAGAGAUAACAAAUAUAACAUCCUUUCAUGCUUUCUUAUUAAUUUAAAUAAGUAAGAUUAUUUACACUCUAUUUUUGUUAUGCACACUUCAAUAAUCAUUUUGAUCAUAUAAUUUUCAUUAAUUAGACUAUAUGAUAAAACAAAUGGUGGAAUUGCAAAUAAUAAAAAAUGAAUUGCAAAUAACGUUUUCCUAAAUAAUAAAAAAUGGAGUGCAAAUAACAUUUUUUAAGUAAGAAGUGGCUUCCGUGCCUUUCUAAUUUAAAUAAGUAAGGAGUGGCUCCACUUACAUAGUAAUUUGGUUUGAAGUUUAUUAGUGGGAGGGUAAAUAAAGAGAAAACAUUGCCAAACUUAGUAAACGUAAAAAAAUAAAUGAUAAUAUUUUAUCUUUUAACUUAGUAAUCCUAAGUAAAAGAACAAAAUUAAAUAGAAAACAAAAAGGAAAUAAUGUCGUGGAUUUAAAAAAUCAAGAAUGGUACCAUUCAUUGAAAUCUAAAUUAUGAAAUCACUAAAUAAAAAAAAAAAAGUACUACUGACCUUUUAACAUGGAAUUUGUUUUUUGAAAUAUUCAUUUUUGAUAAAAAAUAAUGAUAACAACAACACCAAUCCUACCAAAAAAAUUUUAAAAAGUAAUAUUAUAGUUUAAGAGAAAAAUAUAGAACAUUCGACCCUAAAAUACUACUUAAUUUGUAUAUAUUUGAUCCAAGUUUGACCCUGAUUAGAUUUGAAUAAGAGUGCAUAACCCAAACACUAAGGAUAACUUUUGAUAUCAUUAAUUAUUUUAUAUAUUCUUAUUACUGUCUUCAUAUGUAAAUAAUAAUAGAGAUGACAAAGAUGAAAAAAUAAUAAUAAUAGAGAGAGUGGUACCAUGAUAGAAGAUACGAAAGUCGUAGGAGGCCUCUGAUGACUAGCUAACGGAUAAGAGAAGAGGGAAAUAAUAGUGAUUUUUAAUAAUUUUGAGAAUUCUAAAAACAUAUAUUACAGAGAUUUUUUUUAAAUAUACGUUAAAGUUUAUGAAAAAUGCUAAUCUAAAUGCAGUCAACAAUUUUAGCGAUACAAGAUAGGAGAAAGUUUUUUUUUCUAAAAAUGGAAGAAAAUAAAUUGGUUAUAAUUUUUUUUAUUAUAAGUUUUGAUAUAUGGGUAUAAGAUAAUAUGUUUUGUCGGAUGCUGAUAAAUUGAUUUUUUUUUUUAGAAAACUCUUUUCACCUUACCACCCAAUCUAACCCUUUCCUUAAAUGAGUUAACAAUUCCUCUAUCAUGUAAAUCAUUAUAAAUUAAAAUUUUUUUAACAUGUUAAGCAUACACUUCUUUAAAAUUUUUAGUCUAUAUAUAUAUAAAUAUAUAUAAUAUUAUUUUGAUUUGAAAUAUAAUCAUAGCACGGGUCAAAAUACUAGUUAGUCUUAAUUCUAUAACAGACAUUCUUUCUUUCUUUCUUUUUGUCAAAUUGGACAUUCACUGGCCUCGAUUGCGUCUACUCUCCAGUUUGGAAAUGGGGCAGGGACGGUCAGUAUGACCGUCCUGAACGGUUAAUGGCCAUGAUCUGACCUCAAAAAUUUGUGUGAUUGAAAUCACAAGUUGUAACUCGAUUUCCACGUCAUGUAUGGAACCUACAAAAAUUUGCUUUAAAGUUAUGCGAUGUGUAAAAAAAUUACGCGAUGUACAAAGAAUGUUACGCGCAAUUGAAAAUAUGCAAAAUCGUCAAGUUUCAUCCCCUCGGGCAAAGAACGGACAAGCGGGCGACUAAUCCGAAAACCACGUCAGUGACAAAGGAUCGACAAAUGGUAGGAGCUGUCCUAAUAGAGCGUCGCAUCCGCUGAAGGAUUGGGCUCUUUGCGACCGUUUGCGUGUCGUAGUUGUGGGUCCCGCAACAAACUUUUCUCCAAAAUCCUUUUUUUUUCGUCGGUACGAAAGAUAAUAUAUUAAAUUAAACAGAUUUUCUAGAACUAAAUUCAAUUAAAUUAAUCAUUACGCUGCAUUAAAUUAAACAAAGGAUUGGGCUCUUCACAACCGUUUGCGUGUCGUAGUUGUGGAUCUCGCGAUAGAUUCUUCCCCAACAUCAUUUUUUGUCGGUAUGAAAGAUAAUCAUUACAUUAAAUUAAAUAGAGUUUCUAAAACUAAAUUAAAUUAAAUAGAUCACUAGUAUUUUGCCCGUGCCUUAACACAAUCUUUUUUUAUUUAUUGCAAAUUUAUAUAAAUAUAAAUAAUAUAAAUACAAAAAUUAACCACAAUCUUACAUGUUCAUAUAAAUAUUAACUUUAAAACAUUAAUGUAUUCUAAAUUUUCAAUUGUUCACUAAUUUUUAAAAAUGUGUUUACAUAUUUUCACUAUAAUACGAUAUUAUAUAUCAAAUCAUGUACCACAUAUCAAAAACUUGGUAGAUAUUCUUUCUUUUUAUCAAUAUUCUUUUAGAUAAUAUAAAUUUUUAUAAUGACCAUAAAUCUAAAACUAUAUAUUCAUAUUUCAUUAAGUAGAAAAAUCCCGCAGUUCAUUUUUCUCGAUUAAUAAAUAUUUAGUUUUCAACAAUAUUGGUAAAUUUAUCGGUGUAAUAGUUAAUUCUUUUUUUUAAGUAAGUUAAUUCAAAAUUAAGGGAAUAGAUGAUGAACAAUUUGAAUACUAAUCAACAGUACGGCUGUAAAAGAAAGUAAUUUGGGAUAUGUAAGAUUUCAAUAAUUAUGAUUAAGAAAGUAAUUUGAGAUAUAUAAAAUUUCAAUAAUUGUGAUUUGAGGUUUUACUCUAACUCUAAAUGUAAUAAUUUGAUAGAAAGUAAAAUCAUUAAGAUAAGGUUGGUUGUUUUUAAAACAAUAUCUUUAAGAUAAAAUUAGUUAUUUUUUAAAGUUAUUUUAAAAUUAGAGAUAAUUUUUAAAUAUAUAAUAUAAUCUAAUUAGAAUUUAAUGUAUAUAAAACUCAAAUGACCUAUAACUCGUUAAUUCUUUUCAAUUAAACAUGCCAUAUCGGAGUGAGAAAUAAUUCUAAUUAAAAUAAUUAUUUUCAUAUAUAUAUAUAUAUAUAUAUAUAUAUAUAUAUUACAUUACCGUAAAUUAAACAAAGGAUUGGGCGCUUCAUAAUCGUUUGCGCAUCGUAGUUGUGGGUCUAGCAAUAGAAUUUUCCCCAAAAUCAUUUUUUUUUAUCGGUAUGAAAGAUAACCAUUACAUAUCUAGAACUAAAUUGAGUUAAUUAAUCAUUACAGUACAUUAUAAAUUAAACAAAGGAUUGGGCUGCUCGUAACCAUUGACGUGUGGUCGUUAUGGGUCCCGCAAUAGAUUUUUGCACCUGAUUCUUUCGUUGUUUUAUCGGUAUGGUGCAAACGAGCUGAGUCGAAUCGAGUUUUGACCUAAUCAAACCGAGCCUCCAGUUAAUUUUGUGAAACUCGAACUCGAGCUUGAACUCGACUCAAAUUCGAGUCGAGCUCGAGCUUAAAAAAUAAAAUAAUAAUAAUAAUAAAUUUAUUUUAAAAAUGAAUAAAAUAAUAAUUUUUUAACAAAUAAUAAAAUAUUAGGAAUAUAUGUGUAAUUUUACUAUUAAAAUAAAAAAUAAGAAAUAAAUAUAUAAUUGAGCUCGCGAGCCAACCAGCCUAAUGUUUUUGAACUCAAACUCGAGCUCGAACUCGAUUUAAUUAGUUCGAGCUCACAAGUGAUUCGAUUCGUGAAUAUCCCUAGGUAUGAAUGAUAAUCAUUACAUUAAAUUAAGCAGAGUUUCUAAAAAUAUCUUUGCAAUCGUUGAUGAAAGAUAAUCAUUACAUUAAAUAAAACAGACUUUCCAGAGAAGUCCUUGCAAACGUUUUCAACAAAUUUAAGAAAUGCUCAUAGGCUCACAAGGAAACAAGAGCUUCUUUCAACCGUCAGCUUUCCUAAACACGUGCUUAAGACUAGUUGUUGGAAAGCUGUGCAAGAUGCUCUUGCAAUCAUCUUGACAAUCCUGCCAAUCCCUUCCUGCCAUGUUGCCCUCUUCCUUCAAAUCAUAUAAUACAAAGGGAUAAUUGCAAAAACCUCCCCUGAGAUUUCUAACACUUGCACUGACCUUCCCUGUGGUUUGAAAAAUUGCACUGACCUCCCCUAAACUUACCAAUUCUUUGCAAAUUCAGUCCAAACGAUUAAAAUAUUGUUUUAGGGAGUGAAAUUAGAAUUUUAUAUCAGAUUUGCCCUUUGUGCUACAUGUCCAAUAAAUGACAAAAUACUACAAAUCAAUUAAUAAUUAAUAAACUUUAAGGGAUAUAGUUUAUAGGCAAAUAUGCAUUACCCAUUUAAAGUACCGUUUCUUUAUGGAUAUUUUACUUUCAAAUAUUUAAUUUAUGAUAAAUAUAUCAAUGUUUGAAAGUAAAAUAUAAAAAGUGUUACAGUAAUAUUCUUACAAAAAAAAAUCGAUAUUUUAAGAAUAGUGGUUUAAUUGUGAUGUUUUGUACUUUUCUUUUUAAUUUUACUAUAAUAAAUUUAAAUUUUAAAUUUGAAUAGUAAUAUGCAUGUGAUUAGAAAUAAAGGUUAUAUUAAAAAAAAGAUUAAAAUGUACUUUGACUUUUGCAAUAUGAUAAAUAUUUUAAUAUAUUUUAAAAUAAAAAAUCUGACACUUUCAAUGGGACGAAAGGAGUAUAAAUUAUAUUACAAAAGCGAUGCCAUAUUAUAUCGUAUGAUUGAUUGUCUUAAUCACGAAACGAUACUUAAAAGAAAUGUUGUUUUCGUAAUUUGCCAGCCUGGAUUAGAACAACUAAAGCGGCAAAAUUUAGUGCGGUAAAUUAUGACUAUCCCCAGCGUCGUGCCCAUCAAAAUCAAAUUGUGCGGUGUGGCCAAGAGAAUUUUUUAUUCUUUUAUUUGUUUAUAUCAACAUGCCGGAAUCCCGUACACAAUAUUGCUUUGGUAUUUGUGGGGAAAGAGAGAAGAAAAAACAAUAAUGUCAGCGUUUUUGGAGCAGCACAUGCGUUGUCUGGUGCCCUCCAGAAUUGAGCUACGUGUCGUGCUUAAAUGGCACCAGAUUGACGUUCCUAGGGUGGGAAAGCCCAUACCAUUCUUACCAUAUACAAUUCCAUGAUAAAGAGGGUCAGGUCAUAGAAAAAUCCACUCCAUCCGUUGAUAUUGCCAUUCUUUGUUGGAUUGUUCCAAAUUAUUUGUGAUUUAUAUAAAUUAGAUGAUAUAUUUCUAUUUAAUUUCUCCAUUUAGUCAUUUACUCCUGAGACACUCCGUAAAAGUUUAAUGCAUGAGUCUUUUUAUGAGUUCAUAUACUAUUAUCAAGGAAACUAAAACAACAAUUUUUGUAGUACGUAACAGUUAUUAAAUACUUGAGAUCACAACAAUCUAAGACUUGGUAGAACUUUCAAAUAUCUAAGAUUCUGUUGUUUUUCAAAACCCAGGGUUGAACAAAUAUCAUGGCCCCACAAUUCUUUAAGAGCUAGACACUACACAUGAAGUUUCAAAUUCUAUCCACUAUUAAUAAAAAUUGCAAUUUUUGAAGUGCAACAAACUUUAUAAGAUGAAAGGAAGGAGUAAUACUUACCGUGUAUAUAUAUAUAUAUAUAUAUUGUUUCUUGGCUUGAUUUGUCCCUGUAAAUAAGAUCAUUGUAUUGAUUUAGUGAAGAAAAACAAUUAGUCGAAACUCAAGCUGCAACUAUUAUAAAAUCCUCAAUAAUUAUAAUAGUGUCAAGAAAGACACCACUUAAAAUGUUGUUUAUUAGGACACUUACAAUAUUACAAUGUAGUGAAACUCAGCUAGAAGGUAAAAUUACAAUAUGACGGUAAAUUGCUGUAUCAUAAAUACACUUCUAAAAUUAGCCCCUGCGGAGGAAGCGGGGCGGGGCGGGGGGAGUGGGGGAUGGGGGACAGGGCGGGGCGGGGGCGGGGGAAUUUGUGGGUCCCCCGGCCCACCCCGCCCCGUUGUCAUCCCUAAGUUUAAGCUGAACUCCACCACAACGCCUCUCUUUAAGAGAUCAAAUAUUAUAUGGAAUUUUUUUUCCAGCAACAAUUUGGCAUAAAAAUGCUUUCAGAUAACAAUUUAGCAUAUAAAUGCAUGGUCGGCAAGAUUACAUAUAUAAAUUCGUAUGUAAAUAGUAUAUACACUAGUAUUUAUAUUUGAAUUCAAAACAAUACUUAUAUAGUAUAGUAUAGAAUAAAGUAUAUGAAAAAGGCAAAAAAGAUUUAUAAAAGUGUAUGUUUAACAUGUUAAAAAAAAUUUAUUUCGUAAAUACAAAAUGGACUUUCUUAAUUUUAAUAUCUUAAAUAAGUUGAAACCAAAUUUUGUUAACCUAUUGUUUUGUCAAUAUAUGAUAACAAUUUGAAUAAAAUAAUUUAAUUUAUAACCAUUUACAUAAUAGAGCAAUUGUAAACUUAUUUAUCAAUAUAUCAUGUUAUACCUAUAUAUCAAAAUUUUUAACAUUAAAAAUAUAAAGUAUAAUUAAUUCAUUUUCCUCAAUUUUAGAAAAUUAUUUCUCCCAUCUUGUAAUCCUAAAAUUGUUGAGUGCUCAUAGAAUAAUAUUCUUCAUAAACUUUAAUAUAGAUUUAAAAUAAUCUUAGUAAGCUGUAUUUUUAAAAUUUUCAAAAUUAUUAAAGACUAUCAUCCUUUCCAUUCUCUUUUACCUGCUAACUAGCUAUUUGCUGCAUUCUAUGACUUUCAGAUCUUUUAUCGCGGUGCCAUACUUCCUGUCAUAUCCCCACAAUCCCAUUCUUUCUUCUCCCCACUCUUCGUGCAAUGUUGUAAUAGUUCACUUUCCUUUUUUGAUUUUUCCUACCACUCUUUAACUCUUCGUUAUUGUUUUUCCCUCGUCUAUAGCUAGUAUCUACUUUUUUAUCAUUGCCACCCAAUUUCCUAUUAUUUGCCCUUCACCAAUCUCCCAAACCCUUUAAAUCCAUAAUUUGUUUUUUUAGGCUAGUAGUACUUUGUUUUUUAUUCAAUGAUUUCAUAAUUUAAGAUUCACUAAUGGUACCAUUAUUGAUAUUUUAAAUCCAUGACCAAUGACUAUUAUUUUCUUUUUGUUUUCUAUAUAAUUUGCCCUUUUAGUUAGGAUUACUAAGUUGAAGGGUAAAAUAUUGUUAUUUAAUUUUUUACUUUUAGUAGGGUUGGUGAUUUUUCCUCUUUAUUAACCCUCAUUAAUAGACUUCAAAUCAAAUACCUAUAUAAGGGGGUCACUUCUUACUUUUAAAUUCAAAAGACAUGAAUGGAUAUAUAACAAUUUAAAAAAUUCAAAAUUCUAUUAAAAAAAAGAAUGAGGAGUUGUAAGUACUCUGAUUUAACCAUUUUAAAAUCCCACUCUGCAAUACAUAUAGACAUAGAUAUUUAAAAGUUACAGAACUAAAAAUAUGGAAAAAUUUACUUUACAUUUCAAAGAUUGUGCUAUAUUUAUACGAAUUUUAAACUUACUUUGUGUAUGAUACAUUACAUUUAUUAAAAUUUUAUUACUUAAAUUUAUUAUAAUGUGUAUGAUACAUUAUUAUUAAAUUUACUUAAAUUUUGUGUAUGAUACAUUAAAUAUAUUAAAAUUUUAUUAUUUUGUUACUUAAAUAUGUAUAAUUUUCUAGUUAUUUAUGAUGUACACUGCUCUUAUUUUGUAUAUAAUUCAAAAGUAUGUCAUUAUCCUUAUUCAAAUUUUAAAUUUUUUCAAAAAUUGAAAUAUAAUUCAUGAAGUAUAAUACGUUAAAAGUUUAUUACAUGCUUUAUACGGUGAAUUGAAAGGUACAAGUGUUUUUUAGAAUAAUUUUAAAAUAAUAUAUAUGAACAUGUAUUAUAUAGGUAUAAUAUGAGUAUUUAUUAACUAUACUUAAGAAUGAUGUCCAUUAUGAUUAUAAUAUGAGAAGGGUAUGUUUAGUGUAUAUUUGGUUAUCCUGACGUACAAUACUAACUUUUAUUCAUCUAAAAAUACCCUUGGUUCGUCCACUUGUUCUUUGCAAUGCUAAAGUCAGAGAAGCAAUUUUCACGGGAAUCGUGAGUUUCGGAACAAUUGAACACAAUUUUGUAUGUUUGGAUACAGAAUAAUGCCAUUUACUCUUUGUUCUUUUUUACCGCAUAGUAUAAAAGUUCUAUGGUUCCAUCUGCAUAAGAAGGCAAAACGGUGAAGAGAACAUUCGAUAAAUUAAGCCAAAACUGUUUAGGUGCAAAAAUACAAUUUAAAAACAUCUAGGGGGUGCAAUGUUUUGUUGCUCGUAUUCUUUCCUUGAAUUUAUAAAUAAUUAUCUAGCUUCCUAUUUAUCUUUUUUAAUAGGGGAAAAUGUUAAGCUUUGUAUUUGCAUGAUUGGUUUUUUAUUUUACCAUAUACACCUGACUGUGAAAUUUGAAAUGUGAGUUGGAACUUUGUAUGUCCAAAUGAAGCUUUUAUUAAUUUGUCCUUCGUACCAAGUAGUUGGUCAUGUCUAACAUAAAAUUUUUCAUUAAGCGAGUACUUGCAAAUAAAUUAGAGAUAUAGUAAUUCUAAUCGGAUAAUAUUCUAAAUACUCUUUGCAUCCCCAGUAUUCGAAUAGGAUAAUAUUUCUCAAAAUAUUGUUAAAAAAAUUUUAAAAGAAAAUUGGAAAAAUAAGGGAGGUGGUGGAUCUUUUCUUCAUUUAGGGGUGCCGAUUUUGGCAAAAUCAACAAAAAUCGGCACCGCUUACAUGCAGCUACUAAACACCUUUCUUUAUUAUUUUUUUUUGAACUUUUUUAGAAAAAUUUUGGAAACUAAGGGCCGCAUGUACUGCAUGCAGCCCCCUAUUUUACAAUAGCCCUAAUUCCUUAUCUUGAGGGUGUGAAAUCAUUAAUCUUUCAAAUGUCGACAAACCCUUGAUUAACUUUUUCAUUUAGCCAUAUGAGAAGGCACCAAUUUUCCUACAUUUUUAAUACACUAUUCACUAGCAUUCUGACCAUGCAAUACACUGAUUUAUAUUUCAAUUCAAAACAAUACUUAUAUAUUAUAGUAAAGGAUAAAGUAUAGGGAAAAUGGCCAAUUUAGUCCCUAAACUUUUUCGUCCUUAUAUAUUAUUUGUAGCCAAUUUGAUCCUUAAACUUAUAUUUCAGUUCCAAUCAAAGAACUCAGUGGCAGAGCCACCGUAUAAUUUCCUUCAAACUCCUAAUUGAGCAACCCAAAGGGGUAUUUUAGGGAUUUCGAUGGUGGGGUUGUAACAAAAAUUAACCGACAGAUAAGUUUUGUGAGAAAUAUCCAAAACCCAAAACAAAAACAAAAAAUUUUUCAAAGCUGCCAAGCGGUGCUGGUGGGGUUAUGCUGUUUUUGUAUCUGGGAGGAAAUGAUUUCCAAGGUGUUUACCACCUUAUCUGUCUGAUUUGUGUCCAAGCUUGGUGGAGUUGGUGUUGUCCUGCAAUAAUUUGUCAGGUAAUGUCCCUGAAAGCUUUGGUGCAUGCCCUGUUUUGGAACUAUUUGAUAGCUCAAACAAUAAAUUUUCUGGUGAAUUACCUGUUGAUACCCUUGUGACGAUGAGUAACUCGAAGAAUUUGUCCUUGUUAUUCAAUAUUUUCAUUGUUUCUUUGCAUGAAUCUUUGUCCAAGAUGGUCAGUUUGGAGACUUUGGAUGUGAGUUCUAACAAUCUAUCUGAGGUGAUUCAUUUGGGAUUUGUCAGGACCCCAGGAACAAUUUGCAAGUGUUGUAUCUUCAGAAUAAUUUGCACACCGGUUCAAUACCAAAGAGUUUGAGUAAUUGUUUCAAGUUGGAAUCCCUUGAUCUCAGUUUUAACUUCUUGACUAGGACAAUCCCAUCUAGCUUGGGAUCAUAUCUCAGCUUCGUGAUUUGAUUGCUUCGUUAAAUCAGCUUUAUGGAGAAAUCCCACAAGGGCUAAUGUACUUGCUUAGAGAAUCUGAUUCUUGAUUUCAAUGAUCUGAAUGGAUCAACCCCUGCUAGUCUCAACAAUUGUACGAAUUUGAAUUAGAUUUCACUCUGAAAUAACCAGUUGAGUGGUCAAAUCUUGUGAGUCUUGGAAUAUUCCUGCAGAAUUAGAGGAUUGCCGUAGCUUGCUUUGGUUGGAUCUUAAUACCAAUUUUCUUAAUGGGACUAUCCCUCCCAGUCUAUCCAAACAAGUUGGCAAUAUUGCUGCUGCACGGCUUACAGGGAAGUGGUAUGUGUACAUCAAGAAUGAUGGAAGCAAGCCGUGCCAUGGAGCAGGGAAUUUGCUAGAAUUUUAAGCAGUGCCAUGGAGCAUGGAAGCAACCCCACCAGCACCGCUUGGCAGCUUUGAAAAAUUUUUUGUUUUUGUUUUGAGUUUUGGGUAUUUCUCACAAAACUUAUCUGUUUGUUAAUUUAGCCCCAUCAUCGAAAUCCUUAAAAUACCCUUUUUGGGUUGCUCAAUUAGGAGUUUGAAGGAAAUUAUGCGGUGGCUCCGCCGCUGAGUUCCUUGAUUGGAACUGGAAUAUAAGUUUAAGGAUCAAAUUGGCUACAAAUAAUAUAUAAGGUCGAAAUCGACAAGAAAAAAAAAGUUUAGGGACUAAAUUGGCCAUUUUUCCCAAAGCAUAUGCAAAAGAGGAAAAAAAUUUCAAAGAAGUGUAUGCUUAACAUGUUUAAAACAAGUUUAUUUCGUAAAUACAAAAUGGACUUUCCUAAUUUUAAUAUCUUAAAUAAGUUGAAACCAAAUUUUGUUAACCUAUUGUUUUAUCAAUAUAUGAUAUCAAUAUAUAAUCAAUAUAGGAUAAUAUUUCUCAAAAUAUUGUUAAAAAAAAUUUUAAAAAAUCGGAAAAAUAAGGGAAGUGGUGGAUCUUUUCUUCAUUUAGUGGUGCCGAUUUUGGCAAAAUCAGCAAAUAUCGGCACCGCUUGCAUGCAGCUACUAAACACCUUUUUUAUUAUUUUUUUUGAACUUUUUUAGAAAUGUUAUUUUUUAAAAAAAAUUGGAAGUUAAGGGCCGCAUGUACUGCAUGAGCCCCCUAUUUUACAAUAGCCCCCCAUUUGUUGGAAAAAAUUGAAAAUAUGUGUAAGCGUUUGAAUGUGGUCAAAAAAUGUAGGUAUGUGAAACAUAUAUAUAUAUAUAUAUAUAUGUAUGUAUGUAUAUGUAUAUGCAUGAAAGGACAUGUAGCACUCAUGAUGUCGAUUCUGCAGAUGAAGAAAAGAUCCACUACUUUUCUUAUUUUUAUCAAUUUUUUUAACAAUAUUCUAAGAAAUUAGUCUAAUUCCUUAUCUUGAGGGUGUGAAAUCAUUAAUCUUUCAAAUGUCGACAAACCCUUGAUUAACUUCUUCAUUUAGCCAUUUGAGAAGGCACAACUUUUCCUACAUUCCAGCACGCUAUUCACUACCAUUCUGACCCGUGUAAGAUACGGAUUGUAUUUCAAUUCAAAACAAAACUUAUAUAUUAUAGUAUAAGAUAUAGUCUAUGAAAAAGGCAAAAAAAAAAAAAAAAAUCAAAGAAGUGCAUGUUUAACAUGUUAAAAAAAAUUUAUUUUGUAAAUACAAAACAGACUUUCUUAAUUUUAAUAUCUUAAAUAAGUUGAAACCAAUUUUUGUUAACCUAUUAUUUUGUCAAUAUAUGAUAACAAUUUGAAUAAAAUAAUUUAAUUUAUAAUGAUUUACAUGAUAGAGCCAUUGUAAACUUAUUUAUCAAUAUAUCAUGUUAAACCUAUUUAUCAAAAAUUUUAACUUAAAAAAAAUGAAGUAUAACUAAUUCAUUUUCCUCAAUUUUAGAAAAUUAUUUCUUCCAUCUUGUAAUCCUAAAAUUGUUGAGUGCUUAUAGAAUAAUAUUCUUCAUAAAGUUUAAUAUAGAUUUAAAAUAAUCUUUGUAAGAUGUAUUUGUAUAAUUUUCAAAAUUAUUAAAAACUAUCAUCCUUUUCAUCCUCUUUUACCUGCUAACUGACUAUCCGCUGCCUUCUAUGACUUUCAAACCUUUUAUCACAGUGUCAUUCUUUCUGUCAUAUUCCCACAAUUCCAUCCUUUCCUCUCCCCUUUCUUCUCCCAUCUUAUAAUAGUUCACCUUCUUUUUUCAAUUUUUUCCACCACUCUUUAACUCCUCGUUAUUAUCUUCCCUAGCAUAUAGCUAGCCUCUAGUUUUCUAUCAUUGCCACCCAAUUUCCUAUUAUUUUCCCUUCACCAUUCUCCCAAACCCUUUAAAUCCAUAAUUUGGUUUUUUAGACUAAUAGUACUUUGUUUUUAUUCAGUGAGUUCAUAAUUUAGGAUUCACAAAUAAUACCAUUAUUGAUAUUUUAAAUCCAAAACCAAUGAAUAUUAGUUUCCUUUUGUUUUCUAUAUAAUUUGCCCUUUUAGUUAGGAUUACUAAGGCUCCGUUUGAUAAAACUGAAUCUGAAUUCUGAAUUCUGAAUUCUGAAUGCUGAAUACUGAAACAAUUAAUUUGCUGAAUAUUAAGCACUGAAAAAAGAUAUAUGAAUAUCUGAAUCUUAAUGCUGAACAUAUUUAUACUGUUUGAUAAACAUUUAUAACUUAAUGCUUAAUAAGCUAAAUUGUACAAUUUUGCCCUUCUAUCUUUUAAUCCAAAAAGGAAAUGGAACCUAUGAUUUAAUUAGCUUAAAAUUGUUAGGUAUGAAAAUGACAAUAUUUAUUUUUAAAUCAAAGUAAUAUAAAAGAAUAAAUAUAUUAUGAAAAAGUCCAAAUAUCGGUGCAAAUAUUUUUUUAAAUCAGAGUUUGAUAAGAAAAGUCCAAAUAUAAGCAAAAGGAAGCUGCAAUAAACAAGUUUUAAAUUCAUACCAAAUUAUUUAGAAAUUUAAUUACUUCAAUGGAAAAAUGUUGAAGCAAAACAACAAAUAAUCAAUGUCACUUACCUUGGAAAUAAUGAAUUUGAGAUCGGUGAGUACGGUAGCAAUAAAAAAAAUUGGGAGGAAAAAAAUGACAAAAUUAUGAAAGAGUAGAAAGAUGGAAAAAAAAUAAGGAGUACACAGAUGUGAGGAGCAUGGAGAAAUUGUAAAAAAGUCAUUAAAUAGGGAAAAAAUAGAAGUAGAAAGCCAUUAGACAGAGAAUGGCAUGUUGUUUAAUUAGAUAAGGAUUUUGGAUAGAAAAUAUUAGGUUGUUUAAUUAGAUAAGGAUUUUGAAUGUAAUUAACAAACAAGGAUAGAUUUGGUAGAUAAAAUAAAGUAAUUGAAGUAAAUCUCUUGAUUCUUAUCAAAUUAAGCAUUCAGUUACGAUUCUUGUGCUGAAAAAAAUACAUACAAAUUCAGCACCACUUAAUAAGUUCAGCAGAAAAAUUUUUAUUUAUCAAACACCCAAAACAUCUGAAUGUCUGAAUGAAUUCAGUUUCAGCACUUUUUUAUGUUAUCAAACAGACACUAAGUUGAAAAGUAAAAUAUUAUUUUUUACUUUUUUACUUUUAGUAUGGUUGGUAAUUUUUCCUCUUUAUUUACCCUCACAUUGAUAGAUUUCAAAUCAAAUUCCUAUAUAAGUAGACCACUUCUUACUUUUAAAUUCAAAAGGCAUAAAAGAAUAAAUAACAAUUUAAAAUUCAAAAUUCUAUAUAUAAAAAAGAAAGAAUGAGGAGUUACAAACAUUCUGAUUUAACCAUCAUAAAAAUCCUCCCAACAAUACAUAUAGACACAGAUGACUUAAAAUUUUGAAUUUGUUUAGUCAAAUUUUAGAUUCAUCCAAAAUCAUCUCUUCCGGACAAAAUGGUCACAUGAUUCCGUCCAGCCUUGCGUUAAAUUUCUGCUUAAUCAUCCAACCAAUAGUUGUUUUGACUGGUUGUCCAAACGGUCUAAUUCUUUGGGAUAGUCUUUUUUUUUUUGUUGCAACAAACGACCAAAAGUUUAGUCAAGUAUGGGUGCUUUACUGCUUUAGUCAGACGUACUUGUCAAAUUGGAUAUUUCUACGAAAUAAUUAAAUAUUAUGAAUGUAUAUCACAUUUAUCUCAUCCUCUAAAUAGUAAUAAACUGUUCAGGGGUGGAUUUACACUGGGACACUGAGGGCCCCCUUAAAUUUCUAUAAUACCCAUUAAAAUUUGAUGUAAUUUUGAGUGUGCCCUCGAAGUUUUGUGUAUUCAUUAAUUUAUAUACUCCUAAAGUUGUUUUUUAUUUUACAUGUUAUUACAGCUACCAUAAAAAGAGAUUUUUCAGUUAUGAAUAUAGUGAAAAAUUGGUUACGAAAUAGAAUGGAAAACACUUGGAUGAAUGAUUGUUUAGUUACUUUUAUUGAGAAAAAUAUAUUUCGUGAAGUUCAAAAUGAAAAGAUUGUAAACCGUUAUCAAAAUAUAAAAACUCGUCAUGAACAAUCGUAAAUGGUUUAACUUGCUUUUUGAAAUAAAAUUAUUAUUACAUUAAUAUCUUUGAAUUCGUCUUUUUAUGUUUUUCAUGGAAUAUAUGCAUCAUUUGUACUUGUUGGUGAAAAUUUUUUUUCUUAAAAAACUAGAAAAAGAGAGUGUAAAAACUUUUAGAAUUAUUUUUGCCCCCGCUGAAAAUUUUUUCUGGCUCCGCCACUGAAACUGUUCACGUUUUUAAAGUUCAUGACUUUUAAGGUGAUAAAAAUUAUUUGACUUUUAAUAAAGCUAUCACGACUUUUAAUAAAAUUGGCAUGACUAUGAAUAAAACGAUGAGGACUUACAAGAUAAUGUUAUUACCAUUUUGAAGAUGUUUUUGAUGUACUUUGAAUUCCCUUGUAAAUAAGGAUAAACCCUCUUGUAUCAAAGUAAUAGAAAGUUAAAAUUUCAUAAGAAUAGUUCUUUUGUUACCUUUUUUGUCUCCUGAACUGUUUAAAUUUUUUUGUUUUUCUUAACAUACUAUUCACAUCAUAAAUAACUCAAAUCCUAUAUCAAAUUAGUCUUAAUUUUAUGAACAUUCUUUAUUUCUUUUUGUCAUAUUGAACAUUCCUGACAUUUUCUUACGAAAGUAAGAAUUCGACAAAUAAACCUAGAUUCCCGAGCAAUCUUCAAAAGUCGGCAACUUUUGAAGACGCUCAGGAGACUUAUCUACCCAAACCCAUCCCCCAAGACCGAUGUUGGACAUUCACUUGCCUCGAUUCCGUCUACUUUCAAGUUUCAAGUUUCAUCCCCUCGGCCAGAGAGCCUGACUAAUUUGUAACCACGUCAAUAACAAAGGGAUCGACAAAUGGUAGGUGCAGUCCUAACAGAGCGUCGUAUCCGCUGAAGGAUUAGGCUCAUCGUGAGUUUCCGUGUCGUAGUUGUGGGUCGCGCAGCAAACUUUUCUCGAAGAUCUGUUUUUUUUUCGUCGGUACGAAAGAUAAUACAUUAAAUUAAAUAGAGUUUCUAGAACUAAAUUCCAUUAAAUUAAUCAUUAUGUUACAUUAAAUUAAACAAAGGAUUGGGCUCUUCGCAACCGUUUGCGUGUCGUAGUUGUGAAGCUCGCAAGAGAUUCUUCCCCAACAUCAUUUUUUAUCGGUACGAAAGAUAAUCAUUACAUUAAAUUAAAUAGAGUUUCUAAAACUUAAUUAAAUUAAAUUCAUCACUAGAAUUUUGUACAUGCGUUAGCAUGAUCUUUUUUGAUUUAUUGCAAAUUUAUAUAAAUAUAAAUAAUUUAAAUACAAAAAAUAACAAAAAUCCUACAUGUUCAUCUAUAUUAACUUUAAAACAUUAAUGUGUUCUAAAUUUUCAAUUAUUUACGAACUUUUAAAAAUGUGUUAUUAUAUGAUAUUAUACAUCAAAUCAUGUACCUUAUAUCCAAAUUUUGGUAGAUAUUCUUUCUUUUUACAAAUAUUCUUUUUGAUAAUAUAGAUUUUUAUAAUGACCAUAAAUCUAGAACUAUAUAUUCAUAUUUAAUUAAGUAGAAAAAUCCAGCAGUUCAUUUUUCUCCAUCAAUAAAUAUUUAGUUUCCAACAAUAUUAGUAAAUCUGUCGGUAUAACAGGUAAUUCUUUUUUUUUUUUACACUAAGUUAAUUUAAAAUUAAGGGAAUAAAUGAUGAUCAAUCUGAAUACUAAUCAAAGAUACGGUUGUAAAAGAAAGUAAUUUGAGAUAUAUAAGAUUUCAAUAAUUGUGAUUAAAGAAGUAAUUUGGGAUAUGUAAAAUUUUAAUAAUUGUGAAUUGAGGUUUUACUAUAGUUCUAUAUGUAAUAAUUUGAUAGAAAGCAAAAUCAUUAAGAUAAGGUUGGUGUUUUUUAAAACAGUAUCUUUAAGAUAAGAUUAUUUAUUUUUCAAAGUUAUUUUAAAAUUAGAGAUAAUUUUUAAACUUAUAAUAUAAUCCAAUUAGAAUUUAAUAUGGGUAAAAUUCAAGUGACCCAUAAUUCAUUAAUUUUUUUCAAUUAAACAUGCCACGUAGGAAUGAGAAACAACUCUAAUUAAAAUAACUACUUUCAUAUAUAUAUAUAUACAUUACAUUACAUUAAAUUAAACAAAGGAUUGGACGCUUCAUAAUCGUUUGCGCGUCGUAGUUGUGGGUCUCGCAAUAGAAUUUUCCCCAAAAUCAUAUUUUUAUCGGUACGAAAGAUAAUAUCUACAACUAAAUUGAAUUAAUUAAUCAUUACAUUACAUUACGUGUGGUAGUUGUGGGUCCGCAAUAUCCUUGCAAUCUUUGAUGAAAGAUAAUCAUUACAUUAAAUUAAACAGACUUUUCUAGAGACGUCCUUGCAAUCGUUUUCAACAAAUUUAUAAAUGCUCAUAGGCUUACAAGAAAACAAGUCUUCUUUCAACCGUCAGCUUUCCUAAAGGACCUAAACACGUGCUUAAGACUAGUUGUUGCCUUGUUGGAAAGCUGUGGAAGAUGCUCUUGCAAUCAUCUUGACAAUCCUGCCAAUCCCAUCCCUUCAAGUCCAUAUUGCGCUCUUCCUUCAAAUCAUAUUAUACAAAUGCGAACACCACGUAGCGGUGCUGCGUGUGCCUUUGGCGGUUUACCCCAAAGUUGCUUUGAUAAAAUUUACGAAUGCACGGGCCUACUUUUUUAUUUUCCUAAUCUUUAUAAAAGCAAUCAUAAUUAAUGGAUAGCUGUGUUUGGAUAUAAAAUUAUUUGAAAUAUUAUUUGACUUGCGUUGUUAUGGAUACAUUUUUCAAUAAUUUUUUUAUAUUUUUUUUAUCUUUAUAUAUAUAUAUAUAUUCCAUUCAUUUCAAUUAUUUAGUCAUGUUUAGAGAAUCCAAUAUUUUAAGAAUAGUGAUUUAAUUGUGAUGUUUGUACUUUUCUUUUCAAAUUUACCAUGAUAAAUUUAAAUUUUAAAUUUGAAUAGUAACAUGCAUAUGGUCAGAAAGAAGGGUUAUAUUAAAAAAAAGACUAAAAUGUGCUUUAACUUCUGCAAUAUGAUAAAUAUUUUAAAACAUUUUAAAAUUAAAAGUAUGACACUUUCAAUGGAAUCGAAGGAGUAUAAAUUAUAUUACAAAAGCGAUGCCAUAUCUAUAUCUAUAUGUAUUGCAUAAGGGGUUUUUAGCAAGAAGCCUCUCAAUGACUUCCAAACUUCUCAUUCUUUUUUUCUAGAUUUUUGUAUUUAUUUUAAUACAUAAAAUCUAAUUAAAACUUUAAAAUAAUGGGUUAUAACUAAUCCUAUUACUAGUCAAAUUUAAAAUUUAAAACUUUCCCACUAUCUCCUUCAUAAACCGUUUAUAGUUUAUUAUUUAUACUUUAAGUCCUUUUUACUCCUUAAUUAAAUAAAAUACAUUUGUCAAGCCAAAAUUUUCAGGGAUAAUUGAUUAGUCUCAUUUUAAAAUUAUUUACCCUAUUAUAUCUUUAUCACUUUAGUCCCAUUUAUUCCUUCAUUAAAGAGGAUUAAUUUAUCUAGCCAAAUCCUCGAGAUAAUGUGAUUAGUCCUAUUUUUUUAGUUAUUCACCCAAUGAUUUCUUUAUCACUUUCCUUCUGGAUACAAUAAUCAUUUAUCAAAAUCUUCUAAUGAUAUAUUCAAUUACUCUUAUUUUUUAAUAAUUUAUGUUACAAUUACUAAAUCAAUUUUCUUGCAGUCUUAAACUUAUCCUUUUUUUUUUUUGUAUUUAGCAAGCUUAAGGCAAUUUAAUAGGUUUGAUUUUUAUAAUUUUCAUGUUGGAUUUUAUUCAAUAGGUUUGUAUUUUUAAAGUUUUAAAAUUUGAAUGUUGAAAUUAUACUCUAACAUUAAAUUUGAGUAUGAAAAUAACAAUUAUGACAUUUUAUUUGCACUUAGAAUAAAUUCAAUAUUAAUAUCGUGCAAGCAUCUAGAUGACUUUUCAUUUAGCACAUGUACACCAAAAAGUUCAUGUAAAGAAAAAUUUAUGUAUGAAUUUUAAAUUAAUAAAGGUGUAUUUAGAAGGUUGCUUUUGGUGGUAAUUUAGCAAAAUUUUGAUAAAAAGAUUGUAUUUCACCAAAUUUACAUCCGAAAGUUUACUUUUUCUCGAUGAUUGCAAUUCUAGCUUUUUAUUUGAUUAAAAACACUUAAAAAUGAGGCAGCAACUUGGAAAAAUAAUUCUAACUUUUUAUAUGUCCAAAAACACUUAAAAAGUGAGAUAAUGAAUCCUAAAUAAUGAAAGGAUUAAAAAGAUAGGACUGUAGAGUUAGGAAAGGUAAAUUUUAGGGAAGAGUUAUCAAAUUAGAUGAUUCAUGUGAGUUUGGGUACGUUAUAAUUAGGUUAACCUAUAUAUUCCUACUUAGUUAAUGGUUCAAAAUAGACGAGUCAUCAAUGAAUAUAGUUUUAUAUGAGUUUGAAUUAUCCAAUCACCCAUUCACAUCCCACUGCUAAAUUUUAUUUACUUUUUCAUCCACAUUUUGUUUAGCAACAAAAUAGUAAAUCAUAUCAACAUAUCAAGUCAAUAAAUCAAUUUUUACCUAAAGAAAGAGAAAAAAACAUAAAAAAUUGCUUAAAUUAGCCUAAAAUGGUAAUCCUAGUGAGUUUCAAAUUUUGUCACUUUACGACAAUCUAAAAAUAAUUUAGGUAUUAAUGCAAACAAUCAAUUAACAUUCACGAAAUUUAUUAAACUUUUAUGAAAGGAAUGGAGGAAGUAGGAUAAAUUUUAAAAAAAUAAAAUAAUAGAAAUUAAAGAAGAGGAAAACGAUGAAUACAUCUUUGCAAAUUUUAGAAUAUAAUUAUUAGAGUAAUUUAGAUUUACCCACUAAUGAUUGAUUUGAAUCUACGUCUAAUUUAAUUAAGUCAAAAUAAGUGAUCCAAAUCUGUCAAUUUCAUACCCACUAAUUAAUGAGUUAAUUUGGUCACCCAUUUGAAUCCAAUUAAAUUACAUACGCAAACUCAUUUGUUAAUAGGCGAACCAAGUAAAUAGGUUACCAUUUACAUUUAUAAAUAGAUGAAAAUAAUAGUAGAAUAGGAGACAAGUGACGUGUAAAACUGGGUAAGAGAUAGGAUCAUUGGGUGGGAGCGAGAUAGAGCAAAGGGAAAAUAGGAUUUGGUGAAACGAGAAAGGGUUGUAGAGAUACAAGAAAAUUGAGUAGGAAAUGAAGGAACGAAAAAAGGUUAUAAGGAUACGAGAAAGUUAGAUUCAGAAAGUGAAAAGAAGAGUAGGAGAAAUAUUGAAAAGAGAGGAGAUUGAGAGGUGAAAAAAGUGAUACGAAGGGAGAGAAUAUAAGAUAAAUGGAUAAUAAUGUCGUGUUUGACCAUAUUUUUCCGCCCGUGCAUAGCAUUGGUUAAAAUACUAGUUUUAUCGUAUGAUUGAUUGUCUUAAUCAUGAAACAAUACCUAAAAGAAAUGUUGAUUUCGUAAUUUGUCAGCCUGGAGUAGAACAACUUCUUUUUUUUUUUCCAACUAAAGCGGCAAAAUUUUAGUGGGGUAAAUUAUGACUAUCCCCAGCGUCGUGUCCAUCAAAAUCAAAUAUGAGGUGUGGCCGAAUAGAUUUUUUAUUCUUUUAUUUGUUUAUAUCAACUUGCUGGAAUCCCCGUACACAUAUUGCUUUGGUGUUUAUGGGGAAAGAGAGAAUAAAAAACAGUGUCAGAGUUUUGGGAGCACCACAUGCGUUGUCUUGUGCCGUCCAGAAUUAAGCUACGUGUCGUGCUUAAAUGGGACCAGAUUGACGUUCCUACGGUGGGAAGGCCCAUACCAUUCUUACUAUAUACAACUAGUAUGAAUAUCCGUGCUAGCACGGUACUGAUAUUAUUAAAAAAAAUAAAAAUAAUAUGAUAAAUAAAAAAAGAUUAAAAAAUUAUACCAACAUAAUUAAAAUGUAAUAUUUGUCUAACAAUAGUUUGAAAUAUGAUAGAAUGUGUAUAUCAUUUAAGAACUGCCUUUUUUCGAAAAAUAGAUCCUGAAAAAAUAAUAGAAAUUUAUAUUAGAAAAUGAAUGAUAUAUGAAUAAAAAUAAAUGUAGUUGAAUAUUGUUAAAAUGAAAUACUUACAAAUAUUAUGUAUUCGAUUUGAUAAUCUUGCAUGAAGGUGCGAACACUCUUCACACCAAUCAACUUUUAGUACGAAAGUCAAAAUUGGUGAUUUAAUUAAUUCUGUUGAAUUUUGUGGAGUGCGUACUACAAAUAAAAAUGAACGAUCUUUGCAUGAAUUGAUUGUUGGUUGAACAACCUAUCACCAUUUUCCUGAGAAUUAAGUACGUACGAAAUUCAAAAUUAGUGUAUUUUUUACAUAGUUUAUAAAUAGCAUUAUAAAAAAUAAAUAUAUAUCAAGAAAUUCUACUUUCCUUUGUAAUUUUCUGAGAUAAGAAACAUCACAAUCAAAUACGAAUCAUGCAUGUCUGUAUUGUAAAUUAAGAUGUAUGUUACCACUGGAAUCUCUGAUUUAUAUGUUAACAUUGUACCUAUUUGACAAAUAAAAUGUUAUAUACAAUACAAAAAAAUAUGUUGAAAUUAAAAGUACAUGAAUUAAUUAUCUAACAAUAGUGUCGACCACGUCAUUACAAUACAGACCAAAGUGACAAAGAAUUAGAUAAUGGCAAUCUUUUUGUGAUAAAAAACACUAACUCUUUUGGCCUAAAGGUACAGAAACUGUCAUCAUGACAAUAUCAAAUACUAUACAUAAUUAUCGAACUCCAAGAAUCCAAACUAAGCCGCAAACAAUUUGAAGGUGUAAAUUUUUAUCGUAACAAAUUUCUCAUAUCAAAUUCCAUCAUUUUUGUAUCUGGAGGGAACUUGGUUCCAUCAAAAGUCAAAUACCAAUACUUGUGCCAUAGGGAAAAGAUGACAUAAAAACAGUGAUGGACAUCUAUUACUCUGACCAUAAAAUAAAUUUUUAUGCUUACUGUUGCGUAAGUUGUUAUUAAAUCAUGAGAAAAUAAGUCUAAAAUGAUGACCUAUUACCUAACAUUUCACUUCUAUUUAAAGACGAAAGACAAUAAUAGCAAUAAUCAAUCGAAAAUAUUACAUUAUUGGGAAUAAUAUUUAAAAAAAUAAUGGAAAUGCAAAUGUUUAAAGAAUAAACAAUACCAGAAUUUCUAAUUUGAUGCGAACGAUGUUUUAAUCGGUGUAGUUGAGAUUUUGUCCUUCGAAUUUGAUGUGAAAUUUCUCUUUAGUCAACGCAAAGUUGCUAAAACUUUUCGAACUGCCAUGUGGAAUUGUUGCAGUGUACAUUUCGUUUUCUAAUCAAAUGUUUCCUCCUUGGCAAUCUUGCGAGUUUGAAAUUUAGAUGUCGUUGAAAUGCUUGUAGGCGGACAUGUUCCAUAGUGAAAUUAGGUUAAGGCUAAGAUGGAUACCAUAAAAAGGUUGAAGGAGAUAAUAAGUUCUUGGGAAAAAUGCAAGAAAGUUCUCUUAAUUGGAGUGAGUAUGCAAGAAAGUUGAAUGAGGAUAUUAUGUUUUGGAGGACUUUUAAUUGGAGUGAAAUUCUUAAAUUGGAGGACUCUUAAUUGGAGUGGGAAAGUGGGAAAAAUGUAGGAAAAACUUGAGCAUGAUUAUAGGAUUUUUAGGAGCAGUUAUAGGAUUAGUUAAGAGAUAAACAUUUCUCCAAUUGGAAGACUCUUAAUUGGAGUGAGAAACGUGGGGGAAAUGUGGGGAAAAUGUGAGCAUGAUUAUAGGAUUUGUAGUAUACUCAAUAACUUGAUAAUAUACUCAAAUCACCGAUGAGAUAAAGUUUGCCUGAAUAAGCUUUACAAUGUCCUAAUUCCUUGUAAAAAAAAACGCUAAAUAGUCCUAAUAGUCAUUGCAAGUUACGGUAACGUGCCAGUGGCAUCUAGUCCUAAUUUUUUUUGGGGGUCAAAAUUUAGUCCUAAUUGGUUCUGCUGUUUCUUGAUCAUGUUGUAUGCUUCCGAAUUCUACUUAGCGUGUAAUAAUUGAUAAUGGCUUAUUAUAUUCUUUCAUGGUAUUGGACAAACAAAAACUACACCAGAAAUGUGGUAAAUUUACUAUAAACUCCUAAUAUUAUCUCCCCUAAUUUUUGCAUAUUUUUAAAAAAAUUUAAACUUUUGUCAACAAUAGACUGGUCACGCAAAUAAAAAAAAAAAGGUCUGGUCAUACAUCUCAUUCUUUGCCCUAAAGAACUCAAAUUAGCAAAUUUCUUAGAAUAAUGGUGAAAAAAAUCAUAACAAUGGAGGAACCUGGGUUUAUUUUUUUUUGGGAUCUGAAACAACCCUAUUCAUUUUUAAAAAAUAAAUAAAUUGGCCAUCUUACGUUCAUUAAGAAAGGGAAAAUUUUUUGGUCACUGCACAUGGAUGUCAGGCCUUCCUAAAGGGAAAAAAAAACAAUUGUUCCGUUCUUGCGAUUUUUUAUAGGGUUAAAUAUAGUAAACCCCUUAACUUUACAUUUAGUCACACUUUACCCCCUCAACUUUACAUUUAGUUGCACAUUUGUGAUUUUUUUGAAACGUGAUUGUAAUUUGCAAAGCUCAUUUGUAGGGGUGGUUAUAGGAUUAGUUUAGUGAUAAAUAUUUCUUAAUUAUAAAUAUGUAAAAUUGUAUUAAAAUAGCAUACGAAUGAGCAUUUGUCUUUAAUUAAGGAGUAAAAAGGAUUUAAAGAAUAAAAAAUAAACUAUAAACGGUUUAUGAAGUAGAUAGUAGGAAAGUUUUAAAUUUUAAAUUUGACUGGUGAUAGGUUUGGUUAUAACCCACUACUUUUUAUGUAUUAAAAUAAAUACAAAAAUCUAAAAAAAAGAAUGGGAAGUUUGGAAGCCAUUGAGAGGCUCUCUUUUAAAAACCCACUCUGCAAUACAUAUAGAUUCCAUGAUAAAGAGGGCCAGGACAUAGAAAAUCCCCCUCCAUACCAUUGUUAUUGCCAUUCUUUCUUUGUUGGAUUGUUCCGAAUUAUUUGUCAUUUAUAUAAAUUAGUUGUUAUAUUUCUAUUUAAUUUCUUCAUUUAGUCAUUUACUUCUCAGACACUCCGUAAAAGUUCAGUGCAUGUAUCUUUUUAUGAGUCCGAAACUAAAGCAACAACUUUUGUAGUAUAACAGUUAUCAAAUAAUUAAGACCACAACAAUCUAAAAUUUGGUAAAACUUUCAAAUAUCUAAAAGAUUUUCAACAAAACCUAGGAUUGAACAAAUAUCAUGGUCCCGCAAUUAUUUAUGAGCUACAAACUACACAUCAAGUUUCAAAUUCUAUCCACUAUUAAUAAAAAUUGCAAUUCUUGAAGUGCGACAAACUUUACAAGAUGGAAGGAAGGAGUAAUACUUAUCGUGCAUAUGCGCGCGCGCGCACACACACACAUAUAUAUUGUUUCUUGGCUUGAUUUGUCCUCGUAAAUAAGAUCAUUGUAUUGAUUUAGUGAAGAAAAACAAUUAGUCGAAGCUCAAACUGCAACUAUUAUAAAAUCUUCAACAAUUACAAUAGUGUCAAGAAAGACACCACUUUAAAUGUUAUUAUUAGGAUACUUGCAAUAUUACAAUGUAGUGAAACUCAGCUGGAAGGUAAAAUUACAAUAUGACAGUAAAUUACUGCAACAUAAAUACGCUUAUGAAAGUACAAGCUUUAUUCGUGCAUGCCCGGUUUAAAAUCUAUUUGUUCUCUGAAAUCUCAAUAUGCAAUCCCUUGGGGAAACGAAUACCAGUAGGUGUCCGGAUUCUCUCUGCUCCGUUGAUAACUCUCCAGCUGAAAAUUCAAAUUAGACGAGCUUUUUGAUCAGUUAUCACUUUCUUCUUGCAAUCAUGCAUAUUAAAAAACCGAAGAAGUUAAGUGGACAUCAAUUUAUAAUAUAUUGGAAUUAGCUUCUUCUAUAUGUAUUUAAGCGAAGAUGGUGGGAAUUGUGAUUUGGAAAUCCUUACGUGUAUUUUGUGACCAAGUAAUGCAGAAAAAUUGACAUCUGCACCUUUGCAUAGUCAGCACCAACACAAAGCCUCGUACCACCAGCAAAUGCCAUGAAACUUUUGGAUCCCGCAUGUAAUUCUUUGCCCUUUUGAUUGAAAAAAAACAGCAGAAAAAACCUGAAUUAUUUUUACUUGAUUUUAUUUAACUUUUGUUCUGUAAGUUUAUGUUUCUUGUGCGUAAAUUACUCAAAUUUGUCGAUGAUCAAAUUACCUCCCAUCGCCAUGGGUUAAAUUCAAGGGGGUCUUCAUAUAGAUUAGGAUCCAAAUGAACAGAUGGUGGACAAACCAUUAUCGUCCAGCCAGCAGGAAUUGUAUAACCUACAAAUCAUUCGCACUUGUUAGUCGAAACUGUAAGUUAUAAUGGAGGAAAAGAAGAACAGAGGAAGCAAAUCAUUUAUUUUCUGUAUAUUUACUCCCAUGAAAAAAUGCCCAACCCAAGUAGUUACUAAAGAGAGUUUUUCUUUUUUUUUUUCUUUUUUCUGCAGGAGAAAGGCAUCAUCGGUCCAAAAUAAAGAAAGUGUGACAAAUGAUUUUCAAGAAGAUGCCAAGUGACAUAUUGAAUUAUACCUUUUACUUCAACUUCCUUGACAACUUUGCGCAAAAUCCCAGGGGCAAUAUUUGCAAGCCUAACUGUUUCAUUUAUAACCUACAGCAGACAACAAAACUUAAGAUGUAAAUGGUCUAGCUCACUAUAUGAUUCAAAUGAUAGAUACAAUGAAAUGUCUGGUUAAUUGAAACAUACCAUGUGCGUGAAAGUCAUAGACUUGUACUCUUUCCAUGAAACAGCAGAACCUUCUAUUUCUCGAAUUUUAAGAAUAUUUUCAUGCUCUCUCUACAAAAACGAUUGACUGUUUAAGUAUGAAGUAAUCUUACAUAUUCUGUUAGUGUAAACAUCCAAUCAUAACAAUGUAUACUGUCAGUAUAUAUAGAAUAUUAAUCAUUUAAGUAUUGAACUUGCACAAGAAUUGGAGGAUUAAAGGGUAAAUACAGAUGACAACGCGAGAAAUUGUUUCGGAAAGUCACGGACCUUUAGUUCAGCCAUAACACGUGGAUUGCCAUCUAGAUACCUCAAGGCCACAGUCAAAGCAGUUGAAGUCGUUUCAUGGGCAGCAAAUAGAAACAAAAAUACCAGGUCCCUCGCAAUUUCUUCAUUCAAAAAAGUGUCUUCUUUCUUUAUUUCCUCGAGUAAAUGGUCCGCAAAAUCAUAGUCAUUCGUAGCGCCAUUAUUGCCUGAGCGCUUCUUCUCAAGGAUGUCGUGGAUGACCUUCAUUGCUUUCUUACGUCCCUGGAAAAUGAAAAUCAUAUCGUUCGUUCAUUCUGAUACAGCAUAUAUGAAAGCAUAUAUAUUUUACUUAGUCAUAUAUUUAUAAUCAAUAUGGUUUUUUUCUUGUAGGUAUAGUGAACAUCGAUCUUUCAAUAUAAAAAGAAUUCCAAAUGACGAACAACAACAAUAACAAUUGAUUACUUGUAAGCAAGCAUGGAACGGUGUUCCAGGGAUGUUGAGAGGAAAUGAGAUCAAGCCAUCCAUGAAUGCCUUAUAACUGUCUCUCAGUUUUUGCUGAUCCUUGCUUUCUUCAUAGCCAAGCAUCUUCCUGGCAGCAUAUUUAAAUACCAACUGGAGAAAAUGAGAUUGUUAAUUACUACUUUUCAGCAAUGCUCUGUACGUAUAGUCCGAAUUCAUCCUGAUUAAUAUAAUCAAAUAGUAGGAUGCUAAUGAAUUUACCUCUGCAGUUCCAUCUUUAGCAUCUAAUUUUCCAAGUUUACUCCAAGAUCUUAGAGAUUCUUGAGUGCUCUCAUCCAUUUCAUAUAUUAGCUUCUCUCUUAAGGCUUCGGGGCUAACAAACUUGAACGUUAAGCUCUUGAGGUACUUGUGGAAGUCUCCAUGAUGGGCAACUACACUUUGUUUCCCAAUUAUCUGGAAGAGACUCUGAGUAUACCAAAUUUGGAAAGCAUUACCUUCUUGCUGGAAGACCCGGUAGUUGACGUCAGCAUCAGUCGAUACAAUGAUUGGCUCCCCAACUAUACUCGUGCGAAAAAUUGGCCCGUACCUGAAAAUUCCCAAAAAAAAAAAAAAGAAACAAAGAAAAGCUAGUUAAGAUAAAAUAUCCUUAACUGUUACUGCUGUAAUAUUGUUAAAAUUUAUAUGUGAUAGCUGGUUAAGAAGUGGUUAGACAACCACUGGAGUACUGAGGUUGAUCCAAUGAUUAGGAGAGGUUAUUAGAGUUUUCUUCAUAGUCUAGUUCAAGAUUCGAAUUUUGUAUCGGAUAGUUAGAAAUGAGAAGAGUAUGAAAAAAAUAAGAGGUAAAAUAAAAGGAGAUAGACAUACUUAGCCGCUCUUUUUUGUACGAAUGGUGGAAUAUCAUCUGAUGCAUAAGGGGUGAAGUACUGAAUUGUUUCUCCUAUAAUUGGCAGUCCCAUCGAACCUGGUGGUAAUACCCCGUUGCACUUGGGGUUUCUCCACCUAUAUACCCAGUGGCUGAAAAGCACAAUAAUGAGAGCAAUAAUAGCACAAGCAAACAACAUGGUCCUUGGUUAGUGUACUGGAAAUGUAGGGAGAAAAGGCGAAGAGAGUAGCUAAAAUUGCUGUUGUUUGCUAUGAAGGAAUCUCGGAUUGGAGCUGCUUAAAUAGAUGGAGAGCUCAAGCUCUGACAAGGACGCGCUGUAAGAUUGUUGGCGAUAGACAUAUUACCUUUUUUUUUUUAUAAUAAUAAUAUUUUUAUAAUUUAAUUUAUCUUAUUUUAGACGAGAGGGAAGACUAAAGAUGCUACAUAUAAGGAAUUAAUAGAUAUAAGAAUCUAUUAAAUCAAAAGAGUAUUUUGACACUUCUUUUAAAUUUUUUUACUAUAAAUAGGAUUCGAACACCUAAUCUUCAACUCAAAAAAGGACUUUAGUUUCCAUUUUGGUGAUGACCAUGAGCUCUUGACUCAGUGGCUCGGUUAAUAGUAUAGGUGAUAAACCAAUUCAAUUAACUAAAUUUACCCAUACUCAUCCAUGAAUAUAUAGGUAUGAGUAUCUUAAAUUUUUGUAUAUGGGUAUAAAUAGGUUACCCAAUAAUACCCAAUUAACCCAUUUAGAAUUCUCUUCCCCCACCUCUUUUUUUUUUUCAAAAUUUUCAUUUUGUCAUGACGUUAACUAAUUUUGUUUCAUUAUUAUUAUUAUUAUUAUUAUUUGUUGGUUUUAAUUUAUUAUUUUAUUUUCUCUUAGUUUGUUAACUUGCUUAUUUUUCAGCAUUACCAAUUUAUGAUAAGUUUUAGCCUCUUUUCUUAUCUUUCUAAAAUGAAAUUUUAAAUUUUAUAUAUGAAAAAAAUGUUAGGGGUUCAAAAUUUUUGGAUUAAGUUUUUAUAUUAACUUUUAUAGUACUUAGUUCAAAUUUUUAUAUUCUUAUUAUUCAAUUAUUAAAUAAUAUGUAAUUGUGACAUAGAGUAUAAAUGAAAAAAAAUUGGUAAUUAGGCUAAUUGAGUAUUAUAAGUAAAUAUUUAAAACUAAUGAUGGGUACAAAGAGCGGUAUAAAUUGAUAAUUUAGUUUGCAAAAAUGAAUUUAAAUGAGUUUGUAAAAAGUUAAAAUAAAUAGGUUAUAAAUGGGUAAUUGGGUUAUCCAAUUCAUUUUUUGAUUUACCAAUUUAUACCCAUCUAAUUUAAAUGGGUAUAAAUGAAUUGAGCUACUUAUACCCAUUACCCAUUUUAUCCAAUCCAAACCCACCCAAGUCACCCAUUUUGACACAUCUAGUUAAUAGACAUAUUGCCUGAUGACACAAAUUUCACCUGUAAUUCAUAAAGAGUCAAAAAGAAAAAUCGGCUACGGUGAAAGUCAAUGUGAGGCCAAUAGCGCUUGGUCACGGCGGCCAGAGAGGCCAAAAAGUCUAUCUUGCACAACGCUGGCUACAAAUUCAAGCCAUGUGCGAGGUAGAAACCUCAUGAAAUUACCAAAGUGUUUUUGGAAUGCUAGAUUAUUUCACGUAAUAUUUCAUUUGUAUUAUAAACAUAUUUUUUAAUUCAUAUUUUUAUAUUUUUUAACUAUCUUUUUAUGUCACAUAUAUCACAUUAUAAAAAUUAUUAUAAUAUUUAUUCUAAAUAAUAUUUCAAAUAAUACUCUAUCCAAAUACACUAAGGAAAGCUCUGGCACUAUUUUUGGUAAGAAUGAUUUUAAAUCUCACUGCGGUGAUUUUUGGUAACAUGUUAUAGAUAUGUCAAGCUCCAUGAAAGUUGCUACAAGUGAGGAUACAAUGUCAUAGCGACCCUCAAAGCUAGCCCCUCACCAUCUUAGGAAAUAGCCUGAGUAGAUUAGGCUUAUCAAAUUAUAUUGUCAUAGUUCAAGGAGAUUGGCUAAAAGCCAAAUUUGACUCUCCUUGUUGAAAUAGUGAAAGAAUGGAAUUGUGAUUUGGCAUUUCUAUCUCUUCUUUAGUAACAAAAGUCUUUUUUAAUUUGUUUAUCAAUUUUUGGGUAAUUUAGUCAUUACAAUUUGCUGUUUUUUAGUUCACUUAGUUAGAUUUUUUCAUUAUUGUAGUUUGUUCUUAGUUGUUACUCAUAUUUUUUUCUUUGAAGCUAAAACUAAUAGGAAAAAUAGAAAACACAAAUCUCUACUCUCAGGAAAAGUCAAGCGGGAAAGAAUGACGAAAAGAAACAUAUCACCAUACCUGGAUGAUAGUGCUUCAUUUCUUGAAAAGGAUGAUCAUUUGUGGUUUUAAAUAACUACUUAGUCCAAAAGAGUUUUCAUAAAGUAUAUGCUGAUCAAGUGGUUGAGGAAAAUCUAAGAAAUAGACAAGUGAAGCCACAAAAAUUGGUGAGAAGAUACUCGCGACAAAGAAUAGGCUUACAUACAUGAAUAAAAUAACUUUGUCAAGGUAUCUAAACAUACAAGAACAGGACAAAACAAUUUUGCAUGAGACGUUCUUCACAUUAUGUGUCACAAGAAUGGAAAAUAAACAAAAUUAUCCUUUGUCGUUGCAAACUAGAAGCAAAUCUCAAAGUGUGCAGUUUAAAAGUAGGGGGAUGUAUAUCUAUGGAGACAAAGUAAAAUAUUUAUUAAUUCAAAUAAGAUUUCUAUUAUUACAAAUCUCUAUCCUGUAUAUUGUUAUAUAUUUUAAUAUUAUAAUACUUUUUGUGAUGUAAUAUAUGUAAGAAAAAAGGUAGUUCAAAAGAUAAAAAUGUGAUUAAAAACAUAUUUAUAAUGGAAUUAAAUUUUUUUUAUAAAUAAUCCCAUAUCUAAACAAGCCCAUUGUGUGCAUGUUACCUUAAACUAUAUUAGAUUUUUUUGAGUAUUUUGAAUAUGCAUCAUUAAGUAAUUGUCAAUAUCAACUAAAUGAAAGAAGGAAAAAAAAAAAAGAAGUGGAAACAAAUAAGGUGAAAAGAAGUCCCAUCUCGCGUGUAAUUGUCAAUAUCAACUAAAUGAAAGAAGGAAAAAUAAGAAGCGGAAACAAAUAAGGUGGAAAGGAGUCCCAUCUCCCGUGUAAUAGUUCGAAUCAUUUACAAAAAAAAAAAAAAAAAAAGGGGUUCUGACUGUUUCUUUCUCUUGUGGAUAGUGAACUGUUUGUCAGUUCAUCGCCUUACCACAUUCAAAUGCAAUGGGUUUUUAUUGCUUUAAAAAUAACUCAUUUUAUCUACUACUAAACUAUACUAUAACAAAACCUAAAAAAGGACAUGAACAGAUCCAAGAUCAACUAAGAUAGGAGAUAACUAAAGAAAAGAGAAGAAAUUAAAUCAAUUAUUAAGUGAUUUACCUAAUUGGAAAAGCAAUUUAUGAUAAAUUACACACUAUGCAUGUGCAAUGCAUGUGCAUUUUGUGAGGCUCCGAAAUUUUACUUAUCUUUAUACCUCUUGUUUGAACAUACUUGCCUUAAAUUCUUGGUUGUUUUAAUAGUUGUAUCAUGGUUUUUCCCUUAUUGUAUUAUUUACCUUGGUACAUGUUUAAUUUGGUGCAUGUUAAGUUUCCUAGUGUAGUAUACUAGUGUGACCAACUAGUGAGGUGUGUGCAAUAAAUUUGGAGGAUUAGAAGGAGUUUUGUGCAAAAAGAACUAUGUGACAUGAGGUGUUAAGAGUUAAUUGAAGAAACCCUAGAUAUCUUGGUGAACUAGAGACAAACAGAGAGAUAAAGAGAUAGACAUCUCUUUUUUUCUUGCUAUUUGUCAAGUAGUCAACCAAAGUUGACUACGACCUUAACCAAAAUAAGCUUUUAUUUCUUCACUAUUCUUUCCUUCUUUAUCUUGUCUUGGCCAAAAUUCUUGAGGGGAAAAGAGGUGAAAACCAACUCCAAGUUCAAGCCUUGAUUUCUUGCUUGAUUAAUGAGAGAAAACGUUAGUCUACUCUGACAAACCUUGAAUUAGGGUUGGAAGGAAGCUAUUAGAGAGGUUUUGGAGGAAGAAACCCUUGAGUACUUCUUGCUUGGCUAUUCAUCUAAGGUUUUGGAGGUAAAGACAUGAACUUUGUUAAAAAUAUUCCCUUAUCUUUGGGUUUAUUUGAUGUAUGAUGUUAUAGAAGUUAAACGAAGGACUUGUAUGGUGGAUUUUAUGAUUUUCAGGUUCUGUUGUGAAUUUCCAACUUUGUUUUGUGGGAUUCAAGAGGUAAACUUGAUAGCAACCUUAUCUUUCUUCACUUGUCUUUGCAUCUACUUGAUGGAUGAUAUUCUAUAAGGUAAAAUGCAUGACUUUUAUGGAAGAUUUCAUGGUUUGUCAAGAUUAUGUUGCAAUUUCCAACUUUGGUGCAUAAUCUAGUUAGUUUAGUUUAGAGUUUUGAAUAUGUGAAAUUUUGAUGGGUUUGUUUGCUAAGAAGAUGGUUCAUAUAUGUCAUGACAUGAUAUCUUGAUUGAUAGUGGUUUCACCAAGAAAAUAAGGUUGAAAGUUGGAAGUUUUGUUGGAAAAUUUGGGAAAAACUUGCUGUAAUUUCUAUUAGAGUUGGCCGGCUAGAAAAGAGCCAUUUUCUAGCUUUGAUUUCCAGAAUUUUGUGGUGAUUUUGGCAAGGUUUUGCUCAAGAUACUUUGUUAAACCUAAAUUUUCACCUGUAUGUUGGAUUUCAGUCAAAACAAAGAGGACAAGAGAAGGAAAAUGAGUUUUCUCCAACAUGUUUUUCUUGCUCGAAAUUUCUAGUUUUGUACCUCGAAAAUCUUGUCCUAUUGUCUUCAAAAUUCUUGGUUAUAAUCAACAAAAUUCUUGCUCCAUAUUAUACUUGAAACAUGGACCUAUCAUACAUAUAGUUUUCCCUUGAUUUGAACAAGAAAUCUUGGCCCUUUCGGAAACUAUAUUAGGGUUAAACCUGAAAUUUUCUGUGUUUGUCAAGUGAAGCUUCGAACUCAUAUUUUCUCAUUUAUCUUGGAUUUAAAUGGAUAGACUCUUGAUAGCUUAUAUGACCACAGGACUUGAGAAGACGAAUCAGGGUUUGAAGUGGAAACAUUGAGGUCAAGUGGUGAGUGUUCCUUAUGUUUGUGAAUUGAAUGCCUUGAUUGUGUGUUAUUUUUUGACUGUUAAAUGUAUUUCAAAAAUCACUUUACUAUUGAUAGGCGAGUGUGUACCUUAUCGCACUCGACCUAAGUGAAUAUGAAUUUUUAACGAUUACAUGAUUGAAUGUUACUUGUGCAUGAAUGCAAGUCAUUGGUUGAAUUGGACCCUUAUCCUUCGUCGCUAGCCUAUUCAAAUCAGAAGCAGACUCGGUCAGGUAGGUUGGUAACCCUGAGCCACUGUUUUGGUAUACUCGAGUAUAAUCACGAAAUCAGGUGAAGUACUGACCAGUGAAUGAAAUGCAAUAAAUAAAUGAUUGAAUGAAAUGAUCAAUGUCGGGGUUUUUGUUUUCAAAUGUGUUUUCAAAUAUUAGAAGUUAUAAGGAAGAAAUGGACGGAGACAGAAUGACUAAAUGAAUGAAUGGUUCCAAGUGAGUUUGUAUCCUUUAAAUGAUUACUUUUUGAAUGACAGGUAAAAACACUUUUAGCGACUAUUUGGUUACCUGUUGGACUGGUCACAUAAAUAAGAUAAUACCUAAAAAUUUGGUUAGUAAGUUUCACAUAAAAAAUAGUAAGUUAACUCGAUAAAUUAGUAACUUUUAUGUCUCAAAAAGUAAAUUGAAAUAAAUAGGGAACUUACUUUUUUUUGACAUAAAUUACUACUCUAUAUCCACAACUGACUUUUUGGAGAGUAAGUUUAGUUCAAGUAAUAAUCAGUUUUUAUAGAUUAAUAGUAAAUCUUGUUGAUAAAAUAGUAAAUUUGGUUAAUGAUCAAAACUUACCAGUUUGUGGCAUAAAUUUACUAUUUUACUUAAAAAAAUUUUAUGGAACAAGUAUUAGGAAGUUUAUAUGAAAUAAUGCUAAGAUUUUUUUAUUAAUGAUUGAAACUUAGUAUUAUAGUUAGUAAUUACUCGUCGUGUAAAUGUAUGAUACACGAAUGCACGCAUCAUUUAUAAAUUUUACGUUUUAAGCAUUUUAAAUAUACUAAAUAUACUAUGAAAACUUUUUUUUUUCACAUGACCUUAUAAAAUAUGUAAGAAUAAUUUGUCAUGUUACAAAUUCUGAAUUAUUUUUGAAUUUGUGAAAGGUUAGAAAGUUUGGAUGACAAUACCAACAAAUAUUUCGAGUUAUAUAUAGAAUAGCACUUAUCUAUACAUCACAAUUUCCAUAUAUUAAUACCUAUGAAUAUAAUAAUAUGGUAAAGUUUUAAUAAAUAUAUUUUUUGGGUCACAAGUAUAAAAGUUAAAUUUAUAUUACAAUAACAACAAAUAUAAAAUAGCACUUAUUUAUACAUCACAAUCUCCAUAUAUUAAUACCUAUGAAUUUAAUAAAAUGGUAAAGUUUUAAUAAAUUUAUUUUCUAAGUCACAAGUAUAAAAAUUAAAGUUGUAUUAACAUAGUAUAAUCUUUGAAAAUUAUAGUGAAUUUAUCCAUAUGUUAAGUUCCAUGGCUUUCAAAUAUACUUUGUAUCAUUUACAUCGUGGAUUUGUAUGCAUAUUUUUUCUAUCAAACUCCUUUUUUUAUUGGCAAAUGGUAUGUAAAUCAUUAUAAAAUGUCAUUUUAUAGUAAUCAUAAUUUUUUAUAGGUGAAUGUUAUGUAAACUGCUAAAAUUGUCAAUUCAUAAAUGACUAAAUCUUACUAUUUUAUAGCAUAUAUUAGUCUGAUCGACUAAAAAAUUACUGUAAUCAUGUGUACGUUGAUUGUUGAUUUGAAAUUUGCACCAUUGUCACUAGUUCCAUUAUUACUAGUACAAAUUCUUCUAAUCAAAGUAAAAUCAAAUCAAAUAUCUUUUCCUUUUGUAUGCAGUAGUUAUGGUUAAUAGAAAAUUAUUAAACCAUUCUUACAAUACAUAAUUUCUCUUGGAAUUAGUAACAUUUUCUAAAUAAAUUGGAAUAAUUUGUAAAAUAUUCCAAUUUAUUUUUUUCACCAAUAUAAUCAAAAGAAUUUUGCACUAUUAAAAGACAAAUGGAAAGAAUGAACGAUGGUAUAAGUAUAAAUGUGAGCAACUACAUACGUAUCACACCAUGAGUUUAGGUAUGAUUUGUUUAAAACAUAAGUAAUUUACAAAUGAAAAUACAAUUUAGUAUAUACUAAUUAUCCAAUCCACGGACGGAUCCAUGACCAGCGCGGGAAAUCGUAAAGAACUUCGUGCCGAACUUCUUCAGAUUCUUUGGGUCCAGUGGAGUAUUCGAAUUGCUUCUGUAAUUUUAAGUAGGUGGCAACGAUCCAUAUCAAUUCUUGCUCCACUUUACUCGGUCUCCAUUCUAUAGAAACUUCUCUUUGACAUUUCACCAAACACCUUAUAAGCAUUUCCAAAUUAUGCAUACAAACUUUUCUUUGAAUCAUAGUACAAUUCAAUUGUGCAUACCGAAAUUUCAAAUAACCAACUAAAAUUGUAGAUUACCAAUUUCUUGCAAUUAUAGAACAUCAACAACCAUCAAUGAACUUCAGAUUAAGCCUUUAGCUAACAAAUGCACCAAUUGAAUCCUAAGGGAUGAGUGAAUGAUCAAGAUGCUGGCAUCACCCUAAAAUUAUUGAAACCAAUCUCCAUUCCAUAGGGGAAGUCCAUGACCUCUAACCUUAUCAAUAAUACUAACCACCGACAUGCAGAUAAUCUUAAGAGAAAAAGCCAUCAAAAUGAUAAAAAGAGAAUAUUUUCGUGCUGAACGAAAAAAUUGCGAUUCUAUAUAGAAUUAAAGAAAUUCAUCAUGAAUGAGAAUGAGUUGCAAAGUUAUCACAUUUCUAAUUUCAUAUGUAUCCAGAAUUUGAUGUAGCACUACUUUAGAGUAACUCUCUGACGGGUAUUUUACAUACGUGCAAGUUAAAAAAAACCGAAUUACACCCGUUCACUGCAAGUAUACAGGUCAACUAAUAGUUUAGGGUAUAUAUCGGGUCGAUCCCACAGGGAAGAGUGAACAAUUACCGAUAUUACUAAAGCUUCUCUAUUAUUUAGACUAUCAAUGAAUUAUAACAAAUUUAACCUACUGAAAUUAUACAAAACAACAAAUAAAAGCUCAUUAGAUUGUGGUAUCCCCAACUACUCAUGCAAUUUCCAUUUUUGGAUUAUUGAGUACUAUUAUCUAGGCUAGUUAUGGUGUAAUUUCCUUAUGCAUUUGAAACCUACUUUCGUAGUGAAUCAACUAUACUUAUAACUAAUCCAUACCUAUUCUCAUGGUUAUGAAAUUAGCUACAAGUUCAUUUCUUCAAUGAAAUUACAUGAAAUGAAUCACUAAAAACCACAUAGGUGCACCUCUACUUUCGUGAGUGCACUCCCUAUGUUUAGCACUUCUUGAACUAGUGUUAAAUCUCAAUUUUCAUUGCAGAAACAACACCUUGGAUAAUCACAGUCAAUGGUACCGGAUUAAUCAUGAUUUAAAGAGCCAAAGUACUAAAUAACUUGCUCAAAUCAUAGCAAUCAAAUAACCAAAUAAUAAACACUAACAAUUAUAGAAGGUUCAACCAAACCAAGGUAUAAACUUUAGAGACACAUAUUAAACACAAAAUCCAGAACUUGCAUAUUAACUAAAUUUGGAAUCAAGUACAAAAGAUAAAGAGUUGGAAAGGAAUGUAACCCAUGUCACUUGAGCUCAUCACCUUGCCUUCUUCAUCUCCAUCUUAAUCCUAGUCUAGCAAUAUACAAGAGUGGAUGAACUACACUAGCUAAACUAUCCUACACUAAGGAAAUGGAAGAACUACAUUUCUGCACUCUUCAAGCUUCUCCCGUAUGAUAAUUCUCUAUCCCUCUGAUUGCUCUCUGUAUAAAACUGAUAUGAGGUGCCUUUCCACUGGUCCAAAAUUUCUGCUAUGAUUCUCCAAAUCUGAAUUUGUUAAGGAAUUAAAAAAUAAUGGCUUUUGACUUGGAAUAAGCCAUGUUGUAUGCUCUUUGUCUUCUGAAGCAUGUGCACCGAAUUCCCUUGCAACUUAUAGCUGGAAAGUAGUCUGAUCACAAGAGAAAUGGGUGAGCAACUUGCAGAAUUUCGGCCAGAAAACGCGCCUACACAAAACGCGCUUACAGUCGCGUUUUCUUCAACUCGCGUAUUCAACUUGGCCUCACUUAAACUGCAAUUUUCUCCAUGAUGAAAGCAGAACUGGCUUUUGUGUAAAACACAAAAGUUGUAGCCCCUUGAAUUAGAUUUCCAAUGAUUCAAGAAUCAUCCAAAUCGGAUCUUUGUAUUCUGAGAUAUGAUCGAAAUACCAUAAACUGGUCAAUUCUGGGCUACAGUUUUUGACCAUCCAGAUAAGUUUCUGUGUUUCGACUUUUUGACCAAGAAAACAGCUGAAUUGGACUUUGAUGUCUUCAUACCAAAUGUAUAUAUAUCUCUUAGCUUCAAAAUGGUACCAAGAUCACCUUGAUCCGAUCUGUGUAGCUCCAGAUAUAGUCAAACUAUGAAAAUAUGUCUGAGUUGUCAAAGCUGACUUUUUCUUGAUUCUUUUGUUCUCAAAUUGCAUUUCUCCUUUUAUACUUCAUAUUUUAUUUUCACCACUUUAAUCCAUCUUCAAUCAUCCAAAUAUCUUCCUAAUGCACUUCAUUUGAUGAUUGAAUCAUUAAACCUACAAAAUAUGAAGUUUUUACCAUAAAAAUCAAUAGAAAUGCAAUGUUAGCCACUUUAACAUAAAAUGUAGAUUUUUACCAAAACCUUAGUUAUUUUAGUUAUAAAACUAAAUAAUAAAACCAAAAUUAACUAAUAAAAUGUACUUAAAAAUACGUAAAAUAAACCCUUAUCAAAUACCCCUACACUUGAACCAUUGCUUGUCCUCAAGUAAUAAGAAAUACAAACCAACAAUGAUCCAAAAUUUGAAAAUAAACAUAUGUAGCAUUUCAACUUCAUUUCCUCAAAACAAAGUAAAUAACCAUUAUGUAAUUAUUCAAUUAAGUUCAAGUACUCAUAAUAUCAAGUAAAGGAGAGCCAAUUAUACCGUCAUUAUAACAAAUUCAAAUCAAUUUUUCAUCCUUACCCAAUCUUACAAGUAAGUAACUCAUAUGGUCAAUAAUAUGCUUCCUAAACCCAUGAUCAUCUUCUUAUUUAACUUAAAGAGGGAUUUAUUUAUAUAAUAUAGCUAAAUAUUACUUAAGUUCUGAAAGUAUCUUUUUACGCGAGGAUCGACAUUUUUAGAUGAAGAUCACCGGUUACUCAACACUUCAUAUACUCAAGUUGCUUUGCAUACUCUUAAUUCAAGUACCGUUUUACGCGAAAGUCGACAUUUUUAGAUGAAGACACCCGGUUACUAAGUACAAGAAUCAUUGGAGUAGAACAAAUCUUCUAUUUUCGUCUUUUUCUUUUUUUUUCUUCAUUUUUUCAUUUUUCAUCAUUUUUUUAUUUUAUUUUUUUUAGUAAAGAUAAUAACAUUCCCUUGAAAGCAUAAUCAUGAGAAGAGUAUUGCAAUUAUUGACCAUAUUUAUCACUUAACUUAUAAAAUCAAAUAAAGCGAAGAAAUUUCAUCAAAUAUGCAAAAAAAAAUAUAGGCAUAAUUUUCUCCACUUUAAAAGAUAUACUUUCCUACAAAUGCAAAAAUUAUAAUCACAUAAUAGUCAUUUCCAAGUUGAAUGAGAAAAGAAGUUUUCAAAUCACAUAUAUUUAUCUCAAAUGUAGAAGGAGUUUGAACUACUAAUGGUAUGGAACUUGUUACCCCUUGGAUAAAAUUGAAAAAAUUUAAAAAUUUUUGGGGCAAGUUUGCAAUUUUGGACAAGAUUUUAGAAAAAUUUUGAAUUUUAACACAAGUCCAAUAUUUGCAACUAAUAAGUCAAUCACAUACAAUGUAUAUAAUCUCAAUUCUCCCCCCACACUUAACAUACACAUUGUCCUCAAUGUGUAAAAAGGAAAAUCAAGAUAAAGAAAGUAAUACUCCCCUAUGAUGUGAUUGAAUAUAAAGCUUCAAAAUCCAUUGUCCGUGUAUCUCCAAUGCUUCAUGAGUUCCAUUGGAUAACCAUUAGUGAUGUAAUCCUAAAAAUGAAAAAUGAGAAACAAAAGUGAUAACAAAGGUUUAAUAAACAAAAUGGUGAUCCGUAACUUCAAUCCCUUGUUUUGGUGAUGUACUCAAAUCGAGGGGUUGAGUUCCUUGAUCAAACUUCGCCUUUUUCACCUCAUUUGGUCACUUUUGCUUUUAUUUCCAAUACCUAUAAAUGAAAAAUAACGAAAUAACUCAAACACAUACUUUAAACAUAAAAUCACACCAAAAUAACAUAAAUAGCCAAAACAUUGGGUUGCCUCCCAAUAAGCGCUUUUAUUUAUAGUCGUUGGCUCGACUAUUGAACCUCAUUUUUCAAGGAGGCUUGAUUAAAGAAUAAUCCACCAUUUUAGGUCGUGGUGGAUCAUUAAAAGGUGACUUUAUAGCAAAAGUCACAUGUUCUAAUAAUGUGAGAAAUGGAAGUGACUUACAUAUUCCAAGUGUUUCAUAGAUAUUACUUUGAAUAUGCACCACUUGAGAACUUACCAAAGGAAAUGCCAUGAAAGUAUCUUGAGCAGGAAUAUCUUUAAAACCUGUACUUUUUAUACACUCCUUAAGAGGGGUGAAAAUUGAGUCCUUAAAACUCACCUCUUGAGGCUCAAAGUUAGUUCUAAAAAUAUUAUCAUGUGAAAUGGACAUUUUCUCAUUGAAACACAAGUUAGAAUCAUCAUUUUGAUCAAAAUGUAACCCAUUUUCACAUACAACAUUCCCACCAUUUAUGCUAGGAUCUUUUUGCAAAUUGUUAGAGGAAAUAACUUCACACAAUGCACUCAAUUGCUUAUGUAUUUGACCAAAGUGAGAAGCUAAUCCAUCUAUUCUUUCCUCAAUCCUAUCAAAACGGUCGGAAGUUGCAUUUGCUAGCUUUUCUAUUGCUAAAUCAAAUUGAUUAGAAAAAUUUCCUACAGCUAGCUCCCAAGAUGCAUUAGAAUCAUUAGCUAAUGGUUCACUUUCUAACUCCCAAGGUAGAGGUGUAUUAGCUAACUUCUCUAUUGCCAACUUCCAAGAUGGUUUUGAUUCAUAUUGGACAAUUUCAAAUUGGUAAUCAUAAAAAUAUGGAUAAUCACUAUAUGCACAUUGAUUUUCCCAACCAUAAGAAAGAGAAUUGCUCCAAUUAGCACUGUAUUGAUCAAAAUAAGGAUUGUAAUGCUCUAAUUCAUCAUAAUAAUCCACAUUUUGUGCUUGCAUACAUGUGUUAGUAGCAUGAUAACCUCCACACAAGUCACAAAUCACAUGAUAAGAAUUAAAAGCAUUAACAUUCCUCCCUUGCUCAAUUUCAUGCAUAAUUGUGUCCAUUUGAACUUGUAGCAUUAUAACAUCAAAUUUAGCCUUUAAGCACCUUAAACCAUCUUCAAAAGACUUACAUUCAGUAAAUUCUUGGUUACCUCUGUUGAAGGAGUUUUGCACUUGGUAACCAUCCAUUGCCAAACUUCCACUUCUCAAGCAUUGUCCUCCAAAUUGACAUAUCCUUCUCAUCACCUAAAAUUGCUUUUAAACAAUCUCAAAAGCAAAAUUAGUAAGAAAAAUAGGUAAUGAAACAUAUAUACACAUAAAACACAAAAAUAACAGAAAAUAACAUUCACACUAUAACUAAUGAAAUAUCUAAACUAAUAAAGUUGCUCUUCACACUAAUAUUGCCAAAUCUUCCCCGGCAACGGCGCCAAAAACUUGACGGGUAUUUUACAUACGUGCAAGUUAAAAAAAACCGAAUUACACCCGUUCACUGCAAGUAUACAGGUCAACUAGUAGUUUAGAAUAUAUAUCGGGUCGAUCCCACAGGGAAGAGUGAACAAUUACCGGUAUUACUAAAGCUCCUCUAUUAUUUAGACUAUCAAUGAAUUAUAACAAAUUUAACCUACUGAAAUUAUACAAAACAACAAAUAAAAGCUCCUUAGAUUGUGGUAUCCCCAACUACUCAUGCAAUUGCCAUUUUUGGAUUAUUGAGUACUAUUAUCUAGGCUAGUUAUGGUGUAAUUUCCAUAUGCAUUUGAAACCUACUUUCGUAGUGAAUCAACUAUACUUAUAACUAAUCCAUACCUAUUCUCAUGGUUAUGAAAUUAGCUACAAGUUCAUUUCUUCAAUGAAAUUACAUGAAAUGAAUCACUAAAAAUCACAUAGGUGCACCUCUACUUUCGUGAGUGCACUCCCUAUGUUUAGCACUUCUUGAACUAGUGUUAAAUCUCAAUUUUCAUUGCAGAAACAACACCUUGGAUAAUCACAGUCAAUGGUACCGGAUUAAUCAUGAUUUAAAGAGCCAAAGUACUAAAUAACUUGCUCAAAUCAUAGCAAUCAAAUAACCAAAUAAUAAACACUAACAAUUAUAGAAGGUUCAACCAAACCCAAGGUAUAAACUUUAGAGACACAUAUUAAACACAAAAUCCAGAACUUGCAUAUUAACUAAAUUUGGAAUCAAGUACAAAAGAUAAAGAGUUGGAAAGGAAUGUAACCCAUGUCACUUGAGCUCAUCACCUUGCCUUCUUCAUCUCCAUCUUAAUCCUAGUCUAGCAAUAUACAAGAGUGGAUGAACUACACUAGCUAAACUAUCCUACACUAAGGAAAUGGAAGAACUACAUUUCUGCACUCUUCAAGCUUCUCCCGUAUGAUAAUUCUCUAUCCCUCUGAUUGCUCUCUAUAUAAAACUGAUAUGAGGUACCUUUCCACUGGUCCAAAAUUUCUGCUAUGAUUCUCCAAAUCUGAAUUUGUUAAGGAAGUAAAAAAUAAUGGCUUUUGACUUGGAAGAAGCCAUGUUGUAUGCUCUUUGUCUUCUGAAGCAUGUUCACCGAAUUCCCUUGCAACUUAUAGCUGGAAAGUAGUCUGAUCACAAGAGAAAUGGGUGAGCAACUUGCAGAAUUUCGGCCAGAAAACGCGCCAGCACAAAACGCGCUUACAGUCGCGUUUUCUUCAACUCGCGUAUUCAACUUGGCCUCACUUACACUGCAAUUUUCUCCAUGAUGAAAGCAGAACUGGCUUUUGUGUAAAACACAAAAGUUGUAGCCCCUUGAAUUAUCUUUCCAAUGCUUCAAGAAUCAUCCAAAUCGGAUCUUUGUAUCCUGAGAUAUGAUCGAAAUACCAUAAACUGGUCAAUUCUGGGCUACAGUUUUUGACCAUCCAGAUAAGUUUCUGUGUUUCGACUUUUUGACCAAGAAAACAGCUGAAUUGGACUUUGAUGUCUUCAUACCAAAUGUAUAUAUAUCUCUUAGUUUCAAAAGGGUACCAAGAUCACCUUGAUCCGAUCUGUGUAGCUCCAGAUAUAGUCAAACUAUGAAAAUAUGUCUGAGUUGUCAAAGCUGAAUUUUUCUUGAUUCUUUUGUUCUCAAAUUGCAUUUCUCCUUUUAUACUUCAUAUUUUAUUUUCACCACUUUAAUCCAUCUUUAAUCAUCCAAAUAUCUUCCCAAUGCACUUCAUUUGAUGAUUGAAUCAUUAAACCUACAAAAUAUGAAGUUUUUACCGUAAAAAUCAAUAGAAAUAUAAUGUUAGCCACUUUAACAUAAAAUGUAGAUUUUUAUCAAAACCUUAGUUAUUUUAGUUAUAAAACUAAAUAAUAAAACCAAAAUUAACUAAUAAAAUGUACUUAAAAAUACGUAAAAUAAACCGUUAUCACUCUCCUUUUCCGCACCAAAGAACCAACCCCAAUCUCCACUUUCCUUUUAUUUUUCCUAUAGCCAUUAAAUGGUGUCAAAGUCGUUAGCAUUAAAAUACUAAAUAAAUUUCAUUCCAUUUCAAGCUCUAGUUUAUUGUAUCCUAAUAUUUUACACACCACACCCCCCAAAAAAUGAUGAUCAAGUUGGCUAGCGUAACUGAAAUUCGUCAACUGUGGUUUUAAUCAAGUUGCUUGGUGCUUUCUUACCCCGUAUAGGCAUCAAUCAUAGCAUACAAAUUUCUUUUUGAUAUUUUACCAAACACCUUAUAUGCAUUCCCAAAUUAACCAUGUUUCACAUAAACGCCUACACACUACUAUGUUUCACAUAAAGGGUCUAAGAUAUUUCCCACAUAUUUUUCAACAAACUAUUGACAAUCAAAUCAAAUGAAAGAUAAAUAAAUUAAAGCAAUAUAAUCAAACGAUUUUCAAGAAAACAUGAUGGUCUAACCUCUUGGCUGCUAUUUUUCAUCUACUCUCUUGCCAGCUACCACCACCGCAGCCCUAAUCAAAAUCUCAACCCUUUUGUUGGGUCUGCAUAUGCCAGCAUCCAAAACCGAUUGAUCAGGAAGGAAAGAGGGAAAGUGUGGACUAAACAGGAAAAUUUUGCGAGGAAAAAAUUUCCAUUCCAUCAUAUUGUGAGGUGAGAAGAAAAUAAGAAGAAGGCAAGCGACUUUAGAGAGAUGUGAUAACCCAAAAUUGUUUCAGAAACCGGUGAUUUUUUUAACUUAAGUAUGUAAAUUUUUUACUUUUAGUAUUAGUAAGUUUAAUUUUAAAAAAGCAAAUUUUGUCAAAUUAUAAGUAAAUUAUAUUACUCAAAGUGUAAAUUUCUAUUUCUUCUAAAACUUACUCUUUCAGGUAUAUACUUACUAAUUUUAAUUAAAAACUUACUAACGUUAAUAUUAAUUAUUUUAAUACAAUAUUUAAAAAGACGCUAAAAAACUUGAUUUGUCACUGAAGUUAAUAGAAACCUACUUAGGUUUCCUUAAUAUUGUUACCAUAACUAUAAGCACUGUAGCAUUAGUUUCCCAAUUAUCUGGAAGAGACUCUGAGUAUACCAAAUUUGGAAAGCAUUACCUUCUUGCUGGAAGACACGGUAGUUGACGUCAGCAUCAGUUGAUACAAUGAUUGGCUGCCCAACUAUACUCGUGCGAAAAAUUGGCCCGUACCUGAAAAUUCCCAAAAAAAAAAAGAAACAAAGAAAGGCUAGUUAAGAUAAAACAUUCUUAACUAUUACUGCUGUAAUAUUGUUAAAAUUUAUAUGUGAUAGCUGGUUAAGAAGUGGUUAGAUAAUCACUGGAUUAUUGAGGUUGGUCCAAUAAUUAGGAGAGGGUAUUAAAAUUUUCUCUAUAGUUUAACGCAAUAUUCAAAUUCUGUAUCUGAUAGUUGAAAAUGAGUAAGGUGCGAAGAAAAAUAAGAGUCGAAAAAAUAAAGGGUUAGACAUACCUAGCCGCUCUUUUUUGUACGAAUGGUGGAAUAUCAUCUGAUGCAUAAGGGGUGAAGUACUGAAUUGUUUCUCCUAUAAUUGGUAGUCCCAUCGAACCUGGUGGUAAUUCCCCGUUGCACUUGGGGUUUCUCCACGUAUAUGCCCAGUGGCUGAAAAGCACAAUAUUGAGAGCAAUAAUACCCGUCUAUGAAUAGAUGGGUAUGAAUAUCUUAAAUUUUUGUAUAUGGAUAUAAAUGGAUUACCCAAUAAUACCCAUUUAACCCAUCAAAUCCAAUUAAUCCAUUUAGAAUUCUCUUUCCCAACCCAUUUUUUUUUUCAGAAUUUUCAUUUUGUCAUGAUAUUAACUACUUUUGUUUCAUUAUUAUUAUUAUUUGUUGAUUUUAUCUUAUUAUUUUAUUUUCUCUUAGCUUGUUAACUUGUUCAUUUUUCAGCAUUACCAAUUUAUGAUAAGUUUUAGUUUCUUUUCUUAUCUUUCUAAAAUGAAAUUUUAAAUUUAUAUAUGAAAAAAAAUGUUAGGGGUUCAAAAUUUUUAGAUUAACUUUUAUAGUACUUAGUUCAAAUUUUAUAUUCUUAUUAUUCAAUUAUUAAAUAAUAUAUAAUUUUGUGACAUAGAGUAUAAAUGGAAAAAAAAUUGGCAAUUAGGCUUAUUGAGCAUUAUAAGUAAAUAUUUAAAACUAAUGAUGGGUACAAAGAGCGGUAUAAAUUAAUAACUUAGUUUGUAAAAAUGAAUUUAAAUAAGUUUAUAAAAAAUUAAAAUAAAUAGGUUAUAAAUGGGUAAUUGGGUUAUUCAAUUCAUUUUUUGACUUACCCAUUUAUACCCAUCUAAUUAAAUGGAUAUAAAUGAGUAGACUCGCUUAUAUCCAUUAUCUAUUUUAUACAAUUCAAACCCGUCCAAAUCACUCAUUUUGACAUCUCUAAUUAAUAGACAUAUUACCUGAUGACACAAAUUUCACCUGCAAUUUAUAAAGAGUCAAAAGGAAAAAUCGGCUGCGGUGGAAAGUCAAUGUGAGGCCAAUAGCGCUUGGUCACGGCGGCUAGAGAGGCCAAAAAAAAAAGUCUAUCUACAAAUUCAAGCCACGUGCAAGGUAGAAAUCUCGUGAAAUUACUAGAGUGCAUUUGGAUUGUUGAAUUAUUUUACAUGAUAUUUUGCUUGAAUCAUAAAUAUAUUUUUUAAUUUAUUUUUUAGUUAAGUAUGUCGUAUCAUAAAAAAUAUUAUAAGAAUUAUUUUAAAUAAUAUUUUAUUCAAAUACACUCAGGGAAAGCUCUGCCAUAUUUUUUAUAAUAAUGAUUUUAAAUCUCACUGCGGUGACUUUUGGUAACAUGUCAUAGAUAUCGUCUCAGCGACGCUUAUCAAAUUAUAUUGUCAUAGUUCGAGAAGAUUAGCAGAAAAAAAAAAGCGAGAGAGAGAGAGAGAGUCAGGAACCUGAAUAUCUUUAUUCAUUUUAGUCAAAGGGAAAACGUCUAUGCUUUUUGGAAGCCAAAUUUGACGCUCCUGGUUGAAAUAGUGAAAGAAUGGACUUCUGAUUUGGUCUUUCUCUCUCCUCUUUACUAACAAAAGUCUUUUUUAAUUUGUUUAUCUAUUGUUUGGGUAAUUUAGUCAUUACAAUUUGCUGCUUUUUAGUUCACUUAGUUAGAUCUUUUGAUUAUUGUAGUAUGUUCUGAAUUGUUACUCAUAUUUUUUUUUCUUUGAAGCAAAAAUUUGAAAAAUAGAAUACACGAAUUUCUACUCUCAGGAAAAGUCAAGCGAGAAAGAAUGACGAAAAGAAACAUAUUACCAUACCUGGAUGAUAGUGCUUCAUUUCUUGAAAUGGAUGAUCAUUUGUGGUAUUAAAUAGAUAAUCAGUCCAAAAGAGUUUUCAUAAAGUAUAUGCUGAGGAAAAUCUAAGUGGUUGAGGAAAAUCUAAGAAAUAGACAAGUGAAGCCACAAAAAUUGGUGAGAAAAUAUUCACAACAAAGAAUAGACUUACAUGCAUGAAUAAAAUAACUUUGUCAAGGUACCUAAACAUACAAGAAUAGAAUAAAACAAUUUUACACGAGACGCUCUUCACGUUACGUGUCACAAGAAUGAAAAAUAAAUAAAAUUAUACGAGUAGAUGAUAAUUUACACACAUUAAAGUCCAAACUCUCAAACGCUGGAAAAUUAAUUUCAUCCCAUGCAGGGACGAAAUCUCAGGACAUCCUACCAAAAUAUGCUUCUUUCUGUCUCUAUUGAAUGCUUCUUUCUGGUCAAUUCAUGCAAACCCUCUAGCUAUUUGCAAGUUGGGACGACGUAUUGCGUGACAAUUUCAAUGAGCAGUACACUAUCAAAUUCAACUUUCGCCUUCAGAAAUUCAAACUCUGUAAAAUUUUUCCCUUUUAGAAAUGGAAAUUUGUCAUUUUAUCAAAGACUUUGACAAAAACCCCAAUAGCUUUGCAAUAACUUUGACAAAAAUACAUAAAUAAGGCAGGCUGCUCGAGUACGUAAAUUACGACCAAACAAGAAGAAGGGUUAUUGCACCAAAGAGGGCAGGCUGCAAAGAGUACGUAAAUUAAUUUAGAGUAAUGAUGUUUUAUAUAUAUAUAUAUAUAUAUAUAUAUAUAUAUAUAUAUAAAUUGAAAGAUCUUGAAUUCAGUAUCUUUUAUAUACAAUAUUAUCUAUCUUACCAUCUAACUCAACCAUUCUCGAAGCGACAAAAUAACAUUUCUUUCUGUACAAAAUACAUAUUAACCUAAGAGAUUUUGUUUUAAGGAUGAAGCUCAAACAUUGAUAAAGUAAUAAAAGAUUUUCUCUGUCAUGAUCACUUAAACUAUGUGUGACAAAUCCCGGGGUCAUUAUGAUCUUGUAUAUUUCAUUAUUUGUCUGUUCUGAACAUUUUUAUAAUCUCUUCUCGGUGCUGGCAGACUUCCACCCUUUCUUUUCAUAGGUCCCUUUUCAAUUAAUUUUCAAGCGUCUCCGCAAUGAUUUGCAUUUUUAAUAGGGCAGGUGGCGCCCUGGACUGAAUCAAAAGCAUCAAUUAAAGCCUAACUGCGAGAUUGACUACCAAACAAAUCAACUUUUGGUUUUGGUUUCUUAAUUUGGAUUGUGUUUGGAUUGCAUUUUUCUAGAUUUUUUGUAGAAAAAUUAUUGUAGGAAUUUGAUAUAUGUGAGAUAAAAAGAUGAUUGAAAAAUGUGUUCACAAAAAGUAUAGCAAUUUUUCUUUGAAAAAUGGCUGUCCAAACAAGAUUGGCCAACAGGAAUGCAAGUCUGGAAAUGAGAAAGCAUGUCACUUGGGCUCAAUUUCACGUUCACAUCAAUAACCCUUCUUGUUAAAAAUCAGAUUCUGACGGAUCAGAUCUGCAAUAAUUCGAGAUCAUUUACGUCUCCAUCCAUUUUUUUGCCAUUGUGUGAUCCGUGUAGGUAGGAUGUCCUGAGAUUUCGUCCCUGCAUAGGAUGAAAUUAAUUUUCCAGCGUUUGAGAGUUUGGACUUUAAUGUGUCGUUCCAAACUAGAAGCAAAUCUCAAAGUGUGUACAGUUUAAAAGUAGGGGGAUGUAUAUCUAUAAAGUCAAAGUAAAAUAUUUAUUAAUUCAAAUAAAAUAUCUAUUAUUACAAAUCUCUAUCCUGUAUAUUGUCAUAUAUUUUAAUAUUAUAAUACUUUUUGUGAUGUAAUAUGUGUAAGAAAAAAUGUAGUUUAAAAGAUAAAAAUGUGAUUAAAAACAUAUUUAUAAUGGUACUAAAAUUUUUCUUAUCCCAUAUCUAAACAAGCCCAUUGUGUGCAUGUUACCUUCAACUUUAUUAGAUUUUUUGAGUAUUUUGAAAAUGCAUUGUUAAGUAAUUGUCAAUAUCAACUAAAUGAAAGAAAGACAAAAAUAAGAAGUCCCAUCUCCCACGUAAUUGUCAAUAUCAACUAAAUGAAAGAAGGAAGAAUAAGAAGUGGAAACAAAUAAGGUGGAAAGAAGUCCAUCUGCCGUGUAAUAGUUCGAAUCAUUUACAAAAAAAAAUGAAAAAAAAGAAAAAAAAAGAAGAAGUUCUGACUGUUUCUUUCUCGUGUGGAUAGUGAACUGUUUAUUAGUUCAUCACCUUACCACAUUCUCAUCAAAUGCAGUGGAUUUUUAUUGCUUUAAAAAUAACUCAUUUUAUCUACUCCUAAACUAUACUAUAAAUAGACCUAAAAAAGGACAUCAACAAAUCCAAGAUCGACUAAGAUAGGAGAUAAGUAAAGAAAAGAGAAGAAAUUAAAUCAAUCAUUAAUUGAUUUACCUAAUUGGAAAAGCAAUUUAUGAUAAAUUACUCGCUAUAUAUACACGUGCAAUGCGUGUGCAUUUUCCUAGUUUGAUCACUAUAAAGAAUAAGGAUUUGGCUCAUCUCCACUAAAUUCUAUCUUCAUUUUUCAUAAUACACAUCUAGAUGCAUAACAUGUGUUUUUAUUUAUUAACAAAUCUUAAAAUUAGUCAAACUUGAAAUGAUCUUGUCCCCUUUUAAUAAAUAAAGACACAUGUGAUUCAUUCAUAUGUGCAUUAUAGGAAAUGGAAAGAUAAUUUAUUAGAGAAGAGCCAAAUUAUUUGUGAAUAUUAUUUUAAUAAUAAAACACUAGAAAAUUUGGUGGUCAUUCAAGUUUUCAAGUCUCAAAAACUUGGAAAGUAAGAUAAGAAGGUAAACUUGCAAAUCAUAUAUAUACAUAUAAUAAAGUCGUAUUCUCAUUCUUAUCGAUUCAUGUUUUCUUUUUCUUACGUGGCUUAACGAGACGGCAAGUAGUUUUCUACGUGGCUUGCUCUUUUUUUGUUUGGAUUUAUAUCAAUUCUUAUUUCCUAUAUUAUAUGAUUAGUUUGAUAAGAUAUAUCAAUUCUUAGUCGGAUAAGAAUUGUUAGUCCGAUAAGAUAUAUCAAUCAUACUAAGAUAUAUCAAUUCUUAGUCCGAUAAGAAUUGUUAUCACUACAAGAAGUAGAAAAGUAACUAAUUUCAAUUAAUAAAUCAUCUUUUCUUCAAAAAAAUAGUUAUUUGGACGAUUGUGGUUUUAUUUCCUAUAACAAUUCUUAAUAUUUUUUAAUCAAAUUUUCACCUCAUAUAUAUAAAUUUUCAUGGGUUUUGUUGUCUAGAAUUUUUGUAAUGAAAUUGUUUUCAGCGAGCCAAAAGAUUCUUUUUUUAAAAAAUAUGUUCAUCUUCAGAUGUAAGAAUUUUAUGGAAGUAAAUGCUAUUGUUGAUUACGUCCCAUGUUGUUCUUAAAUUUUUAAUAAUCAAUUGACUAAGAUAUUUCUUCACGAAAUUUGUGUCUUUAACUAUUAUUACUGUUAGUUACUUUAGUUGAAUUUUUUUUGUUAUGUCUGACACUACAGUUAAAUAUUCAUAUUAUAAGCAUUUGGCCUAUGCCUCUUGAGUGUGGCUAAUUAAAUCCUGCUUUCCUAUCAUGCAGUGAUAAUGGAAAAUCAAUAAAUGCUAAGUUGCACGGACAAACCGAGGAGAAUUUUCAAACAGAAGAAAAACAAAACAAGUUUCUGAAGAGUAUAAUAUUAUUUAAUACUAUUUACUGCACUUUUUAUUUAUUUUUAAGUUUUUGAAUGUUAUUUUUUCCAUUUUUGAAUUAUUAUUCACUGAAUUAGAUGUUCAAAUUUAUAUUAUAAGAAUACUUUAUAUUACAAUGCGCACAUAGUAAUAUACUUAAGACAAGUUAUAAUAGAUUAUACAUUAAAUUUGUAUUUUAUAUUGACAUUUUCAUAAAAUUGACUAAAUAGUUUAUUUUUUUUCGACGAUUCCCGUUCAACAAACAGGUACAAAACUAGUUUGAAUAUAAAAUUGGCAAAUUUAGCUAGAAAAAAAACACUUUAAAAGUACUUUUAUCACCUAAAAGUACUCUUUUACCAAAAGUAAUGCAACUCCAAAUGGUGCCUAAAUAUCUAACGAAAUUACCUCUUGAUUGCAAAAAUGGUAAUUUUACUACCAAAAAAAAAUGAAAGUUACCAAUUCUUUUUUUUCUGAAGGAAUUACCAUUUCUUUCACUAAUUUUACUACCAAAAAAAAGUGUCAGAUACCAUCUUAAACCAUCUCCUCUUAUUCAAAAAGAAAAAUGGAUAAUUUCAAAAAUUUCCCCGAGGUUUCUAACAAUGUCACUAGACUCUCCUGAAGUUUUCAAGAUUACACAAACCUCCCCUGAGGUUAAGGUUUUGUUAACAAAAUUAGUUCAAUUAGAAAUAGUAAUAUUAAAAAGGUACUUGAAGGAGAGAGAUGAAACUUUUAUUUUAUAAAUACCCCUUAUGCAUGUAUAUAAGUUGUAUUAGUAAAAAAAAUAAAAAUAAUUAAAAGUUAGAAACAAUUAAUACAUACAUUUCACCACUUAAAAGUUCACAUUUAAUAAAUUAGGCAAUACAAAUAAGCAACAAAACUACACUAAUAAUCAUAAGAUUCAAAACGACCUUCUUUCGUUUGUGAUCAUUAGAGUAGUUUUGUUGCUUAUUUGUGUUUUCUAAUUUAUUAAAUGUGAAUUUUUUGAGCGGUGAAAUAUGUAUAUUGAUUAUUUCUAACUUUUAAUUUAUGGAACAAAAAUUCCAUCUCUCUCCUUAAAGUACUUUUUUAAUGUUCCUUUUUUUAAUUGGACUAAUUUUGUCAUCAAAACCUUAACCUCAGGGGAGGUUUGUGUAAUUUUACAAAUUUCAGGGAAGGCUAGUGAAAUUAUCAGAAAGUUCAAGGGAGGUUUCUCAAAUUAUCCCAAAGAAAAAACAAAAGAAAAUCCUCCACGGCUGCUGCAGCCUGCGGCCAUCUCCUCAACACUGCUCACCUAAAUUGAUGAUCUUGCUUAAUUUUCAAUUCGCCUUCAAAGCCCCAUCGCUCAAAGGGAUUCCUUUUGCCCAUUUAGGGAUUCCAUGACUUAGAAAGUUCAGCAAAUUUCAGUUGAAUUCUUAGUACUUUACCUUGAUUUCUCUUUUCUCCCUUUCUGUUAUGGUACAGAACCAGAGUCGCAGCAAUAUGAGAAUGUUGCAAACUCAAAAUAUGGGUUAAUCGCGGCAAACAAUCAAUGGAACAGUGAAUUUGGAGAUUAAAAGAUGAACUCAACUUUCAUUAAUGAACUUCAAUAUUAGGUUACAAGAACAGAGAAUACGAAUUCAGUGAGGAAGGGGAAAGAAAUUGAAGGAAAACUUGGGAGGAGGGAAACGAGAUUGGUGGCCCAAAUCUCUUACAAUCAAAGCUGGAAAAUAAUGACAAAAGCUACUCUAUACCGCAGACAUGCCUGCUUAUAUCACUAUCUGUGCUAACAAACUUUCAACUAAACCAAUGAACUCUAAACACGUGUCCUUUCAUAGCUACAAGUGGCAAUGGUCCUCAGUUUCUGUUCGAAGCAGAUGAAACCCAGCAAAGGCGUGGUUUGUGGGCACGCCUUCGAUGACUCACUUAUGCAAAACUUCACGCUUUCAGCUUCUGACAUCACGACUUCUUCAUUUCUGCUUCUUAGUUCAUUUCUUCAGUUCCAGUCUAACCUUUUAGCUCCAUCACAAUUUCAUGUUUGUUCAGGGUUCCGACGACUCUUUUGAAAUUCACGAGGGCGGCAGCUUUGAUUUCGAUGGGCUUUGAUUUUCUCCGGGGCGCUGUUAUGAUUCACGCUACAACCAUAGUCAGUGCAAGUGUGAUGGCACAUCGACACUCUUGUUGUCUCCAUGAUUAUCAUCGGUAUUGAUCCUAAAGUUACAGUCUUCUUUGUUUUCCUUUUUCCGCCUUCAUUUUGUGGCUUUCUUAUUAUUUUUAAUGGGUUUCCAUUUUUCAAUUUCAUCUAGGGUUUAAAUUACUGAUAAAUUUUUUAUUAUUAAAAGAGUAGGUUGACUGGAAUGAAUCCAUCAUCUCAUAAAUAGUUCCUCUUCACAUUUGGAUGCCAUACUAUAUGUAGUUUUCUUCUGGUAUCAAUCUAAAUUUUUUGUUUUUGAUUCUAUUUGAUCCACGUUUAACUACUUGCUGCUGAGAGUAUGAAAAUGCAAUUUUAAUUUAGAGGAAUUUACUUUCAUUUGGUGAUGCAAUGAUUCUUAGGGAUGUGCUAUUGGUACAUACAAAGAUGUUGAAGGAUCUGAUGAAAAUCUCUGCAAACCUUGUUCCCUUGACUGCCUUCCUAGUCAUGCAUUUUUUAUCUAUGUAUGAGGUGAUGUAAUGCAAUGAGCUUUAAGUUUCUUAGAAGUCCAUUUCUCAAUUAUCUGCUUCAUUAUUGGACAUGAUAGAUCUAACUUUAUUUUGGGUAUGAUUUGCUACAGGGGAUGUUACCAAAUCAGUUUGUCCCUACAAAUGUAUAUCCAAAAGGUACAGAAUGCCCAACUGCUAUACCUCUUUUGACGAGUUGAUACAUACACUUGAAGGUCCCUGGCCAUUCUCACUCUUAUCAGCAUGUCUUGCACUCCUUCUAGCUCUAGUAUUGAGCACUUUGAGGAUCAAAUUGAUUGGGUUGGGAUGUUCACAUAUCAAUGUGAAUUCAACUGAGCUCCAAAAUCAUCAUCAUUCUCCUUAUCUUCUCACUUUAUCUGACGUAUGGUCUUCAUUAACUUUUCGGUUCUAGGAUGCAUCUAUGUAGUAUUGCCAAAUUGGCAAUUUUUAUUUUUACAGUAAUUUAUUUGCAUAACAUCUAGGUCUGUGGUGCCAGAGCCGAAGAAACUCAGAGCCAUGUCCACAUGAUGUAUUUUUAUGGUCCCAAUACUUUUAGAUAACCGUAUAAUCUUCCCUAUUUGCCUCCCAACGCAAUUGUUGAGAUUGUGUAAACAUUCACAUGUAAUUUGAAGUUUUUGGGUAGUAGGCAAGGGUUUAGAAGAAAAAAACUUGUUCACCUUGGAACCUUAUAUGUAGGAGUUUAAUUUAUUAGUUCUUUUGUCAUCUUUGAUUACGAGACAAUUUUGAAUGCUGUACAUAUUUUUCCUUGCCAUUUUAAAAGACUGUGCUUAAGUUCAUGAUUAUUUAGUAACUUUUGAGUUUUACACCUGAAAGUUAUUAGUCUUUCUUCUUAUUCAUUAAUUUUUAUUCCACAAAGAUACAUAAGUUAAUCUUUGAUCCAUUUCACUGAGUCAGAAUUUUGACUUCUUUUCCAAUGAACUGUACUUGGUUGAGGCUCACUUAGCUUCAACUUUCUGGUCUGAUACAGCGAGAAUAUGAGAGUUUUUCUAAACAAAAUUUUACUUCAUUUGCAAAAUUUUCAAGGUUACUCAUGUGCUAAUGGUGAUUAACAGCAGGUAUGAAGGUGCUUUGAACAGAUUUAUAGACGAGAUCAACUCCGUUGCAGCAUAUGAACGGUGGGAAGGGUCAGUGCAUAGCACAUGCUUGCUUAAUCUUGUUCCUGGUCCCGGAAACAAUGGCGUUGGAGUAAUAAAGUUCACCAUUGUCAGGAGUAUGUUUAGUCUGAGUAUGACCAUUCUUGUAUAUGAUCCUGCAGAUCGCCAGCAUUAUACAAAGGAAUGAAGGUUUGACUUUGUUGCUAAGAGUGAAACUCUUUGGCCCUGUGGAAAUCUGAUCAAAAUUUUGUGGCUCAGGAAUUUGCAGCCUAAUACUUCUUUUAUGCCCUGCAAGACAAUGAUGCUAGUAUGAAUUUGGUGUAUUUAGUUCAAUAGAGUAUUUUCUUAUGUUGAUAUGGCCUAUUAAUUCGGUGUAUUGAAUUAAAAUAGCUUUAAAAAGUUUAUUUAUGUAAUAAAAGUUGUUUAAUUAAGAAUUUUAUCUGCAUAUCAGUAGCCAAUUGCUUGAUUACAUAUUUGCUAAAGUUGUAAAUUAACCAAUGUCUGGGCAUGCUCAUGCGUUGCAUUAGGGCUCACACAAGUAUUCUAGUCCAAAGAACAAAGAAUUUGAGAUCAUCUACAAAGGCGCUGGAAUUGGAUGAGAAGUUGGAAGAGGAGAAUUUGACGAUUCUACUCUUCAAACAGGGCCAAUUCCAAGCUUCAAGCAGUCAAUUAGCCAACUAAGUCCAAUAUCAUCUUUCUUUGCCCUUUUUUGAUUUCCUUCCUCCAAUACUCUGUCUUGCUUAAAGCUGAUGUGAAGGAAUUGUAUGUUUUCAGAUGUAUUAUGCAUUUAGUCAUAGAUAGUGUUAUAAGUUUAUACCUAGCAGUGUAAUUUCUGUUCUUUUUUCUAUUCUAUUGUUUGCCUUUUAUGGUCACUUUUGCGAACCUUUCCUUGCCAGACACGUGUCUGUUAAACAUCUUUGGCACUUUUCUUUUGAGGUAUCAUGAGCUCUAACAAGUCGCUCUAGCUUUAAUCGUAAGACCCUUCUGAUCCAUUACUCACAUGACUGCUGUAUAAGCUUGUUUCAUGUGUUCACAUGACAUGGUGCAUAUGCCUUUUUGUUUUGUUUUUUUUUUUCAAUUAUCCUUAGUAAUGGAUGAAUUUUUCUAUGUAUUUCUCUGUAGAAGAUCAAGAUGUUUUAGGUUGUCAAUUAAUCUUUUGCACUUAAUCUAAUUGCUAUGACAUCUCUUGUCCAAAGUAUGUUGUUACUUUUUGUCUUAUUUGUCCAUUUGUGGAUUUCCAGCUCCGCAAAAGAGUGUUUCAAGUUUCUCACUAGAUACCUCACAACAUUUUCUGAUGAAGAUGCAUAUGCUAUGAAUGAAGCAAAGGAAGAAGCAGUCCGUGCUAUAGUUGAUUUUCUGAAGGCACCUGGCAUGUUUCAAGUAUCGCUUGUCUGUCUCUUUGAAUUGCAUAUAAAAUGGUUGUGAGGAGCCUCAAGGCUUGGUUGAAUCUGACUUUAUGGAGCAUGAUUAUUCAUCUCCAAAUGUUACAUUAAAUUUUUCUUUGCUAUAAUUUUGAGCUAAAGUGUGACAUAUAUGCUAUUGUACUUCAUUAUCAAUAUGGUAUAUUGGAACUUAUUUGCGUGAUGUGUCACAACAUUGUGGAGUCAUUUGUACCUUGGAAUGUGAAGAAACCUACAACUCAUCAAUCAAGUUAGAUUUUGUUCUUGUUGUCUUGGAUUAUAGUAGUUGUACUUCUACUUCCAUAUUUAUUUGAAUAGUUGAUAGAUAGACGAACUUGUCAGAUGGUAUGUCUUCUUGGAAUAUAGCUAUAUGUCGACCUUGUAGAAGGUGAAAAGCUGUAUGUAUUUUAUGAAACCAGGGACAUAAUUUACUUUGUGACUUCUUGUUUUCAAAGACUGGUACUGGCGCCGGUGCACCUGGAAGUUGCUUGUGCUAUUAUGUUUUGGAUAAUAUUUCACUCUUGCUACAUGGAUAAUGAUUCUUUUAUGCGUGUUCUUGCUAGUGGGACUACCAUGUAAGCCUGCUGUGGCGCAGUUAGAGAAGGAUGCUAAACAUGCAUUGGUAUAUCAGCUCCUGAAGAUCUUCUUGACUCAAGUUUGAUGCUUACUCGGAUUUUCCUUGUUUCAUUGCUGCUGAAAAGCCAUUGACCACUUAGUUUCCUCGACAAAAUUUCUUUCUUUCGUUGUAGUUUAUGUCAUUUUUUGGGAUAGAUAUUUUCAGAUGAAUCUUAGUAGUGAUAGCUUAAUUGCUAAAGUACACAAAUACAACACUCAAUUUUCACUGGGGAUACCAGAUUGCAAUACUUAUUUAGAAGUUCUUUACAAUGAUGCAUUGGAUUGUAAGUUUUUUUCUUUUUUUUUGGUGUGUUCCUAACUCAUCUGGAAAAUAUCUCAAAUAUGAGGGUGUUCCUUAUUCUUUUUAGUCCAUUUGGUUUUAGAUUAGUCAAAAUUUAUAAUCAAUCUGUCAUUUUCCUAGUAUAUUUAUUCAAAUGGCCAAAAUAAGAAAUUUGAAAUUUAUAACCAAUUUGUUAACGAUCUAAUCUAUUCAAUCAAAUGGCAAAAACGAGCAAUUUAAUGUAUUCUUGCUCGUUUUUCCAUGGCCAAGAGUGAAAUUGGAAAAAACUGCAAACUUAGAUGUAAAAAAAUGCGAUGAAUCAAUUUGAUGUAUUCUAAAUCGAAAAUUUUGAUUUGCUAGAGAUAAAGGAACUUGAUUGCACAGUUGGUUGCCAAGUUAUAAGAUCUAGAUUUAGAUCCCUCUAGUUGAAAAUAUGGGAUAUUCCCUUGAAAUGUUUUUAUAAUGUAGAAUGGUCAUCUUGUUUAUUCUUGGUGGUUUUAUUGAUGAACUCGUAUAAUUUGUAUUGUAAAUUGGAGAAUCAAUCAAUUUUUGUUAUAGCGAUGAUAAGGUUCAUAUUUUAAAGUACUAAGUUCUACUAAAAUAAGAAAAUAUAAAAAUAAUGUUCUACAACAAUAAGCAUUGAGAUGAAUUUAAUAACAGUGACGUUUAUGGAAUAUUAGGUACAAACAAUUGCUAAAUAAGUUCUUUAGCAAAUGCACUCCUUGAUCAACGUGGUUGUUUAGAAUAAUGACGCUAAAUUAGUAGCAAUAGUUAUGAGUUUUUAUUGAUAGGAUAUGUUUUCUGUGUAAAUGAGGCGCUAACAAGAAGAAAUAUUUUAUUGACGAAUUUUUUUAUAUUUUUAUGUAGUCCCGAAUACUAGGAUAGAGAUUAAUCUUUCAUACAACUAGAAAUGCUAUUUAUAAUGAUCAGUCUUUUUUUGUGACUUUCAACAAAAUCUUCCACAAAAUCUUCACCGAAAAGGAUACUUUCGUAUGAGGGCUUCCACCUCGGCUAUCCCAAUUGUGCUCCUAAAAUGAGGGAGUUGGCCGAAAUCUAUUCUGGUGAGGUCUAGUGGAGCCGCUGGCUCCAAUACCCCCUCAUCUCGGGAUAUCUCAGAUUCGAGGUCGUCGUUAUAUAAGACCUCGGACUCCGUCUCCUCGGCUUCCGGAGAAAUCUCGGCUCUUUCUCCUCCUAGGUUGGCAAAGGUGUCUUCAACCUCCUCGGAAGGGUCGGAGCUCUCCGCUUCUUCGAAGUUCGGCCUCAUUGUCUUUUUAUGCGUAUGAGCUAUUCUAGCCAUACUUGAAAAAGAAAAUGGACUUACUAUUUUCUAAAGAAAGUAGAGGUCAGCUACUUCGCGCUAGCAAAAAAUAAUCUCAAUUGAUUGCCUCGGUUGAGUUGAUGUAACUUUCUCUCACAGUGAAAGUAAAAGGUGAAAAGCCCUCUAUUUAUAGGAGGGGAAAGGCAAACAGGCAGUCGUUUUGAAUUUCAAAAGACGUGUCCCCUCUUUUCUCAUUAAUGAGUGACUAUUCGUCUGACAUCCGUUCAAUGCAUCCCUCAAUGUCCAAGCCUUUAUUUCCCCCAUUGAAACUUGGCUUACCAUCAUCCCAAUGUGAGCCACAUGUCUUGUCAUUGUUCUGCGACUUAGCCUGGAGUAGGGAGGCAUGCUAGCUUUCCCCUCCCCAAGGCUGGGGGGCUUAUUGAGGGCGUUCACCUCGUCCCUCCUCGAUUUUACGACUGGGUGAGGUGACCUCCGCGAGUCCCUUGCCACCUCGGCUCAUUGUCUCACCCCCUAGGGUCGGCCUCAGUCUCUCCGAGGCGGCUUCACCUCAGCUUGACUUCCUAUCUGACAUCUAACAGACCACAGGAAAGGUUGACUUGUACACGACGGAAUGACAUGAUAGUGACAUGACUAUUGGAAAUAGUUAGUGAUAAAUUCCACAUUGAAAGUAUGUGAAGUAUGGAAGAGGUUUAUAAUCAAGGGCACACGUAUUCAAAUCAAUUUGGAUGGUAGGAAAUUUUGGAGGGAAACUUCAAAAUUGCACAUGCAUUUGUCAUGUUGACUAUUAAAUUAAAAUAUAAAUUUAAUGGUCAAAAGAUUGGCACUUGGCACUUGGGCACUUGGAUCUUAAGAACCAAAAUUAAUUUUAAUUAAUUUCGUUUUAAUAUUUCUUCUUAACUAAACGGUUUCCUUUUAGGGGUUAUAUCUGAUGAUACAGCGCAUGCAACCGUUAAGUGUCUAUUUAUUUUUAAAAGGUACAUAUUCAUGAAGAAAUACGUUUCUAAAAGACAUGACAUUUCUUUUGGGGUACCUGAACAUUAUAAAUAAGAGUAUACAGAUAACAAAAAACUCUCUUUUUUUUUUUUACUUCUGAUUUUCCUAUUCUUCUACUUCGUUCAAAACAAUAUUCUCUAAACUGUUUUUUGAGAGAAUUUCUACAUACUACUGUGUGGAAAUUCUGGUUGGCUUUGUUAUUCUUAGAUGGAAUUGCUCAAACCCAGUAGUAGAAUAGUGAGAGCAAAUUUCCUUAAGGAAAGUGAAUUUUCACGUCAAAGCCGUUUUCUGUUGUCAUAGUUAUUACUGUUUUACUAACAAUGACCACUGCUAUGUCCUUUCUAUCAGGCCUAAGUCUGACACUGUCAGCCUAAGGCCUAUGGGAAUUGAAGCUCAUCAUUCUUCCGACCAUAUUGUCUAUUAUAAAUACCCUUCCAUCCGUAGGAAAGGUACAUACAUACUCUAACUCAGACACAUAUUAGAAAUACUAAGGCCCUUGCUUUUAGUUUGCAAUUGCGUACCACUUGACCGGGGAACAAAGCCCUGUGCUCUUUAUGCAGAUUUGAUAGGUGAAUCCUUCGGUUCGGUCCAAUCAUUCGGAAUUCAGCUUUUCACCUUCAAAGCCCCAUCACUCAAAGAGAUUCCUUUUGCUCAUUUAGAGAUUCCAUGACUUAGAAAGUCCAACUAAUUUCAGGUGAAUUUGCAGUUCUUUGCUUUGAUUUCUCCUUUCUCACUUUAAUGUUUGUUCAGGGUUCCUACAACUCUUUUGAAACUCACGAGGGCGGCAGCUUUGAUUUAGAUGGGCCUCACUCUCCAGCGUUGUUAUGAUUCACGCUACAACCAUUGGCGGUGCAAGUGUGAUGGCACUUCCCGAAACCCUCCUGAAUAAAAUUGGCACUCGUGCUGUGUCCUCGGUAUUGAUCCUAAAUUUACAAUCUUUUUUUAUUAGAGAAAUUUACUGUCAUUUGGUAAUGCAAUGAUUCUAGGAAUGCACUAUUGGAACAUACAAAGAUGUUGAAGGAUCUAACGAAAAUAUCUACAAACCUUGUUCCCUUGAGCGCCUUCCUAGUCAUGCAUUUUUUUUUAUCUAUGUAUGAGGUGAUGUAAUGCAAUGAGCUUUAAUAUUCUUAGAAGUCCAUUUCUCAAUUAUUUGCUUCAUCAUUGGACAUGAUAGAUCUAACUUCAUUUUGGGUAUGAUUUGUGUUAGGUCUGGUCCCAGGAAAUUGACAAAAGGAUUUGUAGGAACCCCUAAAAGACAAAUAACAAAGCAGAAAUAAGUAAAACAAGAACACAAGAAUUUACAUGGUUCGGUCAAAUUGACCUACGUCCACGGGCGGAGGAGGAGCAAUAUUUUACUAUGAAGAAGAGAGUACAAAAGAUGCCUUAGGAAAGUGUUCCUAGGCCCAAAACACCUAAUACUAAAACACAAGAGAGCCUAAAAGUAUUUAACUAAACAAAAGGUUUAAUGACCCAAAGGCCCAAAUAGCCCACUAAUGCUCUUUUGGUCUUGUGCACUUAACCCCAUCACAGGCCCACUAUAUUUAUAGGCAACCAAGGGAAAGGUUCCCUUAUACAAAAGCCGAUGUGGGACAACGCCACACUAACAAAUCUCCACCUUGACGUGUCCCCAACAUCAACAGUAGCAAAACUGCUCCACCUUCUCCACAUAAACUCCAAUGGGCUCACCAACAACGAAUACCAACUCAAAUCAAGCAUUGUUUGAACUUGUAAACUGGAAGAGAUUUCGUGAACAUGUCAGCAGGAUUCUCCUUGGUACUGAUUUUCUGAACAAGGACUUUUCCCUCAGCAAUAGUAUCUCGAAUGAAAUGAAAUUUCACAUCAAUGUGCUUCGUCCUCUCAUGAUACAUCUGGUCUUUGGUCAAAUGAAUGGCACUUUGACUAUCACAGUAAAUAGUAAUAACACCUUGAUACAAACUAAGUUCGCCAAACAGACUCUUCAACCACAAAGCUUCUUUGAUUGCCUCAGUCAUGGCCAUAUAUUCUGCCUCCGUAGUAGAUAAAGCUACAAUAGAUUGUAAAGUAGCUUUCUAACUAACUGCACAACCGCCAAUGCAAAAUACGUAAUUUGAAAGUGAUCUUCUCCUGUCAAGAUCCCCAGCAUAGUCAGAGUUUACAAAACCAACCAAAGUGUUAUUAUUUCUUCCAAACUCCAAACUACAAUUUGAAGUCCCUCGCAAGUAUCUGAGAAUCCACUUCACAGCCUAUCAAUAUGCUUUUCCGAGACACGACAUAUACCUGUUAACCACACUGACUGCUUGUGCAAUAGCUGGACGAGUACAAACCAUUGCAUACAUAAUGCUGCCAACUACGUUGGAAUAAGGAACCCGUGUCAUAUACUCUUCCUCUUCAACUGACUGUGGUGACUGAGUAGCAGAUAGUCGAACAUGAAUAACAAGAGGAGUAGUCACAGGUUUAGCAUCUUUCAUGCCAAACUUCUCCAAAACCUUUUCAAGAUAAUUUUCUUGAGUCAAGAAUAAUUUUCUAGCUCCUCGGUCUCUUUUGAGUUCCAUGCCAAGAAUUUUCUUAGCUGCUCCCAAAUGUUUCAUGUCAAAUUCACUACUUAACUGCAACUUCAAAGUGUGAAUUUCUGACAAAUUCUUGGCAGCAAUGAGCAUGUCAUCAACAUAAAGUAGCAAAUAAAUAAAAGAACCAUCAUCUAACUUCCGGAAGUAAACGCAACUAUCAUACAUGCUCCUUGAAUAACCAUGACUCAACAUAAAAGUGUCAAAUCUCUUAUACCACUGUCUUGGAGAUUGUUUCAAUCCAUAUAAGGAUUUUUUUAACAAACAAACAUGGUCUUCCUUUCCUUCAAUUUCAAAUCCCUGAGAUUGUUUCAUAUAAAUUUUUUCUUCAAGUUCACUAUGUAAAAAAGCUGUCUUAACAUCAAGUUGCUCCAACUCCAAAUCAUACAUGGCAACUAAAGCAAGCAAAACACGAAUAGAGCUAUGCUUAACAACAUGUGAAAAUACUUCAUUAAAAUCAACACCUUGUACCUGACUAUAGCCCUUUGCAACCAAACAUGCUUUAUACCUUGCAUCUUCAACUCCUGGAAUACCUUCUUUCUUCUUGAAGACCCAUUUGCAUCCAACAAUUUUCUUACCUGAAGGCGGCUUCAUAAGAACCCAAGUUCCAUUUCGAUGGAGAAACUCAAUUUCUUCAUUUAUCGCAACCAACCACCUAGCAGAAUCAUCACAAGAAAUCGCAUCUGAAUAAGUAAUAGGCUCAUCAACUACAUCAGUUUCUUCUGCGAUAGACAAAGUAUAUGCAACCAAAUUUGCAUAUUUUUGUGGUGGUCGAAUAUCCCUCAUUGGUUUAUCUCUGGCAAUGAAAUAUUCUUCCUCUUCUGAAUUAUUUUCAUCGGUAGAUUCAGAUGCAUCUACUAGCACUUGUUGAAUAGAAAGACCAGAGAGAUAAAUGAAAUAUUCUUCCUCUUCUGAAUUAUUUUCAUCGGUAGAUUCAGAUGCAUCUACUAGCACUUGUUGAAUAGAAGGACCAGAACUACCAAUCUCAAGCUCCACCUGCUUCUGCAUACUAUUAUCUGUUUGACAAGAACUAGAAGACUCCUUCUUGGAAGAUAACAUAGAGAAUUCAUCAAAAGUAAUGUCUCUACUGAUUAUAAAUUUUGGAGAUUCAAGGAAAAUACACUUUUUAGCACGAGAUUCUAAUUUUCCAUCAUUUACAUGCAUGUAUGCUGGACACCCAAAAAUUUUAAAAUCAGAAUAAUCAGCAGGAGUACCUGACCAAAUUUCCUCAGGAGUUUUGAAAUUAACGGCAGCAGAAGGAGCACGGUUAACAAUAUAACAGGCCAUAGAAAUUGCUUCGGCCCAAAAAUCUUUGGCCAACCCUGCGUUAGAGAUCAUGCACCUCGCUCUCUCUAAAAGUGUUCUGUUCAUACGUUCGGCCACACUAUUUUGCUGAGGCGUCAUCCUGACAAUGUGAUGCCGAACAAUUCCUUCAUUCUUGCAAAAUUCAUUAAAUUCUCUUUCACAAAAUUCCAUACCAUUAUCUGUUCUAAGCCGUUUGAUCUGUUUAACUGUCUGUUUCUCAAUCAAAACUUUCCAUUGCUUGAAAGUGAGGUAAAUAUCAUUCUUAUGUUUAAGAAAAUAAACCCAAACUUUUCUUGAAUAAUCAUCAAUGAAAGUCAACAUAUACAUGGCACCACCCUUAGACGGAACACGAGAUGGACCCCAUAAAUCUGAAUGAAUAUAAUCAAGAGUACCUUUCGUCUUAUGGAUCGCUUGAGAACUGAAGCUAACUCUUUUUUGCUUCCCAAAUAUACAAUGUUCAUAGAAUUCUAGUGACCCAGUACUCUGACCGCAAAGAAGUCCCAUUUUGCUUAGUAUGCUCAGGCCUUUCUCGCUCAUAUGUCCCAAACGCAUAUGCCACAAUUUAGUGAUGUCAGAAUCAGACAAAGAUGAUGAUAACGAAACUGCAACCGAGCCUGUGACAGUAGAUCCCUGCAAAACAUAUAAACUACCAACCCUGCAAGCUUUCAUUACAACGACAGCACCUUUAGAAACCUUCAUAAUGCCAUUUUCACCUGUGUAUUUGCACCCAAGAGCCUCUAGAGUGCCCAAAGAGAUGAGAUUCUUUUUCAAAUCAGGAACAUGUUUAACAUUAGUGAGCAUCCUCACAAUACCAUCAUACAUUUUAAUUCGAAUUGUACCCUUACCAACAACAUUAUAAGCGGCAUUAUUAUCCAUCAAAACAAUUUCACCAUUAUAAGAUUCAUAAGUGGAAUAUAAAUCCCUAUUGGGACACAUGUGAUAAGAGCACCCCGAAUCUAAAAUCCACUUAUUUUUAGACCUUGUCCUGUCAUCAGUCACAAAGAAAAUACUUCCUUCAUUCUCAUCAGCUGCAACACCAGUUUCGGCAGCCUCAAAAUUUUUUUCACUAGGUUUCCCCUUUUAUUUCAAUUUAUUUUUCAAUUUGAAACAAUCUGCCUUAACGUGCCCCAUUUUAUGACAAUAAUUGCACUCCACAUUUUUAUGUCUGGAUUUAGAUCUAGAUUUAGAUCUACUUUUAUUAAAUUCUCUUCUCUCAGUUCUGUCCCUAACAACCAGACCUUCUGCAUGGCCUCCACUAAAUUUUUCAGUAAUAUCCCUGUCUAUCUGCUCCUUAGAUUUUAAUGCAGAUUUAAUUUUCUGAUACAAAAUUGUUUCUUUUCCAUAAAUCAUAGUAUCGCGAAAAUGUUUAAAAGAUUGGGGAAGGGAACACAAAAGUAACAGGGCCUGAUCCUCAUCAUCAAUUUUUGAAUCUAUAUUUCCCAAAUCCAUAAUAAUGGAAUCAAAUUUAUCAAGAUGUGAGAGUAUAGAUGUACCUUCAGUCAUGCGAAGCAUAUACAAACUUUGCUUUAAAUAAAGCCGAUUCUCAACUGUCUUCUUCAUGUACAAGACCUUAAGUUUGUCCCACAUGGCCUUUGCCGAAGUCUCAGUGGCUACCUCCCGCAAAAGCUCGUCAGAGAAAUUUAAGAUAAUACUGGAUCUUGCCUUCUUAUCCAUCUCAGCAAAAUUUGCUUCUGUCACACUCUCUGGCUUUUUCUCAAUUCUGUGUAUUGCUAGAUCAACUCCGUCUUGAACCAAAAUGGCCUCCAUCUUGAGCUGCCACAUCCCGAAGUUGACAUUCCUGUCGAAUUUCUCGACGACAGUCUUUGUUAUUGUCAUUGUUGCCACAAAAUCCAAAGCCUCCAAAGAAGCUCUGAUACCAGUUUGUUAGGUCUGGCCCCAGGAAAUUGACAAAAGGAUUUGUAGCAACCCUCAAAAGACAAAUAACAAAGCAGAAAUAAGUAAAACAAGAACACAAGAAUUUACGUUGUUUGGUCAAAUUGACCUACGUCCACGGGCGGAGGAGGAGCAAUAUUUUACUAUGAAGAAGAGAGUACAAAAGAUGCCUUAGGAAAGUGUUCCUAGACCCAAAACACCUAAUACUAAAACACAAGAGAGCCCAAAAGUAUUUAACUAAACAAAAGGCUUAAUGACCCAAAGGCCCAAAUAGCCCACUAAUGCUCUCUUGAUCUUGGUGCACUUAACCCCAUCAUAGGCCCACUAUACUUAUAGGCAACCAAGGGAAAGGUUCCCUUAUACAAAAGCCGAUGUGGGACAAUGCCACACUAACAAUUUGCUACAGGGAAUGUUACCAAAUCAGUUUGCCCCUACAAAUGUAUAUCCAAAAGGUACAGAAUGCCCAACUGCUAUGCCUCUUUUGAAGAGUUGAUACAUAAUCUUGAAGGUCCCUAGCCAUUCUCACUCUUAUCAGGGUGUCUUGCACUCCUUCUAGCUCUAGUAUUGAGCACUUUGAGGAUCAAAUUGAAUGGAUUGGGGUGUUCAUAUAUCAAUGUGAAUUAAACUGAGCUCCAAAAUCAUUAUCAUUCUCCUUAUCUUCUCUCUUUAUCUGACGUACGGUCUUCAUUAACUUUUUGGUUCUAUGAUGCAUCUAUGUAGUAUUGCCAAAUUGGCAAUUUUUAUUUUUAACGUAAUUCAUUUGCGUAACAUCUAGGUCAGUGGUGCCAGAGCUGAAGAAACUCAGAGCCAUGUCCACAUGAUGUACUUUUAUGGGUCCAAAUACUUUUAGAGAACCAUAUAAUCUUCCCUAUUUGCCUCCCAACGCAAUUGUUGAGCCUAUGUAAACAUUUGCUUGUAAUCUGAAGUUUUUGGGCCGUAGGCAAAGGUUUAGAAGAAAAAAUGUUGUUCACCUUGGAACCCUAUAUGUAGGAGUUUAAUUUAAUAAUUCUUUUGUCAUCCUUGAUUACGAGAGAAUUUUGAUUGCUGUAUAUAUUUUUCUUUGCCAUUUUAAAAGACUGUGCUUAAGUUUAUGAUUAUUAAGUAUCUUUUGAGUUUUACACCUGAAAGAUAUUAGUCUUUCUUCUUAUUCAUUAAUCUUUAUUACACAAAGAUACAUAAGUUAAUCUUUACUGAGUCAGAAUUUUGACUUCUUUUCCAAUGAACUGUACUUGGUUGAGGCUCACUUAGCUUCAACUUUCUGGUCUGAUACAGCGAGAAUAUGAGAGAUUUUCUAAACAAAAUUUUACUUCAUUUGUAAAAUUUUCAAAUGUUACUCAUGUGCUAAUGGUGAUUGACAGCAGGUAUGAUGGUGCUUUGAACAGAUUUAUAGACGAGAUCAACUAAAUUGCAGCAUACAAACGGUGGGAAGGGUCAGUGCAUAGCACAUGCUUGCUUAACCCUGUUUCUGGUCCCGGAAACAAUGGCGUUGGAGUAAUAAAGUUCACCGUUGUUAGGAGUAUGUUGAGUCUGAGUAUGACCAUUCUUGUAUAUGAUCCUGCAGAUCGCGAGCAUUAUACAAAGGAAUGGAGGUUUGACUUUGUUGCUAAGAGUGAAACUCUUUGGCCCUGUGGAAAUCUGAUCAAAAUUUUGUGGCUCGGAAAUUUGCAGCCUAAUACUUCUUUUAUGCACUGCAAGACAAUGAAGCUAGUAUGAAUUUGGUGUAUUUAGUUCAAUAGAGUAUUUUCUUAUGUUGAUAUGGCCUGUUAAUCAUGUGUAUUGAAUUAAAAUAGCUUUAAAAAGUUUGUUAUGUAUAAUUGCAAGUUAAGUAUUAAAAGUUGUUUAAUGAAGAAUUUUAUCUGCGUAUCAGUAGCCAAUUGCUUGAUUACAUAUUUGCUCAAGUUGUAAAUUAACCAAAGUCUGGGCACCUUCAUGCAUUGCGUUAGGGCUCACACAGUAGUCUAGUCCAAAGAACAAAGAACCUGAGAUCAUCUACAAAGGUGCUAGAAUUGGAAUAGAAGUUGGAAGAUGAAAAUUUGACGAUUCUACUCUUCAAACAGGGCCAAUUCCAACCUUCAAGCAGUAAAUUCCAUAGACCUACUAGGAACCAUUUUUGCUAUCUCCAUGGAAUUUCCAUAGAAAUUCUUUCUGCAAGAAUAUGAAAUACUUACUUCAAGUGCCUUCACAUUAUAUUCACACUUUCGAGUAUAUAUCCAUUUGCACAAAUUCAAAGAAAGAAUUAAGAAAUCCAAAACCAUUAUACUCAAUGUCAUUUAACAGUGCAUUUAAUUGCAACUUUAAGAUUCAUGCUCACAAGUUGCAAAAAUAAUAUGGUACCACAUGAGAUUCUACACAUUCAUCUUUUUCCGUUAUUCACACUAGAAAUCCAUGUUAUUGAGAAUCUUCAAUGAUAUAUCAGAUUCUUUGCAUUAAUUUUUAGCAAAGGAAAAACCCCCAUUAUUUUAGUGCUUUAAUGAUACGCAACUAAACACAUAUCGCAUUCAAAGAUCCAAGUUCUUUGCAUAUUAGCAUAGAAAAUUACUAUGAACCCACUAUUUGUCACAACUUUUUAACAUGCAAUGGAGUAUAUAUCUAUUGCAAUUAGAGUGAAUGACCCAAUUAAUCAUACCCAUUGGAAGCUCACUUUUACUUGUUAAGAAGGCACCUUUAAAAAUUUCCUUCAAAAUGCAUGGCAGCAACUUGUCUAGUGCAGCAACAAGUUGUAAUUGUUCAGCAAUUUGAACUCUUUCGGAUCUACUUCUCUGGUGCCAUAUUUUCCUAUUAAGCCUUCCAAGACUUUUGGUAUUAGGACAAGAAGUUUCAUAGAAACUAUAAAAGUCAUUAUAAUACUAGCAAUGGAAUUCAACAACUUCCCUUUUUCUUAAAUUUUUCUCCACAAGCAUUCUUUUAUUGUUAAUAUGUUUCAUUGGUUGAGAUCUUCUCAUUUUUCGUCCAUAGGUAGGCUCAAGUGACUUGUAAGUUGAACUCCAUCUUGUUCUGAACCACUUUAAAAUUGUUGCUCCGCUAGAACAACUAUACAAAUGUCAAAUAGAAAAAUUAACAAUAGUUAUAAUAAUAAUUAUAACUAUAAUUAAAUAGUCAAAAUAAUAAUAUGAUAAUGCACAAAUGUAAUGGGUUGAGGUAUGGAUAUUUCGCCUUCUUUAAGAUUAUUUAAGCCUCUGCGAAAGAAUCAAUUUUCGUGUAGUAGAAUCUUCGGCUUGUUACCCCAAGGAUAUAACAGUCCAACUACACAUGCUGUUACUCUCAUUAGUCUGUACAACUAAGAGAGUAUAAAUUUUUUUUGCCAAUACAUGAGAUAGAAAAUAACAAAAGAGUAGAUAUUUUCUCUUAUGAAUUGUAGCUCAAAAAACAUAAGUUGUUGUAGCAUCUUUUUCUAUCUCAAUAACCCAUAUUUAUAGAUCAAGAAAAAUUAGUCAAACAUAACCUAACUAAUAAUAUGUUGAGUAGAUGCUGAAAAUUAUUGGCUAUUCAAGACACACUCUAAUUUGAAUUGUAAGUUACAAAAUUUAUUGGAAUUGAAAAGCCAUAAUUUUAUAUAACAAAUCUUUAGUCAAAAAUCAUUCAAACACCAAUAAAUUUGAAAAAUAUUCACCAAUUUAUUCUCCUUAUAACUUACACAUCUAAUUGAGAAUUUAACAAUUUUAUUAAAAUAUUCCAACACCUUAUAUACAUAAUCUAGAAAAUUUUGUGUUACUUCCAUAAAAUCAUGAAAUUAUUUCCAUAAACUAUGGGAGAUCUUUUAGCCACAAGCGAGUUAUGAAUUAACCAUAUUUUAUUUUCAGCUGUAAAGCACAUAUGUUCAACUUCUAAUCGAUUACCUAAACUUAAUUUCACUUCUAUACUUUCACAGAUACCAUUCCCAUAAAAGACUCUCACACUCAUUUGGAGGAGUCCAAAAUGCAAGUUGUUUUCGUAAUUUGUCAUCCUGGAUUAGAUCUACUAAAGGGGCCAAUUGUAGUGUGGUAAAUUAUGACCAUCCCCCACUUCGUGUCCACCAAAUUAUGAGGUGUGGCCCAAGAGUUUAUUUUUAUUCUUUUAUUUUUUUAUGUCAAUUACUUCUGUACAGCUUGAAAGUUCUUUGAUGGAGACUUGGAAGCAUGUUGUUAAUACAGGCAAAAAAAUAGUAAGAUUUUGGUGAUUUUGAGGUCAAUCAUGUUUUUUUGUUAAAAAAAUAGAUGCAUCAGUUAUUUCACCUGCACCCGCUGUGCAUCAAUUUUUUUAGGCAAUAAUAUUUUUAUAAUCAAAUUUAUCCUAAUUUAAAGGAAAGGAAAAUCUAAAAAAACUGUAUAUCAAGGGUUAGUACCUCUACUUUUUUUUUUUUUUUUGGUAAGAAAGUACCUCUACUUACUACUCAAAGAGGGAUUUAGUCUUUCUGUCAACCUGCCGGAGUUUGCUCUGGUGUUUGUGGCUGUGGGGAAGAGAGAAGAAAAAACACGUCGGAGUUUUGGGAGCAACACGUGUCGUGGUUGAAUGGCACCGGAUUGACGUUCCUACAGUGGGAAGGCCAAUAACAUACAAUUCCAUGAUAAAGAGGGUCAGGCCAAAAUCCCCUCCAUCCCAUUGAUAUUGCAUACUUUCUUUGUUGGAUGGUUCUAAAUUAUUUGUCAUUUAUAUAAAUUAGUUGAUAUAUUUCUAUUUAAUUUCUUCAUUUAGUCAUUUACUCCUCAGGCACUCCGUAAAAGUUCAAUGCAUGUUUUUUUUUUUUGAGUCCACGUACUAUUAUCAAGAAAGUAAAACAACUACUUUUUUGUAGUAUGUAACAGUUAUCAAGUAAUUAAAAUCACAACAAUCUAAGAUUUGGUAAAACUUUCAAAUAUCUAAGAUUUUCCACAAAACCUAGGAUUGAACAAAUAUCAUAGCCCCACAAUUCUUUAUGAGUUAGAAACUACACAUCAAGUUUCAAAUUCUAUCCACUAUUAAUAAAAAUUGUAAUUCUUGAACUGCGACAAACUUUAUAAGAUGUAAGGAGCAAUAUUUACUGCAUACAUAUACAUGUAUUGUUUCUUGGCUUGAUUUGUCCUCAUAAAUAAGAUCAUUGCAUCGAUUUUGGUGAAGAAAAACAAUUAGUCGAAGCUCAAACUGCAACUAUUAUAACAUCUUCAACAAUUACAAUAGUGUCAAGAAAGACACCACGUAAAAUGUUGUUUAUUAGGCACUUACAAUAUUGCAAAGUAAGGUAAAUUACAAUAUGACGGUAAAUUACUGCAUCAUAAAUACGCUUCUGAAAGUACAGGCUUUAUUCGUACGCGCCCAGCUUAAAAUCUAUUUGUUCUCUGAAAUCUCCAUGUGCAAUCCCUUGGGGUAACGAAUACCAGUAGGUGUCCGGAUUCUCUCUGCUCCGUUGGUAACUCUCCAGCUGAAAAUUCAAAUUAGACAGUCUUUCUUGAAAAAUCGAAGAAGUUAAGUGGACAUCAAUUUAUAAUAUAUAGGAAUUAGCUUCUUCUAUAUGUAUUUAAGCGAAGAUGGUGGGAAUUGUGAUUUGGAAAUCCUUACGUGUAUUUUGUGACCAAGUAAUGCAGAAAAAUUGACAUCUGCACCUUUGCAUAGUCAGCACCAACGCAAAGCCUCGUACCACCAGCAAAUGCCAUGAAAUUUUUUGAUCCCAUGUGUAAUUCUUUGCCCUUUUGAUUGAAAAAACAGCAGAAAAACCCUAAAUCAUUUUUACUUGAUUUUGUUUAACUUUUGUUUUGUAAGUUUAUCUUUCUUGUGUGCAUAUAUUGCUCAAAUAUGUCGAUGAUCAAAUUACCUCCCAUCGCCAUGGGUUAAAUUCAUGGGGGUUUGCAUAUACAUUAGGAUCCAAAUGAACACAUGAUGGACAAACCAUUACCGUCCAGCCAGCAGGAAUUGUAUACCCUGCAAAUCAUUCGCACUUAUUAGUCAAAACUGGAAGUUAUAAUGGUGGAAAAGAGGAACCAAGGAAACAAAUCAUUUAUUUUCUAUAUUUUUACUCCCAUGAAAAAAUGCCCAACCCAAGUAGUUAUUAAAGAGAGUUUUUCUUUCUUCUUUUUUUUUUUUCCUUUUUUGUGCAGGAGAAAGGUAUCACUGGUCCAAAAUAAAGAAAGUGUGACAAAUGAUUUUCAAGAAGAUGCCAAAUGACAUAUUGAAGCGUACCUUUUACUUCAACUUCCUUGACAACUUUGCGCAAAAUCCCAGGAGUAAUAUUUGCAAGCCUAAGUGUUUCAUUUAUAACCUACAGUAGACAACAAAACUUAAGAUGUAAAUGGUCUAGCUCACUAUAUGAUUCAAAUGAUAGAUACAAUGAAAUGUCUGGUUAAUUGGAGCGUACCAUGUGUGUGAAAGUCAUAGACUUGUACUCUUUCCAAGAAACAGCAGAACCUUCCGUUUCUCGCAUUUUAAGAAUAUUUUCAUGCUCUCUCUACAAAAAUGAAUGACUAUUUAAAUAUGAAGUAAUCUUUCAUAUUUAAAACAAUGCACACUAUCGGUAUAUAUAGAAUAUUAAUCAUUUAAAUAUUGAACUUGCAGAAGAAUUGGAGAAUUAAAGGGUAAAUACAGAUGACAACGGGAGAAAUUGUUUCGGAAAGUCACGGACCUUUAGUUCAGCCAUAACACGUGGAUGGCCAUCUAGAUACCUCAAGGCCACAGUCAAAGCUGUUGAAGUCGUUUCAUGGGCAGCAAAUAGAAACAAAAAUACCAGGUCCCUCGCAAUUUCUUCGUUCAAAAAAGUGUCUUCUUUCUUUAUUUGCUCAAGUAAAUGGUCCACAAAGUCUUUCGAAGUGUCAUUGCCCGAGCGCUUCCUCUCAAAGAUGUCCUUGAUGACCUUCAUUGCUUUCUUACGUCCCUGGAAAAUGAAAACCAUAUAGUUCGUUCAAUCUGAUACGGCAUUUAUGAAAGCAUAUAUAUUUUACGUAGUCAUAUAUUGAUAAUGAAUAUGUUUUUUUUUUCUUGUUGGUAUAGUGAACAUCGAUCUUUCAAUAUAAAAAGAAUUCCAAAUGACGAACAACAACAAUAACAAUUGAUUACUUGUAAGCAAGCAUGGAACGGUGUUCCAGGGAUGUUGAGAGGAAAUGAGAUCAAGCCAUCCAUGAAUGCCUUAUAACUGUCUCUCAAUUUUUGCUGAUCCUUGCUUUCUUCAUAGCCAAGCAUCUUCUUGGCAGCAUAUUUAAAUACCAACUGGAGAAAAUGAGAUUGUUCAUUACUACUUUUCAUGCAAUGCUCUGUACGUACAGUCCGAAUUCAUCCUGAUUAAUAUAAUCAAAUAGUAGCAUGCUGAUUAAUUUACCUCUGAUGUUCCAUCUUUAGCAUCUAAUUUUCCAAGUUUACUCCAAGAACUUAGAGAUUCUUGAGUGCUGGCAUCCAUUUCAUAUAUUAGCUUCUCUCUUAAGGCUUCGGGGCUAACAAGCUUGAACGUUAAGCUCUUGAGGUACUUGUGGAAGCCUCCAUGAUGGGCAAGUACACUUUGUUUCCCAAUUAUCUGGAAGAGACUCUCAGUAUACCAAAUUUGGAAAGCAUUACCUUCUUGCUGGAAGACGCGGAAGUUGAAGUCAGCAUCAGUUGAUACAACGACUGGCUGCCCAACCAUGCUCGUGCGAAAAAUUGGCCCGUACCUGAAAUUUCCCGAAGAGGGAAAAAAGGAAACAAAGGAAAGCUAGUUAGGAUAAAAAAUUCUUAACUAUUACUGCUGUCAUAUUAUUAAAAUAUAUAUAUGCGAUAGCUGGUUAAGAAGUGGUUAGAUAACCACGGGAGUAUUGAGGUUGGCCUAAUGAUUAGGAGAGGGUAUUAGAGUUUUCUCUACAGUAAUUCAAGAUUUGAAUUCUGUAUCAGAUAAUCGAAAAUGAGAAGGGUGUGGAGAAAAAUAUGAGAUAAGAAAAAAAAAAGGGUUAGACAUACUUAGCCGCUCUUUUUUGUACGAAUGGUGGAAUAUCAUCUGAUGCAUAAGGGGUGAAGUACUGAAUUGUUUCUCCUAUAAUUGGCAGUCCCAUCGAACCUGGUGGUAAUACCCCGUUACACUUGGGGUUUCUCCACCUGUAUACCCAGUGGCUGAAAAGCACAAUAAUGAGAGCAAUAAUAGCACAAGCAAACAACAUGGUCCUUGGUUAGUGUAAUGGAAAUGUAGGGGAAAAAUGAGAAGAGAGUAGCUACAAUUGAGAUGUUGUUUGCUAUGAAGGAAUCUUGGAAGUUGGAGCUGCUUAAAUAGAUGGAGAGCACAAGCUCUGACAAGGACGCGCUGUAAGAAUGUUGGCGAUAGACAUAUUACCUUUUCUUUUAUGUUAUUGCAACAAUAAAUACUUUCACCUGUAAUUUAUAAAGAGUCAAAAGGAAAAAUGGGCUGCGGUGCAUGGUCAAUGUAGAGACCAAUAGCGCUUGGUCACCUCUGUAGAGACCAAUAGCGGCUACAGAGGCCCACGAAAAAGUCUAUCUUGUACAACGCCGGCUAUAGAUGCAAGCCACGUGCGAGGAAGAUACCUUGUGAUAUUUUUUUUUUUUUUCGAAACGUUAGAUGAUUUUAUAGAUAGUAAAUCUAUACAGAUUCAAGUAAAGACUUGAAAGAACAUUACAAUCAGUGUAUCCUAACACUGAGGAAUCCAAAAUUCCUGAUCCUCUAUCAAUUCAAGCGCUUGCACGCUAAACCAGUGACUAAUAUGGUUACUAUUCCAAUUUACUAAACAAAAGGAGCACAUGUGGAACAAGGACUGAAGGCUGUCGAUAUCCUCCAACAGAGUGACCAUGCGCAUAUCCUGAACUUUCCUUUGCUGAAUGAGAUUGUACGUUCGUUUGUUCUGGAUUUGCACUUCAAUCCUUUCCAUUUGUUGACCAGCAGCUUUACACAGCAGAAGUUUGAUGGCUGUUAGUUCGUCUAUGACUUGGUGACCAGAACUUCUUUCUUGUAAGGUCCAGCCUCGCAUCAUGUUUUGAUUGUCCCUAGAGACUGUGACUCCUAUUCCCACUUGAGGCGUGACUUUACUUCUUUCUGCUGCAAACCUUAAUCUCAGAAUGUCUUCCAUUUCUUCCUGGUGCUGGGGGGUUCCAUCAGUUCCCUUGUUCCUUCUGUACUCGACCUUAAAGUCUUUGUCGCUUCCUCUUCAUACUCCAACCAUUCCUCCUGAGCUUUUUGUAUUAUUCUCAGAGGGGGGUACUGCUUAGCAUUGAACUCCUUUGCAUUUCUACCUUUCCAGAUUUGCCAUAGAAUAUUCGCUGUUAGGGAGAUGUGUUUGUUUCCCUCAAUCCUCUUGGUAGCUUCCAGCAAUGUAUCCCACCACCUACUAAAGUUACCAUGCUGAUCUAGUAGGCCUUCCCACUGAAUAGGUGACAUUUUCCACACUACUUUGACCUGGUUGCAAUCAAGCAGAGCAUGCUCAAUCGUCUCACCUUGCUCACCACAAUUUCUGCAUAUUGGAUCACCUUGUUUGGUUCUAUCAAAGAUGAGUUGUCUAACUGGUAACACCUGGUUCAGGCAUUUCCACAAGAAAAUCUUCACCUUAUUUUUGAUAUUCAGCUUCCACAGGUGCUUCCAGCAUUUUUUCCUAUUCGAGCUCCAGCUUGUACUAGUUACCUCCUUGUUUACCUGCUCCCGUUCCAUUAGGCCUUCAGCUUGUACUUUGUAGGCUGAUCUCACUGUAUAGUUCCCAUUUGAGCUGUGAACCCAGUAAUUGCUGUCCUCUCUGUUGGUUAGGCUUAUGGGGAUGCUUAGAAUGCACUCUGCCUCCUUGGCACUAAAGUUUCUGAAAAUCAGAUUUUUGUUCCAUCUCUUCUGGAUGAUCAGCUCCUCUACUUUAAGCAGAUUACAUCCCUGUGGUUUCUGUGAAAUAACCUUUCCUUGAUGGUUAUCCGGCAACCAGCUAUCCUCCCAUAUAUUGGUACUCUUCCCAUUGCCUAUUCUUCUCCUGGUUCCUAGCUCUACCAGUUGCCUUGCUCCCAUCAGACCCUUCCAAAUCCAAGAUGCAUUCCCAGCUACUUUGCACUUAAGCAGCGAUUGUUUGGGAUGGUAUUUGUCCUUAAGCACUUUACUAACCAACAGAUUUGGUUGUGUGAUUAGCCUCCAAACUUGCUUACCCAGUAGAGCUGUAUUGAAUGCCCCUAGCUCAUGAAAACCCAAACCUCCUUCCUUUCUGUCCAGUGACAUUUUAUCCCAAGCUCUCCAGUGCAUCUUGUUCCUUCCAUUUGCUUCACCCCACCAGUAGUUUGCCAUCACCGCAUUAACCUCUUUGCAUAUCUGCUUUGGUAUCUUGAAGCAUGACAUCGUAUACGUUGGCAUUGCCAUUACAACAGAUUUGAGCAUCACCUCUUUGCCUGCCGCACUUAACAGCUUGUUUUUCCAUUUUUUCAACCUCUGUUGGAUAUUAUCUCUAAUAUAGCCAAACAGUUGUUGUUUCGAACCUGUGACCACCAUAGGGAGUCCCAGGUACUUGCCUUGGUUGACCUUCUGGAUAUUUCCGAGUGCUUGGUAAACUUCCACCUUGGCUUCCUGUUCCAGAUUCGUACUGAAAAUGACUGAGGAUUUUUCUAGGUUGAUCAGCUGUCCAGUGCCUCUUUCGUACACUUGGAGUAUCCUCCUCAGCUCUGAAGCAUUUUGAUAGUCAGCUUUACAAAAGAUCAGGGAAUCAUCUGCAAAAAACAAGUGGGUUAACCGAGGCCCUUGUCUACUGAUUCGCAUGCCUUCCAUUCUUCUAUCCGUUGCUGCCUUCUGGAGGAGAUUAGUGAAGCCUUCAGAGCAAAGCAGGAAUAGAUAGGGUGACAGCGGAUCACCCUGUCUAAUUCCCCUUUGUGGUAUCACGUAUUCCUUCACCUCUCCGUUGAUCAUAAAGGAGUAGGAAACCGAAGAAAUGCAACUCAUUAUCCAGCUCCUCCAUGUUUCAUUGAAACCCAUCUUCUGCAUUACCGCUUCCAGAAAUCCCCAUUCUACCCUGUCAUAAGCUUUUGACAUAUCUAAUUUCACAGCCAUAAAACCCUCUUUCCCAAGUCUUUUGUUUUUGAGAUAAUGUAGGAACUCAUGGGAAAUCAUUAUGUUAUCUAAAAUUUGCCUACCAGGGAUAAAAGCUGAUUGAUUUUUACUAAUGCAGUAGUGAAGGACUGGUUUUAAUCUGUUAGCUAGGAUCUUCGCUAUGAUUUUAUACACAGUAGUGCAUAAGCUAAUGGGUCUAUAGUGCUUAAGAGAUGUAGGAAUCAUGACUUUAGGAAUGAGAGAAAUAAUGGUGUGAUUGACAGACUUAAUGAGAUGACCCGUAUGGAAGAAUGUUUGAAUAGCACCAACCAGAUCUUUUUUUAUUAUGUUCCAAAAUUUCUGAAAGAAAAUAGGCGGCAUGCCAUCUAUACCUGGUGCUUUGUCUGGGUUCAUGGAGAAUAGGGCAGCUCUAAUUUCCUCCUCUCCCACAGGUUUAGUUAAAUUUGCAUUCACUCUCUCAGAAAUCGUGUGUGGUAUACCAUCCAAGACCUCUUCCAUAUCCCGUGGUUCUGAUGUUGUGAAGAGCUGCCUAUAGUAGUCAGCAAUUUCCACACCUAGCUCUUCCUCACUUUUAGUCCAAGUGUCAUCCUCUCUUUGUAUCUCCGUCAUUCUAUUCCUUCUCCUUCUCCCCUCCACGCUGGCAUGAAAGAAGCUGGUGUUCUUAUCACCUGCUUUCAACCAUUGCAGCCUAGCUUUCUGACUCCAGUAGACUUCCUCUUCUCUAUAUGCCUCUUUCAAUUUCUUUUUUAGACCAUUUCUGAUAUCCUUCUUGUUUUCCACGUCCCUAGUUUUCAGCUCCUGCAGUUGGCUCUUGAGCACUUCAAUAUCCUUCCUCGCAUUACCUUGUACCUUGUUUUUCCACUGCAACAAAUUCACCCUACACCUCUUCACUUUCUGGGUUACUCUAUACAUCCUUGUGCCUUCAUCUUCUUGAUCCCAAGCCUGUUUGAUGAUAUCAUUGAUCUCUGGAUUUUGGAGCCACCUUUUAUCAAAAUAGAACCUUUUCUUCCUCCUAUUCUGACCUGGCUUGGUAUCAAAGAUUAGCAUACUAUGGUCAGAAGAAAAGGUGUCCUGGUGUUUACAUAUGACCCUCUCAAAAGUUUGGAGCCAGGAAUAACUACACAACCCUCUAUCCAGCCUUUGUUUCACUUCCCCAGCUCCCUCCCAAUUGUUACACCAAGUCCAUGGAUGACCCUCAAAACCCACAUCCAUCAGUUGGUUGUCGUUAAUGAAAUCCUUAAAAGCUUUGAAACUGCUCUCCUCCCUCCAAUUGCCACCCCAUUUCUCCUCAUUUGACACUAUGUCAUUGAAAUCACCUGCUAUUAGCCACUUGUCCCCCCCACAAUCUUUUCCUCGCCUGAAGCACCUUCUAUUGCUGCUUCCUUACUUGAUCCUCACAAUCAGCAUAGACACCUAUAAACCACCAGUCACACUUUUCUUCCUUGUCCUCAAUCUGAGCUUCAAUAGUGAAAGCAGUCUUAAUCACUUGUUUUAUUCUUAUAUCCUCCUUCCAUAGCAGAGCCAUACCUCCAGCCUUGUGCAUAGCCUCUACAAAAACAGCUUCCUCAAACUGCAGAAUAUUUUUUACUUUUUCCAUAUAUUUACUCCUAUUUUUGGUCUCACAUAAGAACACUAUGUCUGGAGAGGAGAGGUUCUUCACCUCUCUCAACUGGGGAAUUGUCAAGGGACUCCCCACACCUUGACAAUUCCACACCAGUACCCUCAUUUAAACCUUUGGGUCCUUAAAGGGUUGGACCCCUCUCCCUUAUCUCCUGGCUUUGAUUCGUUGCUUUCCCCUCCCACCUUCUUUCUCUUUCCUUCCAGACUUACUUCCUCAUCAAUGUCCAUGUCACGUUCCCCCUGAGUUCCUUUCCUUUUCCCAUACUUCCUUUCCCUCAAGGUAUUCGAACUCAACUCCUGCAAUGAUUGUCUUUGUUUCUUAGGCGACCUUAACACUCUCAGUAUUCUUCUAGCCUGUUUCACCAGAGCCUCUUUCACCUUAGGUCCUUUCAAAGUUGCCAUGCCUUCCUCCUCCCAUACUGGUGUAUUUUCCUUAUUGCUUUCAGACCAUGGUGUUUGGACUGUUGCUGUUGCUUUUUCCUCCUCCAGCAUUAUACAGUCACCAUUUGAUUCCCUAACCCCUAUGCAUUCUUCCUGUCCUGUUCCAUCAGUUACCAUCGUGCAAUGCAAGCCAGCCUCCCCACCCACUGCCUCCUCCCCUUUGUUCCAGCUCCUUAUGUCCUGUUCAGUUUUCCUACCUGACUCUAGAGGCUUGACUAGUGUUAGUUCCCCGCAUUCCUUAAAGACACCUUCCUGUGCCAUCUGAAUCGCUCCAUCCUUCAAAAUUCUGCCUUCCUCCCCAUUAUCCUUUUUGGUUUUACUCAUAGAGCUUGUCUCACUGUGUGCGCCUAUCCCUAUCUCCUGAUCCUCAGGUUUCCUUUGCUCCUUCCAUUCCCCAUCCUGAAGCCUCCAACGGUGUUUUUGAGGAUUGAACACUAUGCUAGCCUGAUUGUUCUGAGUGUGUUUCCUUAUAGUGCCAGCUCGCAGCCAAGGACCAAACUGGUUAUCCUUUUUCCUUUCCCCACUAUUUCCUUGUCUCAGACACGUCCUUUCACUAUGUCCUAUAAUUCCACAAUUAUAGCAAAAGUCCGGACACCUCUCAUAUUUAAAACAUGCCCAUUUAGUUGUUUCCCCCACUUUCACAAUAGAUCCUCUAAGCAAAGGUUUAGUAAUGUCUGCCAUCACUAAGAUUUUCAGGUGUCUUCCUUCUUUACCUCCCGUCUGAGGAACAAUCACCUCUCUAACCUUAUGAAAACCUGCACAAAUCUUUUUGCCUGCUUCCUUAGACAUCCAAUGUACCGGCAAAUUCCAAACCUGAAUCCAUAAAGGAGCUAUCCUGAAGGCCCUGUCAUCCUCCUCAAUACCUUCGUACCAUUCACUCAAUACCAACAUUUGGUUAUCAAUUAUCCAUGGUCCCCCUAGCAGAAUCCUCUGUCUUUCACUCUCUGAAGGUAAAAUGAACUGGAACAAGUUGACUCCUAGCUCCAUCACUUGCAGAUCUUUAGGAUAACUCCAAGCAGCUACCACAAAAUUCUUGAUCCCAGUGUAGUUGGCCACUUUUUCACCCAUUACCUUGCCAAUCACACUAUUUUUACACUCCUUAAUUCCCCCACUUAGUUCCUCCUUCUCCAGACUCGCCAAUUGAAGCUCUGCACUAGAAAGAUCAAAGUUUUGCAAGAUUUCUGCCAGCUCAUCCGCCAUACUAACAGCAGUUCUGGAUGGUAUACCACACACAGCUCUGAGGGUUUGCAGAUCUACCUUCCUGCAGAACAAAAGGCGAGCUCUACCCUAUUCUACCACAGAAAAACUCUAGCUGAAAAAAGAUACUGACUCUCAACUUGGGAAGGAAUAUUAUGACUGAGAACUUACCUGUCGUCGCUCACUUGAGUAGCACGAAGUUCUGAAAGCGUAAUGCAGAGCCGCUAUCUCCCAGACGCCUGCUUGCUUCUGUGUUGUAGUGACCCUUCAACUUCUGGCUAUAGAAGAAUCUAUCUUUUACUCACUCUCUGUUUUUCUUUUCUCAAUCCUGCUCUACAUGCAUAUUUCCAUAUUAUCCUUUUCUCUUUCUCUUUUACUUCCUUCUCUCUUUGUUUUUUUUUUUUUUUUCACCCGGUAAAGACAAACUGUGGUCCUACUUAUGGGAUUGUUCGAAGUGAGUAUUGCAAUGGAUUGCUCUCUGUUGCUGAUAAUCCGACAACAUCACUCUAACCCCCUACAUUAAAGGAACUCAGAAGGCCAAGAUUGAAGAAAGUGCGCCAAGAAUUUGGCUUUUGGACAGGGUUUAAAAAUUCAAACUUCAAAGCAGUAUUGUGUCUGUUUGUCGGUAGCUCCCACCAGGGGGAGAGAGAGCUCUCUUUAGAGAGAGAAAUGCCUCUACUUUAGAGAGAGGUUGAAAAUUGUUUAAAUGUUGUUACAAUGUGAUAUUAGGAAAGCUCUGCCACUAUUUUUGGCAAUAACGAUUUUUUUAAGUCUCACCGCAGUGACUUUUGGCAACAUGUUGUAUACAUGUAUCAAGCUCCAUAAAAGUUGUUACUUUUUACAAGUGAGGAUACAGUGUCUUAGCGACCCUCAAAGCUCGUCCGGAACUUGACAUUAUUGUAUCCUCACUUGUAGCCUAAUUGAGUAAUUACCUUCAUAAAUAAAUCUUGUCUACAACUUUUUGUUCUACAACCUUACGGGAGGUAUGUGGAAUUAACCCAAUUUUUUAGUUUGCCAAAUUGUUCUUUGGGAUAAUUUCGAAAAUCUCUUCUGACGUUUCUAACAAUUUCACUGAACUCUCCUAAGGUUUGAAAAAUUACACUUACCUUUUUUAAUUUGAUAGUUUUAGUAACGAAAUCUUAAAAUAAUAUUAAUUUGGACAAAUUUUUAAAUGAAUACCCAAAAAUGCCCUUGUGAAAUAAGUCUUAAUUUAUUUUCAUAUACAAUUAUAAGAUUAUAUAGUAUAAUUAUAAGGAAAAGAUGCCAAAUUUUUCAUGUCUAUAUCUACUGUUUGAUAAACGACUAUAAUAAUAAUUUUAUUACUAUGAUAUGAUAUCUUUUACAGUAUUUUAUUAUGAAUUUAGAUUUAUAAGAUAAAAAAAGAAAAUGUUAAAAUAAUUUAUUUAGAAUUUAUAAAUUUUUGGACAAAUGGGAUUAUCAUAAUUUAGUAGUGCUUUUGGGCCAUUUCUUUUUUAUUUAUUGUUAAUUUUAAUACUAAAAGAUAGAAAACAAAGAUCAGCAAAAACAUUGGAUUACAUAUAAAAUUAACUCGUCAAAAAAAUCAUUAGUUCGACAUUUGAUUAUAAUAGAAACCUAGAUGCAAUAGUGGUAGUUCUAUAGAAAGAAUGAAAAGAUAAUUUUAAAACUCAUUCUAAGUACAAGCAUACCAAAUAAAAGAAUUUUAUUAAAACAUUUAAGGAUAAAAUUGUUAUUUUAAAUGAAAAGGGAGGUAUGUGUAAUUUUUUAAAGUUCAGGGGGAACUCAGUGAAAUUGUGGGAGGAUAAUGCCUGUUGGAUUUUAAUAAUUUAUAUAUUUUUUUUUAUUUUGACAAAAAAUAUUUAAUUCGUUGAAUGUCAUCGGAGGGUAAUGCCUGUUGAAUUAUAAACAAACAGCCGUGCCGCGACGUCGUUGUCGGAGUGAAAGAGCAGUUUGACUACAGUCUUGCAGAGGAGACGGGCAACUAGAUUCUGUCUUCCUCUGAAAAGUAUUUUUUUUGUGUAUAAUAAAUAAUUCUUAAAAUUCUUCUGUCGCUGACUCAUGUUGUUGUUUCUUAUUGACUUGUAGACUUGUAGUAGUAACAAAAAGUUGAAUCUGGAUUAGCUGGACGCUUAUCAAAUUAUAUUGUCAUAGUUCGAGAAGAUUAGCAGAAAAAAAAAAAAGCGAGAGAAAGAGAGAGAGAGAAUCAGGAACCUGAAUAUCUUUAUUCAGUUUAGUCAAAGGGAAUACGUCUAUGCUUUUUGGAAGCCAAAUUUGACGCUCCUGGUUGAAAUAGUGAAAGAAUGGACUUCUGAUUUGGCCCUUCUCUCUCUUCUUUACUAACAAAAGUCUUUUUUUAAUUUGUUUAUCAAUUUUUGGGUAAUUUAGUCAUUACAAUUUGCCGCUUUUUAGUUCACUUAAGUUCCGUUUGAUAAAACUGAAUCUGAAUUCUAAUGUUUGAAUUCUGAAAUCUGAAUACUGAAACAAUUAAUUUGCUGAAUUUUAAGCACUGAAAAGAAAUAUAUGAAUGUCUGAAUUUUAAUGUUAAACCUAUUUAUACUGUUUGAUAAACAUUUAUAACUGAAUGCUUGAUAAGUUAAAUUUGACAAAUUUGCCCUUAUAUUUUUUCAUCUAAAAAAGAAAUAGAACCUAUGAUUUAAUUAGCUAAAAAUGUUAGGUAUUAAAAUGAUAAUAUAUAUAUUUUAAAAUCAAAUUAAUAUAAAAAAUGAAAUAUAUUAUAUGAGGAGUAUGGAAAAGAUGUGAAAAUCAUUCAAAAGGGCAAAAAAAGAAAUAGAAAAUCAUUAGAUAGAGAAUAUUAGAUUGUUUAAUUAGAUAAGAAUUUUAAAUAUAAUUAACAAACAAAGGUAGAUUUGGAAGAUAAGAUAAGGAAAUUGAAGUAAUUCUAUUAAUUUUUAUUAGAAUUAAGCAUUCAGUUAGGAUUCUUGUGUUGAAAAAAAUACACACAAGUUCAACACUACUUAACAAAUUCAGCAAAUGGAUUUUCAUUUAUCAAACACUCAAAACAUCUGAAUAUCUGAAAAAAUUCAGAUUCAACACUUUUUUAUGUUAUCAAACAGACUCUUAGUUAUAUCUUUUGAUUGUUGUAAUAUGUUCUUAAUUGUUGCUCAUAUUUUUUCCUUUGAAGCAAAAAUUUGAAACUAAAACUACAAGGAAAAAUUCAGGAAAAGUCAGGCGAGAAAGAAUGACGAAAAGAAACAUAUCUCCAUGCCUAGAUGAUAGUGCUUCAUUUCUUGAAAUGGAUGAUCAUUUGUGGUAUUAAAUAAAUAAUCAGUCCAAAAGAGUUUUCAUAAAGUAUAUGCUGAUCAAGUGGUCGAGGAAAAUCUAAGAAAUAGACAGGUGAAGCCACAAAAAUUGGUGAGAAAAUAAUCGCAACAAAGAAUAGACUUACAUGCACGAAUAAAAUAAUUUUGUCAAGGUACCUAAACAUACAAGAAUAGAAUAAAACAAUUUUGCAUGAGACGUUCCUCACAUUACGUGUCACAAGAGUGAAAAAUAAACAAAAUUAUCCUUUUGCUGUCGCAUGCUAGAAGCAAAUCUCAAAGUGUGUUCAGUUUAAAAGUAGGGGGGUGUGCAUCUAUAGAAUCAAAGUAAAAUAUUUAUUUAUUCAAAUAAGAUUUCUAUUAUUACAAAUCUGUGCCCUGUAUAUUGUCAUAUAUUUUAAUGCUAUAAUAUUUUUUGUGAUGUAAUAUAUGUAAGAAAAAAGGUAGUUCAAGAGAUAAAAAUGUGAUUAAAAACAUAUUUAUAAUGCAACUAAAUUUUUUUACAAAUAAUCCAUAUCUAAACAAGCCCAUUGUGUGCAUGUUACCUUCAACUUUAUUAGAUUUUUUGAGUAUUUGAAUAUGCAUUAUUGAGUAAUUGUCAAUAUCAACUAAAUUAAUGAAAGAAGGAAAAAUAAGAUGUGGAAACAAAUAAGGUGGAAAGAAGUCCCAUCUUUCGUGUGGAUAGCAAACUGUUUGUCAGUUCAUCACCUUGCCACAUCCUCAUCAAAUGCAAUGGGUUUUUUAUUGCUUUAAAAAUAACUCAUUUUAUCUACUCCUAAACUAUACUAUAAAUAGACCUAAAAAAGGACAUGAACAGAUCCAAGAUCGACUAAGAUAGGAGACAACUACAGAAAAGAGAAGAAAUUAAAUCAAUCAUUAAGUGAUUUACCUAAUUGGAAAAGCAAUUUAUGAUAAAUUACUCACUAUAUAUACACGUGCAAUGCAUGUGCAUUUUCCUAGUUUGAUCACUAUAAAGGAUAAGGAUUUGGCUCAUCUCCACUAAAUUCUCUCUUCAUUUCUUAUAAUACAUAUUUAGAUACAUGAAAUGCGUCUUUAUUUAUUAAUAAGACUUAAAAUUAGUUAAACUUGAAAUGAUCGUGUCCUUUUUUAAUAAAUAAAGACACACGUGAUUCAUUCGCAGGUGCAUUACAGGAAAUGGAAAGAUAAUUUAUUAGAGAAGAGCCAAAUACUAAAGGAUAAUGCUGUGGUGACUUAUCAUCAAGUCACUUUGCAAAUAUUAUUUUAAUAAUAAAACACUGGAAAAACUGGUGGCCAUUCAAGUUUUCAAGUCUCAAAAACUUGAAAAGUAAGAUAAGAAGGUAAAGUAGUAAAUUUGAAUAUAAAAUUGGUAAAUUUAGCCACAAAAAUAACAAUUUAAAGUAUUUUUAGCACCUAAAAGUGCUUUUUUUUUACCAAAGUAUCGCAACUCCAAACGGGGCUAAAUAUCUAAUGAAAAUUACCUCUUGAUUGCAAAAAAUGGUAAUUUUACUAUAAAAAAAAAAUGAAAGUUACCAAUUCUUUUUUUCUGAAGGAAUUACCAAUUCUUUCACUAAUUUUAUACCAAAAAAAAGUGUCGGAUAUCAUCUUAAACCAUCUUCUCUUAUUCAAAAAGAAAAAGGGAUAAUUUCAAAAUCCUCCUUGAAGUUUCUAACAAUUUCACUAGGCUCCCUUGAAGUUUGCAAACUUACACAAAUCUCUCCUAAGGUUAAGGUUUUGAAAAUAAGAUUAGUCCAAUUAGAAAAACUAGAAUUAAAAAAGUACUUUAAGGAGAGAGAUGAAACUUUUAUUCUAUAAAUACCCCUUAUGCAUGUAUAUAAGUUGUAUUAGAAAAAAAUAAAAUAAUUAAAAAUUAACAACAAUUAAUACACACAUUUUACUACUUAAAAGUUCACAUUUAAUAAAUUAGACAAUACAAAUAAGCAACAAAACUACACUAAUGAUCACAAACAAAGGACCAAUAAGUGUUCUAGAAGGAUAAUUAAAUUGAUGUGGGGUGUAAAUAUAAAUGGAAGAAUAAGGAAUUUAUAUGUAAUUACAUAUGUGACAAUUAACGAAAGCAAUAAAUGUUGAUGUUGGGGACCAAGAUUUAAGUACUUGGAUGAAAAUUAUGUUUCCAUAUGCAUGCCCCGGGGUUAUACUAUGUUGGUGAAUAAUAUGUAAAAACUCUUGUAAGUAACCUAUGAUAUCAGGAGCACGCUCUAAUAUGUGGUGAUGACCGGAGUCAAAUUCACUUAAACUUUUUCCGUAUAAAAAAAAAGUAUGGAAGUAACACUAAAAAUUCCCUAUGAUGGACAUUUGGUAAAAGGGAGCACAAAUAAACGGAGAGUACCACCAUAUCUAUUAGAUAGAAUGCUGAAGAUUAAACACCAAUUUGCGUGUGAGACAUGAAUAAAUGCAUGACUCAAAUUGUGAUUAUAACUAUAAAAGUAAUUGUUUGUAUAAACGACAAAUACAAAGAUUAACUUGUAAGUUGGGUGAAGAGUUCAUAUAUGCAAUAAUACAGGGAACAAAUAAUGCUUCUUACAAGAGUAAAAUUCUCAUUAAAAACAUAAUGUAAGAACCAAUGAAAUACUAGAAUUUUGCCCGUGUCUUAACACGGUCUUUUUUUUAUUUAUUAUUAAUUUGUAUAAAUAUAAAUAAUUUAUAUACAAAAAUUAAUAGCAAUCCUACAUGUUCAUUCAUAUUAACUUUAAAAAAAAUACUGUAUUUUAAAUUUUCAAUUAUUUACUAAUUUUUAAAAAUUUCUUUACAUACUUCUACUAUAAUAUGGUAAUAUACAUCAAAUAAUGUACCCCAUAUAAAAAACUUGGUAGAUAUUCCUUUUUUUAUAAAUAUUCUUUUAGAUAAUUAAAAUUUUAUAAUGACCAGAAAGCUAGACCUAUAUAUUCACAUUUAAUAAAGUAGAAAAAAUCUAGCAUUCCAUUUUUCUUCAUCAACAAAUAUCCAGUUUUUAACAAUAUUGAUCAAUCUAUCGGUGUAACAGUUAAUUUUCUUUUUUGCACCAAGUUAAUCCAUAUGGAUAAAAAUGAUAUUGUUAUAAGGGAGAGGAAGUAUAAGAACAAAAUAAUAUUAUUUUUAUGAUCCUAAAAACACCAAAUGAAGGCUUGAAUGAUAUUUGAUGAGAUCCUUCCCGAACUGAUGUUUAGUUGAAGAUUUAGCAAAUGGAAGUGCAUUAAUGAUACACAACUAAACACAUAUCACAUUCAAAGAUCAAGUUCUUUGCAUAUUAGCAUAGAAAAUUACUAUGAAGCCCCACUAUUUGUCACAACUUUAUAACAUGUAAUGGAGUAUGUAUCUAUUGUAAUUAGAGUAAAUGACCCAAUUAAUCAUACCCAUUGGAAAUUUAUUUUUACUUUGUAGACAAAGAAAAUUUAUUUAAUUUAUUUUAGUCAAGAUUUAUUUAAACUAAAUCGAUCUUGAUUAAAUUAAAUUAAAUUAUAGAAGUCCAUCAUGUUUUGGACUGGCAAAUCGGGCCAAUAUUAUAUGGGUUAUUAAAUCAAAUUAAAUCCGUAAUGUCCAUUUAAGUUGGAGUGAAUUAAUUAAUUUAUUAAUUCACAAUGGACUAUCUGGGUUGGCCCAAUAUUUAAGCCCAAGUUAAAUGGAUUUCUUGGGUAACAAGUGAUCCAAAAUGCAGGAAGAUUCUGAGGGUUUUCUUGAAGUCCUGGCCUACAUAUUUUGGCUAUAAAUAGAGGUCUUCCCUCAAGGCAAAGAUAUAGAAAAAUCCCUAACAUUCGGAGAAACUCUGUCAAAUUCCCUCAAGAGCUUUCUUCCUCAAAUCCAAGUCCAAAUCAAGUCAAACAAAUUCUCCUGCUAUCGGUGUUGAAGACUCGAAGUUCCAAGUGUUUGACGCCAUCAUCAAAUCAACCGUUUUCUACGCCGAAAUUGUAGGAAACACCUUUUCGAUUGUAGAACAAGUCUUUUCGACCCUUCAAUUGAAGCUAUUCGAAGAAAAGAAUCAGGGGAUUAAUUUCUUUGAUUCAAGAAUUUUCAGAGAUUGUAGCCUACUUAUUAUUUAAUUUAAUAAAUUUGAUAUUUGUGCAAGUUUUCUUGUCUUUUAUUUUAGGCAACAAAAUUUGUGCUUACAAAUUUCUGGCACGCCCAGUGGGACAAUCUCUGCCUCUCAUCUCUUUUCUUCCAACAACUUACCAGUUUCAAAAUUCGAUGGAGUUCAAGAAGGUGAACUUUUCUCUUGAAGGCUUAGUUGCUGAUGUCUCAACCACUCAAGGGACGCAGUAUACUGCACCUCUGACAAGGAGUAAGGCCAAGGAGUUAGCAGAGAAGGCUAAGGCGAACGUUGUGACUGAAGAAGCAAAUCUCGAGAUGCUUCCUAACAAGAAAGGAGCCCAUGAUGAAUCCAUUGGUAGCCCAAGUGAUUCGGCUGCCUCUGUGGUGAUGCCCGUCAUGAUGACCAAUACCACAACUGUGGAAGACCAGAUCUCGAAUCUAGCCAAAAUUGUCGAAGGGCUAGUAGUGCAUGCACAAAGUCAGGAUGCCAAGAUAGUCAAAUUAAUGGAUAUGGUGGAAAAUAUAGGCGAAAAUAGCCUUAGCAUGUCCAAACAGAAAUUCAAAGUGCAAGAUGAAGGGGACUCGUCAUCAAGGGAGAAGGAGAAAGAGGAUGCGAAGUCACAAGCCGCGAAGGAGUUUUCGAUCUCCCCUGAUGGCACCAUUCAUGUUGACAAUCUGAAGGAAUUUAUCGAAGGCACAAUCAAGGACAAGAUUGGUGGAGGUGCCAAGUCAUAUAGUGGUUACACCAAACCUUACACCGCUAGAGUGGAAAGUUUGAAAAUGCCUGUGGGGUAUCAACCUCCAAAAUUUCAACAAUUUGAUGGCAAGGGCAACCCUAAGCAACAUGUAGCACACUUCGUGGAAACUUGUAACAAUGCGGGCACUGAUGGUGACUUGCUGGUUAAGCAGUUUGUUCGCUCGCUGAAGGGUAAUGCCUUUGAUUGGUACACGGAUCUGGAGUCUGGAACCAUUGACAGUUGGGAGCAGCUAGAGCAUGAAUUCCUUAGUCGCUUCUAUAGCACAAAGAGAACUGUCAGCAUGACUGAACUCUCUAAUACACGUCAAUGGAAGAGUGAACCUGUCAUUGAUUUUAUCGACCGUUGGAGGAAUCUAAGCUUAAAUUGCAAAGAUCGAAUUUCUGAAUCUUCUGCGAUCGAGAUGUGCAUUCAAGGUACGCACUGGGGACUCAGAUACAUCUUACAAGGUGUACAGCCAGAAACAUUUGAUGAAUUAUCCACAAAAGCCCAUAAGUUAGAGAUUAAUCUUGAUGGACAAGAACCGCCAGUUCCUGACCCUUACAAGGCCAAAGAGAGACAAGAAGCGAGGAAAGGGGGCAAGCCACCAUUUAAAAAUGAAAAGAAGGAGGCUAUGGCUACAAGCGUAACGCCCUUUAAGGUUGUUCCCAAAACUGCCAGGAGAGAAGACAACAAAAUCAAUGCACAUCAAGAACAAGGAAAGAGGAAACCAACUCUCAAGGAGAUGCAGGAUAAGGAGUACCCUUUCCUUGAUUCUGAUGUCCCUGGUAUGUUUGACGAUCUGUUAAGUAUAAACUUGAUCACGCUUCCUGAGAUGAAGCGACCUGAUGAGGCCAGGAACACUGACGAUCCAAAUUACUGUAAGUAUCACCGAUUGGUCGGGCAUCCCAUUCAAAAAUGCUUUGUCUUCAAAGACAAAGUAAUGGAGUUGGCAAGACAGGGAAAAAUUCUCCUUGAAGAAGACAAGGCGAGUGUGAAUCAAACGUCCAUUGGUUCCCUGCAGUCCAUGGAGGAUAAAAGGGUCAUGGUACCUGUAUUGCCAAUAAUUCAAUUUGGAUCACUUGAUCCUAUAGAAAUCAAACAAGAAGGUGCUCCUUCAACUCUUCAGGAACAUGUAUAUGAAGAUGAAAAGGCGCUACAGUCUGAUGUAAAUGAUGAAGGAUGGACUCUAGUCACGCGAAGAAGGAGGCGGAAGUCUUGUCCAUCUAGUAGGGCGAGCAAGGUCUUAACAAGAAGUAUGGUGAUUUGGAAGGGGAAAGAGAAAGACGUAAAGAAAACUAAUGAUUGUCAUAAUUUUCAAGGAGGCCGAAUCUUCAGGCAAAAGUCGCGAACUCCUAUCACUUUAAAAGAAUUCUUGCCAAAGGAAUUCUUUGACGUUGAUGUGGUCGCAAGUCACACAACGCGAGUAGAUCAUAUCGAGGAGCAAAAAGAUAAUACUUGCGAAUCUCUCUGUGAGAUGGCCCGUGCGUCCACCGGCAAUGAAGAAGGUCGUGUGCCUACCAGCAAUGAAGAGGUGAACGUCACAAGUAUCACUUUUACUAGUGAAGACUUGUUGCUUGGGUCAACACCGCAUAACCGUCCUUUGUUUGUGACUGGUUAUGCAAAGGAGCAAAAAGUGAAUAGAAUGUUGAUAGAUGGAGGUUCCGCAGUCAAUAUUCUCCCUUUAAAAACCCUGAAGGAGCUUGGUAUCCCGGUUGAUGAACUCUCCAAUAGCCGACUGAUGAUUCAAGGCUUCAACCAAGGAGGGCAAAGAGCUCUUGGGUCACUAAAUUUGGAGAUAAUCAUUGAUGACAUGUCGUCCAGAACACUAUUGUAUGUGAUAGAUGCUAAAACAACAUACAAUGUAUUGUUGGGAAGGCCCUGGAUUCAUGAAAAUGGAGUUGUACCUUCAACUCUUCAUCAAUGCUUCAAGUACUAUCAAAACGGGGUGGCAAGAAGUGUGAAAGCUGAUGAUAAUCCUUUCACUGAGGCGGAAGCAUAUAUCGCCGAUGCCAAAUUUUACAUCAAAAGGCACAUUGCGAAGGAUAAAACUGAACAACCUCUAUUUGGGGAUAAAAUCCAGAACCCCGAAUCUCCAAAUGCAAAAGGGGAGAAAGUGAUGACUUCAAAAUCAAAAGAGGAAGUUCAUGAAGAAACUGAUGUUUCAUUGCCAAACAAUGAAUCAGUUGUCUUUCGCUGCCCUCCCAAAUCAAGAAUGGAACAGGGACAGUCACCUGCAAUUCAGCAUGAAACUCUAAAAGAUUUGACUCUUCCGGUAGCUCAUCUUGAUACAAAAAAGGCGUCAUCUUCUCAACUUAAAAGGUCUAACUUUUUAAGCAAAGAAUCUGAAGUUGAACAAGACACCAUACCAAAGUCAAGAACUAAAGAAGGUUUUGAUCCUAUCGCUUAUAAGCUUCUCGCUAAGGCUGGAUACGAUCUCAAAGAAUCUGCGGUGUUAAAUGUUCCAUCCCGUCAAUCUACCAGUGACAUGAUUCAUGAGUUGAAUCCUACCCAAAAGAUGUUGAAGGAAAAGGGAUACGCCGUUGAAAAUCCCAAGUUUGGCCUUGGCUACUCUUCUCCUACACCAAUCCGCAUCAAGAUCAAUAGAGUUAGUAGCCAAUAUAUUGCUAUAGAGGAUGAGUCUUCUCAAAUAGUUGGUAAAUUUCAAGCUUUUCAUGAAAAGGAGAAUAAAACUCCACGGGUAUCUGUUUUUAAGAGAUUAGGACCACAAAGAAGACAAAAGCCUCAAAACUCUCAUAAGAGUAAAGGAAAAAUGGCAAAGUCAUUGCAAAAUCUUGAAAAACCUUCUAAUGGUUCUCAUAAAUUUGGUAGUAGCAUUCCUUCGAGAAUGAGAAGAUGCACAGAUCUUGUAAUAAAGUGUGGGACUGAAUUGAGGGUCAGGGAGCAUACCGUGGUGUACACAAGACCAAAAGAGGAUGAUGAAGAGAGUGUUGCUUCAUGCAAUCAUAUAACUAUAAUUGACGGUGACUCGCCUGAAGAAGAAGAAGAUGCUGAAGAGGCUCCACCUGAAUUGGAGGAAGGUGUUAAGGCCACUGUGGAUGAUCUAAAGGAGGUCAAUCUUGGUACUUCAGAGAACCCACGUCCAAUAUAUGUAAGUGCUUCAUUGAGUCCUGACGAAGAGAAGGCAUAUAUUGAACUCUUGUGGGAGUAUCAAGAUAUUUUUGCAUGGACUUAUAAAGAAAUGCCGGGUUUAAACCCAAAAGUGGCCGUCCACCAUUUGGCUGUUAAAAAGGGAGUUCGACCUGUGAAGCAAGCACAACGGCGAUUUAGACCCGAUUUGAUUCCGUUGAUCGAAAUUGAAGUCAAUAAACUCAUUGAAGCCGGGUUUAUUCGUGAAGUUAAAUAUCCCACAUGGAUUUCGAGUAUCGUGCCUGUGCGAAAGAAGAAUGGACAAAUCCGCAUUUGUGUCGAUUUCAGGGAUGUUAACAAUGCUUGUCCCAAAGAUGACUUCCCUUUACCAAUCACUGAACUCAUGAUUGAUGCAACUACUGGGCAUGAAGUUCUGUCGUUUAUGGAUGGCUCUUCUGGAUAUAAUCAAAUUCGAUUGGCACCGGAGGAUGAGGAGCUCACUGCAUUUCGUACUCCUAAGGGUAUUUAUUGUUAUAAAGUGAUGCCCUUUGGUCUCAAAAAUGCUGGUGCCACAUAUCAAAGAGCAAUGCAAAGUAUCUUUGACGACAUGCUUCAUAAGAAUAUCGAGUGUUAUGUGGAUGAUUUAGUUGUGAAAUCAAAGAAAAGAAAUAAUCACUUGGAGGAUUUGAGACAAGUUUUCGAUCGGUUGAGAAGGUAUCAACUCAAAAUGAACCCUCUCAAGUGUGCAUUUGGAGUCACGUCGGGGAAAUUUCUUGGUUUUGUGGUUCGCCAUCGAGGCAUUGAAAUUGAUCAGGCCAAAAUUAAUGCUAUAUUGAGGAUGCCUGAACCUCGUGACAUUCAUGAAUUGAAAAGUCUUCAAGGGCGAUUAGCUUAUCUGCGGAGAUUUAUCUCAAAUUUAGCAGGAAGGUGUCAGCCAUUUAGUCGCUUGAUGAAGAAAGAUGUGCCAUUUCAAUGGGAUGAGGCAUGUAGUAAUGCAUUCAAUAGCAUUAAGUCUUAUCUUAUGAAAGCACCUGUGUUGGCUGCACCUAUUCAUGGAAAGCCCUUACUCCUUUAUAUUGCCGCCCAAGAACGAUCGAUGGGGGCAUUGCUCGCUCAAGAAAAUAAUGAAGGAAAGGAGGUUGCCCUUUAUUAUUUAAGCAGAAUGAUGACCCCCAACGAACUAAAUUACUCGCCAAUUGAAAAGUUGUGCUUAGCCCUUAUUUUUGCAAUACAGAAGUUAAAGCACUACUUUCAAGCGCAUAGUGUGAGGCUCAUUUCCAGGGCGAAUCCCAUAAAAUAUGUGAUGAGUAGACCAGUGUUGUCCGACCGUCUAGCUAGAUGGUAUCUUCAACUACAACAGUUUGAAAUUAUUUAUGUGCCUCAAAAAGCUGUGAAGGGACAAGUUCUGGCAGAUUUUCUUGCUGAUCACCCGAUACCUCCUGAAUGGGAACUAAGUGAUGACUUACCGGAUGAGGAUGUACUUCUUAUCGAGAUUCGUCCACCAUGGAAGAUGUAUUUUGAUGGUGCGGCUCAUCGUCAUGGAGCUGGAGCAGGGAUUGUAUUCGUGACUCCUAAUGGAGGGAUAUUGCUAUACUCCUUUACUCUAAGUCAUCAUUGUUCAAACAAUGUCGCUGAGUACCAAGCUCUCAUACUCGGACUUGAAAUAGCUGUUGAUAUGGAACAGUUGGACAUUCAAAUCUAUGGUGACUCUCAAUUAGUGGUUAACCAACUCUUGGGAAGUUAUGAAGUCAAAAAGUCCGAGUUAAUUCCGUAUCACAAAUAUGCAACGCAACUAAUGAGGCAGCUUGGAGGUGCAAGUAUUAAGCAUGUUCCUAGAAGGGAAAAUAAGCAAUCUGAUGCAUUAGUUGCGCUAGUCUCUUCACUUACCAUGCCCGAUCAUGAGAUACAAGUCCGUGUGUGCCGAAAGUGGGUAGUUCCAUCACUGAUUGAUGAUGAAAAUAUUGAAGGAGGCGACGCUCAUGUGGUCUCAACCUAUGAAAUUGACAAAGAAGAUUGGAGACAACCCCUCGUUGAUUAUCUCAAGUAUCAAAAAUUACCUGAGGAGCAACGUAGAAGAACUGACAUCCGUCGUCGAGCCCCUCGUUUUAUCUUGUACAAGGACACGCUGUACCGAAGAUCAUUUGAAGGUGUACUGUUGCGCUGUCUAAGCGAAGACGAGGCAUAUCGGGCGAUGCACGAGGCACAUUCUGGAAUAUGUGGAGCACAUCAAUCCGGUCCUAAGUUACAUUUUCGGAUUAAAAGGAUGGGCUACUAUUGGCCUACUAUGGUCAAAGAUUGCAUAGAAUAUGCUCAAAAAUGUCAAGCUUGCCAGUUUCAUGCAAAUUACAUUCAUCAACCACCCGAGCCGUUACACCCGACCGUUGCUUCUUGGCCUUUUGAUGCUUGGGGCCUUGAUGUUGUGGGGCCAUUACCAAAGUCGUCCGAUCAACACUUAUAUAUAUUGGCUGCGACCGACUACUUUUCUAAGUGGGCUGAAGCCAUACCGCUCAAACAAGUUAGAAAGGAAGAUGUGGUGAAUUUUAUUCGUGUGAAUAUUAUUUACCGUUAUGGAGUUCCCCGGUACAUUAUCACUGAUAAUGGAAAAUCCUUCUCCAAUGGCUUGAUGGAUAAGUUAUGUGAGAAAUUUAAUCUCAAGCAACGCAAGUCCUCCAUGUAUAAUGCCCCCGCCAAUGGUCUCGCAGAGGCAUUCAACAAAACUUUAUGUAACUUGUUGAAGAAAGUGGUGGCAAAGUCAAAGAAGGAUUGGCACGAAAGGAUAGGCGAAACUCUUUGGGCCUAUCGCACCACAUACCGAACUCCGACGCAAGCCACACCAUAUGCCUUGGUCUAUGGUGUAGAAGCUGUUCUGCCCCUUGAGCAACAAAUUCCUUCUUUGAGAAUUGCUAUCCAAGAAGGGCUCACGGAGGAAGAAAAUGUUCGCCUGCGCCUUGAAGAGUUGGAAGCUUUGGAUGAAAAGAGAUUGGAGGCCCAACAAAAUCUGGAGUGCUAUCAAGCCCGUCUCUCUAGAGCUUUUAAUAAGAAAGUUCGACGUCGCUCCUUUCAAGUCGGGGACAUGGUACUUGCCGUUCGAAGGCCAAUAGUUAUGACUCAUCGCACUAAAGACAAAUUCGUCUCUAAAUAGGAUGGGCCGUACAUUGUUCGAGAAGUCUACACGAAUGGUGCGUACAAAUUAGUGGACAAAGAUGGCGUGAAAGUUGGUCCUAUAAAUGGAAAAUUCGUGAAGUUAUACAUGCCAUAAAAAAAAAAGUGAACUACUCCACGACGCAUGAGUCUAAACUGCCUGUUGCUCCAGACCCGCAUGAGCUAAAACUGUGGAUAACAACCACCAAUAGUGUAGCACGUGGUUAAACUGCUGAAACACUCCACCAAAUCUAAGGUGGUAAACAAAUGGAUACUCCUGACCCGCAAGAGUUUAAACUGUGAAUGGUAGGAACUACGUGUGACUUGAUUCCCUGUUGGGAUACGUAGGCAGCUUAGAGGGCAACUUCUAAGUUCAGUUACAAUUAUAUAAAACUAAAUCCUUUGUCCGGAUGAUUCUUUUGAUAAAAAAAAAAAAAGAGGAGCGUUCAUCUUUAAGACAAUUCGAAUUAUUUUGUGACAUAUACUUGAAAGUGUAUUAUUCAGAUUACCAAAUUAAUUGGAUAAUUAUCUUUUCAAGUGUGAUCAAAAUUAUGCAAAGAUAGAAUUGUUCAUACUACGGUUGAUAGUCUAAAAUGGUGGCUAUCGAAAAAGCAAGUAAAGACGAGGGCGUCUGCAAGAAUGUGAAAAAGAGAGAGCAAGCUUCAUUAUGAAAUGUUUGUGCUCAUAGCUACACGCUUUGAGCAGGUAACAAAAGAUGAAAUUUGAAACAAAGUAAAAAAAAAAAAAAAAAAAAUUUUGCAACUAUUCCUAGAAUUCAAAUGACGACAGCUCCUUUUGGUUGCUUUCAAGUAACGCUUGCAUCUUGUCCAACGUUUGACUCUCCUCAGCAAGUAGGGGCGGGGAAUUCUCGAUCUUUCGAACUUCAUUUUGUAAGUCGACCAUCACGCCUUGCACUCGGGUAAGAUCAUCUUGCUCUUCUCGUAGCAGUGAAAGCGUCUCCUUCCUGUGAGUAUCCAAGAACUCAAGUCGCUUCCUCAACUCUACUUCCUCGCGAUCAAUCUCCUUAAGCUUCAACAUGUGUGUUGAGAUCUUCUCUGCCUGUUGUCUCUCCUUACUCUGAGCGUCUCUAAGAUGUUGGGUAGCCGUAGAAAGCAACUCAUCAUAUGAUUCAGCUGGAAUUUUAUUUGAGAGAGAAGAUUUCACUGCAAUGUAACGAGCUGCAUUUGCAAAGAAAGCCUUUAAAAGGCCUUGCAAAUUUGAGAUAUCCGCGGCAUUGAAGCUUUGCAUUUCCUCUAUGAUUUCGUUGGCUUUCAUUUCAAGUGCAGGCAUGCGCUCUAAGACUGUUUGAGAUAUCAUCACCCUCAAGUUAUUCCACAACAUUUGGAUAUAGUCUCGACGGCAUGUUGAGAUCACAUUUUGGGGGCAAAAUUCAGAUACUCGAGGUGCCCUUGGCCACGAUGGUGGAUCGAAAAUUUUGAGUUUCUUUUGGGCCGAUGGAGUCAUAUGUUCCACCUUCUGUGGCAUGAUUUGCUGAAUCACAUUUCCAUCCUCUACUGCCUUUUUGGAAUUCUCACUAGCACCCAUUUGUUGGGUAGAACUGAUCACUUGUUUGGCCAAAAGUUCAAAUGCAGUAGGUCAUUCAACUGAUAUUUGACUUGGUUCUCCAUCAUCAAUGAAGAUCAAGUCUUGAUCAUCCAACUGUAAGGAAAACGUUAUGAGACAAAUCAUGAAUAUGAAAUUGACAAGUAGAUUUCAAAUGCUAAAUUAAAGAAGGCAAGGGGGGUCCUUACAAUAUUGACACGGCUUAUACCAGGCACAGAUAUAUCCGGAAUGUCUUUAAAGAGUUCCUUAGGAUCUAAACCAAUAUCAUCCAAAGGGAAAGUCAUUACCUUGGACUUCUUGCGCUUCCAAUGCUGGUCCGUGCUAGUGGAUUGCUCAUCCUCCUCAUCAAAAGGCUCGCUCCUCUUCUCCUCAUGUGAAUUGCAAGAAUCAUGAUCAAUGGCUUUCACAAUUUUUGAGGGAAGACGAACUGAAGUACCCUUCGAAAAUUGUUCAUUAGGGGUAAGGUCCUCAAGGGUAGCAACCUUGUUGUUUGAACUCUUCAAAAUUUCCUUCUCGUUUCUCACAGUCUUUUGCUUCAUCUCAAGGCUGUUGUCAACCUUGGAGAGAUUGUUCAGAUUUGCAAGUUCCUUCCCUUUUGACCUCUUCUGCUCCCCACUUGAUUGGAUACUCUUAAUCAAAGUAUCACGCCCUUUGAGGAGGUAAUCAUCAUGUACCGCAGACCACCAUGUUUGAAAGCCUGAAGAUGUGUGCUUGCUAGCAUUCAAGGGAUAGCUAGGAAAAAGUAUCUUUGACUCUGUUUUACUACGAAUGGCAGUGCGCCAGAGUAUUCGACUCAAGUCAUAAUUUGUGGAACGCACAUCUGCCCCGAGUUCCUGUGGAGGAACUUGAUAAAAUCCGAAUUGCCGCGCGAAUCUAUAUGGACUAUAUGGCUCAACAAGGAAAUCCCCUUCAGCAUGCAAAACUAAGUAAUUUGAGCAGGCGCUUACAAAAUAACUUAGUUCGAGAUUUGCUAGUUUGCCAUCGUCAAUAAAGAGUUCAUUGCGAUUCUUCACAAGAGAAGUGAUUCCCCAAGUUACUUUAUCUCCCUGAUGAAUGAGGUCGCGAGCACUAUUUUCAUCAAAGUAUCGUGCGCCACCCUCUCCAGAAUAGUUGGUCAUGGUAGGUCCAGGCAUGGUAUUUGGAGUCGAAUAAUGGGUAGAGAAAUAACUCGCUAACCAAGCAUAUACGUAGUGCACCGGAAAGGCCGCACGUGCACAUCCUGGGGUAGCUGAGUUUGAAAUUUUAUCAAGCCCACGGUAUAUGCUUAGCAGGACAGGAACAGCAAGGCAAGUCUUACGACCGGCAGCCAUCAUACUAGCCAUUUUGAAAGUAGAUGGUCUAAUAUAGUGGGGGUCCUCAUCUGGUAAAACAAAGACACAGAGCCAGCUAGAUAUAAAUGCUGCAAGAUAACUCUCUUCCCGCAAGUGAAGUUUAACUCCGAUGGUAUUAAAUACACCAUUGUCUUGACUUGAAAAUUUGCGCGGUUGUCCAAUUUCGCCAUCCGGAUUUUGGGUUGCUUGAGCACGAGAUGCCCUCUUUAUCCUUCUCUGCUUUGGCUUUGAGUACCUGGUUUUGCCUUUAAACCAGAAAUUAAUCCACUGGUCAGCAGAAACUCCAGUUUUGUUGGAUUCCCCACGUUGGAGAUGAUGUAAGGCUGCGAACAGAUACUCACAACUUUGUGGAAUAUGCCUUAAUUUCUUUUCAUUAACCCCAGUUAGCUCCUCCGCGCAUGGGAUUACCUCUUCAUAGAUACCCCCGAUGAUUGGAAGUCCCCCCAACUUGUGCAAGUCCCAAAGUGAAAGAGACAGUUCUCCAACAGAUGUAUGCAAGGUAUUAGUGUCCGGACACCACGCCUCGCAGAAUGCUCUAAGUACAUGGAGGUUCCUAUCAUAUGUGAAAAGCGAAGCAUAUAAGGCAUCAAACAAGCAAUUUUCACGGAGUUCUCGUUUGUUCCUGCCGAGAAUAUCCUCCAACCACUCCCAAUAAUUCUCGAUGUAACUGAAUGCACCACUGAGUCUCAAGGAAGGACCCCAAUGUGCACCUCCAUCUAUGAUCCGCCUGCCAAGGGUCUGAAAAGGAGUUGUCCUUGGCUCCUUAUCAUGAAUAAGGGAUUUCAAGGAGUGAACCUUCGUGCCAUCAUCUUGAGGAAGGUCGAGUGACCAAUUCUUUAACUCUGGGUACUGGUGAGAAGGCCACUUACCUGAGUAACUUCCUUGUAUAGGGGGAUGCACUAAUAAUUUCGUUCCUUUGUCACCGGAGUCACCAUCGCUGUCAGUGAUAAGGAGAUACUUUUCGUUUGAAAAAGCGACUUCCUUGAACACCACCAUUGCAUCAAGAUUAACCUGCAGCAAAAGGAAGGAAAAAGAAAGUUUGGUUAAAAUGGCAUGGUCGAAGAUAGUAAAAGCUUCUUGAAUUUUUGGGUGAGUUUUAUUGAAGUGGGUAGUCGUGUCUUAUUCUUCAUGUACUCCUCAAGCCAUGAUAUGGCUCUCGUGGGAGUUUGCGGUUGCGCCUUCUUCAAAUUUCUUGGUUGCACCGUCUUCAUGUACUCCUCAAGCCAUAAUAUGGCUCUCGUGGGAGUUUGCGGUUGCACCUUCUUCAAAUAUUGGUCGCACCUCCUUGGUGUACUCCUCAAGCCAUAAUAUGGCUCUCGUGGGAGUUUGCGGUUGCACCUUCUUCAAAUUUCUUGGUCGCACCUCCUUGGUGUACUCCUCAAGCCAUAAUAUGGCUCUCGUGGGAGUUUGCGGUUGCGCCUUCUUCAAAUUAAAUGUCCACCAUACAGGAUGUGUCGGGGAUCCUUCUUUCAUAUCACAACAAAAAAAAAAAAAGGAAAAAAAAAAAUUGGCAUUGACAAGAAAUAAAAGCCAUAAGGUAUGUGAAUUACCUUAGUUUUUUGAACUCCAAGAGCUAUGGUCCUAAAAUUGUGGACACAAUUGGAACAACAAUUUGCUCUAGCAGAAAUGUCAACGUCUGCUGCAAAUAAAAUAAAAAAAAAAAAAAAAAAAUUCGUCAAGCAAUGAAAAUUUUGCCUGGCUUCGCAAAAAGUGACAUGCAAAAGAAAGUUGUGAUGCGUGGCACGUGUUGGCGAGCACUUCGUGCUAGCUACCAGUUGAAUCAGCAUGGAAUUAUAUUAAAACAAGAGGGGACCGUGGACUUGGCCUAGCUCUACAUAUUGUGGCCUGAAACAAGGAAAGAUGUCUUGCAUGUAAGACAACGAAGAAAGCUUGAAUGGUCUUGGAAUAGGGACACUUAUUAGCUAAAUAAUGGCAUGAAGUAAUCAUCUGGCAAGCAGCCUCACCCUAUGGUAUUGGUGAAAACAAUGUGAAUGUGCCGUGAGGUGGGUUUUGUCAUGUUCAACUUGAUGGGUCCAGCAAGGUUUAUCGCUUUUUUUUUAAAAAAAAAAAAAAAAAAUCAUGAAUACAGGUGGUUAUGCUAUUGUGAAGUGAUUCAUUGGCCCCAAUUUGGUGAAUAACCAGAAUAAAGGGUCAUACCAUGCAAAUUUCGAGAAUUCAAGGUUCGGGAAAGACUUGAUUCUCAAUGAAAGCAAGAGCUUUCAUACGAUCUUAUGAUGAGCCAGGUUUCAUCCGGCAGUACAAAAAAAAAGAAAAAAAAAAGAAAAAAGAAACGGAAUUGGUGCUUAUAAAUUUCGUAUCUUCAUAUGAUGCCAAUUCACAUGCAAAGUGACAAUGAAGUCCGAAAUUGACUUGAGACAGGGGGUCAAGCAUGAAUCAAAGCCAGGCAGUCCCUAUGUGCACUAAGUCUCAUUUGGUCAAUUGAACAAGCAACACAUGCAAUUUUUCAGCAAUAAAGGGUGCACGAAAAUUAAAAUUCCAGCAAUGACAAACGUGAGAAAAUCGAAUUUCUUAGUAAGAAAGUUUCCAGAUGAGAUUGCGAGUUACCUGGGGUGAAGUUCACAAAUUGUAAUUCCCCAAGAAAGCUGGAAAAUUUCGGUCUGAGUGAAAGCUGGAAAACUGCACAAGCUAGAAGGCUUCGCAAAUUGUAAUUCACCAAGAAGGCUGGAAAAUUUUGGUGCGAUUGGAAUAGUAUCAAGACGAAAGCUAGAAAACCUCACAAGCUUGAGAGCUUCGCAAGUUGUAAUUCUUCACGAAAGCUGGAAAAAUUUUCGGUAUAGCUUCGGGCAGCUCUACCUCUGUAUAUAAAACUCAUAUACUCUAGAAAAGAGGAAGUCAGUUUCUCAUUCAAUUGAGGAAGCUGGUGAAAUUUGGGAAGUGCCGUGUUGCCGAAAAACUCGUUUAGGCCAUGAGUUGGUCUUAGCACUUUCUGGUUUCAGUAUCUUGCUUGACGCUUGAGGGGUUUGGAAAGUGAAGCAAUAGGGGUUUGAUUGAACAAUUGCUCGGAAGCUCGGUUGCCUAAAGGUCCGCGAUUUGUCUCUUGGGACAUCUGGAAUUCUAAAAAUCAAUGAAGCCAUCUUGCAGACAAUACCAUUGGUUUGAUAAUUACCAAACCACUUCGAUGAUACAACUACAAUUUUAGCAUCUUGGGUUCAGUUUCCAAAAGUCAUUCGGUUGAUAGUUUCCAAUGGUUUACAAGUUGAUUUUAGCAAUUGUCGAUUUGCUCCCAUGGUGUGUGAUUCUGGGCGGUGGACCUAUUUUGAUUGGUACGUGAAAGUAAAGGUCAGAAGGAAAGAAAUCACCUACCUUCUACACCGUCCAAUAGUUGGUUUUGGCAAUUAGCUAAUUCAUUGCAAGUGCUCAAUGGAUUUGGCAGUGCUCAAUGAAGUUUGUUCAAUUCCGAAUGCAUUCGGCAGUACUCAAUUCAGCAGGCACUUGCCCAAUUACCAAUUCAUUGCAAGUGCUCAAUGAAUUCGGCAAUGCUCAAUUUGGAAAUAAUCGAAGGUGGUAUGUUUCUAAUUCUCUUGGAAUCAAUUGCAAGUCAAAAGGGAAAAUGGGCUCCUGUCUCUUUAAAGCAUUGAAGCCACGGCAGUAUGAUUCUAUACAUGAAUCAAUUGGAAGCUACAAGUUUCGGCAGUAGUACUUCUUUAAAUCAAGUUUGAGAAAUCAAUUCCAAUUUGGAAGCUACAAGUUUCGGCAAUGGCACUUCUUUAAAUCAAGUUUAAGAAAUCAAUGCCAAUUUGCUUGCGAAUAAGAUUCGGCAACCAUCAAUUUUGUUUCCUGGUUUGAAACCUCAUACAAGGUGGUGAGAGUUAACAUGUUUGGUUGGCGGUUACCUAAGUUAAGAAGGUUCCAAAUAUUUGUGACCAGUUUCUCAUAGCAUUUGGAAAUAUAAAAUUCAAUGGGUUUUGCUCCUUCAAAUCGAGCUGGUGCCAAGUUGCCAAAAAAAAAAAAAAGAAACCGAUGGCCGUCUGGAAUUUGCAAAGGCUGGUUAUAACAAGAUCAUGAACUUGGAAGCUGCCAAAUUCGAGUAACUUCCAAUUAGCCGAGAUGCGAAUUGGAAAUUAUCUUUGAUUUAGCAAGUCUGCCGCAUAUAAUUUUGAGUGCCGAAGUGUGAAGACAUUUCCUAAUCUUUGCACCACGUCUCGGCUCUCGAAAGUGGAAGUUUCAUGAUAAGUAUUCCACCGAACAAAGUGAUAGCCAUGCUUUGACUAUUAGAUGUUGGGCGGUGCAAUGGUCAUAGAAGUUUCCCAAAUGCACGAGACUAAUUGCAAGCAACAGUUUCAUUGUAAUCACUUGGGUAAUGAUCCUACGCAUUGCACCUUGGUGUAGACCACACGUGAUUCAAGGGAAAUCAGCCUCCUUAUAUUAAACAAAAAAAAAAAAACAAGUACUUCAAGUCUCUAUUUCAAUCCUUGACAAGCAAGUCUCAAUUGAGUCUUGAAGUGGGGGCAUUUGUAGACAAAGAAAAUUUAUUUAAUUUAUUUUAGUCAAGAUUUAUUUAAACUAAAUCGAUCUUGAUUAAAUUAAAUUAAAUUAUAGAAGUCCAUCAUGUUUUGGACUGGCAAAUCGGGCCAAUAUUAUAUGGGUUAUUAAAUCAAAUUAAAUCCGUAAUGUCCAUUUAAGUUGGAGUGAAUUAAUUGAUUUAUUAAUUCACAAUGGACUAUCUGGGUUGGCCCAAUAUUUAAGCCCAAGUUAAAUGGAUUUCUUGGGUAACAAGUGAUCCAAAAUGCAGGAAGAUUCUGAGGGUUUUCUUGAAGUCCUGGCCUACAUAUUUUGGCUAUAAAUAGAGGUCUUCCCUCAAAGCAAAGAUAUAGAAAAAUCCCUAACAUUCGGAGAAACUCUGUCAAAUUCCCUCAAGAGCUUUCUUCCUCAAAUCCAAGUCCAAAUCAAGUCAAACAAAUUCUCCUGCUAUCGGUGUUGAAGACUCGAAGUUCCAAGUGUUUGACGCCAUCAUCAAAUCAACCGUUUUCUACGCCGAAAUUGUAGGAAACACCUUUUCGAUUGUAGAACAAGUCUUUUCGACCCUUCAAUUGAAGCUAUUCGAAGAAAAGAAUCAGGGGAUUAAUUUCUUUGAUUCAAGAAUUUUCAGAGAUUGUAGCCUACUUAUUAUUUAAUUUAAUAAAUUUGAUAUUUGUGCAAGUUUUCUUGUCUUUUAUUUUAGGCAACAAAAUUUGUGCUUACAUACUUGUUAAGAAGGCACCUUUAAAAAUUUCUUUCAAAAUGCAUGGUAGCAACUUGUCUAGUGCAGCAACAAGUUGUAAUUGUUUAGCAAUUUGAACUCUUUCGGAUCUACUUCUCUGGUGCCAUAUUUUCCUAUUAAGCAUUCCAAGACUUUUGGUAUUAGGACAAGAAGUUUCAUAGAAACUAUAAAAGUCAUUAUAAUACUAGUAAUGGAAUUCAACAACUUCCCUUUUUCUUAAAUUUUUCUUCACAAGCAUUCUUUUAUUGUUAAUAUGUUUCAUUGGUUGAGAUCUUCUCAUUUUUUGUCCAUAGGUAGGCUACUCAAGUCAAGUGACUUGUAAGUUGAACUCCAUCUUGCUCUGAAUCACUUUAAAAUUGUUGCUCCGCUAGAACAACUAUACAAAUGUCAAAUAGAAAAAUUAACAAUAGUUAUAAUAAUAAUUAUAACUAUAAUUAAAUAGUCAAAAUAAUAAUAUGAUAAUGCACAAAUGUAAUGGGUUGAGGUAUGGAUAUUUCGCCUUCUUUAAGAUUAUUUAAGCCUCUGCGAAAGAAUCAAUUUUCGUGUAGUAGAAUCUUCGGCUUGUUACCCCAAGGAUAUAACAGUCCAACUACACAUGCUGUUACUCUCAUUAGUCUGUACAACUAAGAGAGUAUAAAUUUUUUUUGCCAAUACAUGAGAUAGAAAAUAACAAAAGAGUAGAUAUUUUCUCUUAUGAAUUGUAGCUCAAAAAACAUAAGUUGUUGUAGCAUCUUUUUCUAUCUCAAUAACCCAUAUUUAUAGAUCAAGAAAAAUUAGUCAAACAUAACCUAACUAAUAAUAUGUUGAGUAGAUGCUGAAAAUUAUUGGCUAUUCAAGACACACUCUAAUUUGAAUUGUAAGUUACAAAAUUUAUUGGAAUUGAAAAGCCAUAAUUUUAUAUAACAAAUCUUUAGUCAAAAAUCAUUCAAACACCAAUAAAUUUGAAAAAUAUUCACCAAUUUAUUCUCCUUAUAACUUACACAUCUAAUUGAGAAUUUAACAAUUUUAUUAAAAUAUUCCAACACCUUAUAUACAUAAUCUAGAAAAUUUUGUGUUACUUCCAUAAAAUCAUGAAAUUAUUUCCAUAAACUAUGGGAGAUCUUUUAGCCACAAGCGAGUUAUGAAUUAACCAUAUUUUAUUUUCAGCUGUAAAGCACAUAUGUUCAACUUCUAAUCGAUUACCUAAACUUAAUUUCACUUCUAUACUUUCACAGAUACCAUUCCCAUAAAAGACUCUCACACUCAUUUGGAGGAGUCCAAAAUGCAAGUUGUUUUCGUAAUUUGUCAUCCUGGAUUAGAUCUACUAAAGGGGCCAAUUGUAGUGUGGUAAAUUAUGACCAUCCCCCACUUCGUGUCCACCAAAUUAUGAGGUGUGGCCCAAGAGUUUAUUUUUAUUCUUUUAUUUUUUUAUGUCAAUUACUUCUGUACAGCUUGAAAGUUCUUUGAUGGAGACUUGGAAGCAUGUUGUUAAUACAGGCAAAAAAAUAGUAAGAUUUUGGUGAUUUUGAGGUCAAUCAUGUUUUUUUGUUAAAAAAAUAGAUGCAUCAGUUAUUUCACCUGCACCCGCUGUGCAUCAAUUUUUUUAGGCAAUAAUAUUUUUAUAAUCAAAUUUAUCCUAAUUUAAAGGAAAGGAAAAUCUAAAAAAACUGUAUAUCAAGGGUUAGUACCUCUACUUUUUUUUUUUUUUUUGGUAAGAAAGUACCUCUACUUACUACUCAAAGAGGGAUUUAGUCUUUCUGUCAACCUGCCGGAGUUUGCUCUGGUGUUUGUGGCUGUGGGGAAGAGAGAAGAAAAAACACGUCGGAGUUUUGGGAGCAACACGUGUCGUGGUUGAAUGGCACCGGAUUGACGUUCCUACAGUGGGAAGGCCAAUAACAUACAAUUCCAUGAUAAAGAGGGUCAGGCCAAAAUCCCCUCCAUCCCAUUGAUAUUGCAUACUUUCUUUGUUGGAUGGUUCUAAAUUAUUUGUCAUUUAUAUAAAUUAGUUGAUAUAUUUCUAUUUAAUUUCUUCAUUUAGUCAUUUACUCCUCAGGCACUCCGUAAAAGUUCAAUGCAUGUUUUUUUUUUUUGAGUCCACGUACUAUUAUCAAGAAAGUAAAACAACUACUUUUUUGUAGUAUGUAACAGUUAUCAAGUAAUUAAAAUCACAACAAUCUAAGAUUUGGUAAAACUUUCAAAUAUCUAAGAUUUUCCACAAAACCUAGGAUUGAACAAAUAUCAUAGCCCCACAAUUCUUUAUGAGUUAGAAACUACACAUCAAGUUUCAAAUUCUAUCCACUAUUAAUAAAAAUUGUAAUUCUUGAACUGCGACAAACUUUAUAAGAUGUAAGGAGCAAUAUUUACUGCAUACAUAUACAUGUAUUGUUUCUUGGCUUGAUUUGUCCUCAUAAAUAAGAUCAUUGCAUCGAUUUUGGUGAAGAAAAACAAUUAGUCGAAGCUCAAACUGCAACUAUUAUAACAUCUUCAACAAUUACAAUAGUGUCAAGAAAGACACCACGUAAAAUGUUGUUUAUUAGGCACUUACAAUAUUGCAAAGUAAGGUAAAUUACAAUAUGACGGUAAAUUACUGCAUCAUAAAUACGCUUCUGAAAGUACAGGCUUUAUUCGUACGCGCCCAGCUUAAAAUCUAUUUGUUCUCUGAAAUCUCCAUGUGCAAUCCCUUGGGGUAACGAAUACCAGUAGGUGUCCGGAUUCUCUCUGCUCCGUUGGUAACUCUCCAGCUGAAAAUUCAAAUUAGACAGUCUUUCUUGAAAAAUCGAAGAAGUUAAGUGGACAUCAAUUUAUAAUAUAUAGGAAUUAGCUUCUUCUAUAUGUAUUUAAGCGAAGAUGGUGGGAAUUGUGAUUUGGAAAUCCUUACGUGUAUUUUGUGACCAAGUAAUGCAGAAAAAUUGACAUCUGCACCUUUGCAUAGUCAGCACCAACGCAAAGCCUCGUACCACCAGCAAAUGCCAUGAAAUUUUUUGAUCCCAUGUGUAAUUCUUUGCCCUUUUGAUUGAAAAAACAGCAGAAAAACCCUAAAUCAUUUUUACUUGAUUUUGUUUAACUUUUGUUUUGUAAGUUUAUCUUUCUUGUGUGCAUAUAUUGCUCAAAUAUGUCGAUGAUCAAAUUACCUCCCAUCGCCAUGGGUUAAAUUCAUGGGGGUUUGCAUAUACAUUAGGAUCCAAAUGAACACAUGAUGGACAAACCAUUACCGUCCAGCCAGCAGGAAUUGUAUACCCUGCAAAUCAUUCGCACUUAUUAGUCAAAACUGGAAGUUAUAAUGGUGGAAAAGAGGAACCAAGGAAACAAAUCAUUUAUUUUCUAUAUUUUUACUCCCAUGAAAAAAUGCCCAACCCAAGUAGUUAUUAAAGAGAGUUUUUCUUUCUUCUUUUUUUUUUUUCCUUUUUUGUGCAGGAGAAAGGUAUCACUGGUCCAAAAUAAAGAAAGUGUGACAAAUGAUUUUCAAGAAGAUGCCAAAUGACAUAUUGAAGCGUACCUUUUACUUCAACUUCCUUGACAACUUUGCGCAAAAUCCCAGGAGUAAUAUUUGCAAGCCUAAGUGUUUCAUUUAUAACCUACAGUAGACAACAAAACUUAAGAUGUAAAUGGUCUAGCUCACUAUAUGAUUCAAAUGAUAGAUACAAUGAAAUGUCUGGUUAAUUGGAGCGUACCAUGUGUGUGAAAGUCAUAGACUUGUACUCUUUCCAAGAAACAGCAUUUCUCGCAUUUUAAGAAUAUUUUCAUGCUCUCUCUACAAAAACGAAUGACUAUUUAAAUAUGAAGUAAUCUUUCAUAUUUAAAACAAUGCACACUAUCGGUAUAUAUAGAAUAUUAAUCAUUUAAAUAUUGAACUUGCAGAAGAAUUGGAGAAUUAAAGGGUAAAUACAGAUGACAACGGGAGAAAUUGUUUCGGAAAGUCACGGACCUUUAGUUCAGCCAUAACACGUGGAUGGCCAUCUAGAUACCUCAAGGCCACAGUCAAAGCUGUUGAAGUCGUUUCAUGGGCAGCAAAUAGAAACAAAAAUACCAGGUCCCUCGCAAUUUCUUCGUUCAAAAAAGUGUCUUCUUUCUUUAUUUGCUCAAGUAAAUGGUCCACAAAGUCUUUCGAAGUGUCAUUGCCCGAGCGCUUCCUCUCAAAGAUGUCCUUGAUGACCUUCAUUGCUUUCUUACGUCCCUGGAAAAUGAAAACCAUAUAGUUCGUUCAAUCUGAUACGGCAUUUAUGAAAGCAUAUAUAUUUUACGUAGUCAUAUAUUGAUAAUGAAUAUGUUUUUUUUUUCUUGUUGGUAUAGUGAACAUCGAUCUUUCAAUAUAAAAAGAAUUCCAAAUGACGAACAACAACAAUAACAAUUGAUUACUUGUAAGCAAGCAUGGAACGGUGUUCCAGGGAUGUUGAGAGGAAAUGAGAUCAAGCCAUCCAUGAAUGCCUUAUAACUGUCUCUCAAUUUUUGCUGAUCCUUGCUUUCUUCAUAGCCAAGCAUCUUCUUGGCAGCAUAUUUAAAUACCAACUGGAGAAAAUGAGAUUGUUCAUUACUACUUUUCAUGCAAUGCUCUGUACGUACAGUCCGAAUUCAUCCUGAUUAAUAUAAUCAAAUAGUAGCAUGCUGAUUAAUUUACCUCUGAUGUUCCAUCUUUAGCAUCUAAUUUUCCAAGUUUACUCCAAGAACUUAGAGAUUCUUGAGUGCUGGCAUCCAUUUCAUAUAUUAGCUUCUCUCUUAAGGCUUCGGGGCUAACAAGCUUGAACGUUAAGCUCUUGAGGUACUUGUGGAAGCCUCCAUGAUGGGCAAGUACACUUUGUUUCCCAAUUAUCUGGAAGAGACUCUCAGUAUACCAAAUUUGGAAAGCAUUACCUUCUUGCUGGAAGACGCGGAAGUUGAAGUCAGCAUCAGUUGAUACAACGACUGGCUGCCCAACUAUACUCGUGCGAAAAAUUGGUCCGUACCUGAAAUUUCCCAAAGAGGGAAAAAAGGAAACAAAGAAAAGCUAGUUAAGAUAAAAUAUUCUUAACUAUUACUGCUGUCAUAUUAUUAAAAUAUAUAUAUGUGAUAGCUGGUUAAAAAGUGGUUAGAUAACCAAUGGAGUAUUGAGGAUGGCCUGAUGAUUAGGAGAAGGUAUUAGAGUUUUCUCCGCAAUCUAAUUUAAGAUUCGAAUUUUGUAUCGAAUAGUUAGAAAUGAGAAGGGUAAGAAGAAAAAUAGGAGACGGAAAAAAAAAGGGUUAGACAUACCUAGCCGCUCUUCUUUGUACGAAUGGUGGAACAUCAUCCGAUGCAUAAGGGGUGAAGUACUCAAUUGUUUCUCCUAUAAUUGGUAAUCCCAUCGAGCCUGGCGGUAAUACCCCGUUACACUUGGGGUUUCUCCACCUGUAUACCCAGUGGCUGAAAAGCACAACAAUGAGAGCAAUAAUAGCACAAGCAAACAACAUGGUCCCUGGUUAGUGUAAUGGAAAUGUAGGGGAAAAAUGAGAAGAGAGUAGCUACAAUUGAUGUUGUUUGCUAUGAAGGAAUCUUGGAAGUUGGAGCUGCUUAAAUAGAUGGAGAGCACAAGCUCUGACAAGGACGCGAUAGACAUAUUACCUUUUCUUUUAUGUUAUUGCAACAAUAAAUAUUUUCACCUGUAAUUUAUAAAGAGUCAAAAGGAAAAAUGGGCUGCAGUGCAUGGUCAAUGUAAAGACCAAUAGCGCUUGGUCACGGCGGCUACAGAGGCCCACGAAAAAGUCUAUCUUGUACAACGCCGGCUACAGAUUGAAGCCACGUGCGAGGAAGAUACCUUGCGAUAUUAGGAAAGCUCUGCCACUAUUUUUGGUAAUAACGAUUUUUAAAUCUCACUGCGGUGACUUUUGGCAACAUGUUACAUACAUAUAUCAAGCUCCAUAAAAGUCGUUACAGGUGAGGAUACAGUGUCUUAACGACCCUCAAAGCUCGUCCGGAACUUGACAUUGUAUCCUCACUUGUAGCCUGAUUGAGUAAUUACCUUCAUAAAUAAAUCUUGUCUACAACUUUUUGUUCGACACUUGUAGGUGUAAUUUCUAAAACUUAAGGGAAGUGUUGUGCAAUUAUUGGAAACCUUACCGGGGGUAUGUGGAGUUAACCCAAUUUUCGAGUUUGCCAAAUUGUUCUUUGGGAUAAUUUCAAAAACCUCCUCUGAGGUUUCUGACAAUUUUACUAAGCUUCUUCAAAGUUUGAAAAAUUACACUUACCUCCUUUGAUUUGAUAGUUUUAAUAAUAAAAUCUUGAAAUAGUAUUAAUUUGGAUAAUUUUUUAAAUGAAUACCCAAAAAUGCCCCUUGUGGAAUGAGUUUUAAUUUAUUUUUCUAUAUAAUUAUAAGAUUAUUUAGUAUAAUUAUAAGGAAAAGAUGCCAAAUUUUUCAUGUCUAUAUCUACUAUUUGAUAAACGCCUAUGAUAAUAAUUUUAUUACUAUGAUAUGAUAUUUUUGACAGUAUUUUAUUAUGAAUUUAGAUUUAUAAGAUUAAAAAAAUGUUGAAAUAAUUCAUUUAAAAUUUAUAAAUUUUUGGAGUAAUGAGAUUAUCAUAAUUUAGUAGUUCUUUUGGGCCAUUUCUUUUUGAUUUAUUGUUAAUUUUAAUACUAAAAAAUAGAAAACAAAGAUCAAUAAAAAUGUUAGAUUACAUAUAAAAUUAACUCAUAAAAAAAAAUCACUAAUUCGACAUUUGGUUAUAAUAGAAACCGAGAUGCAAUAAUAGUAGUUCUACAGGAAGAUUGAAAAAAUAAUUUUAAAACUCAUUCUAAGUAUAAGCAUACCAAAUAAAAGAAUUUUAUUAAAAUAUUUAAGAAUAAAAUUGUCAUUUUAAAUGAAAAGGGAGGUAUGUGUAAUUUUUUAAAGCUCAGGAAAACUCAGUGAAAUUGUUAGAAAUCUCAGGGGAGGAUAAUGUCUGUUGGAUUUUGAUAAUUUAUAUAUAUCUUUUUAAUAAUUUAUAUAUUUUUUAUUUUGACAAAAAAUAUUUAAUUCGUUGAAUGUCAGAAUCGGAGAGUAAUGCCUAUUGGAUUUUAAACAAGCAGCCGUGCCCCGACGUCGUUGUCGGAGUGAAAGAGGAGUUUGACUACAGACUUGCGGAGGAGACCUGCAACUAGAUAUUUUCUUCCUCUGAAAAGUACAAAUUAUAUAUUGUCACUUGCGGAGGAGACCAGCUGCGACCCUCAAAGCUGAAUCUGGAUUAGCUGGACGCUUAUCAAAUUAUAUUGUCAUAGUUCGAGAAGAUUAGCAGAAAAAAAAAAGCGAGAGAGAGAGAGAGAGUCAGGAACCUGAAUAUCUUUAUUCAUUUUAGUCAAAGGGAAUACGUCUAUGCUUUUUGGAAGCCAAAUUUGACGCUCCUGGUUGAAAUAGUGAAAGAAUGGACUUGUGAUUUGGUCUUUCUCUCUCCUCUUUACUAACAAAAGUCUUUUUUAAUUUGUUUAUCUAUUGUUUGGGUAAUUUAGUCAUUACAAUUUGCUGCUUUUUAGUUCACUUAUUUAGAUCUUUUUUUCUUUGAAGCAAAAAUUUGAAACUAAAACUACUAGGAAAAAUAGAAAACACGGAUCUCUACUCUCAGGAAAAGUCAAGCGAGAAAGAAUGACGAAAAGAAACAUAUAUGCUGAUCAAGUGGUUGAGGAAAAUCUAAGAAAUAGACUUACAUGCACGAAUAAAAUAACUUUGUCAACGUACCUAAACAUACAAGAAUAGAAUAAUAUAAUUUUGCACGAGACGUUCUUCACAUUACGUGUCACAAGAAUGAAAAAUAAACAAAAUUAUCCUUUUGCUGUUGCAUGCUAGAAGCAAAUCUCAAAGUGUGUUCAGUUUAAAAGUAGGGGGGUGUGCAUCUGUAGAGUCAAAGUAAAAUAUUUAUUUAUUCAAAUAAGAUUUCUAUUAUUACAAAUCUCUACCCUGUAUAUUGUUAUAUAUUUUAAUGCUAUAAUACUUUUUGUGAUGUAAUAUAUGUAAGAAAAAAGGUAGUUCAAGAGAUAAAAAUGUGAUUAGAAACAUAUUUAUAAUGCAACUACAAUUUUUUUACAAAUAAUCCAUAUCUAAACAAGCCCAUUGUGUGCGUGGUACCUUUAACUUUAUUAGAUUUUUUGAGUAUUUGAAUAUGCAUUAUUGAGUAAUUGUCAAUAUCAACUAAAUGAAAGAAGGAAAAAUAAGAUGUGGAAACAAAUUAUUUGCUGCUGAGAGUGUGAAAAUGCGAUUUUAAUUUAGAGGAAUUUACUUUAAUUAGGUAAUGCAAUGAUUCUUAGGAAUGCGCUAUUGGUACAUACAAAAAUGUUGAAGGAUCUGACGAAAAUCUCUGGAAACCUUGUACCCUUGAGCGCCUUCCCAGUCAUGCAUUUUUUUAUCUAUGUAAGAGGUGAUGUAAUGCAAUGAGCUCUAAUUUUCUUAGAAGCCCAUUUCUCAAUUAUCUGCUCCAUUAUUGGACAUGAUAGAUCUAACUUCAUUUUGGGUAUGAUUUGCUACAGGGGAUGUUACCAAAUCAGUUUGUCCCUACAAAUGCACAUCCAAAAGGUACAGAAUGCCCAAUUGCUAUACCCCUUUUGAAGAGUUGAUAAUACUCUUGAAGGUUCCUGGCCAUUCUCACUUUUAUCAGUGUGUCUUGCAUGUUGAAUCUUUAAUCUAAUAUUGGACUCAUAUGUAAAUAAUUACGUAAUACAAUUGUCAAAUAAGACUAAGUCCAAUUAAAGUGAUCAACUAUAAUUUGGGUUUAAUGUAUCUAGCAAGAAAUGGGCAUUUAAUGUGUAGAGAUUUAAGGGUAUUUUUUAUUUCUAUAAUGAGCUGAAAUAGAAAUUCAAAAGGUAGCAAGAAUAUUAUUUAUAAACAGGGUUAUAGUUCACAGGUCACAAGUAUUCUUAUUGCCAUAUUUUCUAGUGCCGACAAAAUAGCUCUUUCUUGAUAUUCCAUCGUCAGAAAAGAUACCAGAGAUCAGAAAUUAAAGGGCUCUCUCAAAAAUUGGUAAAUACGUGUUGACCUGGAAGAUCACACCAAAAUCUUUAAGGAUUCAAGCACCAGUUUAUCAACAUGAAUUAAGGUACACUUCCGCAAUUUUUCUGUUAAUUUAUUUCUUAAUAUUUACCAUAUAGAUUUUGGAUUUGAUAGGUGAUGGUUUUCACCAAAAGUUAAAUAUAAACAUCCAUCAUAACAAAUGGUAUCAGAGUUAAAUAUGGUUGAUUAUUGGGAAAUAAUUUGGAUUUAAAAAUUCAUAAAUUUUGAGUUUUUUUUAUAUAGAACUAUGAUUAAUUUUGGCUUUGUUUGCACGACCAACAAGUUUUUUGUUCCGUGGUUUUGCCCAAGUUAAUAUCGCUUCACGUUAACAAUUUUUUGUUCCGUGGUUUUUUUUGUUAUGUGAAUCUAGUGUUAUGAAUUCAGAUCUUUAAUAAAAGUCGUCGUCCAAUUCAUGCGGUGUUUUAUGCUUGACUUAGUGACCUAUCUCAUAAUGAAUGCAUGGUUGUCAAGUAUUGAAACUGGUCCAGUCACAAGCCCCAUUGAUUCAUAUGCAAUAAAAAAAAUGAAUGAAUUCGUGGGUUCCACCACCACGAUGGACAAAUCUUCAUAAGGCUUUCAUAUUCAUAAUUGUUUACACAGGAGAUGUUACGGUUAUCAUGUUAUUGCACAAGUCAUCGUGGGACCCACAUGAUUUAUAUGUUAAAGGCACCAUUUAUAUUUACUUUGGGACCUGUGGAUUGUCUUGUUUACUUGGUUCCUUUUUAAGCAAUUUGAUUAUAUAGCUUUCGUGACUUGUUUUCUUGUUUGAGAAAUAAUAUUAAGGAAAUUAGAGUUUCUUUAAUUUAAGUGAACCCUAAUAAAAUUAAUAAGACAUUUAAACCCUAUAAAGUCCAUAUAUUAGGCUCACUAAUAUAAAGUCUUAAAAAGCAUUUAUGGACUUGAAGAAAAUUUAGGACUUAAAUGAUAAAUUUGGUUCAAUUAUGGAUAUGGACUUUUGGUCCAAUUUGACUGGUUUGAUCAUGUUUGACCACGUUUUGAUCAGAGUUGACCAAAGUUGACUUUGAUCAAAUUUUUUGUUUAAUUGAUGUAAUUUUAAAUUUGAAUAUUGGUAUGAUUAUAUAUAUUUUAGAAUAAAUUAAUUGAAACAAUAUGCUGCCAAAGUGACCUUUAUUGUGAAAAUUAAUUUGUUCUAAAAUAUAACUAGUUAGGUACUUAUAAUUUUAUUUAUGAAUAUUGAUCUGUCCAAAAGAAGAUCAAUAUUUAAUAAAAUUACAUGUGCACUUGUGGUAAUAAAUACGUUAUGAUUAUUUGGAUUUCUUACAUGUGAAUUAUAAAUUGGUCUAAAAGAAAAUUUAUUAUUUGACAUGUUAUUAUUAUCAGUAUUUAUUACUGCACCAAGAUAUCAAUUAGAAAUUAAUAUUUUGUCCAAAGAUAAAAUAUUAAUGAAACAUCGGUAUCUUGAGAUAGGGUUACCAUUAUUUGAAUUUAUCAUUAUUUUGAUUUAUGUGAGCUUUUUAAAAAUAUUUUAUGUUUUCUAUUCAGUUGCAAAUGAUUUAACAAAUAUUACUAGCAACAUCAAUGAUAUUCCUAUGCUGAAUGGCACAAAUUUCAAGUUAUGGAAAGAAAAUCUCUUAACAGUAGUUGAAAUAAUGGAUCUCGACCUUGUGUUAAGGGAUGAUUCUCCCCCAUCUCUUACAAAUCAGAGUAUUUCUGAUGAAAAGAGGGAUAAGAAAAAGUGUGUGAGAUCAAAUCGCUCGUGUCUGAUGAUCAUCAAAAAGACCAUUCUAAAAGCAUUCAGAAAAACAAUGGGUGUGUUUGGAUCCUUGUUUUUGGAGCUGUUUCUGAAAAACAGUUUUUCACAUCCCAAAUGCUACAGUAAAUGUGUAUUUCUAAAACAACUUCAAAAAUACCAUAUCCAAACAUUAUAUCAAAAACAACUACAUAUGUAUAUUUCAAUUAUGUAUAUUAUAUAUAUAUAUUAUAUUAAUAUAAAUUGAAAUAUACAAAUUGAAAAUUAUAUAUAUUAUAUAUUAUAUAAAUAUUUAUAUACAUUAAUAUUAUACAUAAUAUAUUAUAAUAUACAUAAUAUAAUAUACAUAAUAUGUAAUAUUGUAUACAUAAAUGUGUAAAUAUUUAUACAUAAUAUAUUAUGUACAUUAUAUUAUAAUAUAUACAUUAUUAAUGUAUAAUAUUAUUAUGUACAUUAUUGUGUAUAAUAAUGUCUAAUAAUGUUAGGUAUAAUAUAUAAUAUACAUAAUAUGUAAUAAUGUAAAAAUGUAUAUUAUGUAUAAUAUAUUAUAUUAUAUAUAUAUACAAUAUUAUGUAUAUUAUACAAAUUGAAAAUUAUAUAUUAUAUAUUUAUAUAUUAUAUAUUAUAUGAAUAUUUAUAAAAUGAAAUAUACAAUAAAUAUUACAAAUUGAAAUAUUAUAUAAACACCAUAUUUAUAAUAUUAUAAUAUUUAUAAUUAAUAUUAAUGUAUAUUAUAUAUAUAUAUUAAAUAUUUAUAUAUUUAUUUUUACAUAUUAUAAAUAUUUUACUUUACUUAAAAUUUUUUUUACAUAUUUAUAAUAUAUUUAUAUGAAUAUUAUAUAUUAUAUAAAUUAUAUAUAAUAUAAUUUAUAUUUUACAUUUAUAUAAAUGUACAUUUAUACAUAAUAUAUAUAUUAAUGUAUAUUUAUAAUAUACAUUUAUAUUAUGUAUUAUACAUAAUAUAAUACAUUUAUAUUAAUAUACAUAAUAUUAAUUUUACAUUUAUAAAUAAUAUUAAUACAUUUGUACAUUUAUAUGAAUUAUAUUAAUACAUUGAUACAUAAUAUUAAUAAAAUUAUAAUUUAUACAUUUAUAUAAUAUUCAUUUGUAAUUUAUACAUUUAUAAUAAUAUACACUUUUACAUUUAUAAAUAUAUUUAUAAUAUGUAUUAUAUGUAAUAUAAUACAUUUAUAUAUUUUUAUAUAAAUACAUAAAUAUAUUUAUUUAUAAAUAUUUAUAUAAAAAAAUAUAAUUUAUAAUUUAUAAUUUAUAAUUUAUAAUUUAUACAGUUAUGUAAUAUUCAUUUAUAAUUUAUAAAUUUACAAUAAUAUACACUUAUACAUUUAUAAAUAUAUUUAUAUUAUGUAUUAUAUGUAAUAUAAUACAUUUAUAAUACAUUUAUAUAUUUUUAUAUAAAUACAUAAAUAUAUUUAUUUAUAAGUAUUUAUAAAUGUAUUAUAAAUGCAUAAAUGUAUAUUUAUAUAAAAAUUAUAACUUAUAAUUUAUACAUUUAUAUAAUAUUCAUUUAUAAUUUAUACAUUUAUAAUAAUAUACACUUAUACAUUUAUUAAUAUAUUUAUAUUAUGUAUUAUAUAUAAUAUAAUACAUUUAUAUAUUUUUUAGCGAAUAUAUAAAUAUAUUUAUUUAUAAAUAUUUAUAAAUGUAUUAUAAAUGCAUAAAUUUAUAUAAAAAUAAAAUUAUAUAAAUUAUAAAUUAUAAAAAUACCCAACAUAUGUUUUAAAAAUAUCUCUAAAAAUAAUCCAAAAAACAUCUAUAGUAAAAGUUUUUCAUAUAGUUUUUGAAAAACAAUCUCAAAAACAACUAAUCCAAACGGACUUGUAUUUCAAAAACGAAAUGCUACAGUGCUGUUUUUGAAAAACAACCCAAAAAACAGCUAAUCCAAACGGAGCAAAUGUCAGAAACGACAGUAACUGCUAAAGAGUUCCUCCAGGAUAUUGAAAAAAAGGUUUGUCAAGAAUGAAAAGAUUGAAAUUAGUACGCUCUUGACACGUCUAGUUUUAAUAAAAUAUAGUGAUAAAGGUAAUAUCAGAGAGUACAUUAUGGAGUGUCUGAUCUUAUUUCAAAAUUAAAUGCACUUAAAUUGAUACUCUCUGAAGAGUUACUAAUGUAUUUGAUUUUAAUAUCUUUUCCUACACAAUUUAAUCAGUUUAAGGUAAGUUGUAACUGUCAAAAAGAGACUUUGUCUCUAAAUGAGCUCAUCUCACACUUGUAGAAGAGGAGAAAAGGUUGAAGCAGGAUUAGACAGAGAGGCUAUAAUCAACAUGUUCUUGCUCCAUAUUAUACUUGAAACAUGGACCUAUCAUACAUGUAGUUUUCCCUUGAUUUGAACUUGAUUUGAACAAGAAAUCUUGGCCCUUUCGGAAACUAUAUUAGGGUUAAACCUGAAAUUUUCUGUGUUUGUUAAGUGAAGUUUCGAACUCAUAUACAUAUAAACCGUAAAAUCAAUUAAAUAUAAGGUAAAUUUUCGUAUGCCAUAAAAGAUCAUAAUAGUUAUACUAAGUUCAUCAAAUCGUUUCAAAAGAAAAGGGAAAACAACAAGAUCAAAAUGUGCUAAGUCGCAAUAUACAACAAAAGGAUGUCAUCCCCUAUAUAAAAGAUUACAACCUCUAAAAGUGCCAGUCUAUUCUAGGGUAAGACUACGAUCCCUAUUUGUCGAGUAGAGUUAGAUUCACCCCGACGCGUAGAGUUUCCACUACUUGAAUUCCUGUUACAAUCAUCAACAUUAAUCACUCCUUCUGGCACUCGACUGAUUUGCAGUGGAUUUAGCAGGUUGUUGAGAAUUUCCUUUUCCCUUAGAAGCUCUAGGGCAAUUCGAAAACUUAUGCUCAGUACUACCGCGGUUCAGACAUUUUCCUUACUUUCUCUAGCAUUCGGCCUUAGUGUGGUUAAUCUAACCACAGUAUCCACAAGUUACGUGAUGAGUCACGGCUUGACCAGUUUGAAAUUUUCCUUUUUGUUGAUCUCGUCUACUCCGAUUUCUUUUUGGCGGGGUUUUGCUUGAUGGAGUUUCUCCGGAUGUUUCAGACAUCUUCACUCCUCCAGCCCCAUUUCCUAUUUUAAAGGAUUGGGUAGACCUCUCGGACUGUUUAGGGGUAUCACUUGGAUUACCCCUCUUUCUAACAUGAAAUGCUUUAGAUUGAGACUUAGCAUUUUCUACCCUCUAUGCCUUAACCAAGGCAUCCGUAAAAGUGGUAAUGUGGGAUGCUGCUAGGGAUUCUUGGAUUUCUAUAUUUAACCUUUGAAUAAAACGCCUUAUCCUUUUCCGUUCGGCGACUACAAGCUCAGGGGCAAAUUUGAAAAGUUUGGUGAACCGCUCCUCAUAUUCGGCUACACUUAAUAAUCCUUGUUUCAAUUUAAUAAAGUCAUCCUCCCUCUUUUCUUGUAUAAUUGGCGGGAAGAACUUGACAAUAAACUCCCUCUCAAAGUUUAUCCAAAUCCAAGGGAUUUGUUCUCUUUCCCACUUUGCACCAACGAUAUUCCACCAUGAGCGUGUUACCCUGUCAAAUUGAAAAACAACAAAAUUUACUUGCCUUUCCUCGGUAUAAUCUAGAGCAGCAAAAAUGUCAACCAUCAUUUCAAACCACUUUUCCGUUACCUCGGGAUCAGGGCCUCCAUGAAACUUAGGUGGAACGAAAUUCAAGAAUCGUUCUAGAGCUCUAUCCUCAUCCCUCUCUUGGUUCCUAGGUUGGUUGACUGGUUCAGGUUCCUGGCGUUCAACUAAGCGCUCGAGAAUAUCGGUCAUACAGUUAAUGGCCGUAGCCACUUGGUCACCCUUUUCGUUUCUAGAAUUUUGGUUUGGUCCACUCGCGGAUCCCUCACCUCUCUCGGGAAUGCAGGGUUGCCGAAACCCCCGUCCACGUCCUUGCCGAUCCAUUUAGCAAGAUUCUAAACGCAUAAUAAAAGUGAAAAGUAUAAGCGAAUGAAUUGAAAAACAUGUACACAUUGCAAAAACAUUUUAAAUUAAAGCAUAGCUAUUUGCAUAAGUUAGAAGUCAUGUCAUAUGUCAAUGUACACACAACGGGUUACUAAUAUCAAAUACAGGUCAUAGGCAAUUAAGUGCCACAAAUAUAGGAGUGCAUAUAGGCAAAAUACAAAAGGUCUCACGGCGAGCACCACCCCUACUAUAUUAGGCAGGAUAAAAAAAAACUAUAAGUUUAGUUAGGGACAAAACUAGAAGAAUCCCGGAUACUAAGUUACAUCAUUCAAAUAAUUAUAAACCCCAAAUUCCAUCCAAAAGCCUAAACUACUUUUGAAAUUUUUAGCCUCCUCACUAGAUUCAAGGUGAAAGUUCUUAUACAAGUUAUGGUAAUAAGUCAAACCAAAUGGAAUGCAAAAGAUGUCUCAUUUUCAAGUUCAAAGCGGAGCCCAAAAUUGUUCAAAUGGUUCAACUUUUCUUUCGGAAAAUUCGGCAAGCAAAAUAAUGGGGGAAGCAAGGUUCCUAACUCUUAAACUCACCAAAUGGCUAUUUAAAUUUUCUAAUCUUGACUCACCUCCAGCCUAAUUUAAAGAGUAAAGUCUUAUAGUAUUUUGUGAGCAAAAUGGUGCUACAACCUCAAGCACCAAGAUCACAUUACACGCAAUAUAUAAUCAAAUCCCACAGUCCGGCAUCAUAAAUUUUUAAACCUAGGACAAUCUAUAAAGAUCUGAAACCUAAACUCUAAUACCAACUGUGACGCCCCCACUUCUCCCAAGGGCGAACCUAAGGGUAUCUACGGAACGCCUGCUCAACUCUCGCCAGAAUUCGAUAUAAUUUCAAGUCAAACUUAAGAUAAACAACCAAGAAAUAACAGUCGAAGUAAGCAAAGUCACUUUCCUUAAAUAAACUUUCAAGUUUCACAACGCAGUUCUCAAAAGUACAUCAUUUUUUCAAAAUACAACCUCUUAAAGUUGUCUAACAAUUACAUUCAAACACCCCAAUCAAAAGUCCAUCGAGUCGGCUUCUUCAUAUUUCUUUCCAUUCCAACUCCUGUUAAGGAAAACAGAUCUAAUGGGGGUGAGCGAAUGCUCGUGAGGCCAAGAAAACAUGCAAAACACGUAGUUCAAUAACAAUAGCACUUACACAAUAAUGAAAACUAUAACAUCCAAGUAAUUCACAAUUUAUAAUAAAACACACUUGACUAGGAUACAAGAGCUCUGAGGAGCUCAUUUCCACUUGUUUUACCAAAGUUCAAUCUAAUACCUCCUCGUAACGACACUUCGUCACCCGAAUAGGUAAUUAAAUUCAUAGCACUUCACUUACUCCAUUUAUGUUUCUGAGACGACACAAGAGGUACCUCCCACCCAAAUCGGUGUGGUACUUACUAUUGCUCAGUGGUCGAUGAGACAUCGCUCCAAUCGACUUAAAAUGAUUUAUGGUUCCGAGAUGAUACAAGAGGUACCUUCCACCCGAAUCGGUAUGGUACGAUGAGACAUCGCUCCAAUCGAUUUAGAAUAGUUUAUGGUUCUGAAACGACACGAGAGGUACCUCCCACCCGAAUCGGUAUGGUACUUACUAUCGCUCAAUGGUCGAUGAGACAUCACUCCAAUCGACUUAUGCAGUCAUAUCAUAAUUAAUCACUGAAACACUUCACUUAACAAGUCACUUCAAGCAAUUCCCUUCAAGUAGUUCAAGUCCACUUCACGUAAAUAUUCACUUUAAGUAUUUCAUGUCAAGUAAUUCAAGUACACUUCACUUAAAUGAGAACGAGUACAGUAAAGUACACACUCGACUCAGCAUUUUCAAAAUAUUCAAUCACUAAUAACGAUUAAGCACGUAACACAUUCACAUACACUUGACACUCACCAAUCAAAAAAAGAAACAAGUGAGCAAUGUCCACUCGAGGGUUCAAGUGUCCACCGUGGGAUCCUCUCGAAGGUCCUCUUGAGUGCCUGAGCAAUUAAUAAUAAACUAUUACACACUAUCGCUUAAAACUCCUAAUUAUCGAAGAAGAUUAUACUAGUGUACAACCUAAGAAGAUAUCACGAAAAUGAGUCUUAAUUACUCGUAAAUUGAGACUCAAAAGAGGGAUUUUAGUAAUACAAAAAAAUCUGAUUUUCAUCUUUGAAAUCAAGUGUAAAACGGUCAAGUGGUGUCGAAGAAAAAUAGAGAGUUCUAAAAACUUAAUUUCCUUUAAGUUUGGAAAUUUCAGAUUUGACAUGCAAUCUUUGAAAAAUCGUAUCUCACUUUCUGUAAGCCUGAAAUUGAAAAACUUCACACCUUGGAAACUACUUCCAAAGUAUUAAAAGUUCCUGGAAGGCAUUUUUCCAUGAUUCCAAAUGGAAGACAUUCAAAUCUCGGCUUCAAGUUGCUAUUUUGGAAUACCAAGACAGUUUCGAGGUUGGUUUUUGGCCAACUUUGGAAAUUUGGAAAAAUUCAUGGAAUGUGAACUAGUUUCUAAAAUUUGAAACUCAAUUAGAGUUAUAAUCAAAGUUUAAAACACAAUAAGCGGAACAAGAAUCGGAGUUUUGAGCACCAAGAUAUAGCAGCUCAAAUUUGUUGAAAUUUCCUCACUGACUUUGAGACUUUGGUUGGGCAUCGAAAUGGACUCGGAAUGGCACCAAAUUUGGUAUGAUUACACUACCAUAUAAGGCCUAUUCCUCUGUCGAAUUUCAUGCAAAAAUUCGCACAGAAGGUCAGUUAACAAAGCCACUAAAUUUCCAAGAAUUUCCAAGGCAAAUCUGCCUUGUACUUUAGUUUUCCUUUUCUAACUUUUGGCCCAAUGGAAUCGACUUAAAUCUGGUUCAUUUAUGAAGACAAAGUGUAUGAAACAUCCAAAAUACAUUUGGUAGGUGAUUAACACCAAGAAUUUCGAAAUAAUAAGUCUCAAUUCAAAUUAAGGCAUUCAACUAGCCAAAAAGAGGGUUUUCCAUCACUGAGACAGUUUCGCAAUUUGGCCACAACUCACUCAAUUCAACUUGGAAUUGAAUGUGGUUGGUAGCAUUGGAAACUACAUUCAUAAGGCUACAAUUUCAUAGAAGAAUCAUUUUAAAAUUCUAUCCAUAACUAGCUCAUAUUCAAGCAAUAAUUCGCAGCACUUAACAGACUCUCUAACACAGCAGAGAAAGAGGGCAGGUGAUUUUGAAAGGCCGGUACAGUUCACUCAAGUAGAAUCAGGGGAUGUAUUUUGUACCCUUGGAAAAAUGGAAGUAUCUAGUUUCUAAUGCCACAAACAGCUCUUGAUUUCAACAUCGGAGCAAAGAGUUAUAGUCAUUUGAAAUUCGCUGCCAGAGCAGCUCGGGACACGUUUUCCAGCUUUGAAACCAAUUCGAAAAUUUAACUUUUGGCCAACCAAAUCAAGUGAUUUUUGGUGGAAAAUUUCCACACAACCUAUACAACAUAUCUACAUCAAAACCAAGUCAAUUUAACCACAAAAAAUUGCACCAAGGGGCACGGCAAAGACAGGGCAGAACCGGCCUUUCUUCCAUUUCACUUCCUUUGAGUUUUCUUUCCGCUUUUCAACUUAUAAUCACUAGUUUAAUCACUAAAUCAACAUAAACAACACCCAACAUCAUCAUAUCAGUUCAUUAAGUCCAUUGUAGGAUUUUAUAGAGCCCACUCACAAGAUUUCCAACAAUAUAGAGGUACCCACAUGAAACUAUAAGUUUCCAAGUGCAAUUUAACUUCCUAAAGCUAAGAUUUAAGGGUUAGAUGAUCAUUACCUCCUAGAUGAUCUUAAACUAGAAAUUUUCGGCCACAAGAAGCUCAAGAAAACCGUGAGAAAGAAGCUUUUCUCCUAGCCCAAGAUGAUCUCCAAGUUAUUUGCAAGGUGUGGUAGGAAUUUGAAGUGAAAUGAGCAAGAGAUGAAGCAAGAUGAUGAAGAGCUUUGGUCCUCUUCCUCCUAUGGUGUUUCGGCCAGCAAGAGUAAAGAGAGAGGGGGAGUGUUUUGCUGAUGGUGAAGCUUCCUUGAGAAGCUUAAGUGUUUGUGGCCCAAAUUUACUUCAAAAGUCAACUAAGAAUAGUGCGCGUUCUUGCGCGUUUCGUGUUCGAUUCCAUUCGGUUUUGUUUUACUUGUGCACUAAACCUCCAAUUCACUUUCUUAAACAUUAUAAUUAUUCACUCUUAAUAGUCUUGAAUAAUUUCUUAAAUCUCCAAUUAACCUCUCCGGCUCGAUAUACGCGAACUUUCGAUUUGCGCGCAAUACGGCGAAAUUUCUAAAAUAUUCUUAUAACGGUGGUAUAACUAACUAAUACUUGAGUACUUAAAUAUAAAAAUACCUAUUUUAAGAUUAAUGUAUAAGUUUUCAAUCUCCAAGCUCACUGUACCCUCGAAUCAAUUAUUACCUCCACACGCGCAUUCACUAUUUUCAUUAAACGAGCUCUCACAAUAAAUUUUUGUAACAAGUCAUUUUAAAAAUACAUGUAAGCCAUAGUUCCAUGUAAUUGGGUCUAAAGAGAUUGGAAUAAAUUAUUCGGAGAAAACGGGUGAAUAAAUAAUUAAUUUAGCCAUUAGAAUAAGAUUAAAAUAAGUAAAAAUUCGGGUCUUCACACUAUAUUUGGUUAUCCUGACGUACAAUACUAACUUUUAUUCAUCUAAGAAUACCCUUGGUUCGUCCACUAGUUCUUUGCAAUGCUAAAGUCAGAGAAGCAAUUUUCACGGGAAUCGUGAGUUUCGGAACAAUUGAACACAAUUUUGUAUGUUUGGAUACAGAAUAAUGCCAUUUACUCUUUGUUUCUUUUUACCGCAUAGUAUAAAAGUUCUAUGGUUCCAUCUGCAUAAGAAGGCAAAACGGUGAAGAGAACAUUCGAUAAAUUAAGCCAAAACUGUUUAGGUGCAAAGAUACAAUUUAAAAACAUCUAGGGGGUGCAAAGUCUAAGAAAAGUUUUCGAAAAUUUUUGGUUAUUUUAGUUGCAAUCUUUGUAGAAAUGUAUUGCCUUCCUCAAGGUAACGUGGCUACUCCUCCGUGAUCAAUCAUGUGGACUGAAGUUCGUAUGCUUCACCACCUUGAUGAUGAAUUGUUGCUCGUAUUCUUUCCUUGAAUUUAUAAAUAAUUAUCUAGCUUCCUAUUUAUCUUUUUAAAUAGGGGAAAAUGUUAAGCUUUGUAUUUGCUUGAUUGGUUUUUUAUUUUACCAUAUACACCUGACUGUGAAAUUUGAAAUGUGAGUUGGAACUUUGUAUGUCCAAAUGAAGCUUUUAUUAAUCUGUCCUACGUACCAAGUAGUUGGUCAUGUCUAACAUAAAAUUUUUCAUGAAGCGAGUACUUGCCAAUAAAUUAGAGAUAUAGUAAUUCUAAUCGGAUAACAUUCUAAAUACUCUCUGCAUCCCCAAUAUUCGAAUAGGAUAAUAUUUCUCAAAAUAUUGUUAAAAAUAUUUUAAAAGAAAAUCGGAAAAAUAUGGGAGGUGGUGGAUUUUUUCUUCAUUUAGGGGUGCCGAUUUUGGCAAAAUCAACAAAAAUCGGCACCGCUUACAUGCAGCUACUAAACAUCUUUCUUUAUUGCAGCUACUAAACACCUUUCUUUAUUAUUAUUAUUUUUUUUGAACUUUUUUAGAAAUGUUAUCUUUUAGAAAAAUUUUGGAAACUAAGGGCCGCAUGUACUGCAUGCAGCCCCCUAUUUUACAAUAGCCCUAAUUCCUUAUCUUGAGGGUGUGAAAUCAUUAAUCUUUCAACUGUCGACAAACCCUUGAUUAAAUUCUUCAUUUAGCCAUUUUAAUACACUAUUCACUAGCAUUCUGAUCCAUGAAAUGCACUGAUUUAUAUUUCAAUUCAAAACAAUACUUAGAUAUUAUAGUAUAGGAUAAAGUAUAUGCAAAAGGGGAAAAUUUCAAAGAAGUAUAUGCUUAACAUGUUUAGAACAAGUUUAUUUCGUAAAUACAAAAUGGACUUUCUUAAUUUUAAUAUCUUAAAUAAGUGGAAACCAAAUUUUGUUAACCUAUUGUUUUAUCAAUAUAUGAUAACAAUUUGAAUAAAAUAAUUUAAUUUUAACGAUUUACAUGAUAGAGUAAUUGUAAACUUAUUUAUCAAUAUAUCAUAUUAUACUUGUAUAUCAAAAUUUUUAACAUUAAAAAUAUAAAUUAUAAAUAAUUCAUUUUCCUCAAUUUUAGAAAAUUAUUUCUCCCAUCUUGUAAUCCUAAAAUUGUUGAGUGCUUAUAGAAUAAUGUUUUUCAUAAACUUUAAUAUAGAUUUAAAAUUAUCUUUAUAAAACGUGUUUUUAAAAUUUUCAAAAUUAUUGAACACUAUCACCCUUUCCAUUCUCUUUUACCUGCUAACUGACUAUCUAUUGUUUUUUAUGACUUUCAGACCUUUUAUUACAGUGCCAUCUUUCCUGUCAUACUCCCACAACCCCAUCAUUUCUUCUAGAUUUUUCUUGUCUCUCCUCUCUCCGUCCAAAUUUUUCCCAUCACUCUUUAACUCUUUGUUAUUGUCUUUCUCUCGCCUAUAGUUAGCCUCUAGUUUUCUAUCAUUGCCACCCAAUUUCCUAUUAUUUUUCCUUCACCAUUCUCCCAAACCCUUUAAAUCCAUAAUUUGUAUUUUUAGGCUAGUAGUAUUUUGUUUUUUAUUCAGUGAUUUCAUAAUUUAGGAUUCACAAAUGGUACCAUUAUUGAUAUUUUAAGUCCAUGACCAAUGAAUAUUAUUUUUUUUAUUUUCUAUAUAAUUUUCUCUUUCAAUUAGAAUUAAUAAGUUGAAGGGUAAAAUAUUAUUAUUUACUUUUUUACUUUUAGUAGGGUUGGUGAUUUUUCUUUUUUAUUUACCUUCACAUUAAUAGAUUUCAAAUCAAAUUCCUAUAUAAGUGAUUAAGUGGGCCACUUCUUAUUUUUAAAUUCAAAAAAAUGAAAAUAUAUAUAACAAUUUAAAAAAUUCAAAAUUCUAUAUAUAAAAAAAGGAAUGAGGAGUUACAAACAUUCUAAUUUAACCAUCCUAAAAGCCCUCUCUACAAUAAAUAUAAACAUAGAUAUAGACAUACAUGACUUAUUAAAAUUUUCCAUGUGUUUAGUCAAAUUUUAUAUUCAUCCAAAAUCAUCUCUUCCGGACAAAAUGGUCACAUGAUUCCGUCCGGUCUUGAGUUAAAUUUCUGCGCUAUCAUCCAACGAAUAGUUGGUUCGCGUUCAAUCAAUGGUUUGUUUUGACUGGUGGUCAAAAUUCUAUGGGAUAUGCCAAAAAUUUAGUCUUUUUUUUUUUUUUUCCAACAAACGACCAAAAAUUUAGUCAGGUAUGGGUGCUUUACUCCUUUAGUUAGAUGUAGUUGUCAAAUUGGACGUUGCUACCAAAUAAUUAAAAAUUAGGGAUGUAUAUCACAUUUAUCUCAUCUUCUAAAUAGUGAUAAGUUUUUCACAUUUUUUAGAAUAUCAUAACCUUUGAGGUGACAGAGAUGAUAGACUUUUGAUAAAAUUAUCACGACUUUUGAUAAAAUUGAUAUGACUAUCAAUAAAAGAUGAUUUUGCCGUCUUGAAAAUGUUUUUGAUGUACUUUGAAUUCCCUUGUAAAUAAGGGUAAAUCCUUUUGUAUCAAAGUAAUAGAAAAUUGAAAUUUCAGAAGAAUAAUUCCUUUCUUUUUUUUUUUCUCUCGAACUCUUUAAUUUUUUAUUUUUAUUUUUCUUAACAUACUAUUCAUAUCAUAAAUAACUCAAAUCCUAUAUCAAAUUAGUCAUAAUUCUAUAACAGACAUUCUUUCUUUCUUUUUGUCAAAUUGGACAUUCACUGGCCUCGACUGCGUCUACUUUCAAGUUUCAUCUCCUCGGCCAAAGAACGGAUAAGCGUGACUAAUCUGAAAACCACGUCAGCGACAAAGGAUCGACAAAUGGUAGGAGCUGUCCUAAUAGCGCGUGGCAUCCGCUGAAGGGUUGGGCUCUUCGCGACCGUUUGCGUGUCUAGUUGUGGGUCCCGCAACAAACUUUUCUCCAAAAUCUUUUUUUUGUCGGUAAAUAUAUUAAAUUAAACAGAUUUUCUAGAACUAAAUUCAAUUAAAUUAAUCAUUACGUUACAUUAAAUUAAACAAAGGAUUGGGCUCUUCACAACCGUUUGCGUGUCGUGGUUGUGGAUCUCGCAAUAGAUUCUUCCCCAACAUCAUUUUUUAUCGGCACGAAGGAUAAUCAUUACAUUAAAUUAAAUAGAGUUUCUAAAACUAAAUGAAAUUAAAUUGAUCAUUAGAAUUGUGCCCGUAUCUUAGCAUAAUUUUUUUUAUUUAUUGCAAAUUUAUAUAAAUAUAAAUAAUAUAAAUACAAAAAUUAACAACAAUCUUAUAUGUUCAUCUAUAUUAACUUUAAAACAUUAAUGUAUUCUAAAUUUUCAAUUGUUUACUAAUUUUUAAAAUUGUGUUUACAUAUUUUCACUAUAAUAGGAUAUUAAAUAUUAAAUCAUGUACCCCAUAUCAAAAAUUUGGUAGAUAUUCUUUGUUUAACCAAUAUCCUUUUAGACAAUAUAAAUUUUUAUAAUGACCAUAAAUCUAGAACUAUAUAUUCAUAUUUGAUUAAGUAGAAAAAUCUCGCAGUUCAUAUUUCUCGAUCAAUAAAUAUUUAGUUUUCAAUAAUAUUGGUAAAUCUAUCGAUGUAAUAGUUAAUUCUUUUUUUACAGUAAGUUAAUUCAAAAUUAUGGGAAUAAAUGAGGAACAAUUUGAAUACUAAUCAACAGUACGGUUGUAAAAGGAAGUAAAUAGAAAGUAAAAUCAUCAAGAUAAGGUUGGUUGUUUUUAAAACAAUAUCUUUAGAUAAAAUUAGUUAUUUUUUAAAGUUAUUUUAAAAUUAGAGAUAAUUUUUAAAUAUAUAAUAUAAUCCAAUUAGAAUUUAAUAUGUAUAAAACUCAAAUGACCCACAACUCAUUAAUUUUUUUCAAUUAGGCAUGUAACAUAAGAGUGAGAAAUAAUUCUAAUUAAAAUAAUUGUUAGAAAAUUGGUUUAAUUUCUUUUAGGUAGGAUUCCUGUUUUGUGUGAAAGUAACUAGUUUUCUAAUUGGUUUUAGUUACUUGAAGUAGUAGCCAAGGAAUAUUCUAUUUUGUUUAGGAUUAGAAGUUAUUUCUUAUUUUGUAUAAGUCUAGGAAUUAGAAUUGGUUUCCUAUUGUUAUUUGAGUUUUUGGCCAAAUAAUGUUCUCUAUAAAUAGAUGGGUUAGCAUACUACACAAGAGAUACACAAGGGCAUAUAAGAGGCGACAUGUAGCCUUAUAUAUGAGGUGAGAGAAGGUUCUUGGGAGAUGAGAGAUGGUAUACAAGGGUUAGAUUUGGGUUCAAGAUGUAUUCUUGUAUAGGGUUUUCCUCUCAUAAUAAAGAACGAAUUUCUCUCCGUGAACAUAUGCUCAAUGGUGGAGUCGAACCACGUUAAAUAUUGUGUGUCGUUUAUCUUUCAUGCUUGUGGCUUGUUCGCCAUUAAAUUAUUGUCGACUUGAUAUCUCAAUAGUUGUGUAUUCUGCGUUUGGAUCCUAACAAGUGGUAUCAGAGUUUCAGAUUGCGAGACUGGGCAAUGAGCAAAAUUCGUGGUUGGAUCCUAGUUAACUAUUGAGAUCAAGUGAAUUGGUAGCUGUUAUUAAUUGAACAAUUGAAUGAGUGGUAUCCUUAUUUCAAUGGUUUAGCAAAAAGCAUUGAUAGUGAAUGAUAGGAAGUCGAAAAGUAUGAAGAUACUUGACGGUGAAUUUAGGCAGGUGAUUCAAGGGUCAAGAAAAAGAUGGAGUCCAAUGUUGAUUUUGGACGUGAAUCGUUGGAGACUUUUUCACAUCUCCAACAGUUAAUACUUCAUCCCGGUGGCUUUUAGAUUUCGGUUAUGUUUUUGGGGUAGUAUGGCACGUGUCCCAAAGAAAUAAGGAGAUAUAAUUUCCAUGCGCCAGAAGACUCUGACAGUUACAAGUUUUUCGUUUUAGAUGGAGUUUUGGAAACCACACGUGGCGAGAUAGUUCUGAGGAUGGGAAGAAGUAUGUUAAUUUUACCACUUGGUUACCUCAAUGGUUAGGGUUAGAGCUCACAGAAGGGAAUUCAUGAUUGCAAGUGGUGGUGAGAAGAAAUCCUGCAAAGGAAAAUGGUGAAUUGGGGCACCUUCUCGCAAGUCAACAGAAGGUUAGACUCGGGGCAACUACACAUGUUCAUUUGCCAAUUGAAUCAAUUUGGUAUCAGGACUGUAUUGAUUCGAGUGUGUAGUUUGGUACCAUAUUAUUUGGUAGUUGAAGACAAAUGGUUAUUAAAAGAAAUUUUCACCAAGGUGGAGAUUUUUUAGGAAAUUGGCUUAAUUUUUUUUAGGUAGGAUUCUUGUUUUGUGUGAAAGUAACUAGUUUUCUAAUUAGUUUUAGUUACUUGAAGUAGAAGCCAAUGAAUAUUCUAUUUUGUUUAGAAUUAGAAGUUAUUUCCUAUUCUAUAUAAGUCUAAGAAUUAGAAUUGGUUUCCUAUUAUUAUUUGGAUUUUUGGCCAAAUAAUGUUCCCUAUAAAUAGAUGGGUUGACAUACUACACAAGAGACACACAAGGGUAUAUAAGAGGCGACAUGUAGCCUUAUAUAUAGGGUGAGAAAGAAUUCUUGGGAGAUAAGAGAUGGUAUACAAGAGUUGGAUUUGGGUUCAAGAUGUAUUUUUGUAUAGAGUUUUCUUCUCAUAAUAAAGAACUGAUUUCUCUCCGUGGACGUUGGCUCAAUGGUAGAGUCGAAUCAUGUUAAAUAUUGUGUGUCGUUUAUCUUUCAUGUUUGUGGCUUGUUUCUCAUUAAAUUGUUGUCGACUUGAUAUCUCAAUAGUUAUUUAUUCCGCGCUUGAAUCCUAAUAAUUAUAUAUAUAUAUAGAUUACAUUACCUUAAAUUAAACAAAGGAUUGGGCGCUUUAUAAUCGUUUGCGCGUCGUAGUUGUGGGUCUCGCAAUAGAAUUUUCUCCAAAAUCAUUUUUUCAUCAAUACGAAAGAUUAUCAUCACAUAUCUAGAACUAAAUUGAAUUAAUUAAUCAUUACACAUUAAAUUAAACAAAAGAUUGGGCUCUUCGUAACCGUUGACAUGUUGACGUUAUGGGUCCCGUAAUAGAUUUCUGCACAUGGAUCUUUCUUUGUUUUGUCGGUAUGAAAGAUAAUCAUUACAUUAAAUUAAGUAGAAUUUGUAGAAAAAUCCUUGCAAUCGUUGAUGAAAGAUAAUCAUUACAUUAAACUAGUGAGACGGUCUGCGCGUUGCUCAGGUGGGCUAAUAUUUCCUGUGUUAACUAUUUUUUAUUGUGUGGGUUUAUUAGUAUAUAUCUAUGUUAUUAUCUAAUUCAUGCAGAUCAUUAGAGAAUUAUCGUUUUUAUUAAAGGUUGAUAAUUAUGAAAUAUAUAGAAUACAUGAGAACAAUAAUAUAUAGAAUACAAGAGGGCGCUUAUAUAGAAUGCAUAAGCGUAAAUUAAAAAAUUGUAUAAGGUUAUUUUGCAUUUGAAUUAAGAUAAUUAAAAAAUUAUAAAGUGAAUCAUUCUCAAAAAAGUAUUAAUCAUUGUUGACACAAAAAAGAGGGGACUUGGCAAGUCAAUUAAGCACUUAAACCAUAGAACUUGGCAUUGUUAAAAUUAAUCACUACAUGUCACAGUAAUAAAACCCAUUUUUUAAAGUUACUAAAGCCAACAAUGGUUUAUUAAUUGUUUCCUCAAUAAUUGUGCAUUUACAAAACACUUAACAAUUUUAUUUCAUGUCAAGCCAACAAUAAUUUAUUAAUUGUUUCCUCAAUAAUUGUGCAUUUACAGAACAUUUAACAAUUUUAUUUCAUGUUACAGUAAUAAAGGCCAUUUUUAAAGUCAUUAAAGCUAGCAAUAAUUUAUCAAUUCUUUCCUAGGUAAUUUUGCAUUUACAGGACACUUUAAAAGCUAAUAAUUAACCACAAAAAACCAACUUUCAAAAGUUUCACUUUUUACACCACCAAUUACCAAUUCGAUCAAUAUGUCCCGUAAAUGCACCAAAACUAUACCUGCUUUAAACAAACAGAACAGGCAAUUUGAUGAAAACAGCCCCGACAUCCAAUAACAAUUACAGGAUAACCAUUUGACAAAAAAAACACUACUCAUAGGGCAACUCUCCCUUUUAUAUUGUUAGAUAAUUGCAGGAUAAUCACUUGACCAAAAAUACCAUUCAUAGGGCAACUCUCCCUUUUGUGUUAUAUAUAUAAUUAAAUUAUAUUUUUUUUUGAAAUUUAGAGUUUUUUAGUUUUUUAAUGUAAGAAACAAUCUAAUUAAUGUUACACGUUUGACUAAAAUAAUGAAAAAAAUAGCACACCAUAUUGCUUUUUAGUUUAAAGUCAUUAGGAAAAAUGAAUGUGUUAAAAAAAUUUAUAAUAAUUAUAUAUAUUAAAUACAAAUAUGUUAGUAAAAUAAGAAAUUAAUUCUUUUAAAAAGGAAGUAAGUUAACAAUCUAACUCACAUACAGGGCGGAAAUAAUUUUGUGUUUAUAGAAUGGAAAAAUAACAAUAAAGAUAAGGGCACCGAAAAAUUUGUAAUAAUUAUAUACAUUUAAUAUGGAUAUAUAGACUAAUAUUUUUUUUUAUAAUUGUGCGUCUUAAAUAGUAGAAGGAUUAUAAACCAUUUUAAUUCCAAAUCUUGACACGUUAGCCAAUUUUCGUUACCUGUGAUGACAAUGUUGGACUUCUAUUUUUUUUCGGUUCAAUUUUUGGGAAUCAUGCAAUUAGAAGUUUCUUGUCAACAUGGUAGACAACUACUCCACCCAAUGCAAUGAGUAAUAAAUUGCAUAGAAAGAGAGGCACACACAGAGCUUUUAUUUACCGCCUCACAAAGUAAACCACCAACGAGAAAUAACCAAAAUAGCCAACUGACAAAAAUAGCCUCCACAUCCAACAAUAAUUGCAGCAUAAUCGCUUGACCAAAAAGCACUAUUCAUAACCCAACUCUCCCCUUUUAUAUUAUUAGAUAUUAUCUUUUAUAAAGAGAAAAUAAGCUCAUAAAUUAGCACACACAUAUAAAUAGAAUGAAAACUAUAAUAAUAAAAAUAAGGGCACUAAAAAUGGCUUAGCACACACAUAUAAAUAGAAUGAAAACUAUAAUAAUAAAAAUAAGGGCACUAAAAAUUUUCUAAUAAAGAAAAGAUUAAAAGAAAGAAUCCAUGUAUGCUUAAUCUAGUUGAAGAAGAUAAAAGACCGAAACAACUCCGCUUAGGAGUUUCAAGUAGGAACAGGUGUAACUUAGAAGGAAAAGUAGGAGCUUUGUGCGGCUCACUUGGAGAAACCAAACACACACCUGAAGGACAAAUACAAAAGCCAACAAAGUUGUCCAUAAUUAUCGAAUAACUACUUGACCAAAGAUCAAUUUCCAGCAGAGUCGUUGCCAUCCAAUUCCAAAAGACCAAAACGCCCCUCAAAAUCACAAAAAUAACGGCAUAACCGCUUGACCAAAAUGGCACUAUUCAUUUGCCAACUCCCGCUUUUAUUUUAUACUAGUGAGACGGCCUGCGCGUUGCGCAGGAGUGCUAAUAUUUCCUGUGUUAAGUUGCUUAAUUUUUAGCCGUUAUAUAUUUCUUAUACUGCAGAGAGUUAUAUAAUUAUUAUAAGUCUGACUUGAAUUAUAAAAUAAUAGUGCGUUAACUUGGUUGGGUGAAUAUAGUGUUAAUAGUUUGUGAAGUAUGGAGGAUAUUUUGAAAUAUAAUGGUUAAUAAAGUACUAUAAUUGAGACAAUGUAGUGUCGACAUUUUGUGUGGUAUGAUUUGUAUAAAUUAUGUGGUUUGGGUGAGGUAAUUAUAAAGAUACCCAUCUAUAUUUAUGUAUAUCUCUAUUACUCACUAAGUUUCAUAAAUAUGGGUCUAUUUCCUUUUUUUUUUGCACAAAUUAAAACAUUUAAUCAAUAUAAUCAUAACAAUUAUUUUUCUUUCAUAUUUUUGUAAAAUGCUGCUCACUAAUAUUAGAUCAUUAAUCCACAUUAAGAUCCAUGUAUUAUACAUUGUUUUUGAAAUUUACAGUACUUUAAUUUUUUUAAUGUAAGAAACAAUUUAAUUAAUGUUGCAUGUUUGACUAAAAGAAUAAUAAAAAAAUAGCAUACAACAUUGCUUUUCAAUUUAGAGCAAUUUUGAGCCAUUAGGAAAAAUGAAUAUGUUAAAAAUUUUAUAAUAAUUAUAUAUAUACAUUAAAUAUGGAUAUCUAUUUAACAAUAUAAAAGUGAGAGUUGCCCUAUAAACAGUGUUUUUUUGUCGAGCGGUUAUCCUGCAAUUGUUAUUAGAUAUCCAAGCUAUUAGUAAAUAACAAACUAAUUAUUCUUUUUUAUAGAAUGAAAAGAAUAAGAAUAAAAACAAAGGCAAUAAAAAUUUGUAAUAAUUAUAUAGAGUAAAUAUGGAUAUAUAGACUAAUAUAUCUUUAUAUUUGUAUGUUUUAAAAAGUAGUAGGAUUAGAAACCAUUUUUAGUCCAAACCCUUGACACCUUAACCGAUUUUGGUUAUUUGUGAUAAUAAUGUUGGACUUCUCUCUCUCUCUCUUUUUUUUCUUUUUCUGCUGUUCAAUUUUUAGGAAUCGUGCAGUCAAAAGCUACUCCUGAACAUGCUAAACAACCAUUGCAUUUAACAAUUUUACAGAACACUAUUUUAUUUCAUUUUUUUGCAAUAUAUGCAUUCAUUUUUUUUGCAAACAAUUUUAUUUCAUGUCACAGUAAUAAAAUUCAUUUUUUAAAGUCACUAAUGCCAAUAAUAAUUUAUUAAUUAUUUCCUCAAUAAUUGUGUCUUUACAGAACACUUAACAAUUUUAUUUCAUGUUAAGCCAACAAUAAUUUAUUAAUUGUUUCCUCAAUAAUUGUGUAUUUACAGAAUACUUCAAAAGCAAAUAAUUAACCACAAAAUUAACUUUCUACUAAAAAUACAAGACUAACUUUUAAAUUUUGUUUAAAAGUAAAAAAUAUCACUAAAUUCAACAUUCCAACUUAAAGAGCAUAAAUAAAAAGGUAUAUAAAAACAUUAAAUCACAUAAAUAUAUUGAUUGUAUAGUUAGAUGUAAAGAAUGUAGGCAACAAAGAAUACAAAAGGCAUCCAAUAUUUAGUAAAAUAAAAGAAUAUAAAUAAGCAUGAAUAAAAGUAAAAAUGGGAAAAAUUUAACAAGCAUCAUGAUUAAGAGGAAGGAAAAUGUGGGAAUUCCGGGUCAAUCCUUAUGGGGCCCGACUAAUCCCCUGCGACCCGAGCCCGGCGCCCCAACCCGACCCUAGCACGAUAAGUGCGCAGAGGAAUUCAGCAAAGUAGAGACUCGAACUCGGGACCUUACGGUCACCAUUGAGAGGUGCUACCGUUGGACCAUUCACGCGGAGCACAAAAUAAUAGAUUACUCAAAGUCAAAAUGGUAAUUUUCCAACGAAGAAUAGGCGGGCUUCAAAUAAACAUGUAGAAACAAAAAGUGAGGCAUCCACAAAAGUGAACAAUGAGUCAACAAAAAAUAGGGUCAGAAGACAACAAAAUUACCAAACAAUCAAGCAACUAUAGCAUGCAGCUUGAACGAAGGAAAAAAGGAAUGGCAUAACUGAAAAAUAAGACAAACCUAAGGCUAAACUAAUACUCAAGAAUAGCUAAGAUGGCCUGUCUCUGCGGAUCACAAUAGGCAAAAAUGAUGCAAACAAAGAGGAACAAAGAACAAAUAAAUUACAAAGAGACCACACAACUAUAACAUGCGUCUUUCGGUCUCCUGAGUAAGGCAGAAACCGGAAAUGGCAUUAGCAAAAAAUGAAGGACUACUAAGGCUAAUUCUAAUGACAUAAGGAACUGCCAAAGACUGAUGCAAAUGGAGUUGCCGAAAAGCCGAUAAAACCAACAAAUACAAAAGCCAUCAAAGUUGCUGAAAAUUACGUGAUAACCGCUCGACCAAAAUGGCACUGUUCAUUCUCCAACUCCCGCUUUUAUAUAGUUAGAUAUAUAUAUAUAUAUAUAUCUCUAGAUUAAGCAGACUUUCUAGAGAAGUCCUUGCAAUCAUUUUCAACAAAUUUAGAAAUGUUUAAUAUAAAAGUCUUCUUUCGUCAGCUUUCCUAACGGAAGACAGCAACAUGGCAGGAAGGGAUUGGCAGGUUUGUCACACCCUUCCAACGACUAGUCUUAGGCAUCUGUUUGGGAUAUAAAAGUCUUCUUUCAUCAGCUUUCCUGAACAGAUGCCUAAGACUAGUCGUUGGAAGGGUGUGACAAACCUGCCAAUCCCUUCCUGCCAUGUUGCUGUCUUCCAUUAGGAAAGCUGACAAAAGAAGACUUUUAUAUCCGAAACAGAUGCCUAAGGCUAGUCGUUGGAAAGGUGUGACAAACCUGCCAAUCCCUUCCUGCCAUGUUGCUGUCUUCCUUCAAAUCAUAUAAUACAAAUGUGAACAUCACGUCUUUUUCAAAAAAAAAAAAAAAAAAAAAAUGUGAACAUCACGUGGUGGUGCUGCGUGUACCUUUGGCAGUUUACUCCAAAGUUGCUUUGAUAAGAUUUACGAAUGCACGGGCCUACUUUUUUAUUUUCCUUAUCUUUAUAAAAGCAGUCAUAAUUAAUAGAUAGCUGUGUUUGAAUAUAAAAUUAUUUUGAAAUAUUAUUUGACUUGCGGUAUGAAUACGUUUUUUAAUUAUUUUUUUAUAUUUUUAAUUAUUUAUAUAUUUAUAUAUAUAUACUUCAUUCAUCUCAAUUAUUUAAUCAUGUUCGGAGAAUCCAAUAUUUUAAAAAUAGUAGUUUAAUUGUGAUGUUUGUACUAUUCUUUUUAAUUUUAUCAGAAAAAUUUAAAAUUUAAAUCUAUAUCUAUAUGUAUUGCAGAAUGGGUUUUUAGGAGAAACCCUUUCAAUGACUUCCAAACUUUCCAUUCUUUUUUCUAGAUUUUUGUAUUUAUUUUAAUAUAUAAAAGGUAGUGGGUUAUAGCCAACCUUAUCACCAGACAAAUUUAAAAUUUAAAACUUUCCCACUAUCUGCUUCAUAAAUCGUUUAUAGUUUGCUAUUUAUACUUUAAAUCCUUUUUACUCCUUAAUUAAAGACAAGUGCUCAUUUGUAUGUUAUUUUAAUACAAUUUUACAUUUUUAUAAUUAAGAAAUAUUUAUCACUAAACUAAUCCUAUAACCACCCCUACAAAUGAGCUUUGCAAAUUACAAUCAUGUUUCAAAAAAAUCACAAAUGUGCAACUAAAUGUAAAGUUGAGGGGGUAAAGUGCAACUAAAUGUAACGUUAUAACCAACUCUAUCACCAGUCAAAUUUAAAAUUUAAAACUUUUCCACUAUCUACUUCACAAAUGUGCAACUAAUUGUAAAGUUGAGGGGAUAAAGUGCAACUAAAUGUAAAGUUAAGGGGCUUACCAUAUUAAACCCUAAAAAAAAUCGCAAGAACGGAACCAUUGAUUUUUUUUCCCUUUAGGAUGGCUGGACAUCCAUGUGCAGUGACCAAAAAAUUUUCCCUCUCUUAAUGAACGUAAGAUGGCCAAUUUAUUUAUAUUUUCAAAAUGAACAUGGUUGUUUCAGAUCCUAAAAAAAAAAAGAAACAAACCCAGGUUCCUCCAUUAUUAUGAUUUUUUCACCAUUAUUCUAAGAAAUUUGUUGAAUUGAGUUUUUUAGGGCAAAGAAUGUGACGUGUGACCAGUCCUUUUUUUUUUUUUAAUUUGCGUGACCAGCCUAUUGUUGACAAAAGUUUAAAUUUUUUAAAAAGUAUACAAAAAUUAGGGGAGAUAAUAUUAGGAGUUUGUAGUAAAUUUACCAUACUUCUAGUGUGGUUUUUGCCUGUCCAAUACCAUGAAAUAAGAGAAUAAGCUAUUAUCAAUUAUUAAACGCUAAAUAGAAUUCGGAAGCAUACAACAUGAUCAAGAAACAGCAGAACCAAUUAGGACUAAAUUUUGAUCCAAAAAAAAUUAGGACUAGAUGCCACUGGCACGUUGCCGUAACUUGCAAUGCUCCACAUUUCCCCCAUGUUUCCCACUCCAGUUAAGAGUUCUCCAAUUUAAGAAAUGUUUAUCUCUUAACUAAUCCUAUAACUGCUCCUAAAAAUCCUAUAAUCAUGCUCACGUUUUCUCAACAUUUCCCCCACUUUUUUACUCCAAUUAAGAGUCCUCCAAUUUAAGAAUUCCACUCCAAUUAAAAGUUCUCCAAAACAUAGUAUCCUCAUUCAACUUUCUUGCGUGCUCACUCCAAUUAGGAGAUCUUUCUUGCAUUUUCCCCAAGAACUUAUUACCUCCUUCAACUUUUUUAUGGUAUCCAUCUUAGCCUUUAAUCUAAUAUCACUAUGGAACAUGCCCGCCUACAAACAUUUCAACGCCAGCUAAAUUUUAAACUCGCAAGAUAACAAAGGAGAAGACAUUUGUUUAGAAAGCGAAACGUACAUGUUUUAUGGGCUAUGCAAAAAUUGUGGACAACUAUGUGAAGGUUAUUUUCAAAAACAGUGUGUAUGCAUUGUAAUGACGUGGUCGACACUGUUGUUAGGUAAUUAAUUUCAUGUAUCUUUAAUUUCAACAUAUUUUUCUAUAUUGUAUAUAACAUUUUGUUUUUGAAACAGAUAUAAUGUUAACAUACAAAUCAGAGAUUUCAGUGGUAACAUGUAUCUUAAUCUACAAGACAGACAUGUACGAUUCGUUUUUGGUUGUGAUGUUUCUUAUCUUAGAGAAUUACAAAGGAAGGUAGAAUUUCUUGAUAUAUAUAUUUAUUUUUAUAAUGUUAUUUAUAUACUAUGUAAAAAAAUACAUUAAUUUUGAAUUUCGUACGUACUUAAUUCUCAGGAAAAUGGUGAUAGAUUGUUCAACCAACGAAUCAAUUCAUGCAAAAAUCGUGCAUUUUCAUUUGUAGUACGCACUCCACAAAAUUCAACAGAAUUAAUUAAAUCACCAAUUUUCGCUUUCGUACUAAAAGUUGAUUGGUGUGAAGAGUGUUCGCAUCUUCAUGCAAGAUUAUCAAAUCGAAUGCAUAAUAUUUGUAAGUAUUUCAUUUUAACAACAUUCAAUUACAUUCAUUUUUAUUCAUAUAUUAUUCAUUUUCUAAUAUAAAUUUUUAUUAUUUUUUCAGAAUCCAUCUUCUAAAAAAAGGCAGUACUUGAAUGAUACACAUUCUAUCAUAUUUCAAAUUAUUGUUAGACAGAUAUUAUAUUUUAAUUGUAUUGGCACAAUUUUUUAACCUUUUUUUAUUCACCCUUUUAUAUUCAUUUUUUCAAUAAUGUCAGCACCGUGCAUAGUACGGGUAUUCACACUAGUUUGAAUAGUAACAUAUACGUUAUUAGAAAGAAAACUUAUAUUAAAAAGAAAGAUCAAAAUAUGAUAAAUUUUUGGAAAUAUUUUAAAAUGAUUGAACGGAAGGAGUAUAAAUUAUAUUACAAAAGCGAUGCCAUAUUAUAUCAUAUAUAUGAUUGAUUGUCUUAAUCACGAAACGAUACUUAAAAGAAAUGUUGUUUUCGUAAUUUGUCAGCCUUGAUUAGAACAACUAAAGCGGCAAAAUUUUAGUGCGGUAAAUUAUAACUAUCCCCAGCGUCGUGUCCGUCAAAAUCAGAUUAUGAGGUGUGGCCCAAGAGAAUUUUUUUAUUCUUUUAUUUGUUUAUAUCAACUUGCCGGAAUCCCGUACACGAGAUUGCUUUGGAAUUUGUGGGGAAAGGGGACGCGGGGCUGGAGCGGUUGUCAGAACAACCGCUCCGGAAGGUGUAACACCAUUUGUACAUGGUGUAACAUCAUCUGUACAAGGUGUAACAAUUGAACAACAGCGAGUAAAAUAAAACACCAUUUUUGUGGGUCCCACACGGCGUGAAAAUCGAAUUACAAGACGUGAUCUGAGCCGCACAAAUUUUUGAGGCUUCAUCCAAGCCGUGAACUGCCUGGGACGUCCAGGCCCCUCGUCCAAAGAAAGAAGAAAAAACAAUAAUGUCAGAGUUUUGGGAGCAGCACAUGCGUUGAAGCUACGUGUCGUGCUAAACUGGCACCAGAUUGACGUUCCCGCGAUGGGAAGGAGCCUAAAGAGAUUAUGUAUAAUGGGUUAAUAAGUAUAAGAAUCUAUUAGUUUAAAAGGGUGUUAUAUCGAUAUCGAUCUCUUUUUAAUUUUUUUUACUGCAAAUAGGAUUCAAACCUGAUUUACAACUCAAAAAAUGAUUUUAAUCCCAUUUUGGUAACCAUUGAGCUCUUAACUCAUUGGCUUAGUGGUUAAUAGACAUAUUAUCUUUUGUUUUCCGGAAAUGAUAACUAUUGUAUAAUCUAUCUAUCCUAAACUAUAGGGGAGGGGAAGCCUAAAGAGAUUGUGUUUGGGACUACCAGGCACACAGACAAUACUAGAUCAAGAGAGUGUUUUGACACAACUUUUGGAUAUUUUUUGUUGCAGGUGACACAACUGAACCCAGCCCAGUGAUUUAAUAGACAUAUUACCUGAUGACACAAAUUUCACCUGUAAUUUCUAAAGAGCCGAAAGGAAAAAUGGGCUCCGGUGGAACGUCAAUGUGAAGACCAAUAGCGCUUGGUCACGGCGGCUACAGUGGCCCAAAAAAAAGUCUAUCCUGCACAACGCCGGCUACAGAUUCAAGCCACGUGCGGGGUAGAAACAUUGUGAUACCAGGAAACCUCAGCGGUAAUAAUGAUUUUAAAUCUCACUGCGGUGACUUUUCGCAACAUGUUACACAAAUAUCAAGCUCCACAAAAGUUGUUACCUGUGACGUUUAUAACUUUGUUUAGGCUUAUCAAAUUAUAUUGCCAUAGUUCGAGUAGAUUAGCGGAAAAUCAGGCACCUGAAUAUCUUAUUCAUUUUAGUCAAAGGGAGUACGUCUAUGCUUUUUGGAAGCCAAAUUUGACACUCUUGGUUGAAAUGGUGAAAGAAUGGACUUGAGAUUUGGCCUCUCUCUCUCUUCUUUACUGACAAAAGUCUUUUUUUUUUUAAAUUUGUUUAUCAAUUUUUGGGUAAUUUAGUCAUUACAGUUUGCUGUUUUUUAGUUCACUUAGUUAGAUCUUUUGAUUAAUGUAGUAUGUUCUUAAUUGUUGCUCAUAUUUUUUUUUCUUUGAAGCAAAAAUUUGAAACUAAAACUACUAGGAAAAAUAGAAAACACGAAUUUCUACUCUCAGGAAAAGUCAAGCGAGAAAGAAUGACGAAAAGAAACAUAUCACCAUGCCUGGAUGAUAGUGCUUCAUUUCUUGAAAUGGAUGAUCAUUUGUGGUAUUAAAUAAAUAAUCAGUCCAAAAGAGUUUUCAUAAAGUAUAUGCUGAUCAAGUGGUUGAGGAAAAUCUAAGAAAUAGACAAGUGAAGCCACAAAAAUUGGUGAGAAAAUAUUCGCAACAAAGAAUAGACUUACAUGCAUGAAUAAAAUAACUUUGUCAACGUACCUAAACAUACAAGAAUAGAAUAAAACAAUUUUGCACGAGACGUUCUUCACAUUACGUGUCACAAGAAUGAAAAAUAAACAAAAUUAUCCUUUGUUGUUGCAAACUAGAAGCAAAUCUCAAAGUGUGUACAGUUUAAAAGUAGGGGGAUGUAUAUCUAUAGAGUCAAAGUAAAAUAUUUAUUAACUCAAACAAGAUUUCUAUUAUUACAAAUCUCUACCCUGUAUAUUGUCAUAUAUUUUAUUUUAAUGCUAUAAUUGUGAUGAUCCCACUUUCUUUUAGGGCAUAACCUAAAAGUUAGUGAAUCGCCUGCCUGGCUCUCGCCAGGGCUCACUCACUUACAUUAACUUCAGAGAUAACAUUACCAUUGGACAACUAAACAUUCACUCUUAAAUAUAUCUCCAAUCAGUUUGAAACAUAAAUUUGUCCAAUAAAAGAAACAAAAUACCUUUUCUAAAUAUCCAUUCUUAAUAUCACACCAACUCAAACAAAAGAUUCAACCGCCUCAAAAUUCAAAAGAAACCAUGACUACACUAUAUACACAGAGUAACGGAUCUUUCCAAAAUAACUUUCUAGUUCAAUCCAAUCACUCUUCAAUCUCCAACUCCCGUAAGGAAAACAAAACUAAAAGGGUGAGCUUUCGCCCGUGAGGUUUCCAUGCAAGCAACAAUCAAUAAGCACUUAAAUCAGUACAAUUAAGCAAGUAGUACACAUUUCACGGUAUAAUCAUUCUCAUUAAGCAAUUGAGGAAACACUUCACUAAACAAUCACUUUUUAAAAGGAUACGGUGCUUGUAAGGAUCUGUAAAAUUUCCUUAUUUUAUAUCAUUUUAUUCUAUUUCUCUUCAUGCAUUUUCUUUAUUUUAUUUUACUACCUUAAUUUUCUAGACAUUUUAUAAGUGAACAUAGUUUUUAAAACAUUUUUCUAGUAUAAGUUAGUUCGAGUUAACUUAGAAGUGUAUUAAGGACGUGGGACCCGCUAGUGUGGUUAGUACGAUGAAAUUUUAACGAUUAAGUGAAGUUUUGCAUAAAGGAAUAUUAUAUUUUACAAGGUGUUAGGAGAUAAUUAGAGGUUAACUAGAUAGAUUAGCCUUGGAAGACAAGAAGAUUAGAACAAAACCUUAAAGGCGCCACGUGUCGCGGCCCUAUUCGAAGUUGGACUUGACCAACCUUUCUUGCCUUUACUAAAACCUAAUUUUGACCAAAAUUCCUUCUCAUUUUCGUGAGCAUUGGCCGAAUUUGGUGAGGAGAAAAACCAGGGGAGAGAGUUCAUUUCCACUUCAAUUUCUUGCUCAAAUCUUGAGUUCCAACCAUAAUUUUUGCAAAUCACUCCAUAAAAGUGGUAGCUAAAGUAGUUUCCAAGGUGGUUGUAGAGUAAAUUUGGGAGGAAGAAGCCUAAGCUACCAUCUUUCUUGUGGUUAUAAGGACGUGUCGUCGGUCAAGGGCAUUUCUUGGGAGAAAACUUUUGAAGUUAUCCUUGCUUGAACUGGUGAGUGUACCACUCGCAUGACUUAUUGCUUAACUGUUUUACCUGUAUCUGCAAUAUGUGACUUGAAUGACUGUAACACCUGCUUAAUUCUGGAUGAGACGAGGGUGUACUUCAUCACACUCGUCUCUCUUGCUUAUUUGUCGAGCCAUUGUAUGUGCUUGUACUUGUUACUUGAAUCUGUUACUCAUUCUCUUGCCUGGGUGACUGUUUACUGUAUAAACUGGAAAUUGUUACUAUGCUUGAUCUGAUGUCGUUUUGAGGUGUAUCCAACGACCUUCUUAUUAACUUUGAGCUCAAAACUUCAUGGGGAGUUAAUUGAAUCGAGCCAGCAAGGACUUGGUUGAGUAAAUUGACAAACCAUGGGAACUGUUCCUGGGGAAUUUUUGGAUAUUGGAGACUCUGGAUUCCGGUAUACUCGAGUAUUACCCAUUCUUGUUCCUGUUUGGUUUUCGGGCCCGACAAAGGGUAUGUUUGGUGAACGGGAUUUGGCGUUCUAAGAGGGGUCUACGGACAUGUUUGUUUCAUUAAACGUUGAUGGAGGGUCAACGAGUUUGGAUCAAGUACUGCAAUGGGAUUUUGGCUCCUAAGAGCCACCUGUAUCCUUUCCAUUUAAGAUGUUUAUUUAUUUCUUUAUUUGCCGUGUCUAUUUGAGUGAUUGAAAGUAAAUCUCCAUGGUUCAUGAUUGCUUGUGUUUUGGGCACCUCAUUGAGCGUAAGCUCGUCCCCUUCUCGUUAUCUUUGUUUUCCUUACAAGGGCAAACUUUAAAACCAUGAUUUUAGAAGAAAGGGUCGAGCUAGUGUAAAUGUUCUUUUGUUAAGCUCCUUUGUAAUAGAAACCCUAAUUGUUAACCCUAGUUGUAUAUUACUUAAAUAUCACAUUUUUAUUUGUUUAAUGUAUGUAUAUAGGUGUUUAACCAUGUAUAUUGAGUGUAUUUGUAUGAGAUGGUACGUUUUACGGCUUUGGUGAACUUUACUUGUGAUCGUUGGACGAUCGGGCAAGCGCGGCAUUUGAAAGAGGAAAGAAAAAUUUCUGGCGGGAAAAUCUUUUAGGGAAUCCGGCCGUAUAUCCGGCCAGUUAUCGGCCGGAUUGGCAGGGGAUGGUGGAAAAAUUUGGUUUUGCUACUGCCUUGAAUCCGGCCGGAUUGUGACGUGGCCGCGACUGUUCAUUUUCGUUUUCGUUCUUCAUUUUCACUUUCGUUGAAGCAUUUAGUUGAAGUUCCAUUUCACCGUAUAGUUUGGUAAUCAUGUUUCCGGCUUAGUAAUGUCUGAUUGUUGGUUUCUUGGGGUUCUAUUGCGCGUUUCAUAGGGUUUACGAGUGUUAUGACUCUGUAGUCCUGACAAGAGUUGGGCAGGCGGUCCGUCGAACCCUCUGGUUCGCCGUGGGCUAUCACAGUGCUCGCAUUAGAGCCACUUCAAUGUCAUUGAGCAUUCAUUUCAGUGUCAAGUGACGCUCAUUUCAUUGUCAUUAUACAUUCAUUUCAAUAGCACUGCACAUUCAUUUCAAUAUCACUGUACUUUCUCCCAAUUCACCUCCUUAUGUCCUCCAAAACAAUAAACAAUCCCCUACAUUCAAUAAUCAGUGCAAUGAUCUCCCAACCUCGUGGUAAUACUCGAGUAUACCGAAAUAUUUAUCCAAAGCUACCGUCCUACCCGACCAAGCCCUUUGCUGGCUCGAAUAGUCCGUUGAACAGAGGGUUUUGGGGCCCAGUUCAGCCGAUGCGGCGGGGCACACAUAUGGCUUACAUUCAUGCACACUUACAGUAACAUUCAGUCAAUUAUCGACCUUCAAGCUCAACUAAACCGAGUGCGAUAAAGUACACCCUCGACUUAGAAGGCGAGGGACAAUUGAGAUAUACUUUACACUGAAUCAUUUUGUAAUAAUUCAUAAUAAGCACAUUUGUCACGUAAUUUCACUUAGGUACACAUAAGCAGUUUAACACAUAAAUUCGAAAAACACUCACCAAUUAUCCAAGUAAAUUAUUCUCGAGUCUUGGGUUUGUUUCCUGGCUCACAGCUACUUCCUGAGCAAAUUAAUAAUUUCAAUGGUAAAUUUAUAAUUCGUAAGUGAUCACUUAUCAUUCUUACUUUAUUAUUUAAACUAUUAAAAUCAAGUUUGACCUUAAUAUAUAAAUUUAACAUUCUUAACAUUCAUUUAUCAUUUUAUUUUUGAAACUUAUUAAAUUUAUCAUUUUCAAACCAUGAAACAUACCUAUCUUCAAGUUUAACGUGUAUAUUCAUUCAAUCCAAUAUACUUUCUCAAUCCAAUAUUAAUUAUGGCUUAUAGAUACUCCACUCCCUUUUUAAACUAACUAAACUUUAAGUUAUUUGUAAAUUAACUUAGUUCACAACCUUCAUCUCUCACAAUUUAUAGUCUUUGAAUUACUAAGAAAGCCAAUUUUAAGCGAUUAGAAGUCAUUUCAUGAAUACGGCCAUAACAAAUUACUUUAGAGUUUCUAAAAUAUCAAAUAAGUUUUAACUCAUUGCCAUACAACCUAUCUACGUAAAUUCAGCAACAAAACUUCAAGUUUUCAUCUAAUAACUUCAUUUUUCACUUGAUUAAAUCAUCAACUACUUAACUUACAUUUAAUCUAACAUGUAUUAGGAUAAGAAACAUUUAAUUGUAACCAAUGUUUUGUGCAAACUAUGCACACAAAUCAGUCUUAACUACCACAGCUUUUAAGCAAUCCCUUAGCUAUGUAUAUAUCGGUCCAAUGUUUGCCGUUUCACUCAAGUUCCUUCUUCCAAGUUUUUAUUCCAACUAGACAUGUUAACCAUGUUUAUUAAACUACAAAUGAGCCUUGUACAGAACACAAAAGAUGGUGCAGCUCACUUAGAGGAAAAGAAAACUCAUCAGUCUAUUUUUUUCCUCUCUCUCGGCUGUGAAAUAAUGAACUACAUGGUUCAAAGCUUUUCCCCUAAUCCAUUCAGUUUACUUCCAAAUCACGAGCUAAAAUAACAACUAAACUACAGAGUACUCUCAGCAAACAAACAAAAUGGCAACCAAGGUAAAUCAGAACAACACUGGUUCAUCUCUCAGUUUUCCUCCCUCGGCAUUUUUUUCCCAGAAUUAUAGCAGCAAUCUUAAAACAAUUUUUCUCUCUAAUAAUCUCUUCAGUUCAUGCUCAAAUCUUUCAUGCAUGUUCAGACCAAGCUCUUAUACAUCAUAUGUUACAGUUUAACAUAGAUAAUCAAGACCAAAAAUCAUGAAGACAGUUAAGAAUCUGUCAUUUCUUUCUCGGGUAAGCUGGAAAAUUUUGCAGCAGAAAACUUCCCUUGGUUUCCAUCCAAAAUCCAACUUUUCCCCAAGUUUUCUUCAACUAAACCUCUCAAACAACAGAGACCAACGUAUUACAUGCAAAAUCUACCAUUAGUUUCCAGUUUUACAGUAAUCACAGGCUGCAACAUUAGAUAAUAACUCCCGGUUCCUGCACUUCAAUCCUGUUCCAAGUUUUUCCUCUUUAACAGAUUUUUCCUUCGGUUAAAACUUGUUAUUCCCUUGCUAAACUAACAUGCAUUCAAUCUACUCACUGAUAUCUAGUAAAUAAAAGGUGAUUACAGAAUUUCUUUACCUUUUUUCCCCUUAAAUUCGAUAAUGGCAAAUUACUCCAACUUCCUCUGUUUUGGUUCCUCUAGCUCUUGCUCCAACUAUUUUCCUCACAGUUGCUGCUGAUAUCUGAAGUUGCAAGCUGGUUUCUCCUCUUUCACUCACUUAGCUCUCGGUUUAGGAUGAUAAAAGGAUGAAGAAAUGGUGAAGCCUGCUGUCGGUUCUCAUUCCUUCUCUCGGUGAUCACUCCGGACUUCCUCCUCUUAUCACUCACUUGGUUGUGGCUGGAAGGCACCAUAAUUGCUCCUUCACUCUCACUCUUUCGCACAGCUUCGAAAAUGAAGAUGAGAAAGAAGUUUCAGUCGCUCUCACUUCUCUUCUUUUGUUCCUCUCAGUCGAUAAUAACUAAGUGACUGAUCACACAAAGCUUCAUCUGUCGGUGAUUGCUAAUACCGAAGCUCUCCACUCACUCUUGCUUCAAAUAAUCUGAUAGCUAAUGGUCGCAUGGUGAAUUUGCUGAAUUGAAGGGUUAGUUUGGUCUUUUAAAUUGUAGUUUAAUUGCUUUCCAAGGCCUGAAAUCUUUAUAAUCUCUUGCAUGAACCCCUAACUUUUGUUAUGUACAUUUUUACACUACUACAAAGUAUUUAUAAAUUCUUGAUUUUGUUGUAAAAUUUAAAUUAAGACAUUUAAUAGACCAAUUAUUAUUUCUAAUAGCAAAAUAAAAAUAAUACGUACAAAGCUUACUCGAAAUUUACUCGGGUUCUUACAAUAAUACUUUUUCUGAUGUAAUAUAUGUAAGAAAAAAGGUAGUUCAAGAGAUAAAAAUGUGAUUAAAAACAUAUUUAUAAUGUAACUAAAUUUUUUUACAAAUAAUCCAUAUCUAAACAAGCCCAUAGUGUGCAUGCACUACAACAAAAAUGACCUUUCUUGACAUGCCUAUAAGGACACUUGAUGGUUUGUGUCAUUAUAGCAAUUCUAUCAUGACAUUUGUUAUCAACUCAAUAAUAUAUACUCUAUUUUUAUUUUAUUUUAUCUGAUAUAAAAUAAUAAUGUGCCUUUAGACUACCUAUCAUGACACUUGAGAAAAUGUGAGAUACACCCAAAUUUAAAAAAAAAAAGAAGAAAGACACUAAACGACAUCGGCUUGUUUUGGCGGAAGAUUCAUUUGCCAUGAAAUAUUCAAAACUUUCAAAUUCUCGGCCAAAAGACUUUGUCAAAUUUUGCUUCAUCUCAUCUCUCUCACAAGAAACACUCUCUCCUCAACAAAUUAUCCUCGGCAAAUUAUCUCUAGCCAAAACACUUGGAGUUUUUUCUGCUGAAUCUCCCUGCAAACAAACUUUCCUUGCUUUCCCAUUGAAGGUAUGUAAUUGCAUGGUAAAUUUUUUUUUUGGAGCAAUUAGAUAAUGUUUUUGCUAAAUGUCACCGUAGAGAAGCUGUCCAUUCUUCAAGCUUUCCCAUUACUGCUACCAUUUAUUUCGAGCCAAACAAAACACAAUCCAAUUGCCAAUUGCAAAUUGCAGUAGAUGAGAGGAAAAAAUGCUUCUGUACUUGCACUCGUGUACAACCCCCUUACUUAUACGUUCGUGUACAUGGCAGCCAAUCACUAUUUUGCAUAUGAGGUAAUGUUUAAGCUUUUUUCUUGACAUUAUUAGGUAUUCUUGAAGCUGUGUACUCUAUUGUGUUGAAUUAUGAGGGCUAAGUUUCAAAGUUUGCCCUAAAUUGAUUACAUUUGAGAUUAGUCCCAUCUGUUUGAGAUUGAAAUGGAUAUAGUAAUAGUUUAUGAUUUGAGUGCACUUGUUGUUCAGCUUUGUUCCUCUCGAUUGUCUACUUGAUUCAUGUGACUAUUUUUGUUAUGCACUUAUUGCCCAUAACCUGUUCGAUAAAAUGUGGCAACAUAGCAAAUGGACACUGUACUUGGUUGGCUUACUACUUAAUAUCCAGGUUAUCUUGUGAGAUUUUUGUUGACAUAUAUAUACACAGGUUUCCUUUACAUAUUACACAUGUUAUAGUCCAUUGAAAAUGAACAUAGUGCCGGCAAAUUGCUGACUAGCCAUGGCUUUUUAGGUUGUCACUGAUGAUGCUUAAAUCUGUGAAUUUCUAUGCAGCCAGAGAAGUCCUACUCAACACAGGAACUUUGCCAUCUUCUGGGAACUGUAAUUGUGAAGAAGGCAUGGGUGCAAUCUAUAUUGGGUGGGUCCUACUAUCAUAGGUGUGGUAAAUACUAGAAAAUUUUUUAUUACUUUCUAUACGAAAGUCACAUGUGCACACAGUGUGUAAACAUACUACUGACUCGAAUUAUUGGCUCUGCAUGACUUUAAAAGUCAUUUUCCCAUUUACUAGCAGGGUCAAGCUCUAUUACUACAUGUUUGAGAGACCUCAUAUGUAGGUGAUACGCUAGAGCAAGGCAUCCCCAAAAUAUGCUGGAGUGGUAGAUGCGAGUGAGAAACAGUUCACUAUGAGGAUUUGGAGCUUUUUUUUUUUUCAAUUGGAUGAAGGUAUAUUUGCCUUCUGUAAUUUGCAAAAGCUUGAAGGCAUUUUUUUUAAUUGCUGGGAAGGAGCACAUUCAGCUUACUUGCAAUUUACGAUGACUAAUCUGGAAGGAUAGAACAAAGCAUAGUUUAGUGAAUCUAGAUUAGAAAUGGACAAGGUUGCACAUAAAAGCCACUCAGGAACAGUGAGAAUAUAACAUGAGGAGUUUGAGCGUAGUGGAAAUGGAACAUAUUGACGUUUGCAUCAAAAGAUGAACUCUGCUGCAACAAUCUGUCCAAUUAAGAACAAGUUAGGAUAUGGGGUAAUUGCAAGCAACUGACCUAGGGAGAUUGUAGAAAGCUGGGCAACAUCAGAAGCAAGUCAAGGCAGCAAGGAUCCUGCAGAAGCUGAAGCUAGCAAAUAUGAUUAACCAAAGCCAUUAAUUUACAAUUACUAAUUUGAUGCUAAAGCUGCAAACAUAGCCGAAGAUAUAUUGGUCUUGAGUCCUCUGUUUUGUAUGUGGUCGGUUUCAAAAGAAUGUAAGGGUUCGGGAAGAGCAAUGGAUAAAACUUUGGGCUUAUUGAAAAAGUGAAGAAGCAAAGGUGCAAAUCAGUUACAACAUUCUUAAUAAAGUUGUAUUUAUUCAAUGUUGUAAUCUUGGUUAUGAUUUUGAAAUUUAGAAACUAAGUUUGUACUUGUUAGGGAUUUGCUAUGUUAGUACUUGUUACUGACUUUUAGUUCAACAAAUUAUAUUUGAGUAUUGACAUUUGUUUUUAGAUUACUAUAUGCAUUCUAUUCUUUGGGAUAAUUUUACAAGUCCUUUGGGUUUCUGAUUGACGGAAUGUAUAGCAGGGAGCACUACCUGCAGGUUGCUUCUAUAUCAAAAAAAAAAAGAAAAAAAAACUCCAGGCAGUUAAAAGUGUCAACAUAGAAUUCGAUAUUCUAAUGUUAUACUAUAGCUAUCCUGACACUUUCGAUUAUCAAGAAAAGAGAUUUUUGUUGGCAGAUUGGAUGCUAUAACAGCAUAGUUUUCCUGACACGUUUGAAUGCUACGAGCCUAUCCCCACAUUGGAAGGGACGACACUCGUCCAAGGUGUGAGGAAAGGUAAAGUGUCAGGUUAGAUUAUCUAUACUGAUACCUUUAAAUGCCGUUAAAGGUCAUUUUUGUUGUAGUGAUGUUACCUUCCACUUUAUUAGAUUUUUUGAGUAUUUGAAUAUGCAUUAUUGAGUAAUUGUCAAUAUCAACUAAAUGAAAGAAGGAAAAAUAAGAUGUGGAAACAAAUAAGGUGGAAAGAAGUCCUAUCUUUCGUGUGGAUAGUAAACUGUUUGUCAGUUCAUCACCUUGCCACAUCCUCAUCAAAUGCAAUGGGUUUUUAUUGCUUUAAAAAUAACUCAUUUUAUCUACUCCUAAACUAUACUAUAAAUAGACCUAAAAAAGGACAUGAAUAAAUCCAAGAUCGACUAAGAUAGGAGAUAACUAAAGAAAAGAGAAGAAAUUAAAUCAAUCAUUAAGUGAUUUACCUAAUUGGAAAAGCAAUUUAUGAUAAAUUACUCACUAUACACGUGCAAUGCAUGUGCAUUUUCCUAGUUUGAUCACUAUAAAGGAUAAGGAUUUGGUUCAUCUCCACUAAAUUCUCUCUUCAUUUCUUAUAAUACAUAUUUAAAUGUAUGACAUGUGUCUUUAUUUAUUAACAAGACUUAAAAUUAGUUAAACUUGAAAUGGUCCUGUCUUUUUUAGUUUUCAUCCACAGGUGCAUUACAGGAAAUGAAAAGAUAAUUUAUUAGAGAAGAGCCAAAUACUAAAGGAUAAUGCUGUGGUGACUUAUCAUCAAGUCACUUUGCAAAUAUUAUUUUAACCUAAAUAACCCAUAAUCAGUAAAACCUAAAUAACCCAUAACCCUUUAAUUCUGUCCAACCGGCAAUGUCAAGUAGGAAAGAGAAAACAUUUGAUUGAAAUAACAACUUUCAGAUGUACACAUAUAGAUUCGUCUACUAGACAAAGAAGAAUUCUAUGAUAACAUAGUGGAGGAGCAGUAUGAAUCAUCAUAUGAAUAAUUAAAUAGUGGAGUACGAACAAUUGACGAGUUUGUAGUAUUUAGCCGAUGAAAAAUUUGCUUGUUAAUAAAAGAUUCACGAUAUAAACACGAUGUUAUGUUAAAAUAUUGGUUCUCUUUGGAAGUAAAGGUCAGAAAGAAAGUUAACCCAAUAUCAUGUUUUUGGUUCGCAUGGACAUUGGUAACGGAAAGUCGGCCAAUCGGAGGUCAAUCCAGUGAUUCGCGAAAGUGAAAUUACAAAUGAAUAGGAUUGGCUAAAUGAAAAUAUAGAGUAACCCAAAAAAUGGAGGAAACAAGGAAAAAAAUACAAACAAAACUAGUGUGAAUACUCGUGCUACGCAUGGUACUAACGUUAUUAAAAGAAAUAAAAAAAGAAUGAAGGUAAAAAAAGUAAAAAAAAAAUUGUAUCAAUAUAAUUAAAAUUUAAGAUUUGUCUAGCAAUAAUUCAAAGAAUAAUAAAAUGCGCACAUUAUUUAAGAACUGUAUUUUUGCGGAAGAUGGAUCAUAAAAUAAUAAUAGAAAUUUAUAUUAGAAAAUGAAUGCUAUAUGAAUAGAAAUGAACAUAAUCGCAUAUUUUAUUUGAUAUCAAAAUUAAAUAUUUACAAACAUUAUGCAUUUGAUUUGAUAAUCUUGUAUGAAAGUAUGAACAUUUUUCACACAAAUCAAUCUUUAGUACGAAAGCCAAUUUUGAUGGUUUGAUUGAAGCAGUUGAAUUUUAUGAAAUUCGUACUAUAAAAAACUGUACAGAAAGACAUGUUUUUUCUUGGAAGUAAACUUGUUGAAGCUUUUGAAAUAUUUCAAUGGGAUCACUUCGGUGUGGGUUUCGUUUUGUGAUUAGUUGGUUUCUUCUUUGCAAUCUUGCAAAUUUGGAAUUGAGACGCCAUUGAAAUGUUCGCAGGUGAGAUUCAUCCAUAAUGAGAGUAUGAUGCAUAUUCUUGUUCUUUUUUUUUUUUUUUUGUUUCUCACAGUAUUUGAUUGGUGUAGAUCACAAAUGAAAUUGGGUUAGUGAUUGUCAAUCUUUUGAAUGAUUAUGAGAAUAAAAUAUGUUAUGGGAUUUGCAAAUGUGAUUUUGUAGGGUGAUGAUUAUCUAUUUGUUAAAAUUUUGGAGUUUUGAUUUUGUGAGUUAGUGGGUCAUCUGUAAGUUAAAAUUUGGGCAAAUUAUAUUUUAUCCCCCUGCGGUUUAGCAUUUUUUUACAUAACCCCCAUAUAGUUUUAAAAGCUAUACAUAACCCCCUCAUUGUUUGGAUUAAAGUGUCAAAGUGACGAAAAUAGUCACUCAUAACGAAACUUCUAAAAAUGUCGAAAUUAUCCUUAUAAAUAUAUGACACAUUAACCCCGUAUGAUUUUUAUAUUUUACUAAAUAACCCCCUUAUAGUUUAAUAUUUUACCAUAUAACCCCCUUAUGAUUUUCAAAAUAUACACAUAAUCCCCUUUGGUUAAUAAAUAAUUUUUAACUUUACAUAAGGGUAUUUUUGACAUUUUAGGUGACUCCGUUACGAAUGGUCAUUCCAGUCACUUUGACGCUUUAAUCUAAAUCAUAAGGGGGUUAUGUAUAGCUUUUGAAACCAUAGAAGGAUUAUAUAAAAAAAACGUUAAACCACAGGGGAUAAAGUGGAAUUUGCCCGUUAAAAUUUUGAAAUUUUGAUUUUGUGGGUUUGUCGGUCACGUAAAUUGGAAAGUGAAAAAGGCAUAAAGAGAAGCAAUAAGGAUUAUUAAAUUAAAAUAAAUCUAAAAUUGCAGUAAAAAGAGAUUUAGAUUUCUGAUGCUUGUGAAGGCUCCUUAUCAAAAACCUGCCCUCUAAUAUAUAUAGAGUAGUAGCAAGGAAAAUAGGAAAAAACCAAAAAAACAAACCUUGUGGAAUGAGAAUCCUAUAAAAUUUGUUAAACCAAAAAAUUGUCACAUUUUAUAAAAUAGGGGUUUUCCUUGUAUAAAUUAAUCUUUUCCUCCAUUUGUAUUGUAUAUCCUAGUAGGUCUAUAAGUAUGACAAAUAAUUUAAAUUUCAAGUUUUGCACAUGUGACAUGCAUCGACAUGGUUAGUGUAUAUGCUAUCAAUUUAAUUUAGAGUCAUCUUUUUUAUACCAUCUAUCUAAUAAUUGGGGGCAUCACUAUGGGUUGUUAAUACACAAUUUUCACCUUUUAAAUUCCUUUUGCACCCUACUAUUAAAAGGAUUUAAUUUUUCCUCACCUACGAAAAUUAUAGUUACUUGGGUAGUUUUCACCGGCAGUAUUAGAAUUUGGAAAAUUAUUGUCAUCGGAUUCAUGUUCUAAAAAGGCAUGCAUCGUGGGAACUAAACUUCCGUUCACACCAUCUCCUUUGUCAUAUCCAUUCAUGUUCCACCGCCGUUUUCUUCCGUGCAUGUGUUCUGUCUUUUCCACUUUGCUUGGAAUUUCUGUCUUUUUGUGUACUAGUUAUUUGGCUUUUUUCCCUUUUGUGCAUUUACAUCGAUGAUCAUGAUGGUUAAUUUACCGAUCCCUGUCGAAUAUAUAUCCAUAUUUGCCGUUCAAUCCUUUAAAAUAUCCCACAUUUUUUACUACAUAAUUUACCCCAGCCCUAUGCCACAGCUGGCCGUUGCCUUACUCAGUUGGAUUCAAAGGCCUUUGACAAUGGUCCCAAGCUGUGUUUUCUUUGAUUAUAGUCUUUCUGCCUUCGGUCGGUGGGAAGAAAAUCCCUCACUUUGCACACUAGAAGCUUUCAAUUGGAAAAUUUUGAGGUAGCUUCCUGUCAAAUGUAAAUAGGGAAGCAUUAAUUGUGCAUUUUCUGCAGCUAUAAAACCCGUUUCAACAGCUUGUCUAGAAGAAAAUCUUUAACAUUGAGUAGAUCUGUCGUUUCAUGAACCGUGUAACCUCCAAUUUAAUUGUACGAACAAUCGAAAGGACCACAAGAACAAAUGUUGAUAGCGUUUGUUAACUACAAUACGGUGCUGGAGCUCGAUAUGCUUUUUCACUCUAAUAAAAUCCAAAAUAACUAGAAGCUGUAGUUUUGUACUUUGAGUGGAAAUGUGUAUGAAGUGAGAAAGCAGGCAGACCCAAAUAUCUUCUUUGACAGAAGAACAGACAAUGAACAGGUCUUGUCACAAUGCGACAGUUAACCAAUUCAAUUUCUAAAACGGCCACUGCUAUUUUUUUUUUUUUUUUUGCGUAAAUUGCUGCAAAAUGAGUUGUAACUAGUUCUCGUAAAGCCUUAAUGAUGAAUAAUGAAGCCUUAAUAUAUAUAUGGUAGAUUUAGUUCCUCGAAGUUCAUAUGCAUGGAAGAGAAUGUUGCAAGUAAGAGAGCUGGCUGAGUUCCACAUUGGUUGGAUUGUUCGCUCGGGAAAUUCUAGUUUCGGGUUUGAUAAUUGGUUGGGGACGGGAGCGCUGGCUGGUUGUUUGGAUAGUGUUUCUGAUCAUUGUAUUUGGGACUUUUGCAAUAAUGGAGCUUGGAAUCUUGAAUUGCUGAAUCAAUGGCUUCCUCCGGAUUUUGUUUAGGAAAUUACUUGUUCAGCUCCAUCAGCUUUGGACUUGCAAGAUAAGAUGAAUUGGUUGCCAGACCAAUCAGGUUUGAUUUCUUUAAGCCCGCUUUUUCAAUAGUGCAAUUACAUUCUAGUCAUUCAUCCAUGUAUAGGCGGAUUUGGCAUGCUAGAUUGCCUUUUAAAAUUUCUUUCUUUGCGCUCCGGAUGUUGAGAGAUCGGUUGCCGUUAGAUUCCGCUCUUUGCAAAUUGGUUUUUCACCUUCCUUGUAGGUGUUUUUGCAGUGUAAACCCUGAUAUAGAGUCGUUGGAUUAUGUGUUUUGCUCGGGUGAAACUGCUUCAUGGGUUUGGAAUUUUUUUGGUUCAGUGUGUGGAGUGGUUAAUUUAGGUCCCUCCGUUCGCGCUUAUACUGGUGGCUUGUGGUAUGGUCCUAGGUGGCAUAAGUUUCUGGAAUUUAUUCCUCAUCUUCUUCCUUUGUUGAUAUGCGGGCAUCUAUCGAAAUUCUAGAACUUGGCAGUGUUUGAAGGGAAGUGUUUAUCUCCUCAGGCGAUUUGUUCCUUGGUGUUUUCUUACUUGAGGGAAUUAUAUAAUUUGCACUUUCAUUCUGCUAAUGCUUGGUGGGUUUUGGGUUUGAUUUCUAUGAUGAAGUUUUUGGAAUGUCUGUUAAUAGCAGCUUGAAAUUGGUUAAGUGGCUCAGGCGAGGUGGUGGUAUUUUAAAGUUGAAUACUGAUGGUUGCUCUAAGGCUAACAUGAAAUUUUUCAUGAAGCAAGUAUUUGCAAAUGAAUUAGAAACAGUAAUCUAAUAGGAUAAUAUUCCAAGUAUUCUCUGCAUCCCUAAUACUCUAAUAGGAUAAUAUUUCUUAGAGUAUUGUUAAAAAAAUCGACAAAAUAAGAGAAGUGAUGGGUCUUUUCUUCAUCUAGGGGGGGGACUAAAAUCGGCAAAAAUUGGCACCACUAACCUGAGGCACCCCUCCCCCCCAACAUAGGAUUAUCUCUCAUCUUGAGAGCAUUUUCUCUCUCUAGCUUGGGAGCGAAUUUCCCCCAUGUGGGUGUUUUCAAAUAUUUCAAACUCCAAAGUUUCCGUACCUUCGUUCUUGGCAACAUAUCCAUACUCUAAAUUUAAGGCAGAAGCACAUAAAUUUAGCCUUCGAUUUCAAAUCAUGUCUUAACACUCUUGAGCUUUCACUAGCAAUAUCAUGGAUCUGUUGAAGGAAAGGAAGCUUGUUGAACCAGGCUGAUACUUUCAUCAGCCUCUUCAUAGUUUGUCUUUUUCUUUCGAUUUCUCAUCCUUUUUUGCAGUGCAUUCAGCUCAAAGUCUAACCCAAAUCUCUUUUGUGUCUUUCGGCCUCUAUCAUUGUUGACGACUUUCAGCUGAGAUCUUAGCCAGUAGACCACCAAGCCUGUAUUCCGUGUCUUUAGUUUCUAUUUCAGUAGUUGCUUUCAGUAGCGAUAGUGUAGAUGCGGUAGUGUGGGUUGUGUGCGUGUUAAAGAUCUACUAUUUUUCUGAUCUGUCUCUGAUUUACAGGUAGUUAACAGGGGCUAUCCGAUAGGUAAGAUCUAUAGAAAACUGAUAAGGAUUAAAUAAAAUGGCAGAUAAGCUAGAGAAAAUUAUGAGGAAGCUUGCUUUGUCAGAAAAGGAAGUAGCAGGGAUCUAGGUGGAAAGAGAAGAUGUCUCGUACUGUCUAGAAGAGUGUAAGAGAAGCACUAUUGGAAAAGUUGUAGGAGGAAAAACGGUGAACAUUGCAGGUAGGGCUGCAAAUGAGCUGAGUCGAGUCGAGUUUUGGACUUAUCGAUAGAACUCGACUUAAUAACAGGUAGGCUCAAAUUUGAGCUCGAGCUCGAUGAACCAAGAAAAUUGAGUUCGAGCUCAACUCGACUAAGGAAAAGUCAGGAUCGAACUCGAGUCGAUGAGGCUCGCGAGCUGUAGCUUGAUUUCUGGCUCGCGAGCUGAUCGAAUUGUUAGCUCAUAAUGUAGCUCGAAUUUCCGACUCGUGAGCAGCUCGUUAGCUCGAGUUUUUGGAAAUUAUUCUAAUAAAAAAAUAAAUAAUUAAUUUUUCUUAAUAAAUAAUAAAAUAUUAGGGAUAUAUAUAUGUAAUUUUACUAUUAAAAUAAAAAAUAAAAAAAAAUAUAUAUAUACUCGAACUCACGAGAGUUUAAUAUUUUAAACUCGAGUUCGAGCUCGAAUUCAAUUUAGCCAACUCGAGCUCGACUCGAGCCGCUCGCCUAAUUGCAGGUAUGUGAAUCUUUACAAGUAAAAUGCAUAUUUGUGAAAAACUUAAAGGUGAUGGAAAAUGGGGUAAAUAUGUUCUAGUUUGUGUUUGCUAAUAUGCAGGAUAAAGAUAGAGCGUUAAAUAGUAGACCAUUGGUUUAUGAUAAUUUGCCGUUAGUAAUACUUUCAUGGAAGGAGGGGCUGGAAAUCGAUCAAAAUGCUUUCAACAAAACUUGGAUAUGGGUACAAAUCUGGAAUCUCCCUUACAUUGGAUUACAAAAGACACGGGAAGAAAAAUUAGAGGUGUAUUUCUGUCUGUGAAGGAAGUUAUUGCACCAAAUAGUGGGAGUAAAAAGGGAAAACAUUGAAAAUCUUAACUGAAGUUGACCCGAAUCAACCAAUGCUGAGGGGAACUCUGGUUAAAAUGAACAGUAUAAUUAAAUGAGUGGAAUUUAAGUCUGAAAGGUAUCCUAAUUUCUGCUUUAACUAUGGCAUUAUGAGGCAUACUUAGAGAAACUGUAAAGAGAAAGGAACCCAUAUGGGAAAGGAACCUCAAUUUGGAACUUCAUUAAAGGCUAGCAAUCCUAAAAGUCCUACUAAGAAACAGGGUAGAUCUAGACAGCAUGAGGAUGAUCCAAAUGAAAUAGCAAGCGAUACACAAAAUGAAAAUGGGGACAUAAACUGAUCGAUGAUAACUUGGAAAGAGAAUGAGGGGGAAAAAGAAGAGAAUGAAGGUAGAAACAAAGAGGACAAUGAGGAUGAUGGGGCUAGAGUUAAAGGAAAUAGUGGUCAGAUCAUUAGGGAGGAGCAAAUGAGAGAGGAAAAUUAUGUUGUAAUGGGUAAAAAUGAUUUUUGGGAGAAAAGGGAAGAGGACACUGGGAAAUCUCAAAAGGGCAAUGAGGGGAAGCAAAAGGAAAUGAGGGAUGUUGUGAGAAAGGGUAUUGAGGGAGUUGAGGAAGAGAUAGGGGAAGUAGGGCAGGAGGACAAUAUGUGGAUAGAUGGAAUUAAUGAUCACAGAAUGGAAAGGCAGGUGCGAAGGAAAAAGCAGGAAGCCUGUUGGAAGCUAAAGAGGGUGGACAGGAUGGAAUUGGGAAAGAGAAUAAGAAAGGAAAAUACAAAGGGAAUAUAGGAUGGAAAAUACUAGUGAAAGAAGUAGGGAACAUGAAGCCUUUAGCAGAUUGUACUGCGAGAAUUAUUGGGGCAAAGGAGAUAGUAAAAUGAAAAGUGGUAGUUGAGGAUGGUGUCAAUAGUGAGGGAAUGGAAGUAGAUAGUCAAACUAAGAGGAUCAAAGGGAGUGUUUAUUAGGAAGAACAUGAGAGUAAUCUGAAGGUGGUGGAGUCCUACCUAAAAAGGCUCCAAGUUGUCAAUAAAUGUACUGGUGUGGAAUUGUAGAGGUGUGGGAGGCCCUUUGAUAAUUCCCCAAUUAGAGGAGAUAGUUAAACUCCACUCCCCAAAUUUAAUUUUUUUUAUUUGAAACUAAAAAUAAAAAAUGUGCUAUGAACAAGGUUAAGAUGAAACUUAAGUUUGAUAAAUUGUUUGUGGUGGACCCAAGAGGGAAGACAGGAGGCUUAGUUGUUAUGUGGAGAAAUGAUAUUAAGGUGGACAAAGUGCUAUACUGAUUUUACUAUUGAAUUACAGAUAGAUGACCAAAAAAAAAAUUUCAAGUGGUGGAUCAUAGGCAUAUGCCAGCUCAGGUGACCUGGUUAGAGAAAAAUAGCGAGACAUUAUUAGCCAAAGGAAAGGUAUUUGGGGGGAUAACUGGAUUUUAGUAGGAGAUAUGAAUGGUAUUCUAUCAAAUGCUGAGAAUUGGAGAGGUAAUAAGAGGCCUGAGUCUAGUUUUAGAUGUUCCAAAACUUUAUCAGAAAAAAUCAACUUUCAAAUUUGGGAUUUGAUGGGAAACCAUGGACCUAGCGUAAAAAGUGGAAUAAAGGUGAUGAGGUAAAAGAAUGACAGGACAGGAUAUUGACAGAUAAUGGAUGGAAGGAGGCUUAUGACAGAGCAGAAUGCACUCACAUCCAUAUUGAACCAUCAAAUCACUGUAUGCUGUUGUUAGAAACUGAACCAAAAAGAAGAAAUUGGAAAAAGAGAUUCUAUUUUGAUAGAAAAUGACUUGAAUAUAACGAAGUUAGGGAGUUAUUAAAAAAGCAUAGGGGAAAAAGCAAAAGGGAUCCAGAUUUUUCAGACUUCAAAACAAAAUCAAAGAAUAUAGCUUUGAACUCAUUAGAUGGAAUAAAAAGCUUAAAGGAAAUGCUAAGAAGGACUUUGCAGAAUUAAAGCAGAAAAUUCAAGAUACCAGGAAGGUAGUGGGACCCAAUAGGAAAGAGGACACCAGUAUCUUGCAGAGACAACUUGCAAAUGCUUACAAAAAGGAGGAAGUGUACUGGGGACAGAAAGCUAUGGUAAAGUGGUUUAAGGAAGGUGAUAAAAAUACAAGCUAGUUUCAUGCAGUGGUUGAGGAUAGAAGAAGAACAAAUAAGAUCUCUAUACUCUAGAAGCAGGAUGGAAAUUGGUGUAGUGUUGAGUUUGAAAUGGAGGAGGAAGUAACAAACUAUUUUGGCAAUCUGUUUGAAUCCUCAUAGCCAAGCCAAUUUGAUGUAAUCCUUGAAGGAAUUCCUCAGACUAUUACCAGUCAGAUGAACUUGAGAUUAACUAGACCUGUGACAAAAUGGGAGAUCAGAAAGGCAAUUUUCUCUUUGUAUCCUAACAAGACACCUGGACUUGAUGGUAUGACACCAAUUUUCUUCCAAAGAUUCUAUAAUAUUAUUAAACAUGCUCUAACUAUUGCAAUAUUUAGCUUCUUCUAUGCUGAUAACUUUCUGACAUCUAUAAAUGAACCAUUAUUACUUUAACUCCAAAGACUGAGUUUCCAGUGUUGGUGUCACAAUUUAAGCUUAUAAGUCUGUGUAAUGUAGUUUAGAGAAUCAUUGCAAAAGUCUUGGUCAAUAGAGUCAAGCCUUUACUUCAGCACUGUAUUAGUCUGAAUCAAUCAACUUUCAUACUUGGUAGGCAGAUUCAAGAUAAUGUGGUAAUUGCUUAUGAGUUGUUUCAUCACCUGAAUACUAAAAGAACAGGGAAAAUUAUGCAUAUGGCUCUUAAGUUGGACAUGUCCAAAGCUUAUGAAAGAGUUGAAUAGAUUUUUUUGGCAAAAAUAAUUUAAAGAAUGGGAUUUUGUCCUAUGUGGAUUCGGUGGGUAAUGAAAUGUGUGUCCUUUGUUAGCUAUUCCUUUAAUAUUAAUGGGACAAAAUAGGGUAUGUAAGACUUGAGAAGGGACUCAGACAAGGGGAUCUACUAUCCCUUUACCUGUUUGUGAUAGUCACUGAAGGUUUAUCUAGCCUACUUAAGCAUGCUACGCAAUGUCAAAAAAUUUCUGGAUUGAAAAUAGCAAAGGAAUGCUCGACUGUCUCUCAUUUGAUUUUUACAGAUAAUAUUCUAAUUCUCUGCAAAGCAACAAAGGAGGAAGCAUUACAGAUGUUGCAGAUUUUGAAGACCUACUCAAAGGCAUCUGGCCAAGUGAUCAAUACUGAUAAAUCAUCUGUGUUUUUUGGAAAAAUAUGAGAGAGGAUAAAAAAGGAAAGGUGCUGGAAGUGCUAGAAGAAAUGCAGCAAGUCCAACUGAGCAGGUACUUGGGUUUACCAGUAGUAAUAGGAAGGUCAAAAAAGCAGUCGUUUAGCUAUAUAAAGGAGAAAGUGAUGAAUAGGUUGAAGGGGUGGAAGGAGAAGCAGUUAAGUCUAGCUAGAAAGAAAGUAAUGCUAAAAUUUGUCAUACUGGCAAUGCCUACACAUGCAAUAGAUUGUGUUAGACUACCAAAUGGAAUAUGUGUUAAUAUAUGUAAGGAAAUGGCUAAGUUUUGGUGGGGGGAGAAGAAAAAAGAAAGGAAAAUUCAUUGGUUAGGUUGCGAGAGACUUACAAAUGUCAAAGGAAAACGGGGAUUGGGCUUUAGGGAUUUAAUGGAGUUUAAUACUACAAUGCUAGCAAGGCAGUUAUAGAGGAUUUUAACUAGGCCAAGCCAGAUGAUAAGUAGGAUACUAAAGGGAAGGUACGAUAGGGGGGAGUCAAUCUAGAAAAGGAAAAUUAAUGAAAGUGAUUCCUGGAUAUGGAAGAGUUUUCUCAGUGCAAGAGAGUUACUAGAAGGGGGGCAAGGAAGAGAGUUGGGGAUGGGCAUACAAUUGAUGUAUGGAAAGAUAGGUGGAUCAUUGAUAGAGGAAAGGGAAUGGUUACUACAGUUAAGCCUCUUGAUUAUCCUAUACAAAGAGUAAGUGAUCUUAUUCAGGAUGGGGAGUGGAAUAUGGAGCUCAUUAGGUCCAUUUUUAAUGAGGAGGACUACAAAAGUAUCAUGCACAUCCUUAUUAGCAUUUGCAACAAUAAGGAUAGAUUGGUGCGGCCAUUUUUAUCAUCUGGGAAGUACACUAUAAAGAUAGGAUAUACAUUGGCAAAGGAACAACAAAAAGAGAAGAGCAAUAGGCAUGUAAUGAAUAGGAGACAGGCAAAGAGUGAUAGUAGAAAUGAGCAGAAUACCAAGGUAUGGAGGUCCAUUUGGAGUCUAAAUAUGAAGCAUAAGCUAAACAUUUUAUAUGGAAAUGUAUGCACACGAUAUUGUAGUAAAUGGAGCCAUAAAGAAGAUAAUUGGGAAUGGGGAAAAAAAUUGCUUCUGUUGUGGAGAGGGAACUAAAACACUGGAGCAUAUGUUAUUCUUCUGUCAACAAGCAGAAAUGAUAUGGAAAGUUGCACCAGAUCAAUGGGAUGGAAUUGAGAACUUCACGCAUAAUUUUUGGUUAUGGCGUAAUAGCCUGAUGGAAGCUCAGCAGAGAAAGGAUGGAAAAUAGCACAUUGUGCUAACCAUAAAUAUUAUAUGGCAGAUUUGGAAAGCAAGGAAUGAAGCUCCAUUUAAUAGGGAAAAAAAAUGUCCAGGGACGGUGUUUAACAAAGUAGUGCAAGAGUGGCAAGAAUAUGAGCUGGCCAACCAGAAAAUUAAAGGGUUGAAGAAGAAAUACACCUAACAAAUCUAAACAGAUGGAAACCAUCAAAAGAGGAAGUGUUGAUGCUUAACACGGAUGUAGCAACAGAUAUAUAGAAAGGAAAAGCCAGCUGAGGAAUAGUAGCUAGAAAGGAAAAUGGUGAUAUCAUUAGAGCUUGGGCUGGAAUUAAGAAAGUUGCAAUAAUCCUAUGGUGAAGGAGUCCUAUGCAAUCAGGAAUGCCUUAACUAUAGCUAUGCAUGAGGUUGGAUGAAUAUGGAAGUACAAUCUGACCACAAAAUAGCAGUAAACAAGAUUUUGGAAGACGGAACAAGGGAUGCUAAGGUUGGAAUGUGAUAGGGUGUCGAGCCUGUGCAAUAAUAAUUACCUACUCAAGAAAAAUACAAAUUUUGUAUAUAGCAGUGAGCAGGGUCGAAUCUACAGGGAUUGGGGAUAAUUCGUUUAUUGUAAAAUCCAAAGUAUGGGGGGUUUUUUGGAGAAUAUAAAAUAACUAAUUAACUAACUAAUAAAACAACUAAUAGAAAUAAAUAGAAAUUAAUCAAUAACCAAUAUGACUCUAGCAAAAGGUGCAACUUUUCAAACACGGUCCAUUCAACUGAUCAUCGAUGCAAAGAUAAUUCAAUUACUCAUUAAUAGAUUGGUUAUAGUUAUCAUACACGCGAUGAACAACCAGCCUUUCCUUAAUUUCUCGAUAGUUAAGGUACGACCGUUAACUAUUUCUCUAAUCAAGAAAUAACCCUAGGUACGACCGUAGGAUUUAAUUCCCCAAUUGCAUUAAGAUCUAGAAAAGCCCAAACCCAACCCUAACCAACAAACACGCUACGAGGGUUUGUUUGAGUUAGAUCAUACGUUUCCCUAACAUGAAACCAAUCACGCUAGUCGCCACUGGUAUUAAUCAAUUAAACAAUUACGGAUUCAAUCAAUUAAUAUGACAGUAGAUUAUUAGGUUAAUUCGAACAUCGGGCCCUUGACAUUCAAAUAACAAAACAAUCAUAAGCAAUUAAAUCAGGAAACGUACAAAUACCAAUAAAUAAAAGAAAUAAAUAAAAUAAUUAGAUCUCACAGAUGUUCGAAACCGAGUCCUCAAGUUGACCUUCGACUAGAAAAAAUGAAUUAGUUCAUCUUCAUGGAGGAAAUCCCAUGCAAAAUUGCCGAAGUCCUUGCGGCCCUUGUCACCAAAAUUGAGAUAAGAAGAAAACGAUAAAGUAAGAACAACGGAAAAACUCCCAAUUCCCCAAAGAUAAAGCCGCGGCCAAAGGAAAAGAAUUGUCUCCUAAUCUAAAACAAAUUGCUUCACUUCUCUCCGUGGUCCCACCGGAUAAGGAACAAAACCAAUCCUCUGUACGUUUGUUUCCUUUUAAGUCCAAUGACUAAUGCCUUUCUUUUCUCCGUGGUCCCCGCACAAUUGAGAGCAAAAGUCCUCCCAAAGCUUCCUGCACCAACCGAGGCUUUCCUUCUUGUUUUGUUUCCUAUUUUACUUGUAGGACUCCAAUCUCCUAAUCAGCAAAGGAAAUGCAAUCUCUUUGUAGCACCAUGUGGGCCCGGUUGUUUGAAAUCUCAAUUAUCUCCAAAAAGUCUCAUUUUUUGUAGUUUUCUGUUCCAUUCCCUGAAAUUAAGUCCAGAUACCAAAUAUAAGUAAAUAUUACUAAUUAAAACAAUAUUUGGCAAGGACAAAGGGGAAAUUAACAAUAAAAUUACUAAUAAUUAACACCCUAUCAAUUCCCCCCACACCUAAAUCAUGCUUGCGCUCAAGCAUGGGAACAGCAAUUGAACAAAUUCGACAAUGACUAUUGCUCCAACUACCAUAUUGCCAAGAUACCCACGAAAAACAAAUAUCAAGCAUCACAGGUCAAGAUCCAAGAAAAACCGCCCCGGUUAGCUUCCCAACCACCAACUCCUCCAAUUUAAAGCAAACUAAUCUAAGAAAAAGGAAUGGUUGCUUACAUUUACCAGCAAAUGGUCCAACUAUUAACCAAAAUCUCGACAUUAAAAUCACAAACCGGCAAGCUGACUUAUUCACAUACUAACACAAUCUUUAUUUUAUUUUAUUUUUCUUUUUGUUUUGUUUUGUUUUUUUCUUUUUUUUUUUGAAUAACAAAAGACUUAGUCUAUAGCCCUUAGAGCCUUUUGACGCGAACUCCAACAUUUGACAGAUGGAGGAGCCCGGUUACUCAGCUCCAAUCGCUAUAGGAUCACGCACUCAUAGCAACUACUACCUUUUGAGGCGAAAAUCGACACUUUAGGUGAAGAUCCCCGGUUACUCAGUAGUAACCACUAGCGGAGUACAGUCAACUCUUAUUUACAACCAUACAACACAAUAACUAAAAAUAACACAAAAAUAACAGCAGCCAGUCUCAAAUUUCCAGAUAUGGAGAACUAAAAUUAAUAAUUGGACCAAUUCACAUGAAAAAUGCCAACAAUCAUUCUCUAUGCCUAGAAAAGUUAACCAAAAAUUAGAAAAGUCAAGCAAUUACUGAUAUUCACCAGAGAGAUGUUCCUGAACUCGACCACAUCAACUUAAUACCCUUUUAUUAAUAAAACUUGGCAAUAGCAGAAUUAGAGACAACAAUCCAACAUCAAAACUUGGUAUUCAAAUAAGAACUGACCACUCGGAAAAAGAAAAGAAAAUAAGCGAAAAAGGGAGAUAAAUAUCAAAAUAAAACAAAGAAAAAACCUCUAGAACCCAAAAACCGAAAACUGGAAAUACUAGCACCCAAAAUUGUGACGGCCCCACUUCUCCCUAAGACGAACCAGAGGGUUGGCGGGUCGCCUGCCUAGCUCUCGCCAGGACUCACGCAAGUAAACCAACUAAAAAUCCACGUAACUUAAAACCAAAACACAAUUCGUCAUCUGGACAUGCCAAACUUUUUAACGACUGAAGUACUAUUACACCUUAACUUCAGAGAUAACAUUACCAAUGAACAUCCAAUCAUUCACUCUUAAACACAUCUCCGACUAGUUCAACCCAAAACUACAAAUAUACAUUACAAACCACACAGUAAACUCAUAAAACUCAAAUAAAUUCAUACAAGCCAAAACUUAGGGUUUGCACUUUUCCAGCUUCAAGUGACAACCCAAAACAAAAGAUACAAAAACGAUUCGAAACAACAUUUACAACAGCUAAAAGCAGACUUCAAAACAUCCGAAUGCCGAAACCUGUUAAGGAAAACAAAUAUCGUGUGGUGAGCCAAAGCUCAGUGGUGUCCAAAACAUGCAAUCAUAUAAACAAAUAGCAAAUAAUAGUUCUAAACUUAAAUUCACAAAUAGGAAAGCGUAUAACAGCACAGGGUAGGAUACAGGGGCUCUCAGGAGCCAUUUUCCCCGCACUUGAUCAAAAUUAACCGUAGUUGACCCUCUGUCAACUCUCACUAUCUAAAGUCCAUGUAGAUUCAUUAUUUUUUUUCCUUAACACGCUCCAACCAGCUUGCUCCCCCUACCGGGCCCGAACGCCGAACAAGAGAGUGGUAAUACUCGAGUAUACCUUAGGGACUGGUCGAGGGAUUCACCCAACGACGUUGCGUCCAACAAGAGGUUAGUAUAGACUGGUCGAGGGAUUCACCCAACGACGUUGUGUCCAACAAGAGGUUACCAGGUCAGGAUAAGAGGCCCUCUCACCCUUAAGGUGUGGUACCUUUCCCUGCCUAGUAGAUUAGUUGACAAGUCCACGCUCCAGUCAAUAAUUGCAAGAUAUUCGAGAAAACAUUUCAAGCAAGUCACCACUCGAAAGGCUAGUGCGAUAAAGUACACACUGCCACUUCGAUGAUUCAGGAAAAACACUUUCCAAUUAUCAUAUAACAAGUCAAGAAAGCACUUUAACACAUUAGUCAUAAAACAAGCACGGACACUCACCAAACGUGAAGGUCAAAAGUCAAGCUGGGAAUCAUAGUCCACGUCCUCGUUAAACCCUAGAAAUCCAAGUUUUAAAACUAUAAGUUUUACUAAACACACAUUUGGUUUAUAUAUAGAAGAUUAUCUUGUAUAAAACUAGUUUAAUUCCUCGAAAUAAAUCAAUAACUCCCUCUUAAGAUUAAAGCUGGAAAAGAAACAAAAUGUUUCGUGAGGUUUCUUUUAAAGAUAUUUCCUUUCUAGAAGCAAACUAGAACCAAAUUAGUUUAAACAAGUUUUCUUGCCGAACAAGUUUUCUAUGUCUUUUAUUUGAAAUUAUUCAAAUCUAGUGUUUUUCCAAAUUUCCUCUAAAACAACUGGUCAAGGGUAAUUUUUAUGAAAAAACUUUAAAGUUUGGAAGUUAAUACAAUUAUUCCUUAAAGGUAAUAAAACUAGUUUAAGUAAAGAAAAGCAUUAACUAGUCGGCAAGGUUUUAAAAGUCCUGAUAUUUAAAUUUUAAUAUUAACGUACUAUACUAUAUAUAUAUAGCUUGCUAUUAAGGUAAAAUAUUUCCACAAGGCUUGAUUUAAGAGUAUUUGCAUUCAAAAAAUUAAAAUGGACUUCACGAUUCCAAUUCAUUUGCACAUUGUAUUCCAAGUUGCCAAUACAGCUAAAACACAAUUCAAAUAUAAAUUUCACUAGGGCUUCAUCAAUCAUUAGCCCUAGGUCUCAACAGAUUCAGAUCCAAACAAAAUUUAACAAAGGAAGUCCGAGGUAUCAAAACAAUUCCCAAUCACAAACCACGGACCUUCCAAUUACAUUUUAGCCAAUCACUAAAACAAAUUUACCAAAAUUAAAUUCUUGCCAAAAACUACUCAAAUGGCCAAGAGCUUCAUCAAUCAUUAGCUCUUGGUAUCAAACAAACAUCCCUUGCCACAGCCAACAGAAAUUUAACUCAAGUAUAGAAGAUAAGUCACGGCUAGCUCACAUUCAAAUAACUCUAGAAGUUCAUAUUUUCCUUUCUUGCUUUGAUAGUCAAGAAAAAUUCUAGCAAAUGUCAAUUCAAGAUGUCUAUUAAAUCUCCAUCUUUUACUUGCUAGAUACACUAAACAUAUAGCUUAUAGUCUGCUCAACUUAAACUAAAACAAAUAAUACGCAAAUCCAGAAAAUAAUCUCACUAAAAGUUUCAAUUAGUACGGCUAGCAACCAUGUACAAAUUCCAGCAAAGAUACUUCAAAAUUUUCAACAAGGUUUCUAUCCUUAGCUUGCUUUAAACACUAAACACUUAACAUGCAAAAGAAGAUUAACCAGCCACAAACUACUCUUAACAUCCAAUACGAGAGUCUUAGCUAAAAAUUCGAGAGAAACUAGUUAAAUGUUCAACCCAAAACAAGAAGAAAAACCACAGCCAACUUGACUCCCAAAUAAUUCUAAAAUUCAAAAUUUUCUUCAAUUUUUACUUAAUUCAACAUGCAAAAGGUGAUUAGCAAGCUACAAGUAAAUUUUAAACAUUCCAUAUGAAAAUCUUAGCUAAAAUUCAAAGGAAAACUAAUUAAAUGCUCAACCUCUUCUUUCGGCCGCAAUUCAGCUUUCUUUUCUUCCUCCUUUUUUUUAUUAAACACGACUCAUCUCAGCUUCAUGCAUGAUCAAAAUAAUUAACUAUCAAUCAGUUUUGAUCCAAUCCAAGUGCGGACAUCAUAAAAAAAAAAUCAUCCAACCUACUCGGUUGUCAUGCAUGCAUCCAGAUUUUUUUUUCCUUCAAAUUUCUGGUUUACACACUGCUAAUAAAUCUCAUGCAGGGCUUAAUCAUCCAGUAUUUAGUUAGCUAAACACGCAACCAAGUGAGAAUCAAACACUUUCCAGCAAAAUUCAUACUAAAAUACCCAUACAAUUCCCAAAACAACUCCAUCGGCUAAGCUGGAAAAUUGGUUUAGCAGUCCAGUAACUUCCAAUAAAAAAAAUUCCAGCCAUACAACCGAAUUUCUGGCCAUAAAGUUCACAUGCAACACCAAAUAACAAGUUAUCUAUCAUAUUAGAUCCAAAACCAAGUUCGAAUGUCAUCAAAAUCACCAUCUUACCAGAAAUUCAUCCAAACUCUCUCUCGGUUAACAUGCAUGUAAACAGAUUCUAUAUUCCUUCACUUUUCUUGCUUAAACAAGGUUGAUUAACCUCAUGCAAAACGUAAUCAUCUAGCUAUUAAUUAACUAAACACACAACUAAGCUCAGAUCAUCACAAAGUAACAGGUUAAAGCUGAAAUUUCCAGCUCAAGCUCCCGGCAAUUCCAAUUCCUUCACAACCAGAUUUCUUGCAACUCAAUUUUGUCAUCCAACCGCACAACCCUACAUGCAUGCUUAUAAACAACUUCAUCAACCCAUAAUCAACUAGUUUAAUUCCAGAAAUUACCUCAGUUUAAGGCUUAGCUCACACGACAGGCAGCUGCAAAAUUUCUUCCUCUCGGCUAUCCAGAAUUGCAGCCCGCUAGCACUUCCUCUCCCUUGCUCUAGCUUGCGACUAGGAUGGGGACAAUAUAGCUCUCAAUCUCAUCACCAGCUCACUGAUGGAAGGAAAAUGGACGGCUAGUCUCUCUCCUCUCUUUCUAGCUUACGGACAAGAAGGAAAAGGAUGAAAAGCUCAACUCUCUCUCUCGGUCGUUAAUUCCAAAGGCUGGUCACUCACGGCUGAUAGCAGAGAAACAAAUGAAAUGAGGAUAUUGGAGUGAAUGGUAGUUGUUGUAGUGGAGCUGAGUCGGUUUUAUAAUGGCGGAAUUGCUGAAAUGGAUCACGGAGCCGGCAUGCUGAAAUUGUUUGAAAUUGGAGAUGGUUCUAGGAAACUCCAUGGCUGCAUGGUUGAUUUGAAAUGGAGGGAAGGCUAUUUUGGUCUUUUAGCAACUUGUUCGACCUUCCACUUAGGUCCCUCAUUUGUAUACUAACCCCGAGAUUUUUCCUCAAAUGAAAUUCGAUAGCCUACUAGCAUACUCACCUUGCAAAACUCAAUUAUCGAAAUACAACGUCCUACGUAUAAAUAUAAAAAGUUUUGGCUUUAAAACGAUUUGCCUUAAUUCUAGUUCCCGUUAACACUUAAUGUUAUUAAUACUUAAAAUUAGUUAUUGCAAUCAAAGAAUUAAAAUAAAAAUAAUGACACACUCAACGUCAAGAAUUAUUAACUUAACUUGGCCAAAAAAAAAUUCAAAUAGAUCUAUUAUUUUGUACAAUUGGAUUAUUUGACCUAAAACAAAUUAUUUUUACACACUUAUUUAAGAUCAAAUAAUAAUAAAAUUUAUUAAAAAUCUAAAAUGCACAUGCAACACGUACAUGUAUGUAUAUAUGUAUAUUUAUGAUUUCAAGGUUCUCACAUCCUCCCCUCCUUAAAAUGAAUUUUGUCCUUAAAAUUCUCACCUUCUAUAGAAAUAGAUCGGGGUACUUUCUCUGCAUUUCCUCUUCUAAUUCCCAAGUUGCCUCCUCUAAACCAUGAUUUCUCCAUAGAAUCUUUAUCAAAGGAAUUUUCUUAUUUCUCAAUUCCCUCACUUCUCUUUCCAAAAUCUUAACUGGUCCUUCCUCAUAAGUUAAUGAUUCAUCCACUUCAAUUCCUUCCAAUUGCAACACAUGGCUUGGAUCAGGGUGAUAUUUCCUAAGCAUAGAGACAUUAAAUACAUUGUGAAUCUUGGCCAUGCUCAAAGGCAAUUGCAGUUGAUACGCCACCUUUCCGAUUCGUCUCAAGAUUUCAAAAGGUCCAAUAUACCACGGCUUUAACUUUUUACCCUUUUUGGACCCUACUCCGCCCUUCACGGGUUUAAUCCUUAGGAAAACUUUGUCUCCUACUUCAAACUCCAAAUCUUUCUUCCGAGUAUCUCAAGGCUUCAAAAUGUUAUCAUAUUUUCCUACUAAUUUUCAGCUGCUUUCGGAUCAAAGCCCCGAAAAACUUGGGUAGAUGAACUUUUAAUAUGUUUCUAGGGCUUGUCCUCCCCUACAUUCCGUUUUCUACGUGGAUUACAGUCCCACUUGGUCCUGUUGGGUGCUAUAAACUCUAAAAGGUCAGUCAUCCGGUUCAAAGCAGUGGCUACUGAGUCACCUAUAUGGGUUCCUUGUCCCUGGUUCUGGUUGACCGCAGAUCCCCGUUGUUCCUCUUGCUCUUGGAGUUGUCUCGGUUUAUGGCUCUGUCGUCGUGACUCGGCUUCCAUAUCUCUUUCACAAGGUUCCAACUUUCACAAGUUUCCACGGCUAAACUUUACAUAAUAUCAGAAAUAAACAUUUCCAUGCAUUUCCUAUAAUAUUCUUCCAUUUUUUUCCCAUUGAUAACAACCUGCAAUUUCAGUUGAUCAUCAUUCAGCUCUCACAGCUUCAGUCAAGGAUCAUUUGAGCUUCAAACCAGAAAUUUCCCUCAGUUGAAGCUCACUUUCCUCUGCUAAAACUCAACUUGCAGCUUAAACAUAUACUCAGCUGCACUCAGUAUAUAAGUGUUAUUCACGAAACUUACCUCUUGCCUUAAGUGUUAGGAAUCGCAGAUGAAAUCAGUUUCCUUUCCGACUUUGUUCCCUCCAAUCCUUGGUUAGUUGAUGACGAAGCUCACUAGGCUCUCUCUCUCUGUUUCUCUCGGUGUUGGCCUGGUAAAGAGACGAACUAAAGUUUUAUUUUGUUCUCAACCACCGCCCAAACUUUAGCAGAUAGUUUUCUGCUUUUCCUUUCGGUAACCGCUUGUAUUUAACAGACCAUUGGCUUGGAAUUUUCCUUUGGUUUCUCUCAAGCACCGCCCAAGCUUGUUUAGCAUUUGCUUGCCUUACUUCCACUCGGUUCUAGAUUCUCUAAAUGUUUGUCCUUUCCAUAUUUUACCUUCCAUUUCCACAUCACUUCGUCUAAUCAUUCAUGUUUACCACAAAACCUUACCCAAAGGAAUUUGGUCUUAGUGUUUUCCCUCCGUAAUUUAUGUGUCGUCUCGACUACUUCCCAAAGUAUAUAAAAAUUCAACUACUUGGAUUUACAAUUUAUCUGCGCGUUAUACUCAAUUAAACAAUCUUCACCUAAUAUAGCAUUAUAAACCUGACAUUAUCGCUCCCUAAGCUCUAUAUUUCUCACAACGAGUUGAUUUACAAUAUGUAAUAACCAAUUAUGCAUGCAUACAAUUGCAGUUAAUUUCACUCCAUAUAUAUCAUUAAUACAAAGCAAAUUUAUGAUCAAUUUAAUUACACCACAGAACAAAGUCAAUCAAAGCAUAUAUCAAACUCAAGUACACUUUAAUAAGAAGUCAAACAAGUCUUUUUAAAUGCAUUCGACUUUUGGUAAGAAGUUUAACAUUUGUUAUUUGGGACGUUUGAUCAAGAAAAAUCAUUUAACCCCACAAAUCACUUUUGAGAAUAAAAAUGCUUUUAAAAAAACUAUAAGCAGACAUGCAGGUUCGUAUUUACUUAAACUUUGGUCCAACGCCUCUACUCUUCGCACCUAAUCUGAGAAUUAGCUUUUAUGCCACAUAAAACUUAACUAUUUACUCUCCAAUUCACGACCAAUAUUCAUUCUUAGAUAUAAGAAAAGUUCAAAUAUUCGUAAAAGUUUAAAACAUGCCUAUAGGGCCAAUCACAAGAUAUAUGUAAAGUAAUUCUUAGGUUCACAAGGGAGAACCUUACUAGUUACUCAACUAGGUCAAUUCAUCAUAAUACCAGUAGAUCUCAUCUCCUCGUUCAGUUUCGACUUAGAUCGAGUACUAGGAUCCCAUUAGUUUAUACAAGACUAUCUAUCAAUCUUUCUUUCUAUUAUCUGUAUAACUCUUCUAACGGUUUCGAACCAUUAAUAUCCUUUGACGAGUUAAUCCUAACUUUUUCUCGUGUCUCUUUUCAAGUUCAAUUCGGAUCAAUAUUUUCAAAUUUAAGGCUGUAAGGUUUAAAAGGACACUUUUAUUUCAAACUAAAAUUGUCUGUAUUAUUUUUUUUUUAUGAACAAGAUCAUACAAAAGGAAGAACAAUCAACCAAAAUAAGAGCAUGUCAUUGCAUGAGUCGAUAAUGAAAAUAAAACUUUGCGUGUGUACUACCAAACAAGUUAACAAACCAACAUAAUCAAGUACAGAAUUUAUAGCAUUCCAAUACUUCAAAAGGGAACCAAUAUCAUGCUUAACAAAAUAUACAGGCCAAAACACAAGCAUCACCCCAACUAUCAUAAACAAAAGGUAUAAAAGGUCGUGCUCAAUAGUCUAGUUUGCAACUGAGCGAGAGGGCUACAUCAACUAUCUUUUCAAUUAAAGUUCUGCAUUCCAUCGUAAAUUAUAGAUCUACUACGUCUAAUAUCCAAUCAAAGAGUAUGAUCAUUACAUAUGUACAUCAAUGGCUCUUGAGUAUUCCCAACGAUCUCAAACAUUUCAUAUAAUAGCUCCAAAUAAUCCUCCAACAAAAUUUAAGGAGCCAAAUGCCAUCGAGAACUCACCUCAAUUUUGAAAACUCUCCUCAAGGUUUAGAGCUAUUCACAACUGCAUAGUUCUUACUUAAACUACGAUUUCACUCAAUUUCUAUGUCUAAACCAAUAUUUUAGGUAAAAGAUGGCAUAUAUUCCAUUUACCACUGGAUGACUAGUAAAAUUAUUCAUCUUAAAUACAGAAUUGGCACUAAUCUUCAAAAUCUCACUAUUGACUCUUCACCUUUAACUUUCAAAAGCUAGGCUUGGUCCUUUCGAUUCACUUUCCCAAAUUUAAUCAUGCUUUCUAGUCACAUCAUAAUGCAACAUACUGAAUUCUUCCCAAUUUGCAAAUACACCAUUGAAUGAAAUAUCUGGUAUUCGGGUACAAGAAUCUGACAAUAGGAUAAUUCACACCUCAGGCUGGCCAGUCCCAAGAGUAACUUACCUAUAUCUGAGAUUCCUACCCAACAUACAUAUCUAAUAUCCCCAACUAUAGACUUUUGUUCCACACUUAACAAGCCAAUCCCACAGUCCGAGAAUCCUCUCCCGGUACGAGCUCGAUAAGAGCUCUGAUACCACCUGUGACAGCCCCACUUCUCCCUAAGGCGAACCAGAGGGUUGGCGGGUCGCCUGCCUAACUCUCGCCAGGACUCACGCAAGCAAACCGACUAAAAAUCCACAUAACUUAAAACCAAAACACAAUUCGUCAUCUGGACAUGCCAAACUUUUUAACGACUGAAGUACUAUUACACCUUAACUUCAGAGAUAACAUUACCAAUGAACGAAAAAUGAAGGAAAAGUGGCGGUGUGGGCUUGCGGCGGCAGACGAACGAAAAAAGAGAAGAAAAAGUGGAAAACAGGGGAACAGCGGAGAAGAAGAAGAAAAGGAAAGGAAAGAAAGAAAAGAAAGAAAGAAAGAAAAAAAAAAGAAAAAGAAAAGAAAAUAAAUUGGUUUUGGGGGUUUUUUUUUUUCCAAUGUUUUUUCCAAUUUUUUCUGGAUUUAAAUUUUCAAAAUUAGAAUUUUUGAAGAAAAAGAAAAAAAUGGUUUUUUUCUUUUUUUUUUUUCUUUUUGAAUUUUCUCAAUGUGAAAUUUUUAAUUUUUUUUUUGGGGGUUUUGGGUCGUUAAACACAGCGUUGGUACGCCAAGAUUAUAAAACGUCCACUGACCUCAGGAGUCAUUAACAUGGUGUAGGCCCGCCAAGAUUGCAUUUCCUGCCAAGACACCCACUAACCUCAGGAGUCACAAACACCGCGUGGGCACGCCAAAAUUGCUGUUCUGACCACAGUGGAGGAAAACAUUAAGACCGACCACAACCUAAAUAAGAAACGACAUAAUUAAAGAAUUUAACAACGAAAAACAAUAAAAUCAAUAUUUGGGUUGUCUCCCAAAAAGCGCCUUUUUUUAAUGUCUUUGGCUAGACAUUGUCAUCUUUGCUCAGGGAGGAUAAAAUCUUGUGGCUCGUUUCAAUGCUUCAUCCUUUAUAUAGUCCUGAUAACCCUCGUAAAUAGAGUAAUCCUUGAGCACACGAGUUACGGUUUUCCUUGGACUAGUAGAUGGCGCCAAAUAAUCAAGCAGUGAUCUCAAUUCUUCAUCCACUCCUCCAUCAAGAGCACUCAACGGUUCAAGAUAUUUGACCAUAGCUACUCUUAACUUAUUUCUGCCAUGAGACUCAAAAACUUCCGGUAUAACAAAAUCAAUCUCAUUAGCAGAAAUCAUAGAGUAAGAGUUAGGAAAAUGCGGGUUAGGGAAUGGAGGUGGUGUCACCACAUUUGAUGAUUCUUCACUGGAUUCUUUCACUUGAAUGGGUUGCGGUUGGGGUUCCAUUUCUUCCUUUUCGGCUUCUUUUUCAACUGCAUCUGUAGAUCUCUCAUUUUGACACUCUUGCAUCUCCUCAUCACUAGUCAAGCAAAUUGCACUCUCAUUUUCUUCAAAAUCAACAAUGAUUUUCGAGGGCAAUUCUUCAAUUUGAGAAGCCAAUCGAUUUAUUUUGGAUGUCAAUAGACAUAUUUGAUCUGCCAGAUUACUCAUUGCAUCCUUCAUCAUCCCAUUUCUCAUUUCUGUCUCCUGUUGGAAUUGAUAUGUAUUAGUAGCUAUUGAUUCAACUAUUUCUUCAAGAGACAUACCCGACAUAGAUGAUGAUUCUUGAGACUCAUACUGCUGAAAAUUCAUUGGCCCUGUUGUAUAAUUAUAACUGGAGUUAUCCCACCAUCCUUGAUCAUACCCGUUUGGAUUAGGGUUAUACCACAUUUGAGACCAGGGUGAAAAAUCUCCAUAAUUAUUGAUUGGGACACUCAGAUUAUCUUGAUAUUCGGGGCACAUACCGGUUGAAUGAUCCCUGGCAUAACAAAUUUUACAGGUUGCAGCAGCCAUUUUUUCUCUAAUAGAGUUUAGUGCCUCUGAAUACACAAACUUAGCAAAAAAAUAAGCCUCAUUGCCUUCCCUGGAAACAAAAUCCAGUCUAUCACCAAAAUACGGAGUGUUAGAAGCCAUAAACUAUAUAAAAAAAUAAGAGAAAAAUAAAUAAAAAAAUAAGAAAAAGAUGAAUUCAAAAAGAAACAAAUUAAUCUGGCACCAGUCCCCGGCAGCGGCGCCAAAAAUUGACAGGGUGUCGAGCCUGUGCAAUAAUAAUUACCUACUCAAGAAAAAUACAAAUUUUGUAUAUACAGUGAGCAGGGUCGAAUCCACAGAGAUUGGGGAUAAUUCAUUUCUUUUAAAGUCCAAAGUAUGGGGGGUUUUUUGGAGAAUAUAAAAUAACUAAUUAACUAACUAAUAAAACAACUAAUAGAAAUAAAUAGAAAUUAAUCAAUAACCAAUAUGACUCUAGCCAAAGGUGCAACUUUUCAGACACGGUCCAUUCAACUGAUCAUCGAUGCAAAGAUAAUUCAAUUACUCAUUAAUAGAUUGGUUAUAGUUGUCAUACACGCGAUGAACAACCUGCCUUUCCUUAAUUUCUCGAUAGUUGAGGUACGACCGUUAACUAUUUCUCUAAUCAAGAAAUAACCCUAGGUACGAUCGUAGGAUUUAAUUUCCCAAUUGCAUUAAGAUCUAGAAAAACCCAACCCUAACCAACAAACACGCUACGAGGGUUUGUUUGAGUUAGAUCAUACGUUUCCCUAACAUGAAACCAAUCACGCUAGGCGCCACUGGUAUUAAUCAAUUAAACAAUUACGGAUUCAAUCAAUUAAUAUGACAGUAGAUUAUUAGGUUAAUUCGAACAUCGGGCCCUUGACAUUCAAAUAACAAAACAAUCAUAAGCAAUUAAAUCAGGAAACGUACAAAUACCAAUAAAUAAAAGAAAUAAGUAAAAUAAUUAGAUCUCACAGAUGUUCGAAACCGAGUUCUCAAGUUGACCUUCGACUAGAAAAAAUGAAUUAGUUCAUCUUCAUGGAGGAAAUCCCAUGCAAAAUUGCCGAAGUCCUUGCGGCCCUUGUCACCAAAAUUGAGAUAAGAAGAAAACGAUAAAGUAAGAACAACGGAAAAACUCCCAAUUCCCCAAAGAUAAAGCCGCGGCCAAAGGAAAAGAAUUGUCUCCUAAUCUAAAACAAAUUGCUUCACUUCUCUCCGUGGUCCCGCCGGAUAAGGAACAAAACCAAUCCUCUGUACGUUUGUUUCCUUUUAAGUCCAAUGACUAAUGCCUUUCUUUUCUCCGUGGUCCCCACACAAUUGAGAGCAAAAGUCCUCCCAAAGCUUCCUGCACCAACCGAGGCUUUCCUUCUUGUUUUGUUUCCUAUUUUACUUGUAGGACUCCAAUCUCCUAAUCAGCAAAGGAAAUGCAAUCUCUUUGUAGCACCAUGUGGGCCCGAUUGUUUGAAAUCUCAAUUAUCUCCAAAAAGUCUCAUUUUUUGUAGUUUUCUGUUCCAUUCCCUGAAAUUAAGUCCAGAUACCAAAUAUAAGUAAAUAUUACUAAUUAAAACAAUAUUUGGCAAGGACAAAGGGGAAAUUAACAAUAAAAUUACUAACAAUUAACACCCUAUCCGAAUGUUGGUUGAAGAUAUCAAGCUGUUAAAACAAAAAUUCAGCAAGUAUUGCUUUUCUUUCAUUUGAAGGGAAGGAAAUGUUGUUAGUCAUAGCUUGGCAAGAUUUGCCUUGAACCUAGUAAAGGAUAUUUACUGGAAGGUAUCCUUCCCUCUCUGGUUAACUAGAUUAGCUAGAGAAGAUUAGAAGCAGUUGCUCCAAACUUGUAAGCAAACUAUCUAAAUUUGUUAUGGGUGAUAUAUGAUAUGUUGUUUACGUUUGAAAAAAAAUGAGGCAUCAAACAUCUUUUAUUUUAUUAAUUUUGAAAUUUUUUAAAAUGUUAAUUUUUUUUUAAUUUUGGAAACUAGGGGCUAUGUGUACUAGGCCUGCUGAUGACUCGAGCAACUCACGAGCAGUUUGGGUUAAAGCUUGGCUCGAGCUCGGUCAACACAAGCUCGAGCCGAGCUCAAGCCGUUCUUUAAAACAAAGGAGUCGAGCACGAGCCUUUAUUUCUUAGGCUCGAUAGCUCGAUGAGCUGCUCGAUAGACUCAAGUAAAAUACACUUACAUCAAUUAAAAUUUACAACUUCUUCUAUUUCUCACUUUCUCUAUUAGGUUAUCUAAUUCCGAAUUCCUCACUUCCUCCAUCCAAUCGAAGUUUUGAACUUCUUUCUCUGCCGACUGUCCCAACUCUCAAACUCCCAAUUCCCACUUCCGCCACCGCUAUCUCUGCUAGCUCCAUCUCCAAGCUCUUUUUUCGGUGCAACCCACUAAGCCCACCUCCACCACUCCCUACUAUGUCUAACAUCCUCAGAUCAGUCCACUGCCGACACUUGACUGCUACUGAGCUUGAGAAGCCUGAGUCACUGGCCCGAGAUCAUUUCAGCUAAUGGUCAAAACCCAAACAAAGUCUUCACACUCACUCAACCCUAUCUUACAUUGAAAAGUUGCAGUUACUCCACAACAACAUAACACUUUCUGCAGCCAUAGCUAGGCUUAGAUCUUCUCCUAAAGAGAAAAUCAAUUUUCUCCCUAGAUUUUGCAGGUAUGUACUUAGCUUCUUUUUUUUCCUUUUCUUUUUUCUUUCUUCCCCAGCUCUCUCCUUUCAAAGCUUUUUCUAGCGAAAAUUCUUUUUUUUCAUGAACAAGUUUUCUGUAGCUUAUUAUUCUCAGACAAAAAGGAAAAAAACUCAUAGCUCUCAUUUUUUCUUUGUUUUCUUUCUAUUUCUUUCCAGUUAAAAAACUACCCUUUGCAGGGUAAAACAAUCCUAAGAAGAAACUAGAUUUGGUUGUCGUUAAUUUAUUGUUGUAUAUUGUUCUUCUUCAUACUUCACCUUUAGCCAUUAUUUACUGUAAUCUUCUCUUUUAGAUCUCCAUCAUUAUCUGAAUGCAAAUAUAUGAAUUUUGUAUAUAUGUCUUCCCUAGUUAUGAAGUUGUUGUCUAUCAUAUUCAUAAGUUCUUGUCUCAUGCUCAAUAUUUUUGUCUACGUGAAACUAUUCAAUUUUAUGCUAGCUGAAAAUUUUUUUGUUUGUUUAUCUUCCAUAGCGUACAACAUAGAUGCAUCUAAUACAAGUACUUUAUCUACUUAAGCAUAUGAUGUAAUUGAUAAUUUCUAAAGCAAUUGAUGAUGUCUAGGUCUUUGAAUAAGCAUCUACAGUAAUAAUUGUGGCAUUUAACACCAUCUUGCAUAAGAACAUAACAAGAAACUCUCAUGCAAUUGGUAGUCAGAGAGGCCUUUAACUCGUGUAGUUUUGCUUUACUAUGAUGAUUGAUGGGCUCCGUGCAGAUGCAUCUGAAUUCUGACUUGCCUGAAAUGUCUCAGACAAAUGGCUCCAAGGACCUUGGCUUUAGAAGCUAAGUAUUAUAACUAGAUAUUAAUUUUAAUUAGGGAUAGGUAGUAUUUUUUAUCAUUAGUUUAUCUAUUACUAGUAGUAGCUAAGUUUAUUCAAGCACUUAACACUUAUUAAGAUUAGAACUGGUAUUUAUAGUAUAUAAUCAAGUUGUCCUAACUCACAUGCCACAUUUUCGUGUGAAUAUCACUCUUUUAAAGUGGGAAAGAAAAUGAUAGACUUGGAUUGGCUAGCCCAAUAGCUGUCUUUCCUAGAGUAUUAUUGGUUAAAAUUUAGGCAUCCAACAAGGGCAACAAGCUAUUGUGUAAUACUUAGCAUAUGGAUUUGAGCAUAAUUUGAUGGACACUUUUAUUGUUAUUUCUCCACGAAUUCUGAUGUUGGGAUAAGCUUUUCCAAGUAUUGUUAAUUCUUUUCAUUCUUUAUAACUAUGGUGAGUAUUGCUUUUUUAAAAGCAUGGACUAGUAUGAAAUUAAUAGUUAAGUAUUUGGUUAUUGUUUCAUGUGGAUUCAACAAUUUUUUUCCUUGAGAACUAAAAAAUCUGUUAUCUGAAAUUGAAAGUUUGCAAGUUCUAUAUUACAAUUAGAACUUGUAAGUGUUUUUGUUGUUUCCUUCUCACCUAGUGCCCUACAUCUGUAGUUCUAUAUCAUCUAUUGAAGUUAUGAACAUUUUAGAGGUUUCUGCUAAUAAUAUACAUAGACUAAUUUCGGGACUAAAAGAAUGCUGCUCAUGUCCUUUUUUUGUUUUUUGCUUUUGGUAUAGCUAAAAGAAAUUAAGAAUAUAAGAUGGAUACGUCCAAUCAAGAGCAGUCUUCACCAAUUAUUAGAUCAGUUGGUGAUUCUACUAGUCCGGUGAAUAUCACUGACAAAGGUAUUGCUGUUAACGUUGACAAAAAGUUGGAAUUCUCUCUUGAAGAUGAAGAAUUAGGGAGUGAAGAUGAAGCCAUUAGAAGGUGAUACAUAUACAACCACUUGAACAACCAAUCAAGAGGCUGCUACAGAUGAUGGCUUGGACGUUUUUUGGAAAAAAAAAAGGAUUAAAAAAUCAUUAGCAUGGGAUGACUUCAAAGAUGUUGAAAUUGGCCCUCAAAAAACUCUUAUGUCGGCGUGUAUUCAUUACCAUGCAAAAUUCAAGAAGAUGAAAACUAGUACGACUUCAAGUUUACUAAGGCAUAGGAAGACAAUUAAUGGAUAAAACUCUAGCCAAGAUUACACUUCAGAGAUGGUUCAUGUAACAGAUCAUUGAUGCAGUUAUAAUUCCAAUAUUCUUUAACAAACAAGUUUUUAACUGCUGAUACGAUCUAACAGUCAAUUUCUCCUUACUGUUCGAUGACUAAGAUACGACCAUUGACUAUUACCCUAAUUUAGAAAUAAUCCUAGGUACUACCAUAGGAUUUAAUUCCUCAAUUGCAUUAGAAACUAGAGAAACCCUGUUCUAAUCAAUAAACAUGCUACGAGAGUUUAUUUAAAUUAGAUUGUACGUUUUCCCGACACAAACCUAAUUAUACUAGUUGCUACCAGGAUUAUAAUAGUCAAACAAUUACGGAUUCAACUAUUCCAGUUAGCAAAUAGAUUGUGUGUAUAAUUAAAUAUUGCGCACCUAUUGAAUCACACACACUAAUCAUACUCUAUAAAGCAGAAAACGUACAAAUACCAAAGAAUAGAGGAGAUAAUAAAAUCAAUUAGAUCUUACAAUGAUAGCUGAACCAAAUCCUUGGUGUUCCUUAACUAGCAAUAUGAAAUUAGUUCUCCAUUAAUGGAGAACAAGCCAUGCCAAAAAAAUCUGUUCAAAGCUUUCAAUCUAUUCAAACCUUCUCCAAAAAUCAGCCAAAAGGAAAAAGAACACGAACACUAUGUUUUCGAUCUCAAGCCAAAGAUCCUCUCUACUGAAUUCUACUUGGCUAACUUCUUAAUUGAUUGGUCUCCUGCUACCCAUCAAAUUCCUAAAAAGUCCUAUUUCAAUUUAGUUUCCUAAAAGCUCUCCAAUUGCUUGAGACUAACGUGGAUUGCCAAGGAAUAGGAAACUUUAGCAGUCGUCAAUUUUUGGAAUUUGACUUGGAUUGGGAAGGUGUCCGACGUUAGGAAAUUGCCAAUUUCUAGUUUUGAACCUUGAACUUCGGCGUCCUAUGUGCAAAUCGUUAGGAAUCCUCCAAUUAAGCCUUUUUCGCUCCAAUUUUUGAAAUUAAUACAAAAAUACCAAUUGUGGGAAAACAGUCAAAUAAGGUGAUAUCUAGUAUAAAUAAAAAGGAAAAUAUAAGCAAAUAUACCAACUAAAUGUACCCUAUCAGUAUUGAAAGACCACUCAAAUUAUUUUGUGAUAAUGACUCAGCAGUCCUAUAUUCCAAUAAUAACAGGAGUUCGACAAAAUCUAAAUAUAUAGAUAUAAAGUUCCUGACUGUUAAAGAAAGAGUACAGAGUGGACAGAAAUCAAUAGAGCAUAUCGGGACAAACUCCAUGGUUACGGAUCCGCUAAUUAAGGGAUUAUCACCCAAAAUGUUUCAUGAGUAUACUAUUCAUAUGGGUAUCAUGUUAUUAAAUGAUGUACAGUUUUAGUAGGAGUUUGUUAUUUUGAAAUGCUCUUGCGAUAUUAUAUUUUUGGUUAUUAUUGUUUUAAGGAUAUUUUAUGCAUAAAUAAAGUUUGAAUUCAUUUACAUUCUGAUUUUGGUAUGAAUUGAUCUCAUGAAAAUUUAAGAUGGACCAUUGGAAAUAGUCAUAUUACGAUUAUAUGACAUGAAAUUUUUAUACUACACAUCCACAUUAUGAUUCAUAUCAUUCAAUUGCAUCAAUAUAUGUGACCAUUAAUGGGUCGAGUUACGAAAAUUGUAGCAAAGGCCGCUUUGAUCCUAUGUUGGUGUAAUUGAUGGACCGAAUUGGCUAUAGAUACAUUUUAGUAAUAACAGUAAAGUUGAGCUCAUGCAGUUUAUUGCAAAACAUAAUUAUAAGGUUACACAUAUAGUCCAAAUGGGAGAUUAUUGGAUCCUUAAUCCAACAUUGGACCUAUAUGUGAAUAAUUAUGUGAUGCAAUUGUCAAAUAAGACUAAGUCCAAUUAAAGUGAUCAAAUAUGAUUUGAGCUUAAUAUAUCUAACAGGAUGUGGGUCUUUAAUGUAUAGAGAUUUAAGAGUAUUUUCUAUUUCUAUGAUAGUCUGAAAUAGGAAUCCAAAAGGUAACAGGAAUGUUAUCUAUAAAUAGGGUUAUGGUCCCCAGAUCAUAAGUAUUCUUAUUGUCGUAUUUUCUAGUGCAAACAAAAUAACUCUUUCCUGAUAUCCCAUUGUCAGGAAAGAUACCAAAGAGAAAUUAAAGGACUCUCUCAAUGAUUGGAAAAUAUGUGUUGACCUGGAAAGUCACCCCAAAAUCUUUUGGGAUUCAAGCACUAAUUUGUCAACAUGAAUCAAGGUAUGCUUUCACAAUUUUUCUGUUAAUUUAUUUCUUAAUAAUCGCCAUCUAGAUUUUGAUAGGUGAUGGUUUUCACCAAAAGUUAAAUAUAAACAUCCACCCUAACAGUCAUGCAUUUUUUUUAUCUGUGUAUGAGGUGAUGUAAUGCAAUGAGCUCUAAUUUUCUUAGAAGUCCAUUUCUCAAUUAUUUGCUCCAUUAUUGGACAUGAUAGAUCUAACUUCAUUUUGGGUAUGAUUUGCUACAGAGGAUGUUACCAAAUCUGUUUGUCCCUACAAAUGUAUAUCUAAUAGGUACAGAAUGCCCAACUGCCAUACCCCUUUUGAAGAGUUGAUACAUACUCUUGAAGUUCCCUGGCCAUUCUCACUCUUAUCAGCGUGUCUUGCACUCCUUCUAGCUCUAGUAUUGAGCACUUUGAGGAUCAAAUUGGUUGGGUUGGGAUGUUCAUAUAUCAAUGUGAAUUCAACUGAGCUCCAAAAUCAUCAUCAUUCUCCUUAUCUUCUCACUUUAUCUGACGUACAGUCUUCAUUAACUUUUUGGUUCUAGGAUGCAUCUAUGUGGUAUUGCCAAAUUGGCAAUUUUUAUUUUUAUAGUAAUUUAUUUGCGUAACAUCUAGGUCUGUGGUACCAGAGCCGAAGAAACUCAGAGCCAUGUCCACAUGAUGUACUUUUAUGGGUUCCAAUACUUUUAGAUAACCGUAUAAUCUCCCUAUUGGCCUCCCAAUGCAAUUGUCGAGAUUGUGUAAACAUUCACAUGUAAUCUGAAGUUUUUGGGCAAUAGGCAAGGGUUUAGAAGAAAAAACCUUGUUCACCUUGGAACCUUAUGUCUAGGAGUUUAAUUUAUUAGUUCUUUUGUCAUUUUUUAUUACGAGAAAAUUUUGAUUGUUGUACAUAUUUUUCUUUGCCAUUUUAAAAGACUGUGCUUAAGUUUAUGAUUAUUUAGUGUCUUUUGAGUUUUACACCUGAAAGAUAUUAGUCUUUCUUCUUAUUCAUUAAUCUUUAAUCCACAAAGAUACAUAAGUUAAUCUUUACUGAGUCAGAAUUUUGACUUCUUUUCCAAUGAACUGUACUUGGUUGAGGCUCACUUAGCUUCAACUUUCUGGUUUGAUACAGCGAGAAUAUGAGAGAUUUUCUAAACAAAAUUUUACUUCAUUUGCAAAAUUUUCAAAUGUUACUCAUGUGCUAAUGGUGAUUAACAGCAGGUAUGAAGGUGCUUUGAACAGAUUUAUAGACGAGAUCAACUCCAUUGCAGCAUACGAAUGGUAGGAAGGGUCAGUGCAUAGCACAUGCUUGCUUAAUCUUGUUCCUGGUCCCAGAAACAAUGGCGUUGGAGUAAUAAAGUUCACCAUUGUUAGGAGUAUGUUUAGUCUGAGUAUGACCAUUCUUGUAUCUGAUCCUGCACAUCACAAGCAUUAUACAAAGGAAUAAAGGUUUGACUUUGUUACUUAGAGUGAAACUCUUUGGCCCUAUGGAAAUCUGAUCAAAAUUUUGUGGCUCAGGAAUUUGCAGCCUAAUGUUUCUUUUAUGCACUGCAAGACGAUGAUGCUAGUAUGAAUUUGGGGUAUUUAGUUCAAUAGAGUAGAUAUGGCCUAUGAAUUCGGUGUAUUGAAUUAUAAUAGCUUUAAAAAGUUUAUUUAAGCAAUAAAAGUUAUUUAAUUGAGAAUUUUAUCUGCAUAUCAGUAUCCAAUUGCUUGAUUACAUAUUUGCUAAAGUUGUAAAUUAACCAGAGUUGGGCAUUCUCAUGCGUUGCAUUAGGGCUCACACAGAUAUUCUAGUCCAAAGAACAAAGAACCUGAGAUCAUCUACAAAGGUGUUGGAAUUGGAAUAGAAGUUGGAAGAUGAAAAUUUGACGAUUCUACUCUUCAAAUGGGGCCAAUUCCAACCUUCAAGCAGUAAAUUCCAUAGACCUACUUGGAACCAUUUUUGCUAUCUCAAUGGAAUUUCCAUAGAACUACUUUCUGCAAGAAUAUGAAAUACUUACUUCAAGUGUAUUGACAUUAUAUUCACACUUUCGAGUGUAUAUCCAUUUGCACAAAUUCAAAGAAAGAAUUAAGAAAUCCAAAACCAUUAUACUCAAUGUCAUUUAACAUUGCACUUAAUUGCAACUUUAAAAUUCAUACUCACAAGUUGCAAAAAUAACAUGGUACCACAUGAAAUUCUACACAUUCUUUUUUUUCGUUAUUCACAAUAAAAAUCCAUAUUAUUGAGAAUCUUCAAUAAUAUAUCAGAUUCUUUGCAUUAAUUUUUAGCAAAAGAAAAAAAACCCCCACUAUUUUAGUGCAUUAAUGAUACACAACUAAACACACAUCACAUUCAAAGAUCAAGUUCUUUGCAUAUUAGCAUAGAAAUUACUAUGAAACCCCACUAUUUGUCACAACUUUAUAACAUGCAAUGGAGUAUAUAUCUAUUGCGAUUAGAGUAAAUGACCCAAUUAAUCAUACCCACUGGAAGUUUACUUUUACUUGUUAAGAAGGCACCUUUAAAAAUUUCUUUCAAAAUGCAUGGUAGCAACUUGUCUAGUGCAGCAACAAGUUGUAAUUGUUCAGCAAUUUGAACUCUUUCGGAUCUACUUCUCUAGUGCCAUAUUUUCCUAUUAAGCCUUCCAAGACUUUUGGUAGUAGGACAAGAAGUUUCAUAGAAACUAUAAAAGUCAUUAUAAUACUAGUAAUGGAAUUCAACAACUUCCCUUUUUCUUAAAUUUUUCUUCAUAAGCAUUCUUUUAUUGUUAACAUGUUUCAUUAGUUGAGAUCUUCUCAUUUUUCGUCCAUAGGUAGGCUACUCAAGUCAAGUGACUUGUAAGUUGAACUCCAUCUUGUUCUGAAUCACUUUAAAAUUGUUGCUCUGCUAGAACAAUUAGACAAAUGUCAAAUAGAAAAAUUAACUAUGGUUAUAAUAAUAAUAAUAAUUAUUAUAACAAUAAUAAAAUUAACUAUAAUAAAAUAGUCAAAAUAAUAAUAUAAUAAUGCACAAAUGUAAUAGGUUGAGGUAAGGAUAUUUCGCUUUCUUUAAGAUGAUUCAAAUCUCUGCAAAAGAAUCAAUUUCGGUGUCGUAGAAUCUUCGGCUUGUCACUCCCAGGAUACAACAGUCUAACGACACUUACUGUUACUCUCAUUAGUCUGUACAACUGAGAGAGUAUUACUCUACAAACACUUUUUUUUUUUGCCAGUCUAUGAGAUAGAAAAUAACAAAAGAGUAGAUAUUUUCUCUCAUGAAUUGUGGCUCAAAAAACAUAAGUUAUUAUAGCAUCUCUUUCUAUCUCAACAACGCAUAUUUAUAGAUCAAGAAAAAUUAGCCAAACAUAACCUAAACUAAUAAUAUGCUAAGUAGAUGCUGAAAAUUAUUGGCUAUUCAAGACACAUUCUAAUUUGAAUUGUAGGUUACAAAAUUUAUUGUAAUUGAAAAGCCAUAAUUUUAUAUAAUAAAUCUUUAGUCAAAAAUCAUUCAAACACCAAUAAAUUUCAAAAAUAUUCACCAAUUUAUUCUCCUUAUAACUUACACAUCUAAUUGAGAAUUUAACAAUUUUAUUAAAAUAUUUUAACACCUUAUAUAAAUAAUCUAGAAAAUUUUGGGUUAGUUCCAUAAAAACAUGAAAUUAUUUCCAUAAACUAUGGGAGAUCUUUUAGCCACAAGCAAGUUAUGAAUUAACCAUAUUUUAUUUUCAGCUGUAAAGCACAUAUGUUCAACUUCUAAUCGAUUACUUAAACUUAACUUCACUUCUAUACUUUCACAGAUGCUAUUCCUAUAAAAGACUCUUACACUCAUUCAGAGAAGUCCAAAAUGCAAGUUGUUUUUGUAAUUUGUCAUCCUGGAUUAGAUCUAUUAAAGGGGCCAAUUGUAGUGUGGUAAAUUAUGACCAUCCCCCACUUCGUGUCCACCAAAUUAUGAGGUGUGGCCCAAGAGUUUAUUUUUAUUCUUUUAUUUUUUUUAUGUCAAUUACUUCUGUAGAGCUUGAAAGUUCUUUGAUGGAGACUUGGAAGCAUGUUCUUAAUACAGGCAAAAAAUAGUUAGAUUUUGGUGAUUUUGAGGUCAUUCAUGUUUUUUAAAACAUAGAUGCAUCAGUAAUUUCACCCGCACCCGUUGUACAUCAAUUUUUUUUACGGCAAUAAUAUUUUUAUAAUUUAAUUUAUCCUAAUUUAGAGGAAAGAGAAAUCUAAAGAGAUUAUAUAUUAAGGGCCAGUAUCUCCACCAACAAGUAAAAGAUGGAUUUAGUUUUUUUUUGUUAACUGCUGAGGCAAAGGCGCACCUUCUGUGCAUGAACUUGCCGGAGUUUGCUUUGGUGUUUGUGGCUGUGGGGAAGUGAGAAGAAAAACCACGUUAGAGUUUUGGGAGCAACACGUGCAUGGUCUUAACUGAUGCGCUUUGUUAGUUGUCUGGUGCCUGCCAGAAUUAAGCUACGUGUUGUGCUUAAAUGGCACCAGAUUGACAUUCCUACGGUGGGAAGGCCGAUACCAUUCUUACCGUAUACAAUUCCAUGAUAAAUAGGGUCAGGCCACAAAAAUUCCCCCUCCAUCCCAUUGAUAUUGCCAUAUUUUCUUUGUUGGAUUGUUCCAAAUUAUUUGUCAUUUAUAUAAAUUAGUUGAUACAUUUCGAUUUAAUUUCUCCAUUUAGUCAUCUACUCCUUAGACAGUCCGUAAAAGUUCAAAGCAUGUAUUUUUUUUUUUUGAGUCCACAUACUAUUAUCAAGAAAGUAAAACAACAACUGUUGUAGUAUGUAGCAGUUAUCAAGUAAUUAAGACCACAACAACAAUCUAAGAUUUGGUAAAACUUUCAAAUAUCUAAGAUUUUCAACAAAACCUAGGAUUAAACAAAUAUCAAGGCCCCACAAUUCUUUAUGAGCUAGAAACUACAAAUGAAGAUUCAAAUUCUAUCCACUAUUAAUAAAAAUUGCAAUUCUUCAAGUGCGGCAAACUUUAUAAGAUGGAAGGAGCAAUACUUACUGCAUACAUAUACAUGUAUUGUUUCUUGGCUUGAUUUGUCCUCAUAAAUAAGAUCAUUGUAUUGAUUUUGGUGAAGAAAAACAAUUAGUCAAAGCUCAAACCGCAACUAUUAUAACAUCUUCAACAAUUACAAUAGUGUCAAGAAAGACACCACUUAAAAUGUUGUUUAUUAGGACACUUACAAUAUUACAAUGUAGUGAAACUCAACUGGAAGGUAAAAUUACAAUAUGACAGUAAAUUACUGCAUCAUAAAUACGCUUCCGAAAGUACAAGCUUUAUUCGUGCAUGCCCGGCUUAAAAUCUAUUUGUUCUCUGAAAUCUCAAUAUUCAAUCCCCUGGGGAAACAAAUACCAGUAGGUGUCCGAAUUCUCUCUGCUCCGUUGGUAACUCUCCAGUAGGGCUGCAAACGAUUCGAGCCGCUCGCGAGCGGCUCAAGUCAAAGCUCGAGUCGAGUUCGGUCAAAUUCGAGCUCGAGCGGCUCGUUUAUAAAUCGAGUCGAACUCGAGCCAUCCUCUAUUAGGCUCGUUACCUCGUCGAGCCGCUCGACGAGUUUUGUGAAAUUACAAAAAUACCCUUAUUUAUAUAGUUAAUUACUAAGUUAUAACAUGGGAAUUGGGAUGGAAUUCGACUUUGAGUAUCAGACGGAGGCUCGCUCAUAGCAAAAAUUACUUUCCCCAAUUCCAUUUCUUAUUACUUCUCCUCUACCGCAUCUCUGUUUGGUCUUUCCUUCUUUCCUUCACAUCUUCUCAAGCCCUAGCCAUCGCCGCCACCACCCACGAGUGCACCACGCUGACCACAGCCACCACCGCGGCACCGCCACUGCUACCCUUCAGGCCUCAUUCGACUGCAAUUCGACUUCAUUCGAGAGAAACCUUCUUCCUCUCGAAGCAAUUCGACUGCAACUCGCCUUCGUCGUUGGCUCAGCUGUAUUCGGACAGAGGCUUGGCUUCCUCCACAGUGCGUCUUAAGGACUGCUAACCAUCUUUCUUCCUCCAUGGCGCAUCUUAAAGCCCUCAAUUUGAUUUCCAAUUUAAGGUUGGUUCGGGCCGUUCGGCGUUCCUUUCCCUUCGUCUUCCUUUCUCUUGUCUGAAGUUUGUUGCUUCCCUCUAGUUAAUUUAACUGGUAUUUUAGCUGGAGUAGAUGCUGAAAUAACAUUUUUGAGCUCAAAUUAUUGCUUUUUUCUUUUUUUUGCACACCUGCGUGUGUUGUCUACCUUUAGCUCCGAAUCAUUCCUCCUAUGCUUUUAGGAUUUUUUGGUGACAAGGAUACAAUUUUUUUUAUAAUUUUUUAUCUACUGAUUUUCUUAUCUUUUGAUAUAUAGUUUUGGAAAAUAACAUGUAAAAACUAUCUUUUCCUACUUAAAUUGAUUUGCUACUAUGUCUUGCUGUGGCAAAGAUUUUAGCCCAGUUGGGGUAGUGGUGGUGAACUGGUGAUCAUGGGAGUGAUGAAAAAAUCAAACGGAUUCCCAUUUAUCAUUCUCCGUAAGAAUGAUAAAAAACCACCAACUACUUCUGACCCCACAGCACCAGCAUCACCUGUUGCUCAUCUCCUGCCCAGCCAAUCUACAUAAUUAAUGGUUUUUAUGCAUGUUAAGCAGCAUUUUUUUAACUUUCUCGUUUUGAAAUCCGUAUUAGCACUGAACAGAUGACAUGAUGCAUCUGAGUGGAAUGUUUCGGCAAUUUUUCAAAAAUUGAAAGAGAAGGGCCUGUGAUGUGAGAAAUAGAUAUUUGCUACUCUUGAUGGGUAAUUUAUCUACCCACCUGAUGAUUUUCUAUCCACCAAGAUCUUUGAGGCCUGCUGCUCUUUUAAAAUUUGUUUUGCGAAACUUCUGCACCUCAAUUAGCUCUCAAGUAUCCUUGAAUGGGUAAAAUUCCAUAUGCAAUGAAGAUACAAAAUCUUUACCAGGGAAACCUACGUAUACUUCUUCAGAUCAUUAUUUUGUAUCUCACAACAUAUGUAUACUAACAUAACCAGCUGUAGGUUUGUAUCUCACAUAUAAACCCCUGUUUGUAAACUGCUCUGUAUGUAUUUUUUUUAGUUAUUUAUUGGUCCUGUAGGUUUUUCUGGGGUUUUUCAUUGGACUCGUCGGUAGUAUAACCUGAUGAAAAAGCAGGGGCUUGCUGCCGUUUACCGUGAAUGUGUCUCUAGUAAACUUCAGGGAAAUAAAACUUGGCAUUGUUAUUGGGUGAACCUCUUGAGCUCACAAUGUAUCUGAAAUGUUAUUAUUGUGCUAAAAUGUUAGCAUUGUUGAUCAAUGUUAAGUGCUGGAACUAGAGCGCUUUUUUUUUUGCAGUUAAGUGCUAUUUUUUUGGGGCUGGUUAAGUGCUAUUUUUUUUGUUAAUUCUAUGUGUUUUAUAGCAUUGAAUGUUUGAGAGUAAAAGAUGGCUGUCUAAACAUGUUUUGUUAUUUUCCUUUGUUCAUAGUUGGAUCAUAAUAUGGAUAAGUUUGCCGAAGAUGUGUCUUCACAGCUAGGUAGGACUGGUGCAAAUUCCACUAGUCCUAUGAAUAUCAUUGAUACAGAGGGUGGAAAUGACAACGAGAAAGAGUUGGAAUACUCUCUUGGCGAUGAAGAAUUAGGAAGCGAAGAGGAGCAAUUAGAAGGUGAUACACAAGCACCUGUUCAAAGAUCAAACCAAGAUGCUAUUGAAGGUGAUACUUUAGACGCUUUUAAUAAGAAAAAGAGAGCCAGAAAAUCUGAAGCAUGGGAUGAUUUCGAAGAUGUGGAAGUUGGGCCUCAGAAGAAAAUUUACUCAGAGUGUAAGCAUUGCCAGUCUAGAUUCAAAAAGACGAAGAUCGGUACAACUUCAAGUUUAUUAAGGCAUCGGAAAAAUUGUCCAAAACGAUUGGAGAAGCUCAAAAUAAUAGAGGCACACCAACAAAAACUCAAUUUUCCAGCCACUGAUUCUAGCUCAAAUGCUCAUUCCCUCCUUCAUACUGGCAAGUUUGACAUGGCUGCCAUGAGACAAAGCGCAGCUGAGUGGGUGCUUAUGCAUGAGCAUCCCUUUUCAAUUGUGAAGGAAGAUGGCUUCAACUUAAUGAUGAAAAAGGGGAUGCCUGAAUGGCAAAAAAUCAGUCGGACUACCAACAAGAAAGAUUGUCUUUCUGUGUAUGAGAGAGAAAAGCAGAAAUUGAAGCAUUUGUUAAGUAAAGUCAAGAAAAUCAGCUUGACCACAGACCUUUGGAAGUCCAAGAACCAAAAAAUUGAAUACAUGGUUAUAACUGGACAUUGGAUUGACAGCCAGUGGAGAUUACAAAAACGGGUUCUCAACUUUGUGCAUGUUCCCCCUCCACGUCCGGGCAUUGGCAUUGCAGAUGCUAUUUACAAAUGCAUGUUGGAUUGGGGCAUUGAAAGCAAAAUUUAUACAGUGUCAGUUGAUAACGUGUCAAAUAAUGACACCGCACUACGAUGUUUGAAGGACACCUUCUCGAGAAACAAGUGCUUGUUGGCCAAAGGAAAGUUAUUCCAUGUGAGAUGUUGUGCUCACAUACUUAACCUGAUGGUUCAAGAUGGCCUUAGUGAAAUUGAAGAAAUAAGUCAUGACAUAAGGGCAAGUGUAGAGUUUGUAAACAAAACUGAAGGGAGACGAUUGAUCUUUGGUGAAAUUGUACACCAGCUACGAUUGCCUGAAAGAGUGCUGAUUUAUGACUGCAAAACAAGGUGGAAUUCGACCUAUGAGAUGCUAGCUUGUGCUCUCAUGUUCAAUGAGGUGUUUUCGAGAUUCAAAGACAGAGAGCCAAGCUAUACUUUCUGUCCUUCCACAGAAGAUUAGGAAAAGGUAAAAAAGGUGUGCAGUAUUUUAGGAGUUUUUUGAAAUGCGACUCAUAUAAUAUCUGGGAGUGAUUAUCCGACAGCUAAUUUAUAUUUAAAUGAAGUUUGUCGGAUAAAAACGCUUCUAGAUCGCAAAGCAAAUGAUGAAGACAGCUUUAUUCAAGCAAUGGUUUGGAAGAUGAAGAUGAAAUUUGACAAGUAUUGGGGUGAGUGUGACCUAAUGAUGUCCAUAGCAGCCAUCUUGGAUCCUAGGCUCAAGAUGCGAGUUAUCAACUACUUCUUUCCACUGAUAUAUCCUUCACAUUAAGUGCAAACGAAUAUAAAUAAAGUCCGGCAAGCUUUGUAUGAUUUAUAUGCCGAGUAUGUGGAGAUGCAUGUUUCAAGUUCAAAAGAUUCUGGAGGAAGCUCUCAAGUAGUGACAAAUGAACCAGGUAGCAAGAGUAGCAAUAGUUCAUCCUCUACAAUGACACAUGUUACUGGAAUGUGUGAAUUUCUAUCUCACAUUGCUACUGUGGAACCCGUUCAACCAGAGAAAAAUGAGCUAGGUAUCUACUUUGAAGAUGGCCUUCUCAGUGCUACGGAGAAGUCGAGCCUGGAUAUUGUCAACUUAGAUGCUUUGAAAUGGUGGAAAAGCACAACAAAAUACAAGAUUUUGCCUAAGAUAGCUGCAGAUAUUUUAGCCAUUCCUAUUAGCACCGUAGCUUCGGAAGCGACAUUUAGUGCUGGAACUAGAGUGCUUGACUCCUACCGUGCUUCUUUAGCUCCAGAAACUGUAGAGAUGUUGAUGUAUGUUGGGGAUUGGUGUCGUAGGCUACACGGGGUGAAAAAAAGGGAUAAGGUAAUUAUGUUACAAAUUACGUUUUUCAUCUAUUACAAUAUGUUUUAUAGUUGGCUUAAUCUUGGUCUUUAUUAUUUUUGUUUACUAUGCAGAAAAUGAAGUCAGCACAAGAGAUUUCAUUGCCUAUUCCUUGAACUUUUUCAUGUUUUAGGUAAUCUAUAUUCUCAGUUUUUUGGCUGCUGGUUUCUUUAUAUGUGUAUAUGAUUUAUUUGGUGGCUGGUUUCAUUGCAACUAAAAUGGAAGUUAUUUGCCUGAUUUCUUGGCUGUGCAGCAGCUGCAGCUUAUUGGUGCAUUAUUGGCUGUAGGUGCGUUUUUCCACCUACAUUUUCAGUACCAAGAUUGUAAGCUUCCAGUUUGUGCUACUUGUCAAAUUUUCUUUUGAGUUCUAUACGUGUCUGGCUUAGUUGAGUAUUUGCAGAAGCAUGCAAUUAGAAGUAAAAGAAAAUUUUCUCAGCAAAAAGGCGUGUUUUGGCUAAGUUAUUGCUGAAUGUGCAUUUGGUUAUCAGGUGCUGUGGAUUGGUCAAGUUAUUGCUGUUUAUAUCCUUGUUAGGAUAGAAAUGGUGUUAGUAUUGAGUGUGCAUGGUGCUCGUUUGGAUUCUUAGUCUGAUCUAAUUCAUGUCGCAGAUGGUCAAUUUUUUUCAAUGGAGAUUUGCUUAAACAAAAUGAAUUUUUUCGAGAAUUGCGCUUGUUAGUCUUGGUGGCCUGUCCAAAUUUUAACUGUGGCUUCUACAAAAUUAGGAUGAUCAAUAUAAGCUGCUGAUAUGACUGACUAGUUUGCACUCGAAUGUGAAUGAAUUUCUCCUCUAAAUUAUAAGACAGUUGUCCAGUUGCUGUGGAUUGUUUACAAUUUUGAUGCUCAGGUUUUCCUCCCCUCUUUGAGUAAAAUACUUGCUUUAAGUUGUCUAGUUAACUUACAGAGUAGAUUUUCCUCAUUCAACUAGGUACUAGAUUCAGUCCCCUUGAUUAGUUUAGUUAUAUGUUCAGUGAGUACAGGUCUGAAAGAGCAACCAAUGAAUGCUAGUGAUGUUUUUGUAUAGCUCCUUGAUUGGCACUUAUUUAUUUUUGGACGUAUUGAGCAGGUUGGAGCUGGGACUAUGAAUCCUCUGACAUUUCUAAGAAGAGAAGAAGUUCGUGACUUCAAUGACUUCAAUGACUGUGCUUAGUUUGUAAUUUGUAAUUCAAUAAGUUUCUGUAGUAAGAAGUUCUUGGUCUGCUUUUGGUUGUUAUUUACUUAUUAUCUGAUAUUAAAUUUUGUGACCGAGAAUGUUGAACUUGUAUGAAGUGUUGGGCAUUUAAAUUCUAGACUUAUAUGGCAUGUAUUUCUAAAUUUAUGAUUGUAUUUAGUGAAAAAUUUGUAGGCCUUUUUUGAUUAUGAUAAUGUGAAAAAUUAUGGUCAAUUAUAGGCAUGAAUUGUAAGCUAUGAUUAUGCUCAUAAUUUGGUUAGGAAUUAGUUGAUAAAAUGAAUUUUUUUGUUACAUUAAUUCCCAAAAUUCGAGCAAACGAGCCGUUAACGAGUCAAAAAUUCAAGCUCACAAAUCAAGCUGCUCGCGAGCCAAAAAUCGAGCAUCAACUCGCGAGCCUUAACGAGUCGAGCUCGAGCUUAGCUUUUUUUAGUCGAGUCGAGCUCGAGCUCAAAUCUUAUAGGCUCGUUGAGCUCGAGCUCGAACUCGAACUCACCCAUUUUUAAGCCGAGCUCGGCUCGAUAAGUCCAAAACUCAACUCGACUCGGUUCGUUUGCAGCUCUACUCUCCAGCUGAAAAUUCAAAUUAGACAAGCUUUUUUAUCAGUUAUCACUUUCUUCUUGCAAUCAUGCAUAUUAAAAAACCGAAGAAGUUAAGUGGACAUUAAUUUAUACUAUAUAGGAAUUAGCUUCUUCUAUCUGUAUUUAAGUGAAGACGGUGAGAAUUGUGACUUGGAAAUCCUUACGUGUAUUUUGUGACCAAGUAAUGCAGAAAAAUUGACAUCUGCACCUUUGCAUAGUCAGCACCAACGCAAAGCCUCGUACCACCAGCAAAUGCCAUGAAAUUUUUUGAUCCCGCGUGUAAUUCUUUGCCCUUUUGAUUGAAAAAACAGCAGAAAAACCCUGAAUCAUUUUUACUUGAUUUUGUUUAACUUUUGUUUUGUAAGUUUAUCUUUCUUGUGUGCAUAUAUUACACAAAUCUGUCGAUGAUCGAAUUACCUCCCAUCGCCAUGGGUCAAAUUCAUGUGGGUUUUCAUAUACAUUAGGAUCCAAAUGAACAGAUGAUGGACAAACCAUUACCGUCCAGCCAGCAGGAAUUGUAUACCCUGCAAAUCAUUCGCACUUAUUAGUCAAAACUGGAAGUUAUAAUGGAGGAAAAGAAGAACAAAGGAAACAAAUCAUUUAUUUUCUAUAUUUUCCAAGUAGUUACUAAAGAGAGUUUUUCUUUUUUCUUUUUCCUGCAGGAGAAAGGCAUCACCGGUCCAAAUAAAGAAAGUGUGACAAAUGAUUUUCAAGAAGAUGCCAAGUGACAGAUUGAAGUAUACCUUUUACUUCAACUUCCUUGACAACUUUGCGCAAAAUCCCAGGGGCAAUAUUUGCAAGCCUAACUGUUUCAUUUAUAACCUACAGUAGACAACAAAACUUAAGAUGUAAAUGGUCUAGCUCACUAUAUGAUUCAAAUGAUAGAUACAAUGAAAUGUCUGGUUAAUUGGAACGUACCACGUGUGUGUGAAAGUCAUAGACUUGUACUCCUUCCAUGAAAUACUAGAACCUUCUGUUUCUCGCAUUUUAAGAAUAUUUUCAUGUUCUCUCUACAAAAAUGAAUGACUAUUUAAAUAUGAAGUAAUAUUUCAUAUUUUGUUAGUGUAAACAUCUAAUCAUAACAAUGUAUACCGUCAGUAAAUAUAAAAUAUUAAUCAUUUAAGUAUUCAACUUGCACAAGAAUUGGAGAAUUAAAGAGUAAAUACAGAUAACAACGGGAGAAAUUGUUUCGGAAAGUCAUGGACCUUUAGUUCAGCCAUAACACGUGGAUGGCCAUCUAGAUACCUCAAGGCCACAGUCAAAGCAGUUGAAGUCGUUUCAUGGGCAGCAAAUAGAAACAAAAAUACCAGGUCCCUCGCAAUUUCCUCAUUCAAAAAAGUGUCUUCUUUCUUUAUUUGCUCAAGUAAAUGGUCCGCAAAGUCAUAGUCAUUCGUAGCUCCAUCAUUGCCUGAGCGCUUCUUCUCAAAGAUGUCGUGGAUGACCUUCAUUGCUUUCUUUAAUUCGUUGAAUGUCAUCGGAGGGCAAUGCCUGUUGAAUUAUAGACAAACAGCCGUGCCGCGACGUCGUUGUCGGAGUGAAAGAGCAGUUUGACUAGUCUUGCAGAGGAGACCUGCAACUAGAUAUUUUCUUCCUCUGAAAAGUAUUUUUUUGUGUAUAAUAAAUAAUUCUUAAAAUUCUUCUGUCGCUGACUCAUGCUGUUGUUUCUUAUUGACUUGUAGACUUGUAGUAGUAACAAAAAGUUGAAUUGACAUUAAAGUUAGGAACAAAAAGUUGCAGAGGUUUAAUUACAAAGUAAUUAAUCAAUUAAGCUGCAAGUGAGGAUAUAUUUGAAUGUGGAUUAGCUCUCUGCCACUAUUUUUGGUAAUAAUUACGUGUUAUAGAUAUGUCUUAGCGACCCUCAAAGCUUAUCAAAUUAUAUUGUCAUAGUUCGAGAAGAUUAGCAGAAAAAAAAAGCGAGAGAGAGAGAGAGAGAAUCAGGAACCUGAAUAUCUUAUUCAUUUUAGUCAAAGGGAAUACGUCUAUGCUUUUUGGAAGCCAAAUUUGACGCUCCCGGUUGAAAUAGUGAAAGAAUGGACUUCUGAUUUGGCCUUUCUCUCUCUUCUUUACUAACAAAAGUCUUUUUUAAUUUGUUUAUCAAUUUUUGGGUAAUUUAGUCAUUACAAUUUGCCGCUUUUUAGUUCACUUAAGUUCCGUUUGAUAAAACUGAAUCUGAAUUCUAAUGUUUGAAUUCUGAAAUCUGAAUACUGAAACAAUUAAUUUGCUGAAUUUUAAGCACUGAAAAGAAAUAUAUGAAUGUCUGAAUUUUAAUGUUAAACCUAUUUAUACUGUUUGAUAAACAUUUAUAACUGAAUGCUUGAUAAGUUAAAUUUGACAAAUUUGCCCUUAUAUUUUUUCAUCCAAAAAAGAAAUAGAACCUAUGAUUUAAUUAGCUAAAAAUGUUAGGUAUGAAAAUGAUAAUAUAUAUUUUAAAAUCAAAUUAAUAUAAAAGAUGAAAUAUAUUAUAUGAGGAGUAUGGAGAAGAUGUGAAAAUCAUUCAAAAGGGAAAAAAAAGAAAUAGAAAAUCAUUAGAUAGAGAAUAUUAGAUUGUUUAAUUAGAUAAGAAUUUUAAACAUAAUUAACAAACAAGGGUAGAUUUGGAAGAUAAGAUAAGGAAAUUGAAGUAAUUCUAUUAAUUCUUAUUAGAAUUAAGCAUUCAGUUAGGAUUCUUAUGCUGAAAAAAAUACACACAAGUUCAACACUACUUAACAAGUUCAGCAAAUGGAUUUUCAUUUAUCAAACACUCAAAACAUCUGAAUGUCUGAAAAAAUUCAGAUUCAGCACUUUUUUAUAUUAUCAAACAGACCCUUAGUUAGAUCUUUUGAUUAUUGUAAUAUGUUCUUAAUUGUUGCUCAUAUUUUUUCCUUUGAAGCAAAAAUUUGAAACUAAAACUACAAGGAAAAAUUCAGGAAAAGUCAAGCGAGAAAGAAUGACGAAAAGAAACAUAUCUCCAUGCCUAGAUGAUAGUGCUUCAUUUCUUGAAAUGGAUGAUCAUUUGUGGUAUUAAAUAAAUAAUCAGCCCAAAAGAGUUUUCAUAAAGUAUAUGCUGAUCAAGUGGUCGAGGAAAAUCUAAGAAAUAGACAGGUGAAGCCACAAAAAUUGGUGAGAAAAUAUUCGCAACAAAGAAUAGACUUACAUGCACGAAUAAAAUAAUUUUGUCAAGGUACCUAAACAUACAAGAAUAGAAUAAAACAAUUUUGCAUGAGACGUUCCUCACAUUACGUGUCACAAGAGUAGGGGACACCUCCCCCAACCCCCGCCCCGUUGCAUUUUAAUUCCCCCCGCCCCACCCCGUCCCCCGCCCUGCCCCGCUUCUCCUGCCGGGGCACCCAUGGGGUUAAAAAAAUUUUAUUAUAAUUAAAUUUGAGCAAAUAAUCAAGUACUAAAAUAUCAACAUAUCACCAAAUUAUUAUUCAUUGUAACUUCACAAUUGAAACUCAUAAAAAUAAUUAAACAAAGGUUAUUUGAAUACAAUCUAAUAUGAUAAAACAAAUAUAACUAAAAUAAUCAAGUUUUCACUUUUGAUACAAAUACAAUCACUAAAUUAUUAUUGUAUUUUUUUUUAGAAAAAAAAGUGUUAUUGUAUUAAGUAUAGUUAGGAAUUUAACAUAAAUGUAUUAAUAAAUUUAGUAUAAAUAAUUAAUAAUUUGUAUUAAUAGACAUGUAUAAUUAGUAGUAUAAUUGAUAAUAUCAUUAUAUAUAUAUAAUUAUGUACAUAUAUAUAUAUAUAUAUAUAUAUAUAUAUAUAUAUUUUUUUUUUUUUUUUUUCAAACAGGUGGCGGGGUGGGGUUGGGUCGGGGGAGUAUACCCUAGAAACGGGGCGAAAAAAUUCCCCCCCUCCCCGCUCCCGCCCCAAUGAACCCCUACGGGCUUACACAUAUGUUCCAUUUCUAAUCGAUUACCUAAACUUAAUUUCACUUCUAUACUUUCACAUAUGCCAUUCCUAUAAAAGACUCUCACACUCAUUCGGAGGAGUCCAAAAUGCAAGUUGUUUUCGUAAUUUGUCAUCCUGGAUUAGAUCUACUAAAGGGGCCAAUUGUAGUGUGGUAAAUUAUGACCAUCCCCCACUUCGUGUCCACCAAAUUAUGAGGUGUGGCCCAAGAGUUUAUGUUUAUUCUUUUAUUUUUUUAUGUCAAUUACUUCUGUACAGCUUGAAAGUUCUUUGAUGGAGACUUGAAAGCAUGUUGUUAAUACAGGCAAAAAAAUAGUUAGAUUUUGGUGAUUUUGAGCUCAAUCAUGUUUUUCUGUUAAAAAAAUAGAUGCAUCAGUAAUUUCACCUGCACCCGUUGUGCAUCAAUUUUUUUUACGAUAAUGAUAUUUGUAUAAUCUAAUUUAUUCUAAUUUUAAAAAAAUCUAAAAAAAACUCCAGAAUUAAGCUACGUGUCGUGGUUGAAUGGCACCAGAUUGACGUUCCUACAGUGGGAAGGCCAAUACCAUACAAUUCCAUGAUAAAGAGGGUCAAGCCAAAAUCCCCUCCAUCCCAUUGAUAUUGCAUACUUUCUUUGUUGGAUGGUUCUAAAUUAUUUGUCAUUUAUAUAAAUUAGUUGAUAUAUUUCUAUUUAAUUUCUUCAUUUAGUCAUUUACUCCUCAGGCACUCCGUAAAAGUUCAAUGCAUGUUUUUUUUUUUUUGAGUCCACGUACUAUUAUCAAGAAAGUAAAACAACUACUUUUUUGUAGUAUGUAACAGUUAUCAAGUAAUUAAAAUCACAACAAUCUAAGAUUUGGUAAAACUUUCAAAUAUCUAAGAUUUUCCACAAAACCUAGGAUUGAACAAAUAUCAUAGCCCCACAAUUCUUUAUGAGUUAGAAACUACACAUCAAGUUUCAAAUUCUAUCCACUAUUAAUAAAAAUUGUAAUUCUUGAACUGCGACAAACUUUAUAAGAUGUAAGGAGCAAUAUUUACUGCAUACAUAUACAUGUAUUGUUUCUUGGCUUGAUUUGUCCUCAUAAAUAAGAUCAUUGCAUCGAUUUUGGUGAAGAAAAACAAUUAGUCGAAGCUCAAACUGCAACUAUUAUAACAUCUUCAACAAUUACAAUAGUGUCAAGAAAGACACCACGUAAAAUGUUGUUUAUUAGGCACUUACAAUAUUGCAAAGUAAGGUAAAUUACAAUAUGACGGUAAAUUACUGCAUCAUAAAUACGCUUCUGAAAGUACAGGCUUUAUUCGUACGCGCCCAGCUUAAAAUCUAUUUGUUCUCUGAAAUCUCCAUGUGCAAUCCCUUGGGGUAACGAAUACCAGUAGGUGUCCGGAUUCUCUCUGCUCCGUUGGUAACUCUCCAGCUGAAAAUUCAAAUUAGACAGUCUUUCUUGAAAAAUCGAAGAAGUUAAGUGGACAUCAAUUUAUAAUAUAUAGGAAUUAGCUUCUUCUAUAUGUAUUUAAGCGAAGAUGGUGGGAAUUGUGAUUUGGAAAUCCUUACG